UUCUAGAAACGAAAGACUUGCAUAGAUUCCAAGUAGGAUGAAUUUCAGAACUGUGGAGCCCUAGUCGUUUGUGAGUUCGCCUUAUGACUAAUUCUAAGAGCUGCUCGCUGAUGAUAUCGAAGACAAUUUUUCUUGAGUUUCUGAAAUCCUUUCGGAUGUCCGGGGGUGAUAAGAUGACACUAUUUACUUGUACAGAAUGUUACAAAGGGCUAGGAUUUCUUGGUUUGUGGUGGCAGUAACUACCCUGAGAAGCCUGUCAAAGAUCUGUGGUGCUAAGUUAUGGCAGGGUCUGGAGCUUGUGAUGUUCUGCGGCUUCGGCCUUCGCAUCUAUUUUUCGCUUAUGCAGCUGUCUAUUCGCAUCUAUUCUUUGGAAGGUGCCUUGUGAAGAGUUCAUAGUUUUUUUCUGGUAUUUCUGCCAUUUUAUCAUUUACUUGAGGGGCAUUUCCAGCGGUGACCUUAUUAUGUAUAGUAUCUGAAAUGCUAUUUGAAAUGUACCAUUGUACAUCGUUAUACUUCUUUAAUGCCUUCUUUCUUAAAUUUUAAGUCGGUAAAGUUGCAGUAAAUGUAUCUUCUCUAGACCUAUUUAAUUUCUAUGUCUAUACUAUUAUUCUUCGAAAACAGAUAAUGAUUAGUACUUAAUUUUCUUGAUUCAUCAUAUACUGCUGUCGUUUAGUUUUCUAAGAUCAAAAGUGCACUUAGUAUUAUUAUUAUUAGGAUUAUUAUGAUGUUGAAUUAGAACUUAUGAGUAUUUUAGUUUUCUAACUUUUAUUUCAAAAAUUUUUGCUCGUAUAUUCUUGCAGAAAAGGUAAAGGAUAUGCAAAUAAGUUUUCUUGUGUGUGUGUGUGUGUGAUAAUUAAAAGAUGCAUCUCCAUAAAAUCACCUGAUCAUGUAAGAUGAGGAAUAUUUAAAUUCUCGUAUUUUAGGCCAUUCUUGUAAAGUUCAAUAUGUGUAUUUACUAAAUUGUACAGCUCAAGGUGUUUAAGGUCAAUUUCUUCCAUCCCAUAUGGGUCUUACAUUUUCACCAAAUUCUCCAUCCCCUUUCUCCCACGUCGAUUUAGCAGAGAGUCGAGUCACGUGUUUAAGGUCCAUUGAGGUUCCUUUCAAUCAGCAAUUGCUUGGACGUGAGACGUCGGUUUAGCAGAGAGUCGAGUCACGUGUUUAAGGUCCAUUGAGGUUCCUUUCAAUCAGCAAUUGCUUGGACGUUGGAGUCACGUGUGAGUGUUUUUAUUAAAUAACUUCUCAACUCUUUGUUGAGAAAAAAAAUUGCACAGCUUGUUUUUUAUAUCAAUUAAAUUAUAUUUCUAACGUUUUUGUAAAAAAAAAAAAAAUAAUAAUAAUAAAAAUAAUCUCCCGAUCGUUAUUAGACGGCUGCCUCGAGCAAGUCAUUUACUAUUUCGGUGGUUCAGGACUGCAGCGCUGCAGUCGUAAAUAGUAUGUGAAAUAAAACAUCAAAAUCGAACAUUAAGAAGUGAAGCAACCGCAUGUAAGUGGUGGCGCAGCUGAGUAGUGAUGCGCUGCUCGCUCUUGUUGUGGAGUGUGGUGGUGUAAUCAAUCCGCGCGUUCUUGCAGUGGCUGACAACAAGGAGAAAUGAGCAGUUCACAAGCUUCUCAUUCCCUGGCAUUUAGGGUGAUGAGACUAUGCAGGCCGUCUCUCCACGUCGAAACCCCUCUCAAAUUCGACCCCUGCGAUCUCCUCUUCGGCGAAGACCUCUUCGACCACCCUCCUGCCGCCGCUCACCUCCCUCGUCUCCUCUCCGACUUCGCCGACUCUUCUUCUUCCGAUCUCACUUAUCGCUCCCGAUUCCUUCUCUCCCACCCUUCCGACUCCCUCGGCCUCUCUGCUCUCCUCGUCCUCCCCCAGUCCUUUGGGUAAACCCCUUGACUUCCUUUGCCUUAUCUUCCCCUUUUUCUGGUACAGAUUUUGUAUUUUAUUUGUUCUCUUUAUGGUUUAUUCUGUAGGGCAAUAUAUUUGGGAGAGACAUUUUGCAGUUAUAUUAGUAUAAAUAACAGCUCGAAUUUUGAAGUCAGGGAUGUUAUCAUCAAGGUUAGAUUUGUUUAUUAGUUAAUCUUCUUCUUUCUUUCUUUCUUUCUUUUGGUUCUAUUAAUUUGUUCAGUUGAUGUCAUUUGCAACUUUUACUUUAUUUUAAUGAUCUUUUUGCACCCACAAAAAAAUUAGUAGAAAGCAAAAAGGAGUGUGAUGGGCUUGUAACAUUUUACUAUGGCUCUAAUAUGGAGUAAAAUUACUCCACAUAUGACUUUAAUAUGUUAUAGAUAACAUUAAAUGUAUGCAGCAAAAUGGCCAGCCUAAAGGAAAGAAAUACAAGUGUAAUGGACAAAAUUUCAUGAGAAUUAGUGGACUGUUUACUAUACUAAAAAGGACAUCUGAGGCAAGUUUUUCAGAACUCCUCUUAGGGAGCUAUGAACAUAGAGAAAAUUGGGGAGAGAGUGCUAAGUCAAAGAGUUGAGGUUGUAAGCUCAUGCUAAGGCUAUCUUAGGAAGAUCUGAUGGCAAUUUCUCUAGAGUUUGAUUGAAUCAGAUAUUACUAAAGAGUAUGAGAAUUUGACCACCCCCAAAAAAAAAACAUGUGCUUGGAUAGACGAUUAUUCAGAGAAGUUUUUGGAGUAAUUACUGUAUCACUUUUUAAAAUGUAAUUUAUGUGAGAAAAGUGGAUAGUUGGAAGAUAAAAUGGUGAUCAGAAAUUGUGUUUGUGAUGAAAGCAAAUAAUGGCCAAUCCAAACAAAUAAUGCUAUUUGCUUUGUUUAUUUGGUCCUCAUGAUUUGGAAGUGAUACAUGGAUCUUCACAGGCAGAAGUCCAGACAGAGAGACAGAGGAUACUGCUCUUAGAUACAUCAAAAUCACCUGUAGAAUCCAUACGUGCUGGAGGGCGUUAUGAUUUCAUUGUGGAACAUGACGUAAAAGAACUUGGUGCACAUACGUGAGUUCCAUGUUUCCAUCAUCAACUUAAAUUUAAUAUACACAGUUUGCCUCGAGUAGUAUCCUAAUUUGGCUUUGUCUGUGCGGUGCAAUAUUGACAGGUUGGUUUGUACAGCUCUUUACAGUGAUGGUGAUGGGGAGCGUAAAUAUCUUCCUCAGUUUUUCAAAUUCAUUGUUGCAAAUCCACUUUCAGUCAGAACAAAGGUACCAAUGCUCCCAAGUCCUCGUUGUUCACAAUUUAAACAAUUUUAGGUGACUGGAAUGUAGCUUACAUAUCUACGAAACAUUUCACAGCUAAAAUUUUUCAGUUACAAUGAUUGCUGUGUUUUGGCUGCUUUAAAAUUUUUUACCUGCAGGUUAUCAUUACUCUCUCUUGCUUGUUCUAGCCAAACAUUUUGCUCAUUUCUAUCCUUCUUUUGCUUUUGUGCAGGUUCGGGUUGUCAAGGUACAUUGAAGUUUUGUUUAUGUUCAUGAUCCUUCAUACGUAUUUACAUAAUAAGUUGCAUUUAACCUCUUUGAAUUGUUAACUAAGUAUAUUCUCAGCUUUCUUUCAGUGGCAUGAAUCAGUGAAGGGUCAAAAUUGUAAUGCUAACUUUAUUACAAUGCUUUCAAAUGCCUUUUGUAUCAGGAAACUACUUUUUUGGAGGCUUGUAUAGAAAAUCAUACCAAAUCAAAUCUCUUUAUGGACCAAGUAGAGUUUGAGCCAGCUCAAUACUGGAGUGCUACAUUACUUCAGGCUGAUGAUAAUUGUUCAGAAAAUGAUUCGUUAACUAGGUAAGUAGAUUGUGCAUGCUAUAUGCUGUAGUUGCUGAAGCUAGAGAUGUGUCAAAUGUUGUUUAAUUUUGCCCUUUCUAUUAGUGUAUUUGAACAUCAAGUUCUAAUUUCUUCUGAUAGGGAAUUAUUUAAGCCACCUACACUUAUCAGAUCUGGAGGAGGAAUUCACAACUAUCUGUAUCAAUUGAAAUCAUCCAUACAGGGACAGCCACAAAUGAAAGUUGAGGGAAGUAAUGUCCUUGGCAAAUUUCAGAUAACAUGGCGAACAAAUCUGGGUGAGCCUGGUCGCCUGCAGACGCAACAGAUUCUUGGUAGCGUAAGUGAUUUCCACUCAUAUCAGUUAAAAUUUAGGUUAACACAUGCCUAGAUUUUGCAAGCAAAGGGGGGUUACUGAUCACUGUUUAGAUGUAACUUAUCCGAGAGAUGAUGGUGUCACAAAUGAAUUUUACGCUCUGCAGCUUGCCAAUAUCUACUUAUCACAUCUUACUGGGUAUCUUGUGGUGAAUAAAAGGAGAGAUCUGCUGCAAGAAUAGAAAUAGGAAAACUUCCAAAGCUUGUAUUUAUUUUUUACUUGUUAAAAAGAGAUUCUUGGCAUCUUUGAGUCUUAGAGUUACGUCUGACUUAGACCUGUAGGUACAUAUUUUACCUAUUGAUAUAAAGUUUAUCUUCUUAGGUCUCUGAUAUUUUAUCUGCUUUCAGCCUGUAGUACACAAAGAUAUUGAGUUGCAGGCUGUGGAGGUACCAUCUCUUGUCAUCUUCGAGAAGCCCUUCUUGGUAACUUUCAUUUAUUUAAGCAAAUAGGACUAGGGGGGUCAAAUUAUAACUUGCUGUAUUCAUUAUUCUUCUCUUUGUCCUCCUAUGAUCCUUUUUUUUUUCUCUUACAGUUGCGCUUAAAUCUCACAAAUCAGACAGAUAGGAUACUAGGCCCCUUUCAAGUUUGGUUGUCGCAAAGUGAUUCUUUUGAUGAGAAGGCUGUUUUGGUCAAUGGCCUUCAGAUGAUGGUGAGACAUAAAAAUGGCUAGCAGUAAACUUUGCUUUUGGGUUUUGUUAAGAUGCUAGUUUAAUCUUAUUCUUCCAGCAUUCUCUUGAAUACUAUAUUCCACUGUUCCUGGUUGUUUGGAAGGGUUUGAUUAAACAUCUAAGAGACUUAGGUAUGUAGUUAUCACUUCAUAGUAGGCUUUAACUGACAAUGAUAUUUGAAGCUUUGCAAGUCCAUCCUAUGAAGCUUACUUUGUCCAUUGGAUCCUCUUAACUUUUACGCAUCAUUGCAGCCUUUGGCGGAGGUGGAAGCAUCGAGUUCUUCUGAAUUCCAACUGGUAAGAAGAGUCUUCUGCAACAUUUUUCUUGACCAUAUUAGUUUGAAGAUUCAACUUUUGCUAAGUGAAAUGCAAAAUAAUAUCUCAACCUUGAAAGUUUGGAAUUUUUACUUUCUAAUGGUCAGAAAUUAAAUGUUGUGCAUGGCUGUUAUUGGGAAGUAUAGCUUCAGUUCUUGCAAAGCAGGACUUUUAAUUUCUAUGGGGAUAAAUGUCGACUGAUGGAUGUUUAAAAAAUCAGAGUAAAAAGUGUCCAAGUUGCUAGCUAUAACUUGAUUUAAUCUGCCAAAGCUGAAGAGAACCGACGUAUUAGAAGAUUGUAUUUCUGUGCUUAUUUCCUCCUCCUUUCUCUCUUUCUUUUGUUAGGUUAUAGUCUUAGUUUCUCAAAACCCCCCGCUAGUAUGUGGAAGGCACUGUUGACUAUGCACGUUGUUAGUUGUAUCGAAUCUAGUAAUCAUUGAAAUUGCUAUGAUUGGGCAAGUACGUGCAACUGAUGAUUUUUUCAAGCUUGGGACUUUAUAGUAGUUACUCGACUGUUACUGCAAUUGCUUGCCAUAAUUCUUGGUCCUUUUGCUUUCAGAACUUAAUAGCAACAAAGCGCGGAAUUCAGAAAAUCACUGGAAUUACUGUGUUUGACACACGGAGAAGAAAACUUACGAGUCCUUGCUAGAACUAGAGGUUAGUAUUCUAUCAAUACUUUGGCUGCAACUUUGACUGAACUUGGGAGGCAAAUGCUAAGAUUGCUUUUUACUGACCUUGAUUUGGCAAUAGGAUGAUUAUAUAUAUAUAUAUAUAAUUUUAAUAUUCCAAGAACCUACGAACAGGUUAUUUGAUCUUAACUCUGUCAGUGGAAGGAAAAACCCAUGUUGUGUUAGUCGGACUAAAGAAAUUAGCAAGUAUGAUGGGAUAGAGAGAGAGAAAAGUGAUGACAUUUCAUUACCAGAUCACAUCCUUUUUAAAGAUCAGAUCAUGGACUUUCAAGUCAGAUUGAAAACACAAUUUAUGUGGGGUGGCUACUAUAGUUGCUGAUGGGUUUUUAAUCUGACGUGUUUGGGGUUAUUGUGCAGAUAUUCGUGGAUUCAGACUACACCUGAGCUCUGUGCCUCCGGUUUGUUCACAGGAUGUGCUCUAACUUGCGUUGUGAGCUUUCAUGAGAGCUCUGCUUGGUAUAUUGUGCCCUUUGACUCAGCGAGCUCGUCGGACUAUGAGGCCCGGAUGCUACACCAUUUCGGAGCUGAUGCCUAUUUAUGAUUGGCCCGGUGAACUUUGUGACCUUCCGUUUGAAGCAUUGUAGUGGAUGAAGGAAAUGAUCUUCUUGACAAGAAAUGUCUUCACCAGUCGUAACUGUAUACCACAUUCUACAUGGAUUUUGCUUCUUUGCUUGUAUACUAGUUUAGAAAAAAAUAAUAUAACGUCAAUUGACUCUGGACAUUUUUUUGUCUCCCUUUCUCCUUUUACAAGAUCAAUAUGUUCCUGUAAGAACUUCUCCAUUUUUUGUUUAAUUCUUUUCCAUCUUGCUUUACACUUCUUUACACACACUAUUAAUUUGGUGUAUCGUACAUUUCUUAUUUUAACAUCCUUUAUGUGUUGGAUUUAAUAUGUUACAGAGUGUGAGUGUUACCUUUAUUAUGAUAAAAAAUUUUACUACUUUAUAUUUCGGUUUUUGAUUUUCAACUUUUUGGUCAAUAUCGAUUGGAGCAAAUUACUUGAGUAACCAUACAGAGUUAACUAUGAAGAGUUAUUUGCCUAAAUAACUCCCUUCACAAAAAAUAUUCCCAAAAUGAUUCAAUUUCAUACUUUAUUCUCAUAACAACUUUUUUUGUUAUCCAUCAGAUCAAAUUCAAAUGGAAAUGAGAAAAAGGGUAAAACCCUUCAUUAGCCAUUAAUAUAGUCCAAAAAUCACCCACAUGACUAUAGUAUUCUACUCAGAAUUUAGCUUCUCUUUUUUUACUAUAAUAUCAUACUUUGACUUUACUUGUCACUCUAUUGUCCAAAAAAGUCUUGAAUACUUAACAUAAUCUGGCGAUAUUUCUAAACAUGAGAGCAAAAGUCUUGAAUAUUUAAAUAAAUUGACAAUAUUUUCAAAGAUGAGAGCAAAAUCUAAAAUUUGACUGUUCAUCUUUGUUCCAGUUGCAGCAAUUUUCUCUUUGUGAUGCUAUCCUUCUUAUUAAAAAAUAAUAAUAAAAGAAAAACUCAAUACAAAUCUAGGGAAACUGGAAUUAUCACUAAGCAUGAAAGCAAAAUCUAGAAUUUUGAUUGUUCACCUCCAUUCCAGUUGCGGUAAUUUUCUCUUUUUGAUGCUCUCUUUCCUAUUAAAAAUAAAAAAGAAAAAAAAUAGGAAAAACUCACUACAAAUCUAGCAAAAUUGGAAUUAUUAGUAUGUUUAUACAAAAAAAUUCAUCACUUGUUAAUUCAAAAUUUUCCGUCACUCUCUCCAUUCAAUCAAUCAAUCGUACAAAAAUUAGUUUUGAUUUUGUCAUGCUACAUUGAACGGGAACUCAUUGUGCAUGUGGCUAUAUGGGAGGAAUAGCAUGUAGGGCUGAGGAAAACAGUCUUAUGCUUUUUAUUUGGAAUCGAUACUCGUCGGUCCGGAGCCUCCUAUGUUAAUAAUGAUGGUAACGAGAAUUUGAUUGAGUUUGAAGAAUUUGAUUUAGAAAGCAUGGAGGACGCUGCUCCUUGUUAGGGGAUAAGGUCAGAAGAUUAGAUUAGUAAUAAAAUUUGGAGUUGAAUCAUUGUAGGAAUAUUUUUGAAAAAAAAAGGUUAUUUUGGCAAAAAACUCUAACUAUGAAAGGGACCAAAAUUUAUACAUUUGAUAGUUUACUGGGUGAUUAGAACUUGGCAAUUGAGAUUGUUUUAUGCUUCUUAACGUGAUAAUGCAUGAUUCAAAAAGGGCUUUAUUUGGAAUAUUAAAGUUGUCCUGAUUUUUAUAUACAUUUCAUCCAUUGUAUGUAAUCAAAUUAAUGAGAGUAAUAUACAUAUAGUAACAUAUAUAUAAGAAAGUAAAUUAACUAUUAAUGCUUUAAAAGUAUCACCUAAUUUUAUCUUUUUAUUAAAAAUAAAACAUUGGACCGAUUUGUUGAUUUGAGCACCAAAUAAACAGACUCAGCUGAAAUGGGACUAUUGUAAUUCCUUCAAUGCUGUACAAUUAAUACGGGAAAUGACGAUAGAGUUGGCAACCCUAAAACUUGAGCUUAAAUUUGUCUAACAUCUACUAACACUACUAAUAGUUCUCAUAUUUAGUUGGGCGACUUAAAUCUUGCAACUGGGAUGAAAAUACAAAUACAAGAAGAGUACCAUUCCUGCCAUUGCUCGAUAACAUCGUUCCAUAAUUCCUGAAGUCUGUAGUCACCCUCCCAGAAAAAUAUCAUCUUCAGUACUUGACAAAAAUAGCCAAAAUUGCUGUUAACUUGGCCCCAAAACUACCUCACGUUCUCCUCCAAGAAAAAUUUGUUUCUCUAUUGAAAUCAUGUAAGAAAGCCAGGCAAGUCAAAGCAAUACAGACCCAGAUUAUAACUCACGCUCUUGACCCCAGCAACCAAUAUACAAUCCCAACUUUACUCUCAAAAUGCUUUGUUAUAAACCAAGUCUCGUAUGCCCACACGGUGUUCGAUAGAAUUCGUAGCAGAAAUGCCUCCGUGUACAAUGCAAUGUUCAAAGGCUAUCUGGACUAUGAGAUGUUCAAUGAAGUAAUAUUGUUGUUCAAUGAUAUGAUUCGCGAAAAUGUUAGUCCUAAUGGUUACACAUUUCCAAUGGUGCUUAAAUCUUGCCUGAGACUAAUGGCCUUAAAAGAAGGCGAGAUGGUGCAUUCUUUGGUGUUGAAAUUUGGGUUUAAGUCAAAUACCUAUGUCGGUUCUACUUUGAUUGAAAUGUACGCGAGGCAGGCCAAGUAAGCUGCGCCUGCAGAGUGUUUGCUGAGAUGGUUUUGAGGAAUGUUGUUACAUGGACUUCAAUGAUCAAUGGUUUUGUUUUGAAUGGCGAUUUGUUUUCCGCAAGGAGGCUCUUUGAUUUGGCACCCGAGCGGGAUGUUGUGUUGUGGAAUACUAUGUUGUUAGGUUACAUUGAGCACGUGGAUAUGGCGGAGGCUAGAAAGCUUUUUGAUGUGAUGCCCAAUAAGGACUUGAUGUCUUGGAAUACCAUGUUAAAUGGCUAUGCGAAUAAUGGGGAUGUUGAACGGUGUGAAGAACUCUUUGAAGAGAUGCCAACAGAGAAAUAUCUUCUCAUGGAAUGGGUGAUUGGAGGGUAUGCCAUAAUGGACGGUUUGUUGAAGUCCUUGGAACAUUCAAAAGGAUGCUAAAUGAGUCCGAUGUGCAGCCUACUGAUGCCACGCUUGUGAAUGUGUUGUCAGCUUGUGCAAGGUUAGGUGCACUUGAUUUGGGCAAGUGGGUUCAUGUAUAUGCUGAGAGUAAUGGGUACAAGGAUAACCUUUAUGUUUGUAAUGGUUUAAUUGAUUUGUAUGCCAAGUGCGGAUGAUAGAAAGUGCAAUCAAUGUUUUUAGGAACAUGGGAAGAAAAGAUUUGAUAUCCUGGAACACAAUUAUUAAUGGCUUAGCAGUACAUGGUCAUGGAGCUUAUGCUUUAAAGUUGUUUAGUGAGAUGAAACUUGAAGGAAAAACCAGACGCAAUUACUUUUAUAGGUAUUUUAUGUGCUUGUUCUCAUAUGGGUUUAGUUGAUGAAGGAUUUCAGUAUUUUCAGUCAAUGGUUGAUGAGUACUCAAUUGCGCCACAAAUUGUGCAUUAUGGUUGCAUUGUUGAUCUACUAGGUCGUGCUGGACUUCUGGAGCAGGCUGUGGAUUUUGUGAACAAAAUGCCAGUAAAAGCAGAUGCUGUGAUUUGGACCACUUUACUUGGUGCUUGUAGAGUUCACAAGAAUGUUGAAAUUGCUGAACUAGCUCUUCAAAACUUAUCCAGAUUGAGCCUAAAAUCCAUCAAACUAUGUGAUGCUGGGAAACAUUUAUCGAGCUGCUAAAAUAUGGAAAGAUGUUGCACGACUUAAAGUUGCAGAGAGGGAUACUGGAUCUAGGAAAUUGCCAGGUUGCAGCUCAGUUGAAGUUGAGGAUGGAGUGGUUGAGUUCUACUCAUUUGACGAAAGGCAUUCUAGCUCAGAGGAGAUAUAUGAUGCCCUGAGAGGAUUGAUGAAUGUGUUGCUAUCAGAUGGAUAUGUCCCAGAUUUUGUGGAGCUUGGUCAGGGAAUCUAGAGAAGUGAAACAAAAUUUGUGUAUUGAGUACCUUUUUUGUGUUGAUGUACAGUUCGAUGCUUUUAACCAAGACCGAGGACAUAUACGAUAUAACAUGCCAUGUGAGAAUAAUAAAGCACCAAAUUCAGUGGAAAAUUUCCCAGACCCUGUUCUGAUUUUGCUGUACCUGGAUUUGCUUGAUUCUGCAAAGAAUGCCAUAAUCAAUUAUCAAUCUGGAAAAAGCUGUCUGACAAAUUUUACAUCUACUGUGAGGUUAAACCAUGGUUUGUAUGAUGGUGUCACUUUAUUACUCAGUCUGAUAGAAUGUGAUAGAUUAGGGAUCACUCGGUCUGAUAGUAGUCACUUUAUUGAUUUGUACUUUUCCAAAUAAUGAAGAUCUGUGCUUGAAAAUGGACUUCCUGAGCUGAAAUAUUAAAACUAAAAUCAAGAAAAAGUGAUUGAGACUUCUGAAAUAAAAUUGAGUCUGCAAAAAAAAAAAAAAAAGGUUCCAGAGAAGGAUGGUGAAAAACCACGUGCAUCCGAAGCCCCCGUAAGUAUAGUAGUAAAUCCAAUCUGGACAAAGCAAGUCUUGGAAGGAACUCUGCAAAUCCUUGGCUGCAGAAUCAAAUUCAGCUGAGGACGAUCAAUUCUUAACUUGGAAUCUUAACACACUGCCGUUAAAGCUGUUAACAAGUUGGAACAUGUUUGCUUGGAACGAGAUGAUCAUGGACAUUCUAAUGACGAAUCUCCAGCUUGAAGCUCCUGGUCUUUCGGUAAAGAUCCAGCAUCUGAAAUGGAUAAGGUGCAAUUUUUAAACAGAGCUCAAACUCCUUCCGCAGGAGCUGAAGACCGGAUGCAAUUGAAAUGAUUUUGUGCUUAUGAAUAAACAGAGGCAAAGGUAUUGUUUUAGGAGCUCUUACAUCAAUCUUACACCAAAAAGUUAUCAUACUCAUGCACUAAUAUUCUUCUUCUACCUUUUGUAAUUUCAAAAGCACUAAUCUAGAGCCAUGAAUAUGCCCAAUAAUCACCGUGAUGAAGUAUUAGUGAGAAUAGGCAUUUAUCCUGCAAAAUCACAGUUCGCUGCCGUUCUGCACUUGACCAGCAGCUGCCCCUCCCUUACUCAACAAUUUGAAUAGUAGCAAUAUCCAAGAACCAACUAGAGCAAACCAUAGCAACUUUUCCCUAUGCCUUGCUCUUAUAUUCUCAGCCUCCUGCAUUCUCACACGUCGCAACAAGCUAGGGAUUAACCAUUUUGAUUGCUCACACAUGGGUUUAUCAUACCAAAGGAAGAAUCCGCAGCCAUUGCCUUCCUAAACCAUUGUCAGAAGCACAAGACAAUCAGAUCUUCAUGGAUGAUUUUUGCUUGCACUCACUAUGUGAACAGAAAAGGAAGGAAAAGAAAAAAUUCAAGUUCAAAGAGUUUUACUCCGUAGUUUUCACAGCAGAAGAACCUUCUUCCUGGGUUUUCAUCUGUCCAAGAAGUCCUAAGCUUGGAAGCUUUGCCACAGUGACACGUCACAGGAACAGUUGUGACCUCUUCACUCUCUUUAACAACAUUCUCUUUGCUUUGAUCAAACUAUGCAACAACAAGUACAUAGUGUCAAUGCAUACAAGAUUUGCACGAUAAAAAGAGACAUGAUCAAUUACAGAUCUCAGUGGAUUACAUUGAGUGGCUUCAAUCAUUAUCACCAAAUUCAAAGAAAUUUAUUCAUUGGAAAGCAUUAUACACACGCGAUAUGAUAAGUGAAAUUCCUAAAUAUGUCACUGUUUACACUGUCUUUGCAACUUUUGGAGGAAAAGGGGGCUGAAACUCCUUCUUUUUUCCCUACUAUAUAAAUAGCUCCCUGAGUUAAGCGUGAUGAUUUUCACAAGUGACUUUAGUAAACUGGUUAGUGAUCAACAUAACACACUUUAGUCAGAAGUACUUGGAACAGAACUCAACUAUCUCAACAUUGAGAGACUAGAAUGAGAUCUUUUUACACAGACUUGGGAGUAUUACAAACAUUUGCCAAACCAAACUCAUCAAGGAUAACAAACUGGUUCAAAAAACAAACGUUACUGAGUCCAAAUAUGUUCAUUCUACUAAUAACGACCCUCAAGUCAAAUUUACAUGUGAGGGUGAUUGAAAACGAGGAAAGAAACAGGAACACUAAUGAACCACAGGAAACUUAGUGCUAAGGUGAAUAUGCAGUUUCCUGGUCAUGUCAACAGCUAGAGUGCUUAAUUUUAUCAGGCCUGCUGUCCCCAAGUUGCCCAGUUAGCCUCACUUCCUACCCUUGGUAUGCUAUUAAUCUUGGAAAGGGCAUCAACCUUGAAGUUCGAACCACACAUAACCCCCUCACUAUCCACUCUUGGCAUGGCUUUCAUCUUGUGCAUGGGAUGUUCAAAGCUCAUCAGUCCUCUUUCACUAUGGAACAUACAGCCUGCAAUAUUCAAUCGCCCAAAACAGAAAUCAGAAAUUUUCCAUGCCAUAACAUUAUACAUUCCACAAACUACUACCUCCAUGCCACAUUUAAUGCUUCAUUUUUAGUCUGUCUAAAAUAUUGCUCACUUUUGCCACAUUGAACGUUCUAAUUAAAAUAUUAUCGUGAUGCCCUAUGUGUUCCCACCUCUCAUCAAUCAGUCACAUGUUUUCAUUCGUCCAGUGCUUAAUUAAAAGAAAGACGCUUGAACCAGUGACAGAGGUGGCAUGAAUUGUAAUUUGGCCACCAGAAAAUUUUAAAGUCAACUACUGAGGAGUUUGAUCUCUCAUCAGUCCUAGAAAAAAACACACACAAAACAAGAAUAAUCGUCCCAGAACUACGUACCAGUUGGGAAUGGGGCAAAGGAUUUAGCACAGCUUGCUUUUACCAGAUUCACAUCAUCAGAUAUCAUUAAAGAACCAUUGGCUGCUAUGCCCCAAUAGAGCUUCACUACUUCAUCAGCACCCUGCAUUCAAAGUAGAGGCAUAGGCAUCAGUCAAGAUAGGGCCUGAAAUUUAACAACAGAUAACAUUCUAAACUUUGAUAUUUCAGAGGGCUUACAAGUGCAGCAAAUGCAGUUCUAGCUUUGUCAUCAUAGAUCACAAAUCCAAAGCUGCCAUCAAGAUCCUUGAGGACCUGAUGAGCCGGAUAGGGGCUCCUGUCACGCAGUGUCCGGUAUGCUUCAACAAUAAACAUGGCCUCAUUGACACCCUUGGAUAGUCCAUAUUGCUUGAUAAGAGUGGGCAGAUUUCUUAAACUCCCAGUGAAGACGCAGUAUAUGUCAUUUACACCACAAAACAUCCUAAUACAUAAAAUUUAACAUCCAAAACAAGUUUAGUCCCACAAGCAAAGGAGUUAUCAGAUGAAUAAUGCUUCUUCUCUUUUAAUAACAAAAAGGUAAACCAGACACACAAAACAUUUUAUGGAAUCGGGACACUGUCGUCCUUUUUAUCACAGAAAGAAUAAUUUUUAGAGUCACGAGUUAUCACAUAUAGGGCCUAACCCCAGUUUCAUUUGGAAUUUAACAAGUUCUUUACUUUCCUGCUUUUUCAUAUCUGUAUUCUGUAAUCUAUUCUUUGUGAACGAAAAAAACCCAUAAAACUUUCCAAAAUCCAAUUUGAUGAUCCCAGAGUUUUUUGACAAACAAGUACAAUACAUAAAACAGAUCCCGUCCCAAUUUGCACUCAUUUCAUGCCAUAGAAAAGUUAAUUAAACAUCAAUUGUACCAAGUCAAGACAGAAAAGAAAAAUAAAGGGAAAAAUAGGAUGAUGAGAACCUUUGAUGAGCGGUGAUGUGUGAUCUCUGAGGAGGGGCAUAAGCCAGCAAGGCAUUGUCAGCAAAGCCCAGAGAGAACCAUUAUUGGAAUGGGAUGACAAGAAAUCCUUCAAAGUCUCCUCAAGAUUCUUAGCAUUGUCAAAAGCUGGAGCAUGGGUUGAUGAGGCUGGACUCUUCAGCUCCUGGGGUGGAACAACCAAACCAUUCUUGAAUAUUGCCAACAUUUUGCUGUAAUUCUUUCUCGUCCUUUGUAAUUCUUCUCACCAAUAUCAAGACGAAGAAAGAAGAACAAGAACUGCUACUUUCUUUGUUUUUAUGUAAAAGGAAAAGAGAUUGUGAAUAAAUAGCCCGCGAAGAGAGACAGAUAGAUUGAGACUACUGAUGGAUAAGAGGGAUUUGCUAAGAGUAUUUAUAGGUAUUCCAUUGAAGAAUUUGAUGACCAAUGUUGAGUAAAAAGGGAGGUGGCAACGUUAUCCAAACAGAAAUUGCUGACUAGACAAAACGUCGACAUUGUGUUUCCUUAAAAGUGCCCCUCAUUGGAUAAUUUUUUUUAUACACGAGGUCAGUUUAGCAUAUAUGGCAUCUAUUAAUAUCUGUUAGUUUUUUAAAAAAAAAUAUUACACCGUGUUGCUACUUAAUUGGACUGAGCGACGCAAUUUUCUGGAGAAUUAAUUAGAUUAAUGUUGCGAAAAUGUUCGUUAAGAUUAGAGGUGUCUUUAAAUGCAAUGGAUGACGAUUAAUGGGUACUAGAAAAAUUAGUAAACUACAUUGAAAAGUCUAGUCAAGGGUUUAGUAUUUACAAUGUGGAGUAGUAUAGACUAAGAUGGCAAUUUGGAUAACCGUUUUAUUAGCCAUAAAUAAUAAAAAAAAAGAAGUGGGAUAUUAUUAGGAAUCAAAAUUGCUAACCUUUUUUUUUCUUUUUUUCUUGAGCUGUAAAAUUGAUUACAAUUUAACUUUUCACGAGAAUUAGGAUUAAAUUUUAUGAUUUGAAUGAACAGCAUCUUCUUUUGAUGGAUUGACGAAGUAAAUAAAUCGAAUGACGAAUUUACAUCGUUGGUCUAACUAUUGUUAUUAACACUGAUUAAGUGGGAUUCAUGAGUUAAUUUCUUUGACAAAACGAAAAUUUAAAUAUAAAAAAAAAAAAAAAACAUGGCCUAUGUAAAUGCAAAGCGUCCUAUUGCAAGUAUAAAACAGCGUGGGGGAAAAUGUCUUUGGACUUUGUCAGAGACCUGAUGUGAUGGUGACACCUAUCCGGGUCAGCGUAUCCUUUUUGUCGUGACAUUGAAAAGGCUUAUCUUUACUAAUUUCGUCCUUUCUUAGCUGGAAACACGUAGAUUAGAAGUGAUCAAAUGGAUUCAUAUCACCGAUCCAUCCAUAUAAAUAUGGAUUGGAUGAUCCAUAUGAAUUCAAUGAAUUUAAAUGGAUAACAUCUAAAUUCAAUUAUGUUGAUAAAUUUAUAUGGAUUAUUCAUGCCAUCCAUAGACAUCUACUUAAUUUAAAAAACAGAAAACAUACAUAACUUCCUCAUAUGUCAGAUUCAUUUUGUGGUACCGUCUAUUCCUUCCUUCAUAAUUUUUUCAUGUGCCAAGUUGCCAAUUAAUUGCAUUUUAUUCGUUUCUAGAUCCUAGAUUUCUUCCAUCCUUUUUAAAAUUAUAUAUUUAGUCUCUACUCUUGUUUAUUUAAUUAAACUCUCAUGAAGUAAAGACUACAAACAUUUACAUUCUUAAGUAAAGAAAAAGCAAUAAUGUAUCAGACAUUGUCAAAGUAAAUUUUUUAUUCUUUUAUUUAUAAAAAGGAUUUUUCUAAUGAACAUUCCCGCAACACUAGUUAAGAUACAUAAAUGACACAUUCUUUUUUUUUUUUUUAAUAAGUGGAAGGUUUUGAAUCAAAAACUUGAUACUUACAAUCCAUCUCCUCUUAUCACCCAACCCAAUUCUCAAAAAAAAAAACACCUAAUUUACUAAGUAAAUAUAAGGUAGCUUGUAUAUCAAUGGUAAACUAAGGAGUUUCAUACAUUUUUAGGUACUACAUGCUCAUGUGAUUAAAAUAUUUUAAUUGUCAAAUAACAUAAGAUUUCUUAUUAGAACUCUAUUUUUAUUCAAGGCAUCCCUCUUGAACAGGAGCGCAAAAAAUUGGAGACGUAAACUUUUUUCCACUGUAAAGCCGUAUUCAAUUCAACCAAAAGUUAUAAUAAUAUAACCAAGUUCUUAAUUAUUCGUUGCUUUACAAAAUGAUACUUAAAGUAAUGAUGAAAGGUUAAAUUGACCUCAAUAGUUAGAUUUUCUUAGAACUAAACUAAUUUGAAGUUGCUUUUAUGAAGAACUAAAAUAGAGUAGCAGUACAAGCAUUUGUUAUUACCAAAAGGUUUUUAGGUGAUUCAAAGAUAGAACUUUGGGGAUCUGUAUUUUUUUGGAAAAAAAAAACAUGUGAAUCUUAAAUUUAGGACUUAAGAGAGUAAAUGGAUAAAUGGAUGGAUCACGGUUUUACACUAUCCAUUUAAAUGGCAUCCAUUUAGAUCCAUGUAUUAAAUGAUUUUAAUUGGGUUGUAUCAAUUUUGAUCCACUAUCCAUUUAACUAAAACCAUUUAUUAACAGUAUAUCCAUUUUGCCACUUCGUUGUAGAUAACGUAUGGAUUUUGUGUAAUCAUGUGUUUGAAUAUCUCAUAAAUAAAUAUUUUUAAUUAUUUUUAAUCUUUCCAACAACAUUUUGUAAAUAGAUUCACAAAUUAUAAAAAAAAAUGCUACAGUGUGUAACAAACAAUUUUUCAAACUAAUAGGUAUCCAAGCACCGUUGUUGAUUGCAAGAAAGUCGAUGGGUUGGUUUGAUUUAAAGUUGCAUGAUGUAGUCGAUUUAUUCUUUUUAAGCCAAAAAAAAAAAGUUAGUUUCAAUUCUAGUUACCAUCAUGAAACAGUACAGUAGGCGAAAUUGAUUGUAGAAAACAAAUUUUAAGAAGUCCAUCUUUACUUGUUGCUCUGUUAUUGUAUAGAUCUAUAUUCAUCCAUAUUAAAUCAUAUAAUUGAAAUGUAGAUAAGCUUUAAAUGGUGAUUUUGAUUGUUCUUAAUUAGUAGAGCACAAAGUAUGCCUCUUUUUUCAGAACUUUAUGUUUAUUUUGCCAGGGAAUAAAAAUCACAAGAACUUGAGUAUACUGUCUUGUAUUCAACUCUUGCAAAAGUGGCCUGUUUUUUGAUUAAUAUAUUCCCUUUAGAAGAUGGAGGAAAGUUAUAUUUGAAAUUAGUGACAAGCAGCUGCCGCAAUAGAUAUAGUCUAAACGGCCAAAGAUAUGAAGUGUUUACGCUGGUGGAGGAUAUAAGCAACUCAAAACUGUUGUUUCAUAUGUGCUCCUCCUUCUGUCUUGUUGUUAAGAAUGACAAUCAUGUAAGUGAUAGAAUUAGAUGAUAAGGAAUGGAUCAGUCUUCAAUGCCAUGGUGCACUUUUGUAUGGAAUUGAUGGACCUUUGCUCACAAGUGUAAAGUUUUAAAUUAUUGAUAUAACUCAAAUAUAUAGUUUUGAGGGGAAAAAUUCCCCAAGGAAGGGGGAAUUCAGUCCCGUUUCGCAAGUGAGUUCUUUUGGUAUUUAUUUAAAACUUUAUUGUAGAAGUUUUUUAAAAAAAUUUUCGAAGUGUGUUUUUUUUUUUUUUGAAAUAUAUAGUUUAAAAUUUUUUUGGAGUAACUGUAGCUAAAGGUUAUAAAAAACUUGUAGCAUACAAACUUGGUAAAAAAAUGUCUGCCAAACAAGGCCAAAUUUGGCAGAGAAGACAAAACACGUCCAAGCCCAAAUUGAGAACUGGGCCGAAUUUGUUAGUAGCCAUGGGAUUUAACUAAAUGCAGCAGGCCCAUCAAGAGGCCCAUUUAGUCACCCAAUAUUCCACACUGCAGUACUUAAUUUUUUUCCCCAUACUGCAGUAUUAAUCAUAGGGUUUCUGUUUCGUGCCUUUCUCAAUUUGGGGAUUUAUUUUUAUAGCAUAACGCAUCUCGUGUGAAAAGUAGUAACAAUGUUCUGGACGCAUGCAUGCUUGUUGGGAUCAGCGCUAACAGAUUGCAAUCAUGACGAUAGUCAGCUUGGAAAAGUUCUUGCCGUCUCCCAUUUAGAACACUGGAGCCAGCCAGCCCCGCCUGAAGGAGUGCCGAACAGUACCAGCAAAUGAGCAGAAAACAAUGGGCAGCGAAGUUGGAUGCCGAAUUUGAUGCAAUCGGCAGAGGCAUGCUCCAGUUCUAUACUUAUUUUACACCACAAAUGAUCGCACCCACCAGUAAGCAAAGACUAAUCCGAAUUAGUCUCUACCUUUUAUUCGAUCUGGUUCAGAACUUUUUAAGAUAUCAUUAAUUAGGAUUCAGCUUGACUCUUAUUCGGUGAUGAAGAUUUGAUCUAAAGCCUUUCAAGAAGGUCACGAGCAAGAAUCGAACUUACAACCUUUGGUUAGUACUAACAACAAUUCGCUUAUCUAACUGUCCCAAACUCAAGUUGGACUCAUAAGUGUUUUUUUUUUUUUUGGUAAUAAGACUCAUAAGUGUUUAAUCAAGCGUUUGAGAAGCGGUAGUCCACUCUGUUUUCUCUUCUCUUUCAUACCGGAAAAAACAAAAAUGGUCGUUGUCAGCGUACUAACGUGGUACGACUGCCAACGCUUGUACGGAGCAGGGAUAAGAUAAGACCGUGUUUGUUUCAGAUUUGACAUCCUUGAUUUAAAAGUUUUUUUUUCCGUCUUUUGUGAGAAAAAUAGCAUAAAAAUCCCAAUCCCAGAGAUCCACAGAUCUGGCUGCCAAAAUAAUACACUAUAAUAAUAAGCCUCACAAUCCAAACGCGUAUGAUCGCGUGGGUGAAUCUGGAGAGCCGUCGGAGGCAAAAGCAUCCGACUUUUUCUGCCGGAUUACAACGCUGUCGUUUAUUGCCGAUUCACUUUCUUUCCUGUUUCAUGUGCAGCGCUCGAAUUGGACUAUAUGUUUUGAUAGCAAUUUGUCGGUUUUUUUUUUUUUUUUUUGUUUGGGGGGGGGGGGUUGCAUCAUAAGCACUUUGUAGACAAUUUUUAUUCUUUUUAAACAUUAUUGUUUUGCAUUUAUUAGUGAUAAUUUCAUGAUACGAUGUACAAACUAAUUUAAUAAAAGUAUAAAUUAAAAUAAUUAAUGCAAAUACUAAAACAAUAACAUGCAAAUAUAUUAUAAUUUCUUUAAUUUGUUGGAAAUUUAUGCUCCAAAUUCAACCCUCACCUAUCCAAUUUCAAAAUUUAACCAUCUCGUGGCUUUAAUUGUUCUCCGGUCCAAAUUGUGAUUGCCGCAAGAUUUUGAAAUCUAGACCGUUCGUUGACCCAAGAAAAUGAUUGGAUCAAAGGUCAUUGAUUCAACGUUAUUAGUCCGUAACAUCAUUCGUUACAUCAUAAAUAUUAUUAAUAAAUAUUAAACAUCUAAAAAUAUGCAAAUAUUUGCAAAGCUUCAAUAACAAUGUUGAAAGAGUCACUUCAAUCCUCAUUAUAAUCAUUGUGGAAGGGGGGAGAGAGAGAGAGAGAGAGAGAUAGAUAGAAGUAGGAAUGAGGUAGUAAUUACUAUUACCUGACUAAUUAGUAAGGUUUAAUUUUGGAAUAUCAUGGAACGAGUUUUAUCCAAACUAGUCUUUGAGGCUCACCCAAACGGAAAACAGGCGAGUCGACGAUUUUUAAUCCGGGCUAAAUUUUAAGUCAUUGGAUUGCAGAGACACUGACUGGAUUCCUGAGAAGCACGACGUUACUGCGGCAGCAUUCGUCAGCGCUGACGAAGUAUAGCCCAACCGUGGCUUGUCCACGAGACAGAAGGUUUAUUGCAUCAAAGACGACGACAAAAGAUUUCAUUAUUUCAAGGCAGACAGAAAAGCAAAUCCAGUUAAAGCAAUUUUUUUUUCCUAUUCUUAUAAAAGGGAAAUAACACACACACACACACACACACACACUGUCACACAGAGAGAGAAAAGCAAGAAUUAAAUUAAUUAGCUUCCGAUUAUGGAUAAAAGCUUUGCUUGAGCAGACAAAACAACAUCUAGGUUGAUUUGGGCUUUAUUUCCCAAAAGAAUCAAUAUCCUAAUAAAACUUUUCUUUUUUUUUUUUGGUUGGAAUCUUCUAGAUGCCACAUUUGAAAACCAGCAUUCGAAUUUCGUUCUCGAGUCUUCUUGACCAUUUUGCUAGCUACGUCUAUGGUCCAGUACUGGACCACUGUGGAGAGAAUUAGUUCCAAUAAAUCCAAAAUAUUGUGCACGGAACGCACCUCGAAAAGCCCAGAAUGAUAAAAAGCAAGGCUUGAUGGUAAAACUAAGCCGCGGUAAAACUAAGCGCGAGAGAAAUAAAGCAACUGAAACUCCGAACUGUGGUUUUUCAAAUUCUGAGCUUUUUAUAGUAAAAUUUUCAUAUUUCACGCCCAUAACAAAGUCGGUCUAUUUGAGUAAAUUCUUUGUAUGAUAUUGAAGUUGAAUUUUAUCUAUUGCCGAGUUUUUUGGCUCAAAUAUAUGAUUUUUACAUGCUAAUUGCCUUCAAUGCUAUGAAGGGUUUUAUUUGUAAAAAUUGUUUAAAAAAUAGUAUUUGCUUUUGUUGUCUCUCUCUACUAUAGAAGUGACUAUUGACUGUAAUAUAAAAUCUUAUUAAUUUUCAUCUCCUCAAUUUUAAGAUAGUUCCAAUUUAGUACUUUUUUUCUUGGUUCGUAAAAUCUUCAUUUUGUAUAUAGCCUAAGAGCAUUAAAGGCACUAAAAUAACAUCUCUCCUCAAAUAUGAAUUUUUUAUAUUACUUUUGGUUAGAAAGGUGACAAAUGUUAUCAAAAUGUCAAUUAGAGGGGUGCUAAGUGAGAUUUGAAAAUCUCAAGGGAGCUAAGUGAUAUUUCAUAAAAUAUCAGGGAAGGUUUCUGAAAUUAUCCAAUUCAUUUUGCAACUAAAAUCUCACGGUAUCUCCCCUGACUUCUUCCUUAGCUCAGCGCGUAAGACUAUUUGAACUCCACGGCUUACAGGCUGGUUCCGAUGGUUUUCCUCAAAAAGGGGAAAGCCGGCUCCUGCGAAAUAUCUCAUUGACACUUGAUAGGAAAUGGAUGUUUCUCGUUUUACCUGGCUUCGUCAAGCCAAACAUGUAGACCUAUUUGAAUUGCUAUUUUUUUUCAAGUUUUUACAGAAAAAUAUAUUGUAAUAAUUUGAUAGAUAUAAAAUAAAAUGAUUAAUAAAUAAUGUGUUCAUGAAAAAUGUAAAUUCUACAGAAAAAAUGGUAAUUCAAACAAGACAAUUAUCCAUGUGUGUUUCAUAUAAUAUGAGGAUACGGAGGGAAUUGAAGACAAUAAUACACUGAGAGAGUGGAAGUUCCAUUAAAUUUCUAAUUUUGUUGUUAAUCUCUUUAUUUUAUUGUCUCCACGUUUGUGUGAAUCAUUUAAAGUGAGAAACCAAUAAUGGUCCAAAUCAUGAUUAACCUUUCUCCAAAUUCUCCGGGUCAUGUUCUUUUAUGUUUUUUUUUUCUCUCGCAUGAUAAAAUUUAAAAAAAAAAGGAACGCUUUUUUGGGAUAAAAAGUAAAUUUUAUUAAUGGAUUGUUGAAAAUCAUUCAACACGAUUUGAUUUAUAUUAAUGCCUUAAUAAUAGGUCAAAUGUGCACUAAAAAAUUACAGAUUUGCAAUUUAACAGAUACAAUACAUCUAAAAAAUUAUGGAAAGAUUUGAAAAAUACAAGAAAUUUUACAAUUUAUCAAAUGUAAUAGACUUGAAAAUUACAAACAAAUCUGAAAAAUAUAAAAGAGAGAGAGAGAGAGAGAGAGAGAACAUUGUAAAGCAUGAUGUGAUGAAAUUGUUGAAGGCUAAAGUCACUGCCCGUUUUGAUCGAGUCUCAGAGUUUACCCCGGCUAAACAUUAAUGGAUACACAUAUUGAAUGCCACUUGGGGAGAAAAAGAAAAAGGAAAAGAAGAAAAAGCAAAUGGAGCAUCGAUGGAUUGUGAUGUAUUGACAAACAUUUUCUUUUAUUUUUCGGUCAAUUCCCAAAGCAGGUGGGAAUUUGGAUAAUAUUUAUUACUCAAGCAGAAGAUUCAAAGCACGAAUAUAACGUGCGUACAGAAUUGAAACUUCCAUGGCAGCAACACGGCCACGACGCCACUGUAGCAGAAUUUGCUGAGAUUUCUUAUGCUCCGUCCGUCUAAUGCCUGCUGUUAUUUUCCCUUAUGCAGAGCCGCCGAUUAAUCAGAGUCCUACGCAAUUUCGGGCUGAGAUAGCAGCGUCUGGGCAUUAUGUGAGGUGUCAAAAAGAGUACUUGGCCGUAUGAAAGGACCAAUUCCUUCCAAGACGAUGGAUGGAUGGAUGUUGACGGGGUUCUUAAUCUUAAGUCUUAACACCAACCUCUUCCUAGCAAUCCACAUGGGCUACUCCUGCCCAGGCGCCUGUCUCUACGGCUCAAAUUAAUCACUUCAAAUUGUGGAUUUUCUACAUCAACGUUUUCACAGAUUACAGAACACGUUUAAGGGUUGAUGUGAUAAAAUUUGGCAGUACCCGUUGCAACUUGCAACUGAGUUUUGCGAAGGCUGAGUUGUAGUACUAAGCUGUACAAUUUUGUAGAAUUGACGUGCGAACAUCCUAGUUAAUAUGCAACAUGAAAAAGUAGGUAUCAGUUUUGUCAGUAUUAAUUAAUACUUGCUAUCAGUAGGAUUUAAGUGCGGAACAAACAACUAUUGACAUAUCAAGUAUAAAAUAAUUUAAUGAUAAACAAGUCACAGGUAUGAAAGAUAAACGACACACAAUAUUUAAUUAACGGUGAAAAAGCUGUUCUUUAUUAUGAGAGAAAAAUCCUAUAUAAAAAUACAAUUUAAACCCAAACCCAACCUUAUAUACCAUCUCUCAUCUCUCAAAAAUUAAAAUCCUCUCUCACCACUCAUGUCGUCUCUUGUGUGUCCCUUAUGUAGCAUGACAACCCACCUCACCUAUUUAUAGAGAACAUUAUCUGGUCAAAAAACCAAAUAACAGUAGGAAACCAAUUCUAAUUUCUAGACUUGCAUAGAAUAGGAAAUAAUUUUAAAUCCUAAACAAAAUAAGAAAUUUCUUAACUACUAUUUCAAGUAACUAAAACCAAUUAGGAAAUUAGUUACUUACACACGAGAUAAGAAACAUGCUUAAAAAAAUUAACCUAACAUGUUUAUAUAUGCUAAUUGUAACCUUGUUGUAUGUCAGUUACAUUUGCAUCUGUUGAUCAAUGCUCUUGACUAGAAUCACAGGAUACAAGCAAGCGUCUCCAUCUUUAACAACUAUUAGUAGUGUAGUUGUUUUGGUCCUUUUGGAGGAUUUCAUACAACCAAUUCUAGAAAUGGAAAAUAAUGCACAAAAUGGACUUUGGAAAAGAAAGAAAAGAAAACGAUAGCUAUUAGUAGGGCACUUUUUUUGUACAAAAAAAAGUUUAGAAGACGAAUAUUAAUGGUUUGGUAUAAAGUUAACAAAAAGAAAAAAAAUUUAUCACUACUAUUUACUACUAUAGCAUAAGAAACUUUUGUGAUGAUGAAUUGAUGACAAUUACUACGCUCAGGACAAAGAAAAGAAAAAUCUCAAAACGGAUACGCACGCCACUGUUGAAACUUGAAAGUAGUAAAGUACCAUCCUCCAACCAAUAAAUGAAAACGGACACAAAAUCAAAAUAAAAAAAAAAUCCUUAGUAUUUCUAACUUUGUAGGUCGCAAAAGAAAAAGAUUUAUUUGGGGAGUCAUAGACAGCUGGAUUUUUUUGUUUUUGGUAAAAUAGACAUCUGAAUAAAUCUGGUGUUUUCCUAAAAAAAUUUUUUUUUAUGCUAUUGACUUUUUUGGUUUUUAAAUAGAAUUAUACACCAUACCGGUAUAAAGGGCUCUGUUUUUUUUUUUUUUUUUCCCUUUUUUUUUGGGGGGGGGUGGGGGGGCGUGUGGUUAUAUAAAUAGCUGUCUCCAAUACGUUUCACCUUGGUCGAGCCAGAGCAGUAUCCAUCACCACUUAAAUUUGUCCCUGACCACCUCUCCGUUUCGGCCUCCAUAUCCAUCCCUCCAUCCAUCAUAAAUAUUUAUUCUAAAAUAUAUAUUCUUCCAGAAUUCUCCUUUUCCAGUUCUAGGCAACCUCUUCUGUUUUCCUUAAUUUCAUUUCUCUCUUUGAAAAUUUCCGUUCUUGUAUGGCAGUUAAUUUCUUGAACAAUCGAGAGGUAUCAGACCUUUGCUAGGAAAACCUCCUCUCAAGUGGUCCCCAUCGGCGCUACUGUUGCGGAGGCAUUGUCGGCGUUGAAGAAAUCGGGGGAGAGCCAUGUGAGCGUCUGGUCCUGCUGCUCCGACCACCAUUCUUCUUCCAAGAUCAAAUCUUUUGACAAUAAUAACGCUGUUAUUGUGGAUUCUCCAGCUUGCAAGUGUGUGGGGAAGAUUUGCAUGGUGGAUGUCAUUUGUUUUCUUUGUAAAGAAGAAAACUUGGCAGAUCCUUUCAAGGCUUUAGAGGCUUCUAUCUCUCAGAUUUUGCUCAAAGCCCCUCCUCUGUCAGUCAGGCAUUUGGAGCCAAAUUCAAGGUUUACCAAUGUUUUUUUUUUUUUUCAAAUUUUGUCAUCUGGGUUUUGUUUUUUCAUGAAAAAUAUUGGUGGGAAAUUUUUGUUAAGAUUUGUUUUCAACAAUUAAGGGAGAAAGAAAUCUAAUACAUGUUAUCCACCCCCCCCCCCUCUUUUCUCUGAAUCUGAGAUUUUUUUUUUAAUUUCUUAUUGCUGUUCUUUUCCUCCGUAUGCUUUCUUCUGUGGUUGCGAUGGAAAUUUUGUUGUAUGCUAUGUUUGCUGGUAUGAGCUGUGAGUUAAAUUUUCAUGUUGAUUUUUUUGUUCUUUGAAAUGUUAGAGAUAUUCAUUACAUGCUUUUGGGAAAUUUGACGGGGUUAAAACAAAUCAUGUGAUGCAAGGAAAUUUAUGUAGAUGAAAGAUAAAAUUCAAAGAAGUUAGGUAACAGUAUUUGAAUGGGGUCGUUGCUCAUCAUUAUUUUGUUUGAUUUGGCAAUUCCUUCAGUUUGGAAUUUUACCUGUUGUAGGAGAAUCUAUCUAGUUUGUGGAAAAAAGACAAUAAGACAAGGAUAAGAAAAAUGUACAGUGAAAAGGUGCUCUGAAUUUAGGGGAAAGUUGUAGCAUGAAGUGACAAUAAAGGUCCGCUUCAUCAGAAAAAAGGCAACUUUAUUUAUGUAAGUCAAGUAAACGGAGACGCAUGUUGUCUUAGUCUCCUUUGCCGUCUUCUUUUACACCAGGACAAAUCAAAUUUUGGGUUUUAGUUUUAAAAAACAAAAAAAUGCGUAAGUUAAAGUUUUUAUUUGGCUUUUGAAAAAAAUUCUUUAUAAUUCGGUACACUUUCCUAAUGAUGUUUGACGCUGUCUUAUCUCGAAAUUCUGUUCUGCAACUGCAUGAUUCUGUUACAAUUCCUUUAAUUUAUUCUGGAUGAUUCAACUUCUGGACUAGUAUUUGAAUACUAUGAUUCUUCAUGAACGAGUCCAUUUUGGUUAGUUGUUGACAGUGGUUAAGAAAGAAAGGCAACUGAAGUUUCAUUUUGUGUGAACUUUCUUUCUUUAAUGAUACUUCAUAUUGUCUUUUCUGACGAUUUUGACUUGCAACUACCUGAUCCUAUGCUUCUGGACUAGUAUUUGAACAAAUCCAUUUUCCAUAAAUCUGUCGAUUUUGGCUGGUAAUUUUACUGAUUGAUUCCUUGACUUACAGCUUGUUGCAAGCAUUGGAUUACAUACUUGAUGGUACACAGAACCUGGUUAUACCGAUUGAAAGCUAUGCAACCAGGAAUUCAAGAAAGAAGUUCCUGGGUAAACCAGCUCCUUUCAGCAGCACACUCCACAAUGGCCGUGAAUACUGCUGGAUAACACAGGAAGAUGUAGUCCGCUUCAUUCUCAACUCCAUCGGAGUUUUCUCCCCAAUCCCAACUUUCACAAUUGAAUCACUAAACAUGAUUGAUCAUGACAUAAUGACUGUUCACUAUGAUGAACCUGCCUCUUCUGCAUUGGCCUUAAUUUCUCGCUCGCUCGUGGAGCAGACUUCUGUUGCUGUCAUCGAUGAAAAUAACAGAUUGAUAGGCGAAAUAUCACCCUCCACUCUUGCAUUCUGUGAUGAAACUGUUGCUGCGGCAAUUACAACCCUUUCAGCAGGUGAUCUCUUGGCAUACAUUGAUUGUUGUGGUCCUUCGGAGGAACUGGUCCAGCUAGUCAGAACGAGGUUGGAAGGAAAAAAUCUUGAGGCUAUGUUGGAUCUAUUGGAGGAAUAUUCUCUCUCAUCAUCGUCGUCAUCAUCAGCAUCUUCGAGCUGUUCUUCUGAUGAUGAGUCUGCAUCAAUCAAGUAUGGCGGAUCCGGUAGGUAUUCACCUGCGAGGAGGUCAGAGGCAAUUGUUUGCUAUCCGUGGAGUUCACUUGUGGCUGUAAUGAUUCAAGCCCUUGCACACCGUGUGAGCUGUGUCUGGGUUGCGGAAGCGGACCACACCUUGGUUGGGAUUGUUACAUUUGAAGGCAUGCUUAAAGUUUUCCGGAGCAUUGCCGGCGGCAUUAAGUAGGGACGUAGAGGUUAGUCAUGCAGUAACGAACAAGAAGCCAGGACAAUGUGUUCAAGCCAUAUUUACUUUGUUGAAAGGAAUAUUUACAAUGUCUUGAAAAUUUUUCAGAAUUUUUAAUAUGAAGUUGACUUGUGCAUGAGUUUGUGCGUACAUAUAUAUAUGUAUGUAUUUCCUUCUUGUUGAGGUAAAAAGAUUCAUUGAGGGAGUUGCUCCUCUCAUGACAAACUCUGGAAGAAUCAAACAACAAUUGCUGUACUUCACAAUACUCUUUCUCUCUCCGGAGAAACAUAAAAAUGAAAAUUUUGCGUCUAAAAGUUUCUACUGCAAAUUCCUGACUACGUGAUUGCCGAGACGGGAAGAAAGAGAUAUCGAGUACUAAUCAGGCCCCGGAGGCCACUUUUUGCCGCUGUAAAAGCAUUUACAAAAUGCAACUGAUCUUAUUGGCUUUUCUGGUAGAAGAUUUUGGUUAGUUUAUGUAGAAGCUAUUUUAGGUAAACGAACAAAUAGCUUUAUUUAUCGAGAAGUAGAGAUAGCCUGCAGGAUGUAAGAAAACCUAGAACAGAAAAUGAAGCCUACAAUUUCUCCAAAAGCAUUAUUGGAUUCCUACACCAAAAGAGGCAUCAACAAAGCGAAGCAAAAAGGUACAUGCGAUUGCGCACGUCCAAAUAGCGCACAGCUUCUGAAACGUAUCCUUUUGCACACCCUUCUUUCGUCUCUGGACCGGCAACGUAUAAUUUUCAGUCACUUUCCCUAAACCACUUCGUAUUUCCAUUUCUUGAUAGAUUCCUGUAUAUAUACAUGAUGACAACAGAGCUCGGUCAGUUAAUUUCGCAGAAAGUGUUGCGAAAAAUAUGCAAAUGAAAGUGGAAAAGAGGACCAGAAAAGAAAGAAUUUGCAAUUCAGUAUAAUAAAAGAUAUGUAUAAUCUCAUCAAAUUGUCUCUGAGAAAUUCUCAAUGGUUUGAAACCAGCAGCUCUUCUGCUUUCACUAUUAAUUUUCGGAGGGGAGCCAAGAGCAAGUGAAAGAAAUUGCAUAUGCUUUAUGUAAAACAAAGAGUCGAGAUUAUUUCAAUUGAGAAUUAUGCACCAUUGAGACAUAUCUACGUUCCUGACCUGUUGAAGUUUUCAACAAGGAAGCAUUUUGCACGAACUCACAUGUGGCUUCACCUCUCUUUGCUUCGGCCUAAUUAUCAAGUCGGAGAACAAGAAGAAUUUAGGAUUUUCAUUUAUUAACAGUUGACAAAAUAAACAACAGUGUCUUUUGCAAGAAAAAGUACCUGGAUGAAUUUAUUAUUGCAUAAGAGUUUUACAGCAUCACUAGUCAUACCAAUAUUUCAGCUCUGAUACACAUGAAGACAGAGCUUCCCGUACUUGGACAUUUUCAGAAUCAAAGUCCAGUGCAUCUUCAUAAAGCCUUCUAGCUUGCUGCAACAACUUCACCUUCUCUUUGCUUUUUCUUGGCCGCAAACGAGAUCUUUGCUGUAAUGCAGCCCCCCAUCUGAAAAGAGCUGCAAUGCAUCCAUUUUGAUUGAGAAACAAGUUUGACAACUUCUGCUUGAAUUACAGAUUGUGAUUUUCCAAACCGUAAAUGGUAUAUAAGAAGAUUAGAACUUCAGAACGCAUCAAAAAUUUCUUUCACUAAUGCAUGUCCACCAUAUAUGAUGCCAGUCAUCCUAUUCAUAGAUUUUCAGGUCUACAUGUUUUGAUAGCAGUAUCACUGGGAAUGUAAAAAGCAUAAAUUGAAUAUUUGAUCUUAUAUCCAACAGGUCUUAUCACCAUUCCAUCAAACAAUAUAAAGAUGGCAGGGAGUUUAUCAUAUACCAUCUGGUGCAUGGAUAUUGCUCUUAGACAUCAUAGCAUCAAAUUUAUCAAUUGCUGCUAGGAAUACCUCAUCUGCAUCACGAGCAGCACCCUGAAAUUUGCAUAAUGCAGUCAAGUGCAGUAUAAGUGAGUGAGUGAUAGUGAUAUUUCGUGAAUCAUUAAACAAGCUGCUGUCCAGGUAACCACUGGGGUUGGCCCAUGGCCAAGGAGGGCGCUUAGAGUCUUCCCUGCUGUCAGGUACAGGGUUUGAAUCUUAUGGCUGAUAGUUGGGGGUGGGAAGGGUGUGAGGAGGGGUAGGAGAGUUAAAAAAAUUCUGCUGUCCAGGUGAAAGCACCUGGCAUGAUUAAAAAGGAAGUAAUUGAAGCACUUUGAACUAGAAAAGCCAACUUUGGCAAGGGUUUUUGCUUACUGGUCCAACAUCGGCAAGUAAUUGUGCUCGGAAGAAAAGAGCAAGUCCCCAGUUGUACAUGGCUCUCACAUCAUUUCCAUCAAUUGACAAGGCUAAUCUAUAUUUUCUUCCAGCAUUAAUGAGCAGUUCUUCACACUCUUCACAAACAUCUGCAAGAAUUGAUGAAAUCUUGUAAUUCCUGGAAACUAGAUCCUCUGCCGUGUCCCAUUUAUCACUGAUGCUUCAUUUCCAGUGAGCAGAGCUCUCAACUGGCGGCUGAGCCUCAAUUUUAGCUCUCCAUGAAGAAGAUAUGUGUUUCCCAGCUGGCCUACUGCUAAUAAGCUCAUUGGCCUUAUGUUUAAAGCUUGCAACAGCAAUUCUGCAGACUUACAUAAAAAUUUCUCUGCAGCUUCAUCAUCACCUUGCAGCACCAAACAUUCUUUAGCUUCUUUUAGAAGAACAUUAGCUUCUGCAAGGCACUACUGAACUCCAUAUCUUCUGAAGCCACUGUAUAUUCAUCCAUAGUCUGGGAAUGUCGAGUAUCAGAAAUCACACUCUCGCCUCUGAUAAACGAUCCAUAAUCCUCAUUUUCACCUCUUUUGACACUGUCAAAAUCCUCAAAAUUCCCUGCCAGAUUAUCCAUUUUCUCUUCUUGCCCAAAUGAUGUCUUAGUUUUCCUAUGCUUAAGGCUUACCCUGAAGUCCAUAGAUUCAAGUGAACGAUCAUGAGAUGACCAUCUUUCAACUUCCCAGCAUGACUUUGCUUCCAAGAGACUUCUUGGUUGCUCAUACAGUCUAACCUCCUUUUCUGGUAAGUAUACUUAUUACUCUUAAGCACUUCUUUAACGGCAUCACGCGUCUCUGCAUAUUUCAAAUACUCAUUUUCGGCGACCACAUUCAUUCUCCUAGCACCAUUAACCAAGUUAUUAGCUUUACCCCGAUUUAUAUUAUGAUAUUGAUAAGUUGGUCCACGCAAACCCUCGUUCUCAUUUUCAGCACUUCUAUUGUAUAAUGAUUUUGAAGUUCUUUGUUCAACUGAAGAAGCUAAAAUGUUGCCUUGUUCGCGAUGAUUUACCUCCACAUUUUUUAGUUCCCUCUUGCUCAAAUCUCUCAUUUUAAUAGGCUUUGGGAUUUUGGGCCUCUCCUGAAACAAAUUCACAAAAAAUUGGCCGAAACUAAAGCCAUUAUCACCUACCUCUUUCUUUUUCCUACUUGAUUUUUGACUUAAAUCUCUCUCCGUAUCUUGAUCCUCCGCUAAUAUAUUGCCGAUACAAUCUUCAGCAACACUUUUGGCAUCCAAAGCAUCUAAGUUAAUUGAUUCCAAAUUUUUCAGAAAAGUUCCUAAAUCAUUCAAGCUAACUUGAUUGCAAUCAAUACAAUCCUUAAUACCGUUCUUCAAACUUACAAACUUAGCAUCAAACCCACUUAACAAAUCUACCAAGUCCCUCAUUUUUCCAAUAGAUUCCUUUGAGUUCUGAUCUUUAGGCCUUUUCUUAGCUCCACUGAAGCUGAUAUGACCCCCAUUAGAAAACCCAACUGAGAACCCAACAGCAAAAACAAUAGCGCAAGCUGGAAAACCGAUUAUUGAAGAAACUUUUACUCUAGAAAUUGCCAAAGCACAGAUAAAUCCCAAAAGGUAUACAAAAACAUAGUACUUCUUAUCACCAAAUCCAAGAAAACUUCGGAGCUGAUCAUACCACUUGAGUGGCCAAAGUUGCCACCGAGCUGAGGAUGGUCCCACCCACCGUAGUAAUCCACUGAGGCAGAAGCUGCAUUGGAGCAAAAUGGAAUCAUCUUGGUGGUGAAAGAACAUUUUCUUGGCGAUAAAUUGAUAAAGUUCAGAUUUUUCUGGCCAAGUGGUGAAGGAUGAAAAAUGAAAUUUCGAGUUGAGAAUUGAGGAUCCAAUUGGAGAACAAGUCUUCUCGCGAUUAAGAUAUUCAUUUUGGGGCAAACUGAUUACAUACGAUUCGAGUAUGAACUAUGAAGAGGCUCUCGUAUUACAUGAGCAGAUUGAAGCAUCUCGUCAGCCUUUCCAGGUUUAAUCCAGCCAUUUGAUUAUUUCUGUUGAUCUUUCAACCUUUUUUUUCUUUUUUUUAAUUUUGCCUUUCUUCUUUCGGAUGUGGGGCUGGCAAUUUGAUGGAUCAAAACCUGGGCACAUGUCAGGGCCAAAUGGAUAGAAAAAAGUGGUUCCGCAAAUUCCUAUUUCAUAAGCCUCUGUGAAACUUCGGCUCAAUUCAAUUCAUUUUUAUCUAAGGAUACAAAAAAGAGGCCCAUUCAAUGCUGUUGUGGAUUACAAUCUGCAAGUGCAAAAGGGAUUUCGGGCCUGGAUCAACUCUUAUCAACGUCCGAUAAAAUUUGUGGUUCAGAGAAGAUUGCGUGAGGAUUUUGUUGAGACUUAAUUGUACCAAUUGCUAGAAAAGUAUGCUUUAGAUUGUCAAGUUACAAAUGGUUGGUUACCAAGAUAUGAUGGUGAGUUAGUAAAUAUAGAGAAAAAGACAAAAAGAAACUUGCAAUCAAGAUUUUUGAAGAAAAUAUUUAGUUUGACAAUGCCUAGACUAAUUUCUACCUAUUCUUCUUUGCAUCUAUUCUUUGAUAUCUUUGUAUGUUUAAUGAUGUAACUUUUGUCAUUAGCGCAAAUUAUAAAAAAAAUAUGAUGUUUUAUUUGUCUUUCAUAUCCGGUCAGAACAUAAGUAAUUCCUUUAAAAUCAGAUGACAGUUCUAAAAAGAUGUACUUCUGCAACCCAAAAAAAAAAAAACACCCGUGGGUUUGUUUGGAUAGUGUAUUAUUUGAAAUAAUUACUGUAACACUUUUUGUGAUAUGAUGCAUGUGAGAUAAAAAGGUGAUUGUGAAUAUAAAAAAGUAGGUUGGGAAAUGUGUUUGUGAUGCAAGCGAAAUAUUAUUUAAAAUAAUUUUGGUAUCCAAACACUCCCGGUCCAUAAUUGGCAAUUGUCAAGUAGCAUCCAAUAUCGGCAAGGCCUCAACAACAAGAAGCAUAGGUCUCGAUUGGUGUAGACAACUCACCAAAAAUGGAAGGGUCGGAUUUUCCCACACCUCAACUUUUUUCUUGAAAGUAAUGGACGUGGCUGCAAGGUCUAAAAAUCAUACUACUAUCAAUCAAAUGUUGAUGAAUUAGAGCAGACAUCUAAUUUUUGGCGUUGUCAAAAAAAAAACCCUAUAAUUGACCUGAAACAUAUAAGAUUAGAAAUGUCUAGUUUACCUAAUCCAUUGAUGGGUCUAACUCUAAGGUUGUUGGCAAGCGGACUGGAUUGCAUUAGUUUCCGUACAAUGCCAUUUUGCAAUAGUUUUUCGUUUUCUAUUUUUCGCAUUUACGACCUAAACUUCAAUAGUAGAAAAUACUUUCUGUAUUGUCGCAAUCUUGACUAAUUCUAAUUGUAAUUCUAACACUUGUUUGGCUCACCGUGUUCCCAAUUACAAGAAUGUUCAUUUCAAUCUCUUGAGUUGAUCGGGAUAGUAAAAUUGAUGUCAUAUCUUCCUAUUAAUUCAGAUUCGAACAUUUCUUGAAACAUCUAUCCGUCACACAAAAUUUGUCUAAUGCGUUUUAUCUCUCCGUGUGUGAUCGGCAGGUUAUUGCACAAGGUGAGAUUUAUCGAGUACGUAAGUCGGUCAACGGGGGUGAGUUGCUAAGAAUAAAUGCAUGACACUGGUAUGAGCAUGACCGGCCAUCAAAAAGGGGGAAACAAUAAUAUAAGGAUUUUUCAGGGCCACUUUACAUUUAUAUUCUGCAAUUUGUCGGCAAAGCUGAGGCCUUGAUUCAUGAGCACCUUUUGGGUACUGCUGGGAAUAAGGACUUGAUAAUAAAUUAGUAAGUGUUAUUAACCAGGCCUCAUGAUUUUACUUGUCAAGAUUCAAAAAAGGGUUAAUUACAAAAUUACAGUACAACUGUAAUCGAAGGUGGUGUUUGGAUUGCAAUUCUCUAUCAAAAAAAUCUUUGCAUUUUCGGGAGUAUAUUUCUCAAUAACCUUUUUAUCUCACAUAGGAAUACACAUUUUCUCACCAAUUCCAGUACUUUUUCUAAAUAUAAAAAUCAUAUAAAAUAGCAAUCUAUUAUUACUGAAGUUCAUUCUUAUACGGGAGAAAUACUCAACCAACUUACCCACGUCCCACAGCGGCUCUUGUAUAAAAAACUACUCAAGAGAGCUACACCAAGUUUUUUGAUUAUCCUGACUUUGCAUGAGACAUCCACAAAUGACGCACAUCAUACUCUAAUGGAUUACGUGAAGACUUAAUUUUGUAUUUCUAAGCUAAGCGCCCUUUGGAGUUUGGCCUCUUCUGAGUUUUAGAGCUCAGAACCUCAAACAAGAGAGCCUUCUCCUUCAAGAGCAUCAGUAUGGUUUUGGUAAACGGAUAUGAUUGAUAAUUCAAGAGACAAUAAUAAUGUCAAAGUCGGAGUGAUUUGCAUUUAAACCUGUCAACGGAUCGGGUACGGGUCAAAAUUAAACAUUCUGGAUUCAGAUCCAUUUUAGUAUACAUGCUUUGGAUUUGGCUUCCCAAAUUCGAGCUCGAAAAGUCCGGAUGUGGGCCGAGUCGAAUUUUAUAAUAAAUAAAUAAAUAUAUUUUUUUAUAAUUAUUAGUUUAUUGUAUAACAAGUAUUAUUAUAUUAGUCAGUAUAUAUAUUAUUAUAAUAAUGAAUAUUAUUGUAUUAUUGUUUGUAUAAUAGUCAGUAGAUAUUAUUAUUAUUAUAAGUAUUAUUAUAUUAAUAAUUAUAUAUUUUUUAUAAUUAUUAUUUUAUUUAAACGAGUCCGUGUCCAAUAUGAAUCGGAAUGCAAUAUUCCAUAUUUGACCUGCUUUUUAAUUAGGAAGGAUGGAUCCGAAUUGGGGUCCGGAUAAACGGAAUAUUUUUAUUUGUACCUAAGAAAUAAAAUAAUUAGCGGAUCCGGGUUGGGUCACUAUCUAGACACGGACCUUCGAGACGCCUAUCGGCAAUGCAUUAGAAAACUGCCCGGUUGAAUUGGCGUCGUUAUCCUAUUCCUAAAUCGGGAAGUGGACGGAUCAAAGUUUGUACUGGUGGGAAGUAGAUGAGAGAUAUUAUUAUUAUUGGAAAUUCUCUGUCAACUGAGCUGGACAUCACCAUUCACCACCAAUGCAUAAUGCAUCUCCCGUGACACAGCUUCAAUUCUUGCCAAGCCUUCUUCUGGUUAGUGACCUGUCCGGCCUCUCUCCCCUUUCUCUCGCGGAUCUAAUUCUCGCUUCAUUCCUUCCUUCAUCUGACCCACCAAGCUCUCUCUUUUUUUUCCCUUCUUUAUUCCUAGUCUCCCCAUAAAUCAAUGCAUUCACAAAUUUCUCGCUCCUUCCUUUUUAUUUUACCCCUCUCUACCAUAAAACCUCCUCCAAUUUUUUCCAUGGACACCUAUUUGUCUGGGGGUAAACCACUAUAAGCAACCUUUUAGUGCACUUCUCACUUGGUAUGGGACAUGAAAAGUUAUCAAUGCAGCUGUGACUAAACAGUAUGACAUAACAUCUCGAUUGUAAUCCAUUGUUAAUUACUUCUAUAAUCUCGUAAAUUAUUACGUGUAAACUGUACGUGAACGCUGAGUGAAUAUUACAACUUGUUCAAAUAGUAUUAUAUUGUUCGGAAAUAACUGUAUUGUGUUAACAACUGCCGUUCUCGCCCUAUGCGCCUUUUAGCUAGUUUCGAAAACCCUCAAGAAUUUUCUCUAGAUUUUUUUUAUUUUAUUUUAAAGCAUUAGAUACUACUUACUAUAAGAUUAUUCAAAGUAAUACUCCUUCCGUCUCACCUUGAUGGUCAUGUUUCUUUUUUACACAGUUUAAGAAAAAGUAGUUAAUUUUAUUAGAAAAAUAAAUUUAGAUUAAAAUAUAACUACAUUCUUCAAUUGAAAAGUAGAUUACAAUUUGAGAUAGACAGAACUAACUAUCAAAGUGGUAUUAGUGACUUUUCAGCAUUUGCCAUUGUACCAGACCCUCAGUCAUGUGUAUCUACCAAAACAUUGCUGUAUAGCUGUCCAUCAAGCCAAUUUUUUUGUGUUAACACAACGACUGCAGCAGUAUCCGCUGACAAUAAUUCGCUUAUGGUGAUAUUGGUAUUGUAAUGAAUGGUGAUAUUGGUCUUUAUCUCUUAGCAGCGGGGCACCCUGUGGGGUUAAGUUCCCACAUCGCUUGGGGGGGUUUGGGGGGUUUAGUAGUUAAGUGCUGCGGAGCACUUCAAAAGUUGCCGGCUUUUGAAGUGUCUUCGCAGAGUCCAUUUAUCGAAACACUCAUACAAAAAACUGUGAGUUAUGAAAGGGGUAAUGAAUGGUGAUAUUGACGUUCCACCUUUCAAUUCAUGCACUGUUUUCUCACUGUGAAGAAUUUUAUAUACUUUUUCAGUUAAGAUAAGCACUGCCUUAAAUAAAUAAAAAAAAGGAGUUAAUUAGACUCAGAAAACUAGUACUGUCACUCUAUUUUUUUUUUGACUUGAAAUUGCAGAAUUAUGAGUAAGUAUACAUGUUAAUCUUAUCUAGAUCUAUCAUUGGGCCCCCUAAUAGCAUUAAUUUGACUUUCCAUUCGAGCUGAAUCGGGAAGAAAACAAAUUGUAGCAGGAUGAAGUUCUUGCAUUGAGGAGUUGGCUGGUUUUAAUCAUUCGGUAUUUGACAAAGGUGAAAGUGCCACGACGUACGUGAGUCAGGCUUGCCUUUGUGGACUAAAACUAAAAUAUUACUACUUACAAUGGUAAACCUAACAGAUGAGAAAAUGUUAGUACGUAAAUGAAUCUACCAUACAACUUUUUGUUUUCUUUUCUUUUCUUUCUUUCCUUUUUUUUUUAAAAAAAAAAAGUUUAAGAGAAACUUUAAAACGUUAAUGAACUAAGAAUUGGUCUUAAAAAAGUUUUAAACUUGCAGGAACUAGAUUUGAUUUUAAGAUUCUCAAAUUAUAUGUUCCAGAUAUCAAAGUUAUUAUCAACUAAUUAAAGUUUGUCGCUUGAUCCCAUAAUUACACUUUUCUACACAUCACGAAGAUUUUCUUGAAUGAAUACAGUAAUAGAGCAAGCACAGCCUUGAGUUAUAAUAAAUGCUCAGCUGCACCGCACCGGAGACAGAGUCCGUCUGCCUUGUGUUGCGGUGGCAGCAAGAACAUUGUAGCAGAAAUGUACAUAGCAGAGAGCCAAGUUGCAGAAAUUGUUCAUUUUUUGGAGGACCAUUGGUGUUCUUUAGCAUAGAAAAGUACGGCCAUUGGAGAUACUUCUUCAAAAUGCGGUAGAAAAAGAACCCACUCCUCGAGAUACUUCUUCAAAACAUUAUCGACUUAGCAGCCAUUGGAGGCCCGCCGGCCCCCAUUGGAUGGAGAUUUCUACCAAAAAACAAGAGUGCCGGACAGAAGAUAUUGACUUGUGUAGCAGUGUGUAAUGAGUUCUACCUUACUUUUAUUAGUUUCGUGCAACUGACAGUAACAGUUCUCUAACUCCGGUACUGAAGUUCUUAAAAAAAAUGAUUAGUUGGUCAUAUCCGACCGUGAUAUAGGUAAAAUUUGAUACCUUGCAUCCUUGUUUGAAAAGCCCUUUUUUUUCCCAAAAAAAUUUCUACAUUUUUUUCAUGAAAACAUCAUUUUCCAAUCACCAUUUUACCUUAUAUAUAUCGAAUCGUUACAGUACAUCUUUCUAUAAAAAUUUCAAAAAAUAGCAAUCCAAACUGGAUUUGGAUUGCAGUUGGCUUUGUGAUUUUUCGACCAUUUAUUCAUUUUCAUUUUUUUCAUGUAAAUAUGCUUUACGAUUCCUGCAUGCUUCCUUCCUUAGCAUGAAAAAGAUGUCAAGGACUAAACUUUUGAUUAAAAGAUCAUUUGCAUAGAUUAUGGACUAAUAUUGUAACCAAAGAGCAUGGAACAUUUUCUCAAAUUAUUCUAAGUAAUUAAUCUCAAGUUAUGUAAUAAUCAAGUAAAAGCAAUUAAGUCUUGGGGUAAUUAGAUUUAAAAAGGAGGGCAAGAAGUAGAGGAAAAAGGGGUGAAGGGUAAUGGGCAAGACUGCGUGGAGGGAAAGCUAGCAACCGAAAGCAGUGCAUGUCGUGGCAGACAAAAACAAAAAGAUAGCACACAAUCUCAGACUUAGAGAAAUCCUCAAAGACAGAGAAAGUGGAUAAGAGCAGCAGUAGUAUUAGCAGUGUCACCAGCAAAUGCACCAAGUUGAUUGAUCACUCACGGACGAGGGGUAGGAACGAUUGCUUCCUGCAAAAAUUAAAAAAAAAAAAAAGGUAAAUUUUAAAUUAUAUUUUGUACAUCAUUUUUUACAUCAUACAUGUGGUUCAAAAAAUUUUAUGUAAUAAUUAUAUGUUGUUAAAAGUAAAUUACAUUAUUGCAUGCGUACAAAAUUACAUGCUAUGCAUUUUGCUUAAAAUCGAUCCGAACUAUUUUCCUGAUAACCGUUCGCCCCGGUCUCUGAUCACUCACUCCUCUGUCCAUUUCUCCACUUGAGUGAAAAAGGGUUAAUGACACUUAACCCCGUAAAAUAUGUAAGAAUUUUCAAUUGAAUCUUAAUCUUUUGUCCUAGUUCAAAACAAUUUUUUUUUUUUUGUAAAAAAAAAAGGACCUUCAAAUGGUACAAACAAUAAUUCAAAAGAUGACGACAUCUUUCUUUAAGAGUAUGGGCCCAUAAAACCAUUUUAUCCUUUUCCAUAAUAGCACAAUAAUAAAUUUAAAAGUUGACAUCUUUUUUAACAUCAAAUUGUUUUGCUCACGCUCUAUAUGGAGAGAUAUUAUCGUACUAUCAGAUUAGGUUAGAGUUUCGUUGGUGAAAAUAAAUGCUAUAUUUAUAGACAUUCUAAACUCUGCAAGUGAUUAAAUCCUACUUUAAAACAAGAUCUUGUUCUAAAAAAUUUUAAUAGCAUUAAUACGUUUCACAAUUGAGUUUGUAACCAUUUUUUUCCCUUUAACCACAAUUACUUUGAAUUAUAUUGGGUUUUUUUGAUAAAUAGUAAUUAAUCUGCUCUAAAAAGUAAAAAUCUUUCAAUUAAUAAAUUGACCAUAUCAACAUUUGUAAUAUUUCGCUUGUAUCAUAAAUAUAUUUUCCAAUCCAUCUUUUUAUAAUUCUAACCACCUUUUUUCUCACAUACAUCAUAUCAUAUCGUAAAAAGUGCUAUUUACUCUUUUCCUUUUUCUUGAAGAGCUGAUUCAUUUUUCCUUCGUUUGCAAAAAAGGGAUGGCGUAUCCUGAUUGGAUUUUGGGUCUGAACUUUUCAAAAAGAAUGAAACAUGGAUGGUUCAAACAAGUCCUAAAACUUUUGAAAAGUUCUACUCAUCAUGUUUUGAUUAGAAUAAUCAAAAUUGACCAUCGUAAUUUUAACAAAUGUCAGGCCCAUCAUAUCAAAUUGAGUAAAAUUCUCGGUUAUUAAUUAUUGCGUCUCAUAGAUUAUAGAAUUAAUGGACCACCACAUGAAUUUUGUUAGUGAACACACGUAGCUAAAUGCCCUUGUUUGGAUUGCUUGUUUUUGUCGGAAAAUAUUAUCGUUUUCCGUGAUCACAUUUUUCUAUCACAUUUUUUCCUCAUAUAUAUCAAAUCGCUACAGUCAUUUUUUACGAAAAAUGCAAUCCAAACACAAUACAUUAAACCCUCAUUUUGCGAUCGUACAAAAAGUGAAUUCAACUCAUUUUUUUACAACUUCAAAUGAUGACGAGAUCACAUGUGAAUGCAUCCCAAUAUUCUACAAUGAUAUUAAUACAAAAAUUGAAAACCACCAAUGCAAUUUCUUAUCAUUAGAUUCAUUAACUAUUAAUAAACCACUUUCCUUAAAAAAAAAAAAUCCUAAUGUUAAUUACAUUCUCGACAUUUCCUAUCAUGCGUAGGUAGAUACAUUAAUCUUUCACAAUGUGCACUAAAAGUAUGAAUGCAAUCCUUUGACGUAAAUUCGUCUAAUUUCUAAAAUGAUAAAAUUUGACAUCGCAUUAUACGAACCUUUUUUUUUUCUUCCCAAAAUCUCAAGAUUAUGCAAAAAAAAAAAAAAAUUGCAAUCUCCCAAUACAACUUUUAUGAACACUAUGCAAUUCAAAAGUUGACAGAAGUGGACUUUGUAAUAAAAGAAAAAUAGCGAGAGGUGGAUUAAAUUACGCCAAACCUAGGCCUUGUUUGGAUUGCUUGUUUCCGUCGGAAAAUAUUUGCGUUUUCCGUGAUCACAUUUCUCUAUCACCUUUUUUCCUCACAUAUAUCAAAUCGCUACAGUAAUUUUUCCAUGAAAAAUGACGGAAAAUACAAUCCAAACACAACCUAACCUUUUUAUUUUUAUUCUCUAUAUUGAGGAUAGAAUAUACUAACAUAAGUAGCACAGUAAGUAAUUGCAUCAUUGCAUAGUACACCGACGACGAGAGAGAUGAGUUGGGUGUUACGGAGAAAACUGAAUUUAAAAAAAAAAAGAAGCACACUUUAGAUUUUGGUUGGAUUGUCAUUUUUUAAAAAAUUUUUACAUUUUUUUUCCAGCAUAUUUUUAACCUUUUUUUAUUACAUAUACAUCAAAUUAGUACCGCGUGUAUUUUUUGUAUAAGUUUCAAAAAAUAACCAUCUAAAAGGGGACUAAUUUUAUUUCUUCUCACAAUAUACUAUUAUUUGUUCAACAAAAAAACCUCCUUCCCCACAGGCACCUAGUCUUUGGAAAAUAUAAAGAGUUUGGAUUGAAAAUCUGAUCAAGUGACAAGAAUUUGUACACUAAUUUAUAAAAUUGCGCUGCAUCACUACUACCCAUUUGAAUACAACUUUCUCAAUAAGAAAUGCAUCAAUAAUACUACUUAUUCUCAUCUACCCCAUCCCUUUUUGUUACCGGCCGGUGUUUGGCUAACAAGGAGAAAACAACCCAAGUUCAUAAAAAAUGUAAUCACAUCCCAACAAAAUGUCCUUGACUACUUUACCAACAAAUCCAAUCAAUCAGAAAGGAGGAGGAGGAGGAGCAGCAGCAGCAAUAGAUGUUCCAGAUAACAAAAUCAGGAGGGAAUAUGCAGGAAAUGAACAAGGUCGGUCGGUUAGGUAAAGCCACUUUACGAGUAAGAUGCCUCUCCCUAAUAGUAGUAGGUAUUAAAAGACCGAACAGAAUAUUUGUCGGACAACCUGCAGGAUAUAAAUAUAAUGGCUUCCUCUUUAUUAAGUGUGGCUUCACUUCUUUAUUAAGCAUAUAAUACUAAUCAAAGUCCAACAUCAACAGCUGAUGAACGACAUGGAGUUGGAAUCCCUCCCAUUCCAUGUUAGUGAAUAAACAAUUCUCCACGUAUUUGAGUUCACACAUCAUUCUAUCCAACUAAUCGAGUCAAAAUCUUAGUGUAAACAUGCGGAAUCAUACUAUUAUUAUUUUUGGUUUGUAGAAUGAGCAGCCCCUGUCGCAACUGCAGCGUAUCAUUGUCCUUCGUACAAUCAAUGCAUAUGUUGGUUGCUAAUAUAUAUAUAUAUAUAUAUAUAUAUAUAUAUAUAUAUACACUAGUAAAAGGGUUUCAUUCAUACAAGAAUGAUCAGCCGGAGGUUUUUCUCUUAGCCGAAUGUUUCGAGUGACUGGCAUCAUGGGAUGCUUCCAACUGGCCGCUGGACCACCGGAUGGACCCAGCUCCAGGUUGGAAAAUGAUUCUGAUGAAUUAGGUGGUGGGCUGUGCUAAGUUUAUUCAUCACUUCAUUCAGCUAAAUCCUAUAUGAUAUUGAGGAGGAUAUCACAAAGUAGACUGCCGACCCACCAGAAUCAUGACCGGAUAUGAUUAUCUCCACAAACUAAAAGCAUGCUACUAAGUAACUAAACCUUUCUGUCAAAACCCUCUCAAACUCAAAGGGUAGCUCAAGGUGACGGAGGACUUGUGUAUGUUUAUUAGCUCUCUGUCUCUCUCUCUCUCUCUCUCAGACACACACACACACACUAAUACAUACACAUAUAUAUAUAUAUAUAUAUAGAGAGAGAGAGAGAGAGAGAGACAGCUCUAGAAUUAGUGUAUUAUAAGUAACACUACUAUCUAGACAAGUUAAUUAGUACAUAUAUAUAUUAUUACUCAUUAGUAUAAAAAAGAUUAAUAGUCCUCUUCGUAGUUCAUUCCUGUGCUAUUCAUGCAGUAAGCAAAAUACCCGAACCAAUUCUUUGUCAGUCGGCACUCUGAGAAUCCACCAAAAAAUUCUAGGGGCCCCAUCCAUUAUCAAUUUCGAUUUGUGUGGUGAUAAUGGCUGUGCUUCGGUCAUGGCUUCCCAUAGGCUGCAUUUGAAUACAGAGGAUUCGGAAUUCUCUCAAAUAAAAAUGCCUGUAGUUGUCUACUUACGCUAUUUAAGAGGUAUUUAAUAAUUGAUACUGUAUAUUACAAACCCCCCAAGUGCCUAUUCAAACAACUAUUGGAGUGAUACGGAUUAGGUUUCAAAUGCUUGGUCAAAUAUUGCUCAAGCCAAACAAAGCCAUAUAUAUAUAUAUAUAGUAUAGUUUCUUAUUACAUGCAUUACAAGCCUCUACAGCUUGAGCCUACAGGGAUUACACAUGCAAAGGGGAGCAAGGGAACAUUAAAACAAGUAGCCAAAUGGGUAAUGAAUUGACACAUGCAUCAUAACGAAAGGACAAGGACGUGGUACAAUCUGGGACAAAAUUCCAUUGUUUGGCAUAUCCCUGUCAAGUAGCCUAGUAAUUUCAUUGAACGACCAGAAAAAUUCAAAUUUGCACUAGAAUAAAUAAAAACCAGAAUUGAGGCUAAGGAAGGGUAUUGCGGUUUACAAUUACAUGACAAAUAUUGGCAUGCCAAAGCGAACAGCAAGUAACAUGUCCAGAGCAUCGAAAAUGGUCCUACGUGAACAUUAUUAGCAUGUGGUAUAGGCUCAAUCAAUCAACCAACCUAGCAGUGCCCUCAAGAAAUUUAUAAACAUAUAUAUAUAUAUAUAUAUAUUUUUUUUUUAUUUUUUUUUUGGAAUAUUUCAUAUGACAACCUGGAUCCUUGCAAUUCAGGUCUAAGUUUACAACAUAAUUGCAGUUUCUGCGAAAUACAUGCAAGUUCCAGAUGUAGGAGCUUUUGGCUUGGCCUUGUUCUGCAAAAUUCCCGCUAAACUCUGACUCCUCUCUCUUUUUUUUUUUUUUUUUUUAAAUUUAAGAAUACUAUCUUUCACACACACACAAACUAAGCCAUGAUAUUAAUAAAACACAAAAUAGACAAGUAAUGGUGUGGAUCACGUCGGAAUGCAUAACCAAUUUUAACCUAAACUCGUGACGCGGGCUCGAGGGGGGAGCACAUUGGUCCUAUCUGUCAGUCAUGUGGCUUCUGAUUCGCUACGAGGAAGGAAUGGCAUUGGCAACCCCAGAAACACAUAUGGUAUAUGGUACGCUGGACAACACAACCCCUAAAACCCAACUCCUGUUUACGAUUAAUACCACAUCACAUCCCCCUAAAAAUAUAUAAUACAUAACAUUUGCUCAACCCAAUGUGUCACAUUCCAUUACCACUCGACGCUAAUUAAAUAUACAUUUAUUUGGAAGAUAUAAUAUUUACUUGUCGUCACCACAAAAUUCAGCAGAAUGUUUAAAUUUGCCUGCUAUUUUUUGUUUUCCCCUUUUCCCACUUCUAGUUCCCCGGAGACGCCACCAAGAACAAUCAUCCAACCCUUUUCUCUUCCUCUCUCUCCUCCCCCCCCCCCCCCCCCCAACGAGACCAACACGGCGAUCAUCCUGUCAGGCAUGAAAAGUCAUCUACAAGGGAAUACGGGCAGGAGAGCAAAAAAGUUAGCGGCAGUUACAUUUGUCCGUAUUAUAGGACAACGGCAGAAGUACAACGCUAAUUAAUUACUACCACAUACUUUAUAAUGGACAUAACAGUGCAGUAAAGCCCUUAACAGAAAACUCCAGGAGGCAUUAAUAGAGAUUUACUCCUAGGCUUCGACUAAAAAUGGGUUAUUCUAGGAGGACAAACAACAAUUCUACAAUACUGGCACCACAAAGGCACCAAUUAAUCAGAGGAGGAGAAGCGCAAUUUCUCUUGCACCUCUGUUGAUGCUGCAACUAGCAACCCUUGCACCCUAGAACUUGAAAUCCUUCUUCUUCUUUGACUUGCCUUCUUUUUCCUGCAUCUUUCUCUUCCUUUUAUUCUCAUUCUGCAGUAAUUUCGUCCCAUUAGAUAAGAGAGAACAGGACUACAAAAGAUAAAACCACCAUACCAGGAAAUAAACUUCUAUUAUAUGCACGCACCUCAGCAACCAUGUCACUGAAAUCUUCUCUCUGGCUUCUUAACUUCUCUUCUUCCCUAGCUUCCUCGUAUCUGACAAUCAUACAAGAAAGAAUUAAAUUACACACCAGCAAAACAAAGUCGCUGAAGCAAUCAGAAACAGGCACCACACUUACUUGGCUGGCAAGACAUUAUCCAUGACUUCUAACUCCUCUGGUGCUAAUGUGACAUCAACUCUAUCAGCUUUCUGACCUCUAAGCAGAUCAACCUGAAAGAGACCAGUAUAAACAAACCAGAGUGAAUUGUAACCCAAAUAGUAUAAUUAUAACAUGACCUAGAAGUGCCAUCAUCUUUACUUCUAGCAAACACCAUAACACUUCCAAGUUAUUUAGGACAUUUUUAAUAUCCACGUGGGUAUAUAUGUUUGGAGGAUCCAAAAUUGCGUCAACAAAGUUGUAAAACACCAAAAUCGGCAUUUUCACCAAACCAGAACAAUUACUGACAAUGUACACGAGAAAAUCUCUUAUGAACAUGGAACCAGGACCUCAUGUAUACCAGAUCUUUGUCCUCAACUCAUCAAUUAGCAAUGCAACAACUAUACUAAAUUGGCAAAUCCACACUGGUCAAUUAUGAUUGCAUACUGAGCAGUCUAAGCCCAAAAAACAAGAAGAAAAUUUGGCAAUGGCAAAAAUAUACAUAACUAAGCAUGCUCCCACAUAGCAUACAAAUUCCAUCAAUGCGCAGUAUCACGCGGCUGAGGCAAACAAACAACUUAGCAAACCACAAAGUAUCAAUCAUCCAGAGAACAUCUUCUCAUUCAACAGUAACAGGUAAACUACUGUAAAAAAGACCACUGCCAGAAUUUCCUUGUCAUGCAGACAUUUUUCAGACCACUACAGGAAGAUUGUAAACAGCCAAAAAAGAGCAACCAUUUGUAGACCCAUCAAAAAGUUGAGCUGCAAGUGACUACAAUUAGCAUAAUUACCAAACAAAGAUAUCAAAUAUGCUCACCCUUUUUGCGGCAGUCUUGUCUUGUGUGCCAGUAUUGAUCACAUACCUGUAGGUACACAGCAGAGUUAUCUUAGUUAUUGACAACCGAGGCUCUUGUGAAAACAAAGACACAAAAACUAAGAGGGAUUUCUGAUACUACAAGCAUGAUACUUACGUGUGAGUUGUUCCAAGUAGGGUUCCUGGAGCUAUCCUCUCUUCUUUCUCUUCAAGCACCUUUACAUAAAUGCGUUGUUAGCUUCAGCAACAACACAAAGGGACAAAUAGAUGGAAUAGGAUUUGAACUCAUGUUCUCCACUAACCUGAUACAAAGGCUUCUCUGGCUCCUUCCUUUGCUGCUUGCGAAGAUCAAUAACGUCUGGAGUCUCAACGCCAGUAGGUGUGCUGUAAAAACAAAGAAGGAAAAAUAAAGACAAUUGAAGAAUAACAAAUGUGCCAAACAAUUAUUUAAUCAGCAGUUCACUUUUCAUUUUGACCAUUUUCUAGAGUUUUUCAGCAUGCAUACUCCAAUGCCUUUAAUGUCGUACCAGAUUAAGUUACUGAUACAACUUACAUUGACAAAAAGCCCUUCUAGGGCUUAUCAUGUUAAACUUGCAAAAUGUCAACAAAAGCCACAAAACUUGUGGUGUAAGGAUAACUCAUAGCAAGCCAUCUACCAUCUUAACAACUUACAAGAAUACCAUAACAAAGCACCAGAUCAAACAUCUACUGUAAAAAGAAAAUCAAGAUGCAAACCAAGAUAUACUGAAAUACCUUGAAAGGCUAUCCACCGAUUGAAUACCAUCUUCCAUUUCCUCUUCCUCAAUCUGUUCUUCCUCCUCCUCUUCCUCCUCCUCCUCCUCCUCCUCUUCCUCCUCCUCAAAGUCACCCCAAUGUUUACUCUUAUCAACUGGUUCCUCCUGAUUUUUUUUAUCAGGAAUUGCAAAAUAUGUCAGGGAACCGAAAUCACAGAAAUCGAAGAAAUCAUAGGAUCUUGAUGAAUUAUACAACCCUUCUGAGAUUGAGAAUCCAAAAUUAUAUGCUUAUCACAAAAGGCAGAUAAAAACAUUUUUUCAAAAGUCUCAAAAAAUGCCAUCUCUCAGUUUGUAUAUUUAACAGGUGCAAGGAUUCUAAUGUACCAAAAAUUCACCAACCAAGAGCAGUUAAUGUUACUGCAGUUACACAGUCUCGUCCAUCUUCAAGAAAGAACAACGGAUAUUUUCUAAAACUAUCUCCAGAAGACACACAAGGCAAUAAUCAAACAUAGACAAACUAUGUUCCAGAAAAAGAAGGCCAAUAAUAUUCACAUCCCAACACACACACACACACACAAAUGAAUGAAAUGCUUUAUAAAGAACAUAGUUGGCUACAUUUCUGAAAAAUAAGCACGACCUUCUGCAAGAACAAAGAGGAGAAAAUUUUUAAUUGAAACAAGUAACUGAUUAGGAAGCAGUACCUCAUAAUUAGGCUGCUCUUGCUGAAGAACUCCAAAGACAUCUCCAUAUAUAGGGUUCCCAUGCUGCUCAAGAUAUGUAAAAUAGAAAGACCUUAGAAGUAAAACAGUUGUAACAUGUGAUGUACACAAAAGGUGAUUGCCACCAGCAAAGAUGACACAAAAAAUGUGCCAUUAAAGAAUCAAAAGAAGGGGGGAAAAAACUUACUUCAUCAACAGGUGGUUUGCCCCAGCCUCCAGGUUGAAAGCCAAAUUUAGCUCCAGGUGGAAUAGGUGCAUUUAAUCCCGGAAUCUUAAGAUGAGGAUAGGAAGGUGGGGGCCCAUACCUCUGAAAUAAGAAGAUAAUUGAACAAGCAAGAAAGAAGGCACGUUCCCUUGAACUAAUAUGUGCGAUUUUCAAGUAAAACUGGAAUUACGAUGGUAAUGGUAAGAAAAAGCAUGAACAAGUAUGUAACUCAUUUGACCUGCAUAUUAAUAAGCCAAGGAGGAGGGGCUCCUUCUGGCAUACCAAGAGCCUCUUUCAGUUCCUGUGAUAACAUGCCUGGCUUCAUUUCCCGCAACUUUACCUGCAUUGAGUGCAAACAGCAGUAAAUCAUUAAAAACCUUAAAGGGAAGAAUACAAGGACACGUACACUCACUUUUUAGACGAAUCUACCGGUUACAACAGUAGCACUAUGCUUCACAACUAGUAUAGAACAUAAUCAAGGACAGCUGACAGGUUCAUUAUGACAACAUAUGCAAUAAGACUCAAAAAUAUCAAACUGUUAGUCAUCUGAAUUCUGAUUUCAAGGAACUAAGCAAGACUGCCAUGUUCAGAAAUAAAUUCCUUAAAAUACCAGGCAAAAGUAAUUACAUCACAGUCUCUGUUUUUCAUCAUGAAUUUAUUUUCACAUCUAUGAAUUACCAGACACAUGAUCACCACGCUGAUCCUUCAGUCAAAAAAAAAAAAAAAGUUCAAUCAGAGCGUCAAAUUAAUGGACCAAUAUAACCAGUUACAGAGACAUAUUAACAUCUAUGGUUAUCUACAAGGACAUUGAAAUCGUUGUCUAACCAGUGUGUGUGCGCAUUGGCAAGACAUCAUCUUCAAAUGACAAAAAUAUAGAUUAUGCAGGGGCAAAUAAAGUACAUCUUAAUGCCCAGGUAAAGCAUCAGGUGCAUACCUCAAACUCCUUUCCUUCAAAGUACAGAUCACCAUGUGUUGUGAGCUUUGGUUUGGUCUGGUAUUUGAAAAAUGCAUCAUGCAGUACCUAUGACGAAGUAACAACAUAUGAAAAGGUGAGGAACAUAUAAUAUGGAAAACAAAAGGGAAAGUUCUGUUUGUAAGUUGACAGGAUGAAGAAACCUGAUAGUCAAUGUCCAUUUUUCCCAUCUUAGGCUGCAUCCUCUCACGCUGUUUCUGUUUAAGUUUUUUACUGUCCUCCUUUUCAAUAUAUGCCUGCAUUAGCAUAAAAACAGUCAAGCAGAUUUUACAUCCAGGAUCUGACAGGAGAAAUGGCACAGCAGCAGAGUUGCUAACUAAUCAAAUGCUUCUCAGUAAAUAGAAUCAAAACAGACAAAUUACCACAAAACGGGGAAAAAAAGGUCCAUUAUUGAGUAAUGAAGAACAAAAAAGAGCCAAACUCUAUUUGGAUUCGGAAAAUCCCUCGUCAUUGACCAUGCAAUUGCUAAACAGAAAAAAACAGCUUGGCUUUGUCCAAACAGAAAAGGUGACCAACAUGUCAACCACAGUUUGAAUAAACAUACAAACCAAACUUCAGCAGAGAAUACACAAGAAAGAGAUCAAGAAUCAAACUUUUAAUCUUAACCACCUGAACAAAAAAUACAGCCAUAUUCCCAAUAAAACACCUUCUCCCAACAAACACACACGUCCAGUCUGACUUGUACCCUUCCUGGGGGGUAAAUUUUUUUUCCUGAAAACUAACUUGGGCAUUCACAUUAGCCUAUAUCUUGCGUUAGUUGAUGACAGGUGGAUGGUGCUUAAAAUAGACUGACACAGAAACUAAAACAGAGAAAAACUCAUCACCAAGUGCCUCAGCCAAUCCCAAUUAAACAACUAACUUCUGUGACAAUGAAUGCCAAUUAAAAACAUAAUAUUUCAAAUUUCUGAAGGAUAAAUUGCAUAAAGAAAAAGUCUGACCAUUAAAAAAGAUCAACAAUGUAGUUCUUAAAAUUAAGUUUUUGCUCAUAUCAUCAAGAAGACGUACAUUCUAGAACAACAAGAUUCUUGCAGAAAGAAACCUCAGUAAAUAUAACACUUACUUGUCUGAUUUUCUCAAUUCCAGUGGCAGCAAUAAAAUCAGGAAGUUGAAAGGGCUGUUUCUCAAUUCCUCGUUUUCCCUGCAAAAUACAUAUCAAGCCCGAUGAGAUAACAGCUUAACACAACUUAUGUGUCUUAAAGCAACACUCACUAGGGUGCAAAUAGUAACUUAGAUUAAAUAGCCUAGGCCAAUAACUUCAGCAUUAAACUAAUCCAAGCCUUAUGCAGGAUGUAAUAGGAUCUGAGAAUGCAAAUAUAUACAUUAGCAUCCUGCUAGGUAUGAGUCACUUGUUGCACUUGCAAAGGCAGAAUUAAAGAGAUCUAUUUGCCCAUAAGCAAAAGCAUGGAUUAUUACAUCCCAACCCCCACCAGUAAAAAUGUUAAGAUAGAGAUAUCAAGCAAGGAUCCCCUUGCCAAACACCUACAUGUCCAGGCUCCUUAGACGUCACAGCCGCUCGCCUGCAAGAACCACAUAUACUCACAUAAGACAAACGGCAUCGACUUUAUCUUCCACCACACUCAACCCAAAACCCACCCUUAUCAAGCCCAUCAUUUUCGCAUUUACAGCAUUGUAUGGACAUCUAAAAAGCAUGAACAUUAAUACGGCAACCAAUAGCUAACUUUCUAACUGCAGCUACUAACCUGCAAAAAUUUCCGCUUCUGACACCAGUGCCUUGGAACUGGAACUGUAUUUCUAUAAGAUUUAAGAAAUACUAACAGCUUAGGGUCUGCAGCAGUAGCAUCCCAGACCUGCAAAAAGUAAACAAGUAUCAUCGCAAACUGAAACAAGGAUAAGAAGUAGAAUGGUGCAUAUGUGGAGAACCAAUUGAAGACACCUAAAUGAAUUUCCUACAGUAAGAAUGACCAGAACAAGAAUUUUAAGAAUAUUUUAAGUUCUGCAUCACAAAAUACCUCAACAACAUCAGGUCUUGAGGAAAUCUGUUUCAGUUCAGCAAUUUUCAUCCGACGUUGGAGCUGCAUGCAUACACAAUGAAAUGAAAUUAGAGGUACUACCAACCAAAAGGAACAAGCUCUACCAGUAAAAGGAAAGCCAAGUAAUUUUAGCUACAAAAUACUGAGGAACGAGAAUAACAUCGAAUACAAACUUUAAUCUCAAGAUAAACCUAAUAACCUUUUUCUUUUUAUUGGAAAGGCCUUUCUCCUUUUGCUGGGGGUCCUGCUCUUCUCCAUCUGAAUCUGAAUCAACCUUCUUAUUGGAGGUGGCAUCAGGUGCACUUUCAUCCUUUUUGUCAUUCUCCUAUAUAGAUCAGAUGGUGAAAACUUGGCCAAAAUAUUAAAGCUAGAAAUACCAACACAAACAACAGCAACUUAAUAAAAUGAAUUGGACCUCUUACCUCAGAACCAACAGCAUCCUUGAAACUGAAUUUCUCAAAAACCUUCCUCAAUUCAUCAUCUAAAUCACCGUCAAGUUCAGCCUUUUCUGGAACAUACUCCACCUCAACUUGCUCCAAGACCUAUUCAAUACAAGAAAAACAAGGAAGUUAAAAUCCACAUAAUUUUUUUAUUUGAUUCUCCAAUGAAAACAUCCAACCAUAUUACAGAAAUGGCAAGAUAUCAGAAUCCAGAAGCCUAUUCAACUUAGCACAGCUGACAAGUUUAUUCAGUUAGAUUGGUAGAAAUUUCUUGGUUUUGGCAUACAACGGAUUUUGAAAACAAUGCAACCAACUUAGUCAAACAAUUCUCAUUACAAUGCAAUCAACUUAGUCAAACAAUUCUCAUUUCCAAGAAAUAAGCAAGAAAAUGACACAAAUCUCUAAUUCAUCUGGCAUGAUGAAACAACUUCCUGCUAGUAAAUAUUCUCCAGAUUCCAAAUGUAUCCAGUCCCACAGAAACACACGACAGCCAUAGACUUAACUAAAAAGCUACUUCUUAUAUGGCCAUUAAAGAAUGCACAAACAUCAUAAACCACGCAUAAACCAAGCAGAAAUGCACAUAUGACAAGUUACGAGCGACAGCUUUCAUCAUUGCAUGCCAAACCGUUCAAAUCUCUCAAGCAGUUUCAUGUGCACCCAAGUGAUUUCUUCCUUGACUCUUAGCCAUCAACACUUGCGAAAUGCAAAGCCAAUAACCUUUACUAGUGUCAACAACUGACGCCACAGAAGGUCAACGUUAAUCCAUACUCAUUACUAAUCACUUUUUUAUGUUAUUCAGACCUGAUGGAUUCUCUUUAGUCCAGGAAGGUCCAGCAAUUCUUAGAUCAGAGAUUGACAACACAUGUUUACACAAAACUUUUCCAGAGCCAAUUUGGUACACUAUAAUAUACUUUUGGUCUGAAACACCAAAAACAUUCUAGUAGUGGCCAAACUGCAAUAAACUUUUGUGGUAUAGAAUGUAUUCAUGAAGAGGAAAACUAUCAACCAGAAAAAGACCUUUCAGAUCUUGACAUAUUUCUUGUACUUCACAAUAAUCUAUCAGAGAGUACAACCAUUUUUUUCCCUUUGACAAAGUUACAGAAACAUGUUUUGACUGUUUCUGGAAAGACAACAAUUCCAAAGAUGCUCAAACAACAGAAUGAAUAUUCCAUUUCUGGAAAGACAACAAUUCCAAAGAUGCUCAAACAACAGAAUGAAUAUUCCAGUUCCCACCAGAUCAGGAAAUAAAAAUGUGUUUCGCCAACAGCAGGAAAAAAAAAGAGAGGGAAAAACAAUUUUCAAACCAACCAGCCAUGUAUGACAGAAGCGGGUUCAGUUAUGAUGCUGUUUCAUAUUAAAUCAUAUCACAGGAAUUCAAAUUACAUGGCAAAUCGGGAAAAGAAGAACACAUCAAAUAUGUACAAGACAAAUUUUCCAGGUAUGACAUGAGAAAACAAAUAAUGCUAGAUCCUUCCUCUUUCCCAUUUUUCUUUCCCAAUAAUAUACUUUUCCACCCUCUACCAAAUCUUGUGCUCAAGUUCCACACCCAUUUCAUUGACAAAGCAGAAUGCCCUAGAGCCUGGCCUCCUAAAAUUCCACAACGAAUGAGUCCCUUAGAUAAAGUGAUAUGAAAUAUUACCCAGACAAAAUAAAUAUGACAAAGCACAAACAAGUAAGACAAGGGAAUCACUUGCAGACCUCCUUUAGUACCAAGCACAAAAUAACCAAAACAAAGCAUAUACCCCAGUCUUAACUCUUAUCUCAUAACAUACUUUGGGAUUUCCUGAAAGAUCUAGCCGAGACUACCAAAAAGCUACGGGAUAAAGAUAAAAAGGAUUUCCACCACCAGUAAGUAAUCAAGUCAAAACCAAUCUUAGCAAAAAACUAAUCUACAAAAGUGACUAUAAAACAGGGAAAAAUCAACGAAAAGCAUAGCUUCGACAGAGUAUUAUUGUCAGAAACUUUUGCAUGCACCUUCAAAAUCAAGCCCUAGUUUCCAUAAUCAUAGGAUAUAGUUUUUAUUUCUCUAAAAUCUUGGGCCAUAGUUACUAACUCACAAUCUCGUACGCAUUUGGUCAAUUUCCAAUGUAUGCAAAAUCCACAAAAUUAAGAAACCUAACUGUAGCAUGAUCCAUAGAAAAAGAAAAGCAACAGAAAACACAAGUAAAAAUGAAACAUACCUUUUGAGGAUCCGAGUUCUCCUUGGCGCUAUCAUUAUCGGUGGUGCCGUUAGCAUCCUCGGAGGCGGCAGCGGCAUUGUCACUCUCGUCACCGGUAUUAUUGGUCCCAGACGCCGCCUUGUUCUUCUUCUGCUUGCGCCGCCUCCGGCGCCGCUCGCUCUCCCGAGAUUUCUUGGCAGUGGCGCUAGGGUUUUGGGUUUUCAAGUCCCCGUUCGGAUAGGAUAAGCCCCCUGCAACGCCGUUCGCUACCUCGACGGUCAUAUUCCGAUCUCUCGUCGGUAAAAUUUAUUCUAAGAGUUUUCCUAUUCUUUAAUUUCUCUCUCUAGCUCCUGUGUUGAGAGGGAGCAAAUGGAGAAGGCAAUUAUGAGUCGAGGGAGAAGAGAGAUACAACGAUGGGAGAUAACGACUACUGAAAUGUUUUAAAGAAUCUGCCAAUCUGGCAUAAGAUAUCUUCGGGCACCGUAAACUAAUUGGGCUUACAGAUAAUACAAGAAAUUAUUUUGGGCCUUUUGGGUCAGAAAGGCAUGGCCAAUGGGAUCACCUUAAUGAUAUUUGGACUUAGGCCCGUUGUCAAGUUUAAUAAUUGGUAAUAUUUGUUUUAAGAGUUAAUCUUAUACACACUCAUUAUUAGAAACAUGAAAUUUAUAUAAAAAGUACUAGAGGGAAGUCCCACGCGAAGCGUGGGGAUUGAUACCUGUGGUGUGAUCAAAUAAUUUAACAGUAUUUGAUAACUUGAUAUCAAGUGGAACACACUUAUAUGUUCCUUAAGCUUUCUAUUGUCAUAAUUAGCAUUACAUUUUUCUGGUGCUUGGCUAGAUUCUUUUCUUGAGCAAUAACGGCACGGUUCCCUACUUUUUUUUUCCAUGUCUAAUACAAAUGGGAACUCAUGGUGUUAUCAUAUGUAUCAUUUUCCCCUAAGUUUAAUCUUUCAAACAAAAUUAGCUUGUUCAAUCAGGAACACUCACCAUUGUUUUGUUUAAUAGUUUUAACAAAAUGAACAUGAAUUUUUAGUGCUUUACGCUUAUUUUCUGUUGUUCUAAUCGUACUUUAUCUUUUUCUUCUACUGAUAACAAUACAUAUCUUUUUCUUGCCUUUUGAUUCCCAAAUUGCUUUUAGCAUUAAGCUUUUCAAUAUUGUUUGUUUGAUCCAUCCUAAAUUUCAACCAACAAGCCCUAAACUUAAACAUAGAAAAUUUAUAUAUAGCAUUUGUUUGCUUGACUACUACAACUAAGAACCAUUAUUUCAAUCAAUACAUGCAUCUACAAAUAAUUAGAGAGCAAAUUAAUUUUCCUCAUUACAAACACUAACUUAUAUCAAACAAUUAUCAGGUCUACGAAAUUCAAUACAAAAAAUAAAAAAGCAUGUAAGUAUAGUCGUUUAUCUAUUCAAAUGGCAAUUUCUAUCCACACACAACAACUCAGUCACUUAACUAUUGAACCAAUAAAUUGCAUCAACUACAAGAUAAUUUUCAAAGUUGAACAAUUAUUCACACACUUGUUCAUUUAAGCACAUGAUUCAAAUGGAUCAAGUAUAAUUGUAAUAAUAUUUAAUCAAUAAAUGACAUGCAUCAAGUGGGAAUAUAGAGUUACCUUGUACUUUCGGUAGUAAAGUGCAAUCUAAGAGCAAAAUCUCUCCACACUUCGCUCGCUUGCAAAAGAAAGCACAAAGGCUUAUUCAGGAUUUUGAAGAAUGGAAGCUAUGCAACUCAUAGACCAGAAAGCAAGAGCAAAAUUGAGCAUACCUCUACAAACCCAACUUUGGUAUUGUGCAAACCUUCUUAAUCCACAAUUUUGUACCUUAACAAUAGCCAUUAUUGUAACCUACAUUACAAAUUGAUGAGCAAAUAUUGAAGAAAAUGGGAGGUCUUGCGUUACUCUUGUAACAUUUAUUCCAAAUGAUUCUUUACCUCUCACACUUUAAUGGCCUUAUUAAUGUGCUACAGUUACUAAUUCAAAUAAGUGGCAUUUGUUGCAAGAGUUGAAUUAAUGGUUCUUGAGCUUUAAUGAUGAAGAAGAUGAAACUUUCUACAGUUACAAUUCAAGUAUUCAUUUUUAGCCUUAUGCACCAAUAUUAUCUUAAAUGCAUUUAAUUUGCAUAAUCAAUUCAGCUAAACAUACUUGAGGGGAAUUAAUUUCGUUUUUCUACCCACUUUGCUAAAUCAAUGGCAAAGUAGCCAAACCAUUAGCCACUAAAGGGUACAGUAGGUAAACCAUGCGAAAUUAGGCAACAGAAACUUGUGCAUUAUGCUUAAUCAAUACUGUUAUUUUUUUACCAUUACCAAAACGCCCCUACAAAUGUUAGAUGAAAAUCACCCAAGAGUCAUACAACAACUCCUUUAUAUAUAUAUAUAGGAUUCAAGUUAAUUGUCAUAUGUGUAAUAGUGCUAAUGUAUACAAUGUUGGUUUGUACAGAAUCAACUAAUAUCAGUUUUAAAUGCUACAAAACAUAAUAGAAUGGUAAGACGGAAUAUUAAAGUUUAUCUUAUGAGCAAAAUAAAAAUGUUAGGGCUUAGAAGGUUCUCAAAUAAACGUGACAAAUAUAACGUAAUUUUGAACUAGUAUUGUAAAGACAACCUAAAAUGGAAUUUUCUAACAGUAGUUUGUAUACAAAAAUUUUGUAAAAACAUCCAUAAAAUACCUUGAAUUGAAUAACGGGAAGUUUUAUUGAGAAUAUCUUAUACCAUGUGGCUAGUAGAAAAAUGAUUUCUUUUUUUUUUUAUUAAGAAUAUAUAUAUAUAUAUAUAUAUAUAUAUAUAUAUUCAACUUCCAAGUCAAUGCUAUGUUUCUUGAGGCCGAAAAAAGAAAAAAUAAAUAACUAAACAAAAACCUUAGCAGUACAAGCUUGUUUCUGCGGAUUGUUAAUUUGCCGCCAACGCUGAAAAGAAAGACAAUGUAUUGAGUGAAGCAACAUUUUUCCUGCAUUUUUUCCUUCUACAGCCGUAAGCUAGCCUAUUGGCCUUAAUUUUGCUACACUUAGCGGGACCAAUCCUUUUAAGAAGAUGUUAAUGCUUAGUAGUAUGGUAUACAACCAACCAAGCUCUGAGGAAACCAUGAAAAUAUUGCUCCAAACACACUACAGGCGAGAGCCUGAGAUCUUGCUGGCUCUCCUUUCUUCUUUGAUGUUUUAGAAGGGAAAGGAGAAAAAAGUGAUAAUGAACCAUUUCUUUAUCAGACUCAACUGUUUGGAUAUUGUGAUAUUUUGGUAUCAAAGGUAAAUAUUCUGAGGGGGAAAGAGCAAGAUGGAACUCCAAGAAACUGGGAACGUGGGUGUCCCAAAGUACAAGAAGACGGGUUAUGAUACAAUAGAAGAGGAAAUUCAGGGUAUUGCAUGCAAAGAAAAUGGAAAAAAUAGCAGCAAGAAAUAUGUACUAGUCUGUGCCAUCUUUGCCUCUCUAAAUUCUGUGAUUCUUGGAUAUGGUUUGUACCUUUGCCUUCCCCUCUUUGAAAUUAACGGUCAUUUUGUGCUUCAGUAUCCAUUCUUCAAUCUCUUUUCUUUGAACUUUACCUCCUUGAUUUAUUGCUUUUGCCAAUGUGAUUAUGCAAGGAAUGAUCAUUUGUUGCGGAUGAUCAAAGUUGGAAUUCUCAAGAAUGGGAAAAUAAAAUUGAUGAAAAAUGCUAGAUACUUGCAUUUUUCUGCUCAAGAUCAAGGCUUCAACAGUAGAUGCCAGGAAUUUUAUAUAUCUGUUUGAAAAACAAAAUAUUGUUUGUUAUAGAAAAUUAACUGUUAUGGUUAGUUUCUUAAACAUUUAUUCCUCCAGACAAUUAUCGUGUUUAUGCUCCAUUUUCCAGUUCUUGGAUUAUUCAUAAUCAUACUCAUUGGUUAGUUCCAUGGUACUGAUACAUAAAAGUCAUUUCCUGCUAACUAAACCAGAAUCCUAUCAAAAUUUAUGUCAACUGCUAUAGUUCCCUAAGCUUGAUAUAUCUUUAUUGACAGCUCACAAGUAAUAAAUAUGAAAUCACAGAUAUUGGAGUUAUGAGUGGAGCAAUAUUAUUUGUUCAAGAAGAUUUAAAGAUUUCUGAGUUACAAGUAGAAGUCCUCGUCGGGAUUUUGAGCAUAAUUUCACUGGUGGGUAGUCUAGCAGGGGGUAAAGCAUCAGAUGCCAUUGGUAGAAAAUGGACUAUGGCAUUUGGUGCCAUUGUGUUUCAAUCUGGUGCUGCUAUUAUGGCUCUUGCUCCCUCUUUCGAGGUGCUAAUGGUCGGAAGGAUUUUGACUGGCAUUGGAGUAGGCUUUGCAGUGGCGAUUGCACCUACAUACAUUGCUGAGAUAUCCCCUAGUGUUGCUAGAGGAUCAUUAACCUCCAUCCCUGAAAUUUCCAUUAAUUUUGGGAUCCUGCUUGGUUAUGUUUCAAAUUAUGCCUUCUCAGGACUGCCCGUACACACAAAUUGGAGGAUCAUGCUUGCUGUUGGGAUUCUCCCUUCAGCUUUCACCUGUUUUGCUCUGUUUAUCAUCCCUGAAUCUCCGCGGUGGCUAGUAAUGCAAAGCAUGACUGCCAAAGCCAGGUUGGUGCUUCUCAAAACAACAGAAAAUGCAAAAGAAGCAGAGGAGACAUUAGCUGAAAUACAACUAGCUGCAGGGCUCGCCAACGCUGAAAAGCACAAGGAGAGAUCUGUAUGGCGUGAACUACUAAAUCCGUCACCCGGGGUUAAACGGAUGCUCAUUGCAGGUUGUGGAAUUCAGAUUUUCCAACAAAUCACAGGAAUGGAUGCGACUGUGUAUUAUAGUCCUACAAUCUUUAAAGAUGCCGGGAUCAAGAGCAGUUCAGAACUUCUUGCUGCAACAGUUGCCGUGGGGUUUACCAAAACAGUCUUCAUCCUGGUAGCUAUUUUACUUAUUGACAAAGUAGGUAGAAAACCACUUCUUUAUGUGAGUACAAUUGGAAUGACUGGUUUUUUGUUCGUUCUGGGAUUAACUCUCUCUUUCCUGGGGAAUCGUCCGGUUGGGAUAAAGUUGGCCAUUCUCUGUGUAUGUGGAAAUGCAGCAUUCUUCUCAGUGGGAAUUGGUCCAGUUUGUUGGGUUUUGUCCUCUGAAAUCUUCCCUCUGAGGCUACGAGCUCAAGCAUCCUCCAUUGGGGCUGCUGGGAGUAGAGUCAGUAGUGGCCUGGUUGCCAUGUCUUUCCUAACCAUUUCUCAUGCUAUUACAGUUGGUGGAACCUUUUUUGUCUUUGCAGCAAUAUCAGCUCUUUCUGUUGCUUUUGUUUACAAGUGUGUCCCAGAAACGAAGGGGAAAUCACUAGAGCAAAUUGAAAAGCUUUUUCAGACUGAUAAGCACUGGAAAGGAGGCGAAGUGGAGCUUGGAGAUGUUGAGCACCUAGUGCAGAAGCAAUGAUACUGGCUUGAAAAGCAAAUAUACACCAAUAAAUUGCUUUUGCCUCACAAACAAUAGUGAGAAACUACAGUACCAAAGCUGAAUCUACUUUGUAAUGAAGCCUCAACCACGAUAUCACAUUGCAUAUUGUCUUUUUUCUCAAAAUCUCACAUAAGGCUGAUUUUUGUGCCAAGAACCUAUACAGCCCCUUGUGUUAAAGUUGGUUGCCUACUUUAGUUGUAGAUGUUCUCAAAGAUAAAUUUGCUGGGAGGAUACUUUUGACUGAAAGCUGCAAUAAGUAUCAGAAACAAAUUGUAUUUGUCAAAGUUACAAGGCAAUUGAAAGAAAGAUUGAAGGACAGAAGAGUCGAAUCAAAGUUGAAAUCACCUUUUCUUCAAAAGGUUAGCAGCCUUUUGUUAUGUUUCUCAGUUUUUGACUGAGGAACAUGUUUGGCAUUUUUUUUUUUUUUCCUACUUUUACUUUGUUUUGAAAAUGCAAUUUCCACCCCAUCCAUAGAAGGAAUUCUACUUAUCAAAAGUUACAACAACCUUUAGGAAUAAAGGAUAGAUGUGACGACAUUUAAGAAUAAAGGAAGGGCAUCCAAUUCCUUUCUAGCAUAUUAAUAUCCCCAUCGCCAUCUGGGUUUACAUCAGCACUUCUGAUUGUGCCCAUUGCCUGGUAACAACACCAGGGGCCAUUGGGUUUAUUAAGCUUUGAGUAGCUGGAAAAGCAAAGAGAGCAUAGGCGCAGCUUAUUGGGAAGCACAUAUACGCUUUUUAACCAUAAAGCAGUUGCAAAUUCCCAGCAAGAGCAUCCAUUACUGUGUUUCUAAGCACUAAUUCUUCACUUUUCAGAUCAGGCUGCUCCUACCAAACUACCUUUCAAACAUAAAAAUAAGGGAUUUAGUCAAUACUUUGUCCAAUUUUUACCAAAAAAAAAAACACUGUGAAAUGCACCCAAAACCAAGUUGUAUAUACAAGUGCAAAAUGACUUAUUGCUUGCACUUAAAUUUAUCACUCAUGCAAUGAUUGAAGUGAGGAAGUAGAAAGGUUCGAAAUUUAGUGUUGAAUUAUUAAAUAUACAGCACAGGAAAAUUGACAAUUUGAACAACAGAUGAGGCUUGAAAGGGAAAGCACAUGAAAGGCCACAUGGCACAUGUAAUCAAAAACACCAUAAUACAAAUGAAAGGGAUGGCUUUUAAAGGUUUUGGGGCUAACUCUGCCUGCAUAAAUGUUGCUGAGACAUCAAGCUUCACCUAUAUGAUUCCAAAUGGAGUUAUGCACCUCUAAACAUAACAAAUACAGGGAAAGGCAAACCGGCAUUGAUCAUAUUAUGCAGCACAGCAGCAUCCCUUUUGCGUCCGCAACUGUCAUAAGAAAGUAAAAAAAAAAAAAAAAAAAAAAAAACAACUGCUCUGGAAAAUGAACUUAAACUCAAAAAACUGAUUGAGUUGAGCAAUUGGUCUCAGAUGAAAAGUUACUUCAAACAGUUGCUUACUUAUUCAUAAACUACUGAGUAGUUAGUUACUGAGGUUUAAUGAGGUUGGAACAGCCGCUUGCAUUUCUAAGUUUUAUAGACUGUUGGUGGGAUGAUUCAAUUAUCUUGCAGGUAUUCUUGCAUGGGUUGUUACUGCUACUUGUAUCAAAUUAAAUCAUCAUUCAUUGAGAAUACCACUUUAGUAAUCAUAAUGAAGAGGUACAAGUAAGCAACACCCAAGAGAGUUAUUCCCGGUUGGAUCAGUUAGAAUUGUGUCUUACCUAAUUCUUUCCCUUGAAUUGAAGUUGGUGGGUACUUUGCAUGAUCUAACUUCAUAGCCGCAUCACAUUUAUAUGUAAUUAGUCAGAUAGAAGCGCAUAAUUAGGCUGAUCAUCCAAAAGAGUCCUCGAGCACAAUAUUAACGGAACUUUAUAUGCUAAGGUUCGUUUAACUACAAGAUAUACUUUGGAAUUGGAUCUUAGGAUGUCAUAAUAAAGAUAAAUUCAGUUAGUCUAGAAGGCACUAGGAUGUUGAGGAAAAUGAGCAAUAUUAAGCACCAGGAUGUGUUGGUUGUAAAGAACACAAAUUUGUACUUUUUAAGUGGGAAGGAAGGUCAAGAAUAAAGUUGAAGGAUAGCAAAACUUACCAAUUAGUACAAUUUACAAGUACAUCACAUCACCACAGGCUACAUUUAUUGGCCUAAACAGAACUUCAAAGAAUUCACCUACCAACACGAGAUUUCAUAUAGAAAAGCUUUCAACUUUUCUGCCAUGAACUGGGAAGACUAAAACGACAAAUGGCUUGAAACUGGUGAUUUCAGUUAUCAGACGAAACUCAAAAAAUUCAAAUGAAAAUGAGAUCAUCCACAAUUGCUUCUGUAUAACGUGCGUAGUUGGAAGGUUUUCCAGCAAUACAAAUGGAAAGAUAUACUACUACUAGCUAUUUAACAUUGGCUAAUUUAGACUUUGUUCUCCUUAAAUUUCUUUAGUAUAAAAAGAAUGCAGCACAGUGGUAGGACUGAGUUGGUCCCAUACCACAUUUAAUUCUACAAUCUACUGACUUAAAGCGACACAUUAACCUGAAGUAAAAUUGCAAAAGAUGCAAGUGUCCGACAUCAUGUGUUGGAUAAUGCUUCCUUGUUGAAUCUCAAGCUUUCUGCUCUCCUUAUUCCAGAGAUGCACUGCAAAACUUCGGCCACGAAUCUGCCUAAGUUUAGUAAACAUCCACUUCGAUUGAGUCUCAUUCCUUGGAGCUCUAAAGAGGCUGCCAAUCCUGCUCCAAUCAACAGGAUAAAAUGCCGCAGGAGGCAACACCGUAAAAUUAUAUCCAGGCCUUUGGCUUACCCUUGAAACAACUCUCGAAACCAAGUAAGGGCCAUUGUGACCCCAUUUAUUGCCAUCAAAAGUUAGUGCAAAUUCUUCAAUAAACUUGUAAAGCAAUGGAUGCCCUUUAUCGAAAAUCAUCACUGCAUUAUUCAACCUGCUCCAAUUUCUUGUCUGAAGAUUCACAGUCUGAGCUCCAAUUGCAUUCCUCAAGUUGACAAACCUCUUCAAUACUAUCAUAUCAGCGUCGAUAUAGAUCCCACCAAACUUGUACAGCAAACCAAGCCUAAGCAAAUUGGAGAGGUUUUGGCCAAAUGAAACCUCCCCGGGAUUGACAUUUCCUUUGGUUAAACGAUCAAUCCAAGCUUUUGCAACUGUAUUCUUGAACAAAUAAUUGUAAUCAGGGGAAACUGCAGCUACCCUGAAUCCCUUUUUCAAGAAAGGCCUUAAAAUUUCCAUCCCUAGUCUUGAAUCCAAUGAAUCUGACGCUAUUAUCAAGCAACCAUCCGGAUGUGACUUGAAUAAACUUUCUAUGGUGAAAAAUUCUCUAUCACCGAAAUUGCCAAUUGAAGAUAUCCAAGUCAUAAAAAACCGAAACUUACAUGAAGAGUUCGAUGAAUUAGCUUUGAAGAACUCCUUCACUCUUUUCGAGAACUGCUUCAUUUCCCCAUCCUGCCCGAAAAUUUUGCUCAAAGCCUUUCUACUUUGCCUUCUUUUCACAUGAAGUAUGACAGAUUCAUUCCUAAUAAAAUCCAAUGAAUUUUGGUCUGUAUGCAGGAGGGUAAAGUUCAAGUCCAAAAGGGUCUUCUUUUCUGCAACAGGGAUUUCUUCUUUCACAGCAUACAUGACAGAAGAGGACACUUUACCUGAGGAAGACAUAGAAACGAACCUUCUUGAUUUUUCUGCAACAUUUUCCGGCGAGGAACUAGCUAGCAGGGGAGCUGUCUUGGCUGGAAACGGGAUAUAAACUGAGAAGAUACUGAGGCUAUUGUAAGCUAAAAGAACAAUCAAGACAAGGGAAACAAGAAGCUGAGAUAGCUUCAGUUUGAAAAUCCCCAUUGGUACUUCUGUGAUCUUUGCAUGGUCAAGGAUUUACAUUUGUCUUUAGGACAAAACUUGGAAAGUGAGAAGUAAAGUUGAAGAGCAUACUUCCUACUAUUGUUAUUACCACAUUUUUCAAUAGCGGGGGCGGCAAAAUUUUGGGCACGAAGAUUAUUGAAAAUGUUUAUUGGGUUUUGAGCUAUGAAGAUUUUGGAAGCAGAAGUUUAUAUAACCUAUGAACGGAAGCUGGUUGGGUUUUGAGCCAAAAUUGUACUUUUAGUGGAAGGAGGAAAACACAGAUGGGAUGAAAUUAAUUUGUAUUGGCGGUUGGGAAGUUGGCUACGGCGUGGUGCAUGCUCCGAGUCCCAAUUAUAUACACUAGUCUCUGCGUCCCAAUUAUUUAACCAUAUUUAAGAAAUUCAACUUUUUAAAAUAGUGAUUUUAUUGUAUUAUUUGUACUUUUUUUAAUAAUUUUACCUUCAUAAAUUUAAAUUUUAAAUUUAAAUGUUAGCCUGUGUAUGCUUAGAGAAAAGGGUUAUAUUAAAAAUAAAGAUAAAAGUGUGUUUACACUUUUUCAACGUGACAAAUAAUUUGGAACAUUUUAAAAUGAAAAAUAUGACACUUUAAUUACAUCAUAAAUAUGUUUUUCUCUUUAAUUGUAAAGUGCACAUAUAUAUGUAUGUGUGUGUGUGUAUAUAUAUAUAUAUAUAUUAUAUCACACUAAGUUAAGCUGAUAGUGGCAGUAUGCCUAAAGAGUUAUAGCUAAAUAAAUAAGAAUUAUGGAUUUGUGACUAGGCCUGUCAAUCGGGCCUAAUGAGCGGGGUUUUGAUGAGUUCAAGUUCAGCUCAUUUAAUUUGAAACAGUUUCGGGCUAUGAGUUUCGGGUUCGUAAAUGUGAAACUCAUACUCAGCUCACAUAAUAUUCGAGUUGUGAGCCUUAAUCGGGCUUAGCCCAAGCUCACUUAUUACUCAUUAAUUUUCUUAAUAUAAUUACUAUAACUAUUAAGUUGUAAAACUAAUUUAACAUUUACAAGACUAUAAUAUUAAAACUAAACAUGAACAAAUAAUAGUUCUUAAAAAGUAUAUAAACCAAAAAAAUUUUCAACAAUAUUUAUAUUUAAUCCAUUUAAAAUGCAUGAAAAAUAGUAAUAAAACAUGCGAUCAAAAGCCAAUACAUCUUUAAAAGUUGAAACUUUUUUUUAUAAUCUUGUGAUUUAAAUCCAAAUAUGCUUGAGGAUUUUUGUGUUUGUAGACAAAAAAAAAAUCAACCAAUAAUAUGCUAAUACAAAAAUUUACUCAACCAAUAAGAAAAAUUAGAGAUUUAGUUAUGCAUUACUAAUAUUGGCUCUCAAGAAAGCUCAUGAAAGAGUCUUUAGAUGUAUUUUUGUGUUUUGUAAUUUAUAUAUAUUUUUAGUAUUUAGUAAAAACAUAUUUGGAUAUAUAAUUAUACAUAAUAUCAAAAUAUAAAUAUUAUAUAUAUAGGUAAUUAAAGGGCCGGACCUAUAUCGGAUUUGAGCCUAAUAAGGCCCAAACUCGGCUCACAUUUAAUUCGGAUCUAAUUUUUAGGCUUAAGCUCAGACCGGCUCACUAAAUGAUCGGGCUCAUCGGGUUUUCUGUCGGACCGAACGAGCCGAGCUCGGACUGGCCCAACCCCAUUGACAGUCCUAUCUGUGACCAAAGAUGUUCUCGAAUAUAUGUUCAAAUUGACAAAUUAGCAAAUCAUUGAUUGGAUUGAAGGCGUACUUCUCUUUUCAUUUCAUUGCUAUGUACACCUCAAUGACACGAUGAAAUUCAAUUUAUGAGUUAGGUUGAUUAUUUUAACAAGGGGAAAAAUUAGAAAGUUUAGGAGAGCUGAUCCAAUUGGAGAAUGAUAGCGGUAAAAUUAUAAAUUUUUCGAAUAUCCACUACACUUUGUGAGUAGCAGAGUUUUGAUCACUCAACUUUUAAAAAUAUAUAUUUACCCACUAAAUUAUUAAAAAUAUAAAUAUUGGAUCAUUUCGUCUAUUUUUACCAUUAAGUCUAUCAGAUCUAAGGACGUGCACAAUAGUUUAAUGAGUAAAAACAUACUCACACAAUAGUUUAGUAGAAAAAUACAUAUUCAUACGAUAGUUAACUUGUGUACUUUACGAACUACCAACUUGGUUGCAUCUCGUGACUCGUGCAAGUUCUUAGAUCUAACACACUGAUGAAUUGUGAAAAUAGGUAGAAUGAUUCAAAUUUUAUAUUGUCAACAAUUUAAUGGAUAAAUAAAUACUUUUAAAAUUAAAUGACCAAAACCCUAUUAUUCUAAGAAUUCAGUAAGCAGCGGGGCAAUUUGCUCACAAGCAGAAUGAGAUACAUGUAAUCUAAACUUACUAAUGUAAAAUAUAUAAAAGACUGAUGAUAUAUAUAUAUAUAUAUAUAUAUAUAUAUAUAUAUAUGAACACUGAUGAUUUAUAAAAGACUUACUCGACAGAAUAUAUUUAACUUUGUGCGCCAAGUUGUCCUCUAAACUUGGGGCAGCUUGUAUUUGCCGUAGUUGUUGUAUUAAGAAGUACAAUAACAAGUCAAUGACACGACAAAUGAUUGUCGCCAUUCCGAAGCAUUUUCUAUAACUCAUUAUCUGCUUAUUAUUUACCAACUUCAGUGGCUAUAACCAAUCAUCCAUACCUUCCUCGCAAAACUUGAAACCAGGUAAUUUUCUUUGAAAAUGGUUAGUUUUCAUUUCUAAAAUUUGAGCCAUGGACACAUUAUCAUUCAAACUUUCUGGUAUAACACAUUUAAUAUCCAAGUUACCAAUUUUUAAUUAAUUUCAUACUCAAAUGAGUAAUUAAUCAAUUUGAAUAGAAAUUGGGGAUGCAAUGGACAUGAACCUGCUAAGUAAAAAGCGUUGCAUGACUUAAAAUCAGCAAAAUAAAAUGGAUAUCUUCACUCUCCCUACUUCAAUUUUGGUUCAAAUCGAUUAAUUUUCUGUUUGAGGAUGAAAUUGGUAUAAAAAUUAAUAGUUCAGAUACUAAAUGUGUUAUACUAGAAAAUUUGAUAGCAAAAUACAUUCACGGCCCAAAGUUUAGAGAUGAAAGUUGGCAUGUUCCCCUUUUCUUUUGUUUUUCAUGCAAAAAUCCGGCAAGUGCACAUUGUUUUAUGUUCUGCAAGGUUUCUUCCACAGGGCAAAGCAGUCAUGGCCUAUGCAGACAAAGCUAAUAUAAAAUUUACGGUACAUUAUGCAAGUAGAAGUUACAUGCAACAAAAGUGACGGAGCUAAGACUCGCAAGCCUCAGCCACCGGAAGAACAGAAAAUUGGAACGGUUGACGGCGCAUGUCAUCUUUAUUUGGCUACGAAAAUCAAAGUUCUCCAAAUUUUAGAGGAUAAAUGAAUGUGGACGAAUUUCAUAACCAUGCAUAAUCGAAUCCGUGUCCUCCAAUGUUUCAGGUUAACCAUAGAGACUAUAGUCCAGCCAGUGGUACGAAGAUAUGCGGCUGCAGCUGCCCAACACGGCACAAAAAGGAACUGUUCCGUAAAAGAAAACCAAUGUAGGCAUUUUCCCACAAAGAUUGUGAAGGAAUCCGAUAUACAUAUCAAAGUUUCGAAUUAAAUUCACCAUUCAUCACUCAUAAAAGCCCAUGAUCAAGAAGAAAGACCUUAAUCAAUACAACCGCAUUAGUCAUAAUUAAAUAUAACGUGUCACUCAAAACUACAAUAAUAAGGAAAGCCUGAACCUGAAAGUGUAGCAUCAAACUUCAAAGCAACCCCAUUCUUCUCUUAUAGUCGCCAACAGUCAAGGUUAAAGAAUGUCUCCUCAUCAUUUUCUGGAACCCUUUAUCCCUAUAAUGCAGCAUCAAACUUCAAAGCAAUCCCAUUCUUCUCUUGUAGUCGCUGACAGUCAAGGUUAAAGCAUGUCUCCUUCCAUCAUUUUCUGGAACUCUACAACCAACAGUUGCUUCUAUUCUCUGCUUCCGAGCCAUGAACCCUGCUUGCGCUCCUUUGGCCCCACCAAAAUUUUCAAGUGGAUCCAAGUUAAUUUCAAGUUUAAAACCAUGCAGCAUGUUCGACUCUCUUCCUUGAUCUACAGGAGCACUUGUAUCUACCAACUUCCCAUCAUCCGCUGUAGCUGUAGCUGCCUUUCCCAUCUCAGUGGAAACUACAGCUGUGCCAUUACGGUUAUUGACUGCUGAGGCUGCAGUAGCUUCACCAUCUGCUGCAGUUGCUUCUCCAUCAAUGGGGUUUUUGACAUAAUAAUUUCUUGACCUGGUCCAUCUCCUUGAGAAGGGAUCAUACCCAGCUUCACCAGCUUUCAGACUCGCAUUGACCGGUUUCAAUCCUGAUGCAUUCUUGAAGUUUUCAACCCUGUUCUUUCUGUUCAUCUCUGCCAACCUAAUAGCUUUUUUGUCCAUCUCAUGGGCUUGCCGAGAUGCCUCCAAUUCCUGCAGUCUGGCCUUGAUCCUCUCCACCUCUAGUUCAUCAUUGUUAAUCUUUGCCACUUCCAUCUCUGUCCUCAAACGAUCCUUCUCAGCUGCAACAUUCAGCGGUCUCCAUGUGGCAGACUUUUUCUCCUGCAACAUCUGCUUGACAGUUUCUGCAGAGUAAACAAAUGAAUUUGUCUUCUGAAUGGCCUCCUUCUUUUCCAAUACCUCCAGUUUGCUUGGCAUGCGGCCACCACUGCGCUCUACUUCCCUAACCCAUUGGUCAUAUUCCUCCUUGGCAGGUGGAGAGUCUGAAAUCAUGGCCAUCUGCCACCUAGCAGCAGAGUUUUCAUUUCCCCAAACAACAUUUAGAUACUUAUAUGUGGUCUUGUUAUCAAGCUUGUACAGGCGAUCUGGGUCUGAGCCAUCAACAUUGCGGACAACACAGAGUCUGUAGAUUGGACCAUAUCUAUUCUUCCCAAUUCCAACCCUUACAAAACAACCAACAAUCAAAUCCUCAAAAAAAGGUUCCAUAAACCACUUUGCUAAUUUAGAUCUUCGAAUGGUAAUUUCCUUUAUAUCCUCAUAGGUUGGCCACUUUGAUUCAGCUGAUGUCUUGUCUUCAUCACUAUCAGCCAUUCCACCAUCACCAGUAGACUCUUCCUCAUCACUAUGUGAAGCGCUUCCACUCCGGGUAGGGCUACCUAUAGUUGCUGCUGUAAAGGGUCUACGCUUGACAGGUGAGUAACCACGGCUUCCAGAGCCAUCUCUAGUUGCAUCCCUAAGUUUCCGAUGAGCCUCUGGAUCCUGCUGCCUCAUUCGCUUUGCUCGUAUCUCAUUCAGCGCGUCAUCUUUGGCAGCUGUCCUGUCAGCAAAUCUAGUUGAUGAGCGCACAGCACGAGAAUGAGUUUGAGUGGGGCUCCCUUUUCUUUUUUUUGCAAAUUUCUCGUGCAUUUCUCUAUCACUUCUUGUUGAUGCACGAUCUGCUAAAAUCAUUUCCCUUUGAAGUUCCGACAUCUGUGCAAGCUUUUUCCUAUCAUCUUCAUCCUUGUAGAGGUCACUCCCAACAGAAUCGUCAUCACUGUCACCUUCAUGAUAACCAUCUUCUUCAUGAUUACUGUCAUCCUCAUCCCUUUCCAAGGGGUCCAACCUUUUCUUGAGAGGGACUUGUGAACCAGAGGGUUUUCUGUUUGAAUAAGCAUGAUCAUCAUCAUAGUCAUCAUCUUUUGAGUCACUCUCAUCAUCAGAGUAUGGAACCUUGCGUCGUCUUCUCUCACUUUCACCUGUUCUCCCAGCUGCCUCUAACAACAAGUCGUCUAAUUCUUCUUCCUCAGCCAUCGUCUGCAAAAUUAGGAUGCAUUUUUUUUUUUUUUUUGUAUUCAAUAAGUUAAAUCUUUCACAAUCAAUUCAGAGGAAGAUGGACAAACGAAUGAGUUUCUCAAUGAGUCCCAAAACUAGAUAAGCACCUCUCACAAUGAAAACAAUUUCCAGAAAAAGAUGAUGAAAAGGGACGCGGAAGCCAGAAUGCCUAGCGGAUGUCAUUAUUAAACAUAAAGAUGGUUUCAUCAUACAAGUUAUAGCAUUGCGUAAGUGAUCAAUUGUAAAACGUGCAAACUCCAUCUUUUGCAGCAUCUUUCAUCAAUUCAAUAAUUGGGACCUAUGCUGACACGAUGUCCAACAAGUGCAUCACAUUGAACAAUGGUGACGGAUGCCACAAAUCUAAGUUUUGCGUCAUGUAAAUUCAGUUCAUUAAUUGGUUCAGCAGUGAUUGGCUAAGUCAUUAUUGGAACGGUGUCGUUUAUUUAUUCUAGUACUAUAAUAAGUAGUUUUAUUGUGGUGUCGCUUAGUUCAGUCCAGGGUCGUUUUGAACUCAGUUGGGUUUUUUUUAUAGAAUUCUUCCAGCUCAGCAAGUUUGUUGUUUCCCUUUUAGUUUGUUAGAUAAAUAGCAUUGCUCCUGCAUUGGGGAUCAGUUGCAAUCUUACUUUUAAAAUUUUGCCAGCGACAAGGAGAUAUUCCUUUCUCUGCAAGAAACUUCCCUUCUUUUCCUUCCUUUGUUGAUCAUUCCUUUUCCUUCCAUUUUUGGGUUGAAUUUUUCAAAUUUCUUCAUUGAUUGACAAGUGGUAUUCAGAGCUGUUCGAUUCCUUGGCAAUGGCGGAAACAACAAGUAAAGCUUCUGAGGAAAAUCUUAAAAGGCUAGAUAAAGAAGUUUCAGAAUUGGGGUAGCUUUAGUACCAUACAAACUCCGAAAAACCAAACCAGGUACAUCAACUCACAACUCUAUUAGCCAAAAUUAAGAAUCAUUCAGGACUCUGAAAUCAAUAGCGAAACAUACAAGAACCAGAAAAUGUAGUCAUACAAUCUUCUCAAACAUCAACAAGUGGCAAGGUGAAGUCAAUUCAACAGAAUAGAAGCAUAAACUGUAUUCACAUAAACCAACUUCGCAAGCAACUACAUAUCCAACUACAUUACGUAAAUCCUUGCCAGUCUAACUUUACCAGCCAAAACUAGUGUACUGUCACUUUAGGGUCCAUACCACAUUGUACAUGCAUUAACUUGUAUCUUUCUUACACAAACAUUACACUAAUUUUCAUUUUUAAAUCCAAUAUACCCAUAAAAACUACCUCAAUCAAGCCGGUCAAACGAUUUUCCCUAAUCCUCAAAGUACAGCAACUCAGAGUUUCCCCUUUUUUUCUGCUGAACACAAAAUAAGAAAAUUGCUCCCGCAAAGAAGUCUAAAGCCAAACAUGAAAAAUAAAGAAUUAUCCAUAGGUCAAACAAGAACUGGCAUCGUAGAAUUCAAAGGAUAAAACAGGAAGAGUUUUUGAAGUACUAUAUUCUCAAGAAAUAACACCUGUAUCCACAUAUCAUCACGAAUUUCAACUCAAGCAUAGAUCUGCAAGUAUGCGCCUAGCAGCCCUAGAUUCGAACUCCACUAGUUUUACAUUCUUCUUUUCCUUUUAUUUCGUCAUGAGCAAUGAAGAAGAAAAAACUAGCUGAUAAAUUAAAAACUAAUAAGGCAGAAUUAGAUGGCUACAGCGAGAAAGCUUACCGGAGAGAGUUAGAAAGCGAUAGAAUUAAACAGCGCAGUCUCGUCGUCCGGUCGGCUGACGGAGUCGGUGGCUCCUCCGGCUAAUUAUAGCAGAGGAACAAAUCCUGCUGAGAUCAAGAGGAUCGAGCUGAGGGCAAUCAAAGGAAACCGUAUAUAUAUAUAUAUAUAUUUAAUUAGUAUCCCUUUUUCAGGUGAAUAUAAUGACGCCCCAGUCAUUAAUUUUGAUGAAUUUGAUUACCUUAUUGCUGGGCUGUCAAUUCGGCCCAUUUAUCUCGCUUUUUGUAGGACGAAGCCCUGUGUUGCAUAGGCCAUGAUGUUUAGGCUCCAACUCAGGCCCUUCUACUCUAUUAGGCCGUAUACUAUACCUGAUUAGCCCAAAAUAAGAUCAUAUUUCUUUUUUUUUUUUAUUAUUCGAAAAUGAAUUCAAGCAAGUAAAAGGGGGAAAAAAAAAGUGUAUCGGUGAACAUAAAUGAUUGCCAACAGAUGGCGACUUAAUUUUUAUUUAAUAAUUCAAUUUAAUAUUUAAAAUUUAAUAAAUUUAGACUUUAAUACGUUCAAACUGUAUUUCGACCCAAUGUUAUUCGCAACGGGAUCAAGAAUCCCCGUAGCAAAGUUGCACAAUGUUACAAAUAGGUAUUUGAAGAUUUGACUACUACUACUACUAACGAGCCUAAUCAGUCCACCACUUGUUGAAUUUAGCUGUGUUUGUAGGCCAACAGAUUUGUGGAAUUGAUUCUCGAGUUUGAUGCAAUUGAUCGAUAAAUUAAUAUGAGUCUAAUUAGAGAAAAUUUUUUAUUUGCUUAAAAAUAUAAACUUACAAAAUAACUUUUCUCCAUAGCUACAAUUUACAGACCAGCCGUCUGUUCUGCAUCAUAAAUUUCAGCUUUAAUGGGAUCACGUGCUAUAUUUUUGCACCAUAAAUUUGGAGGAUAACUUCAGGAACAUCCCCUGAGGUUUUUGAUAAUUUCAAGUGGCUCUCUUAAGGUUUUAAAAAUUAUACCUACCUUCCUUAUUCAUUGAAAAUGACAAUAAUAUUAACCUUAAUAUUUUAAUAAAACUCUCUUGUUGCCAUGUGUUAUACAAAGGAUGGAUUUUAUUUUAUUUUUCCUUUUUUCCUUCUUAUUCAUUUCUCUUAUAUUUCAUUAGAAGUAUAGAAUAACUAUCAAUGUUGUUGCUAAUAUCUAUCCAGAACAAAUGUUAAACUAGUUUUUUUUUAUGAUUUUUAAUAUCAGCUAAUUUUUGUAGCUCUUUUUUUUUGUAUCAAAAUCAAGAAUAAAUCAACAAUAAUUAAAAAUAAAUUGCCCAAAAUCGCUACCAAACUUUGGUAGUUCCAUCACUAAACUAAUCCAUAAACUUUUAUUAAAAAAAUUAGUUCAUAAGCUUAGAAAACACAAGAUAACACUUUCUUCUCUAUUUUAAAAAGAACCUAUAUUCUAAAUAAAGCAGUAUAAAAAAUAGCUUAUUAUAGCAAAAGAUUUAUUGUUAUAGUUGAUUAUUAAAUAACAAAUAUUUGUAUGAAAUACUUGAGACUCGGUUUUUUUUUUAAACUAAUUGUAUCGAAUUACUUUAUAAUUGUUUAGAAAAAUGAAUUAAACUUUAUAAGAUAAGGGCAUUUUAGGGUAUUCAUUAAAUUUUUUAUCUUAUUUUAAGGUUUGGAUACCAAAGUGUCAAAUCGAGGGAGAUAAGUGUAAUUUUUAAAAUUUUAAGAGAACUAAGUGAAAUAGUCAGAAACCUCAAGGGAGAUUUCUGAAAAUAUCCCUAAAUUUGGUGUACCAUAAAAUCGAAUGGACAAACAAGAAAACACUUGGGAUCCUUGGUGACAUGUUUUCUAUGUCAAUCCAAUGCCAUCAAUAGUGUUGCAUCAAGUGUCAUGUUAUUAUUUAAACUUGUAUUAAACCAAGCCAAAUUGAAUUAUUAGAAAAUUAAAAUGUAAAUAAUAAUAAGACACUUGGCACAAUACUAUUGGUGGCAUUGGAUUGAGGCUAAUUGAUCCGAAUAUUGAUGAAAAAAAAACCCUUCAGACACUUGCGGGUCUGACAGUAGUACGGUAUAAAUAUAUGGGUGCCGGGCUGACACAGCCCGGCACCUGACACCAAAAAAUUUUUUUUUUUUUUUAAAAGACACAUGGGUGCCGGGCUGUGUCAGCCCGGCACCUGAAAAAGUCAGAAAAAGUUGGCUGCCGGGCAGUCUCUGCCCGGCAGCCAGUCAAAUAGUAAAAAAAAAAUUUCGAAGGGCCUCAAUGCAAUUCAGACAAAGGGCUCAACUGCAAAAGCUGGCUGCCGGGCACUCUCUGCCCGGCAGCCAGUCAAAGUGUUUAAAAAAAUAUUCGGCAGGCUUCAAUGCAAUUCAGACAAUGUAGCUCCCGUGAAUUUUUCACACUUUUUUGCUUCAGAUUUGCCCCUUUUGCAGGCUUGUGGACAAAAAAAAAAUUGUCUGCAGCUCCCGUGAAGCAAAAAAGAGCUGAAUCAAAACAAAUUUACGUACGAUUGGACAAAAGAACUAUGCUCCAUUAGACUUUAGCAGGUCGUGAAACAAUAAUUGUGUGCUAUCGGUAAUAAAAUUUUUUUUUAAAAAAAAAAACUUUGUAAUCUAGCCGUCCAAACGGACGGCUAGAUUUUACCUUAUGCUCUAUAUAAGCACUGAGGAACUUCCUCAUCGUCCGCACCUCUCACUUUCUCCCCUACGAAAUUUACAUUUCUCAUUUUUCUCUCAGCCCUCAGUCGGAGUUUACAUUUCUCAGUGUCUCACACUUUCACACGAGCACCUCACUUUACAUUUUGCAGAGUUGGGCGUAUUACUAUCUUGUGGCCCUAAUCGAUAUUUUGAAGAGUUGGGCAAAGAACUGUCCUGUGGUCCAAAUCGUGAGUAUUUGUUGGCUUAGUCCUCCUUAUUUAACAAAUGAUUAUUACUUUGUUUGGCAGUAGAAUUGGCUUGUGGUCCUGUUGGUGUUUCUAAUAAUUACCUUAUUCUUAUGCAGAAUUGGCAUCAGACGCUUGGUGCCGUGUUUUUGUUAAUCGCCGUGCUGAUUAAUUGCGGUGCUUCUGUUAAGGUCGCCGGGCUCAUUACUCACGGUGCUCCCAAGGCAAUCGAUUUUUUUGAUUCAAAAAAGGUUAGUGAUUUGUAUUAUAUAAAAGUUGCUAUAAUUUGUCAUUUUAUGUUAGUGAAUUGUUGAUAAAUAUUUUAUGAUAUUAUUAUAAUUUGUUAUUAAUUAAAUAUUUAAUUUAUUGUUGAAGCAAUUGUAAACAUAUAAUGUAGUUUACGUAUGUUUGUUAAUAUUAGUUAGUGAAGCACGGUACACGCUUAGUUGAAUUAGUUUAGUGAUUGAAUUAGUUUAAGUAGAUUAAUUAGUUGUUUAAAUUUGUUUAAUAAAUGUAUUUAAAGUGAUUGAUUAAAUGAAUAUAAAUCUAUAAUAAAUGCAGUACAUAAAAUUGAUGUCAUUAGCAUAGCUUAAUAUCGAAAUUAGUAUUAUUGGUUCAAUGCAAUUCACCUUAUUAUGCAAGUUAGUUGAUAAUUAGUCCACGGUAUUUAGUAUAUGAUUAGUUUAAUUAGUUUUGUGAUUUAAUUAGAUUAAUUAGUUGCUUUUUAAUUAGUUGAAUGAAUUAAAUUUAAUAGGUUCGAUUAGAUGAAUUUAGAUGUAUUUGUCGAGUCAUGUAUUGAGUUUUGAUUAUGAUAGCUAUUUAGUAGGGAUAAUUUAAGUAUUUGAAAUAAUUGCUACAUUUAAUACAUAAAAUGCAUAAACAUAAUGUAAUUAGGUUAGCUUUAUUUCAAAAUUAGGGGUAUUAGUUUAAUGCAAUUGACUUUGUUGCGCAAGUUAGUUGAUAACUAGCUUGUGCUAUUUAGUAUCUGAUUAGAUUAAGUAGUUUUGUGGUUUAAUUAGUUAAAUUAGGACCUCUCACUCUUUUGUAAUUAAUUAAUUUUAAGAGGUCGAUUAAAUGAAUUUAGAUUUAUUUGUCGAGGCAUGUAUUGAGUUUUGGUUAUGAUAGCUAUUUAGUGGGGAUAAUUCAAGUAUUUGGAAAAACUGCUACAUUUAAUACAUUAAAUGCAUAAACAUAACGUAAUUAGCAUAAAAUCAUUUUAAAAUAGGGUUUUUAAUAUUAGUAAGAUAUUUGAUUAGAAUUUCAUAUUUAAUUGACCAAAUAUGAAAUGUAGGUGCAUGAUAGACUUAGCAUAAGGUAAAAUUUUUAUAACUAAAUGUAGUAAUUAAGGUGGUUAAUUAGGUUUACUUUGUUAUUUAUUAAAUGAUACGUUUAUUUGUUAUAAAUGGUUGAAUUAUUUAAUUAUAAUGCUUUUUUUGUUGUUAUUUGUUAUAUUAUUGGUUAUUAUUUGUUACAAUUAUGGACUCAUAAUUGUUUAUUUAUUUGUUAUAAAUUAUACAUAUUUGAUUCGAUCAAUUAAUUGAUUAUUCAAAUAAGCUUAUCAAUGCGAUUUUACAAUGUUAUCAACACUCGUCCGUAAUAGGUAUAACAUGUCAAGUGAUAAUUGCCUGGUGAUACAAUUAUAUUGGGGAGGAAAAAUUAUAUACAAAAAGGGGUCAAUUUCAUAUGAUCCUCCUAUACCGAAAAAUGCGUUGUUCCUGACAGAGGUGGUGGGUUAUGAUGAAUUGGUAGAUAGAAUAUACACUAUUAUGGGUUUAGAUCGGAACAGCUAUAACAUUAGUUUGAUAUAUCGGAGUUGUCUCCAAAAUGGCAAGUUUGGUGCAAUGCCUUUGGUAAAUGACAAUGGAGUUGCUGGUCUGUACUACUUACAAUCUGGUAGUAGGCUUGCAACCGAAAUAUAUGUGGAGGUCGAGAAGCUAUUGGGUUUAGAAGAACAUGGUACCGAUGGUUUAUAAAUUAUAAGUGGUAAUCUUGAGCGAGGCGGUAGCAGUUCCGAACAUAUAUCUUUAUUGCAGCUAGUCGCCCAUUUUGAGAGUCAAAUGACCCAACUAGCUAGAGCAGAUGUCGAACAAAGGCAUAGAGGGCGAAGAAGGGGUACUGGUCGGCAGACGAAUAAUGAGCCUCCAUGUACAGGUGCUCGACCGAUAAUUCACACCUCAAGCAUUCAUUCUCGAGGUGCGGAUAUUGAAUCGGCACCAAUGUUUGAUGCACAGCCAUCUACUGACGAUCAGUUUGUAGAUGUUGACAUGGACUCCGAACCGGAGCCCAAUCUUAGUGGUUCGGAUGAUGAGAACCACGAACAUGGUACUGAUAGUCAAGCAGGGCAUCUAGAGGGCACAUCUAUGGCCCAUGAUGACAUGGAUCACGGUGCCCCCUGGAUAAAUAGUGAGGGUCCACAACUGCGUUAUGAAGCUGGUGUUGACGCUGCAUUGAAUUUUGACCCCCUUGAUGCUGGGCGAGUGGAAAAGUUAAGAAUGUGGAAUGAACACACCAGAGAUUUAGAAUUGGGCCAUCUUUUUGAAUCAAAGGAGCAUGUCCAACGAGCUGUGAAGUUGUGGUCCAUCAAGGAGAACAGGGAGUUCAGAGUUCGUGAGAGCACGCCAACGACUUGGUAUGUUCGUUGUCGGGCUCGUAACUCCGUCCCCCCUUGUAAUUGGCAGCUUCGUGCAACCUUACGGAGCUCGCACAACAUGUGGAUGAUUGUCACACUUGCUGACGCACAUACUUGCGUCCGUAUUUGCUAUAGUAACGAUCACCGUGGAUUGAGUAGUGACAUAAUUGCUGAGCACAUUAUUCCCCAUAUUAUGAAUGGUCCGGUGUACAAAAUCAAGGAAAUUCAGGCAUCGGUGAAACAAGAGUUUCAUUGUGAUGUGUCAUAUAAGAAGGCUUGGUACGCUAGACGCCGUGCCAUUGAUAUAUUAUAUGGGGACUGGCCGACAUCCAUAUUGCAACUGCCGACAUAUAUUGAGGAGUUACAACGAUCGAAUCCAGGGACGGUAGUUGUGUGGGAUCAUCAUCCAUUAAGUACCCCAUCUGCAAUAAUUUUUGAUUAUAUAUUUUGGGUAUUUGCUCCAGCCAUCCAAGCUUUCCGCUAUCUAAAACCGGUGAUAUGCGUGGAUGGUACCUUUUUAAAAGGGCCUUAUCGGGGAAAACUUUUGGUCGCCAUAGGGUUUGAUGCUGACAAUUCAAUGUUUCCUUUGGCAUAUGCCCUAGUUGAUGAGGAGAAUAAUCGGAGUUGGUCUUGGUUCAUGAGACUGUUACGCAUUCACGUGUGUGGUGAUGUGCAAAAUAUAUGCAUUAUUUCUGAUCGUCACCACGGCAUUAUAAACGCAAUGCGUACACUUGAAGAGUGGCAGGAGCCAUUAGGGGUGCACCGAUUCUGUUUGAUUCAUAUUCGGAGUAAUUUCACACAAAAAUUCAAGAAUGAGAGGUAAAUUGUCUCCGAACCUUUAAAAAUAAUGCAUCCGCACCCUAACAUAUUAAACAUAUAUUAAACUUAUUCUGACGAUAUUUUAUGUUGCCUGGUAGACUUAAAAGUCUGAUGUACGCUGCUGGUGUGGCAAAUCAGCCGCGCAAGUAUGAGGACAACAUGAAUUUGAUUUACUCCUUGAAUUUGGAGGCGUACACAUGGCUAACGGGUGGAUCAGUUCGACCCGAGCAAUGGGCUCUGUGCAAAGAUGGGGGUUAUCGUUGGGGGCACAUAUCCACAAAUAUGGCUGAAUGUUUCAAUAAUUUGUUGAGGGACGCUCGGUUGCUUCCAAUUACUGCAUGCAUACGGUUCACAUUCAAUCAAACAGUUGACCUGUUUGUCAAAAAUCAUAAGGUGGCAUGGAAUCUAGUAUACGCGCUCCCAAAAAAAUUUUGGAAGCUAUAUGUAAAAAAUGAAAAAAAAGGGAGGGCACAUGCAGUUCAAGUGUUCGAUCACCAGAGAGGCAUUUACUGUAUCACAACUGCUUAUCGACAAAGCCGACAAGGAGGUAAUGCCCAGACUGUCGACAUUGGAAGUCACACAUGUACAUGUGGAAAAUGGAGAGAACUACGCUUCCCAUGUUCGCAUGCUAUGGCAGCGUGUUAUAGGUGUGGUAUUAGUCCAAUGACGCUUGUCGCUCAUGAGCAUACGUUUCCCGCUUAUCAGGCUACAUUCAGUGGUUCUUUUCAGCCGCUACGGGAUCCAAAAUAUUGGACCACAUCUGAAUUAAAACUGAAUGUCAAUGGAGAUCGGUUGAAACAAAAGAUGCCCGGACCAUUGAGAACUGCUAGGAUCAGAAAUCAGAUGGAUAGAAGAUGUCCUGAUGCACCACGUCGAUGCAGUAACUGCUUACAGCCGGGUCACACUGCCCCUAAUUGUCCAUAUACUGGUUAUUUUCAUAAAUAACUUGAGCUGUCUCAGUUCUGGUAGAGGGUUGUACUAAUAAGUAACUGGUAUUUGAUAUUUGAUAGUAUUAAAUGCAUAACUUUUGAUGUAUUAUCUGUUAUGAACUGCUAUUUGGUAGUGAUAAAUGUUAAACUCUGGAUGUAUUGUCUGUUGUGAUGCAUUUGUUAAAGUGUUAAAAUUUGGAGAAUAAACAUGGUACUUAUAUUAUUUGUAUCUGAAAGUAGGAUUUAAAAUGGAGCGAUGGAACAGAACCACAGCGCCCCCUCAUCCCGGUCCCUUGGAUGACAGUGUUUUAUAUCUACAAUCAGAACACAGGUCAGCUGCGAUCUUUCAAGGCAAUGGUGUGGAUUUAGAUGUUCGGCGGUGUGAUAAGAGGUUUUUUCAACCUCUUAUACAUUUAGAUGAACGGGUUGCGCACUACAUCGAUGCUGCUGGCUUUUAUGGCAUUCGCCGCGCCGGUUAUCUCACAGUAGAUCAUGGUCUUAUUAAUGCACUUGUGGAGCGUUGGAGGCAAGAGACACACACUUUUCACCUUCCAGUUAUGGGAGAGGCGACUGUGACUCUGCAGGAUGUGGAGGUUUUAUGGGGUCUAAGCGUUGAUGGUCUACCCGUCACAUUAGUACAGACGAAACGUAGUCCAUUAGACCGCAAACAGUUGGUUAACGACCUUUUGGGAUAUUGGCCAGAAGAUAAUAUGCUGAACCACGGUCGUCUGAAGUUAUCGUCCAUAUCCCGACGGUUGAGUACGCCACUGCCUGCAGAUGCUUCUGAUGAGAUGGUUCGCCAGUAUGCCCGGAUGAACAUUCUAAUUCUAUUGGGUGGAUUGCUAUUUGCAGAUUCGUGUCAGAACGUCGUCAGUUUAAGUUGGCUAGACUAUGUUCGGGAUUUGGAUGCCAUGAGCCAGUACAGCUGGGGAUCUGCGACGUUGGCGUGUUAUACCGACGAUUGUGCCACGCAUCACGUGUGUCUGCAAUCACAUCUGGAGGUCCGUACUUGUUAGUACAGCUUUGGGCGUGGGAGCGGAUUCCCGUGAUUCGUCCUGAUAUACUCCCAUAUUCUGGGAUUGGGGAUUUUCCUAGAGGUGGUAGAUGGGCCGCUCAACGAACAGGGGUUGACCCUUAUAGCCGAUCCACUACAUCUUAUCGGGAGCAGCUAGCCUUAUUGCGGUUGGAUCAGGUAUAACGUCUAUAUCAAUAAAUUAUAUUUUAUAGUCCCUCGUUUUUAAUUUUGGAUCGUAUCUAAAUUAUGGUUAUGGUAGCAGUUUAUUUGGAUGCCGUAUAGCAAUGGCGUACUGGCUAGUCUACCUGAUUAUUGCAGAAGAGGGGAGCGCAUAUGGCGGGCAAGAGUCCCUCUAAUUUUCUGGCACAUCGUUGAAAUACAUUGUCCAGAUCGUGUCAUGCGCCAAUUUGGGAUGAGGCAGGAAAUUCCGGAAGAAGUUGACACUAAUCGAGCUUUACACCAAUUGGAGAUUUCCGGUUAUCCUGGAAGAAAUUGGGCUCAUUUUCAUCGGGAUUGGAUAGGAUACUGGAAUGCGCGUGGAGAAGCACAAGUACCUGGCGUGCCUACAACCACGUUCAGGCCUUCCAAUAAUUAUCUGGAGUGGUAUCACAAUCACACCGUUCUGUACAUUACGCCGCCUAUCCAGCAGCAGGCACAAGUUGGACAAAUGUUGCAUGGAGUUUCGGGCCAGUUGGAGUAUUUGGUAAAUUACUACUAUCUCCCAAAUUUAAUUUAUUUACUUUUGGACAAUGGAUGAUCAUGUUUUCUCCUAUUUUGUAUAUGUCAGAUGAAUACUAUGCAGCGCAUUGGUCGGCAAUCACAUGGUGCACUUGAACUUGAUGACCCUGGGAGUCGAUUUCAUCCACGUCUUGCAACAAUUGUUGAUGGAGCAUAUGGAUCAAUGCAAUAUCUCCAGCGCUUUGAUCGCAUGGUUGUUGGUGAUUAUGAUUCUUUCGAUCAUAAUCCUCAUGUGACACCAGAAAUUCCUAUCCAACCUCGCGUGCGACGUGUCCCUACACAAGGUGGACCAUCAUCUAGUAGAAGUCGACGCCAUAGGCAUGGGUUGCAGGACGAAGUCAUUGAGGAGACGGGCAUUCAAAUGACCGAGGGGGGCACUCAGUCGCAUUACAACCCGACUAGUAAUCAAUUCACCACAUCUGUGUCUUUGCCGAUGACAGACAUCCACGGUGUGUCACAUGGACAGAAUAUAUCGCCCUUUACCCCUCAGGUGACAUCGUUCCCGCACUCACAGUAUAUUGCUCUAGAUGCCACGCCUUUGCCACAGUUUCCACCCUUUGGUGUAUAUUCCAGGCCCUCUCCAUAUUUGCCUGUAUUUGGGGGACAUUUUCCAUUCUCGUCAAACGAGCCUCCAUUUGGAUACGUUGCCACUGCAGCGGACUCAUCUUCUACUGCUAACCUACAUCCAAUAUUCAAUUUUCUGAACGAAACGGGUGGUGUCCCUUCCAUUUCAGACCUUCCCGAUUAUUACAGUCUUGGACAGACUACGACCGUAUCUGCGUCGAUCCAGCCGAUAUCUACUACUACAUACGGUCAGACGGGGGAUUUUGCCACGUAUCGUUCUCAACACGAUGGUGAUAGUAGUACGACAGUUGAGUCGGAUGAGGAGGAUGACGUAGGACCCUAUGCUCUUCGUGAUCGUUGCAGACGAAAGCCUAAAAGAUUUUGUUGUCCGUCUACAACACCAGGUGAUAAAGGCAAGGGCAAAAGGCGUACCAACCGUUGAUAUGAUCAUUUCAAUUGCAUGUUUUACAAUUUCAAAUAUUUGAAUAUGAGGAUUUAGCGUUAAUUUAAUCUUUUAUUAUUAUAAUACUUAUCGCUAUUUUUAAAUUCACGAUUGUACAAUGUCAUGUUAUGCAUUUUUUCUUCUUACAGUGAUUUUUUAUUGCAUAAUCUCAAAUAAUUAUAAAAUCUUUAUUUCAAGUGAAACUUAAUAGACAACUACUUGAAAUGCCCAAAAAAAUAACUGCUUACAUAUUAUUCAAUCGACUUAACGCUAUAUAGUUACUUAUAUUAUAAUAGAAUAUUUAAUUAACUAUUUAAAUUUACCAAAUAUAAGUAUUGAACAUUAGAUAUUAAUUCCGUGGAUGUUUUUAGGGUUUUAGGGUUUAGGUUUUAGAAAUGCAUUCUUCUUUAGGGUUUAGGGUUUAGGGUUCCUUCUUUAAGGUUACAUUAUCAAGGAAAUUCUACGCUGUGUAUAGUCUAGGGUUUAGGGUUCAGGGUUCAGGGUUUAGGGUUCAGGCUUUUAGGGUUUAGGUUUCAGAAAUGCAUUCUUUUUUAGGGUUUGGGGUUUGGGGUUUAGGUUUCAGAAAAUAUUUAUUUGUUAAAAUUUAUCAUUUGUUUGUCAUUUGUUUUGUAAUUUAAUUUGUUUUAACAAAUGAUGAAACGUGCAUCAUAUAUAAAAGAAAAUGUAGUGAAAUAGAAAAUUUUAGUUUGCGUAUAUAGUAACUUUAGUUGUAAAUAGUAUUAGGUAUUAUAAUCGGUUAUAAUCAGGUAUUAUGAUUAAAAUAACAAAUAAAGGUGAUUACCAAUAUAAAGAACUCACAUUAAUUUUUAAAAAACUUCUUGCCAUUUCUUCUUGUCUUUCUUGCAUAUUAAAUCAAAUAUUUGAAUCAUACAAUUUGUUUAUCUUACAUUUAUUUUUUCAUCUUACAUUUAUGUUUAUCUUACAGUGAUUUUUUAUUGCAUAAUCUCAAAUAAUUAUAAAAUCUUUAUUUCAAGUGAAACUUAAUAGACAACUACUUGAAAUGCCCAAAAAAAUAACUGCUUACAUAUUAUUCAAUCGACUUAACGCUAUAUAGUUACUUAUAUUAUAAUAGAAUAUUUAAUUAACUAUUUAAAUUUACCAAAUAUAAGUAUUGAACAUUAGAUAUUAAUUCCGUGGAUGUUUUUAGGGUUUUAGGGUUUAGGUUUUAGAAAUGCAUUCUUCUUUAGGGUUUAGGGUUUAGGGUUCCUUCUUUAAGGUUACAUUAUCAAGGAAAUUCUACGCUGUGUAUAGUCUAGGGUUUAGGGUUCAGGGUUCAGGGUUUAGGGUUCAGGCUUUUAGGGUUUAGGUUUCAGAAAUGCAUUCUUUUUUAGGGUUUGGGGUUUGGGGUUUAGGUUUCAGAAAAUAUUUAUUUGUUAAAAUUUAUCAUUUGUUUGUCAUUUGUUUUGUAAUUUAAUUUGUUUUAACAAAUGAUGAAACGUGCAUCAUAUAUAAAAGAAAAUGUAGUGAAAUAGAAAAUUUUAGUUUGCGUAUAUAGUAACUUUAGUUGUAAAUAGUAUUAGGUAUUAUAAUCGGUUAUAAUCAGGUAUUAUGAUUAAAAUAACAAAUAAAGGUGAUUACCAAUAUAAAGAACUCACAUUAAUUUUUAAAAAACUUCUUGCCAUUUCUUCUUGUCUUUCUUGCAUAUUAAAUCAAAUAUUUGAAUCAUACAAUUUGUUUAUCUUACAUUUAUUUUUUCAUCUUACAUUUAUGUUUAUCUUACAGUGAUUUUUUAUUGCAUAAUUUCAAAUAAUUAUAAAAUCUUUAUUUCAAUUAAAACUUAAUAGACAACUACUUCAAAUGCCAAAAAAAAUAAAUGCUUACAUAUUAUUCAAUCGACUUAACGAUAUAUAGUUACUUAUAAUAUAAUAGAAUAUUUAAUUAAUUAUUUUAAUUUACCAAAUAUAAGUAUUGAACAUUAAAUAAUGAAUAAAUUUUUAAACGGCCUUUUAUUAUAAUUUUAAUAUACAUAAUAUUUUUCAUCCAUGCAUAAUUUAAUUUUUUGAGUUGCCAAUAUACUUCUUUAUGCAUCUCCGCAUCUGCUUUGCUUCUGCUUAUUGCGCGCAGGAAAGUGAACUUUUCACCAUAGAAAUGUAAUCGAUGUUUAAUUUUUACCUCUACUUUAAUUCCGUGGAUUGAAGAAUAUUGUCAGAAAUGCAUUCUUCUGCCGCAUUUUUUUUUUGUAAAACAAGCCGGCAGCCAGCUUUUCACACAGGUAGAAGCCAAACGCAUGGCUAAUCUAACCACUUCUUCUUCAUAAAGCGCUAUAGCUUUGAAGGUCGUUUCAUAGCUUGCCAAAUGUUCUAGUGCUCUAACAGCUUGCCAAAGGUCUGAAUUGCAUUGAAGCCUGCCGAAUAUUUUUUUAAUAUUAAUUAUGCAAUUCAGUUGAGCCACUUUGUCUGAAUUGCAUUGAGGCCCUUCGAAAUUUUUUUUUUACUAUUUGACUGGCUGCCGGGCAGAGAGUGCCCGGCAGCCAACUUUUUCUGACUUUGUCAGGUGCCGGGCUGACACAGCCCGGCACCCAUGUGUCUUUAAAAAAAAAAAAAUUUUUUUAUGGUGUCAGGUGCCGGGCUGUGUCAGCCCGGCACCCAUAUAUUUAUACCGGACUACUGUCAGACCCGCAAGUGUCUGAAGGGUUUUUUUUUCAUCAAUAUUCGGAUCAAUUAGCCUUGGAUUGACAUAUAAACAUGUCACCGAAAAUCCGCAACGGAUCUUCUGUCCCACAUCCUGUGCCACUCUCUGUGCCACUUUUUAUUAUAUUGCUAUUUCUCAUUCAUAAACCUCAUGUUUUAAUUCUUUUUUGCUUCCUUAAGAUCCAAUAACUAUUAAUUCAGUAAAAAAUAAAUAUAACAGCUUAAAAAAAGCAAUAUAUAAUAGAAAAUUAAAAAAUACAUCAGAAAAUUCAUAAAAAAUCUCAUUUUUUAUGCAUUUUGAAUUUUUGAGUAUGUUAAAUUUUGUGUAUUACUGAAUUAAUAGUUAUUGGAUCUUAAAAAAGUAAAAAAGAAUUAAAACAUGAUGUUUAUGAAUGAGAAAUAGCAAUAUAAUAAAAAGUGGCACAGAGAGAGUGGCACAGAAUAUAAGACAGAAGAUCGUUGCGCCGAAAAUCUCAAGUGACAAGCAAGAGAUGAGAUUCGAAUAUUCCGAAAAUCUUGAGACACAGACAACAAUUGACCGACUACUACUAAUGACAGACUCAAAUUGAAACCGUGCGUAAGCGAAAAUCAGAGCAAAAUAUUGGAAGUCAUUUGAUUUUGGAUUCUUCCUUGAGCCAUUUAUCGUCUGCAUUUCUUGCGCUUAGUCAAAUGGAGAAGAUAGAGCACAAGUAUGUUGAAGUGAAUGGCUUGAAGCUUCAUGUGGCUGAGAUCGGAAAUGGGUCUAAGACAGUGUUGUUCUGUCAUGGGUUUCCAGAGAUCUGGUACUCCUGGCGCCACCAAAUGGUUGCGGUGGCCAGCGCUGGUUUUAGAGCCCUUGCACCUGAUUACAGAGGAUAUGGAUUUUCCGAUCCCCCACCUGUUCCUGAGAAGGCCAACUACUUAGACUUUGUCAGUGACCUCCACGCUCUGAUUCAAUGUCUUGGCAUUCCAAAGGUUGAUACCCUUUUGCUAAUUGUCUCUUUCUGUGAGAGCAUUUUGCUUUUCCCGUUAGCUGUUGUGAAUGUGCUUUUCUUGCAUAAUUGGGAAAGCUUAUUAACUCUGUGAAUCUAAUUGAUCAAGAAAUUUUCUUUUUUCCCUCGCUCAUUUCCAUGAAAUAAUAUUUCUAUCUUAAGAUGCGGAAUUUGAUCUGCAAGUUCACCUGCUUUUCUUUGGAAAAAUGUUCAAGAAAUGAACAAAGGGGAUCUUUUUGAAGCUGUUUCUGAUACUUUUAUAUGGACUACUGGGACUACCAAUCUGUCUCAAGUCUUUCCUCUUUGAUAUAUGAGUUCAGAUGGGUAAAAUUUCUUAAUCUCAUUUCCAAGAUGCACCAGUAUAUGAGAGAAAAGAAGAGAGAUGAAGAAUGCUCUGCCAAAAUCAUUCCUUUGUCACUGAAAUUAAAACCUUUUGAGAUCCUUCUCCGAAUUUUCCGCACAAUGUGCAGGUUUUUCUCGUGGCCAAAGAUUUUGGAGUCCGCGUAGCACAAGUUUUUGCCCUUCUCCAUCCGGAGAAAGUUGAAGGAGUUGUAACACUGGGUGCACCCUUCACACCUUUGGGACCCCCACUGUUUCUGCAGUACCUCCCUGGAGGCUUCUAUAUUUCAAGAUGGCAGGUGCAUAAUUCUCUUUGUUAUUUUCUUCCUUCUUCUUGCAUUCAUACCAGAGUUAAGUAAAUUCUGGAUGCGGAAUUAUGCUGGAGUGGGGGAGUAGGGAGUCAUGAAUUUCGAAUACAGGUUUCGAGGUCAAAAUGUGGGUUCUAACAAAAAAUAACUUGUUCAUUCUAGGAACCUGGAAGAGCUGAAGCAGAUUUCGGCAGGUUUGAUCCUAAAACAGUUGUUCGCAGAAUCUACAUUCUGUUCUCAAGAAGUGAAUUGCCAAUUGCUGGGGAGAAUCAGGAAAUAAUGGACUUGGUGGAUUCAUCUAUGCCUUUGCCCUCUUGGUUCACGGAGAAAGAUCUCGAAAUGUAUGGCAGUCUUUAUGAUAAAUCUGGAUUCCGCACCGCACUAAAAGUACCUUAUAGGUACCCAAUCGAUCAAAUUCCUCUUGAAUAUUUGUACUGACUGAGUCAGCCAUGUUUCUAAAACUAGGAGUUUUCUUGUUACUGUUCAGUCUUCUAUACCUGCUAACCAACUGGUUUGUUUGUGUUAUAGGUCAUUGAGCGAAGAGUUCAACAUAUCAGAAAUGAAGGUGGAUGUCCCAGCGCUAUUGAUAAUGGGCGAAAAGGAUUAUGUUAUCAACUUCCCAGGAAUGAAUGACUACAUAAGAACUGAACAGGCAAAAGAGUGUGUUCCUCAAUUGGAGACAAAAUACAUACCUGAAGGUUCCCAUUUUGUUCAGGAACAAUUUCCUGAUCAAGCGAAUGACCUGAUACUCAACUUUCUCAAGCAGCAUAGUUAACCCGGGCACCAAAAAAACAACUCUCUCUAGUAGAUUUUGAUGUACUUUUGACUGUUCCCUACUACUUUCACUUCAGAGUGGACAUCUGAAAGUUCUUAACCAGAUGUGUGGAUGGAGUUUCCCAGUGCUAUGACAUUGGUGGAGUUUGUAAUGCUGUAACAUUUCUGAAAUAAUAGAGAGAGAUUCUCUGCGGUAAUGUUGCAUCAUUCACAAUUUCUGUCAUACUACCACUUAAAAGCACUUCUUACCAUUUCACUAAAGCUUGGCAUUUUCUAGCUUUUGUACAACAUGAUGCUAUGGUUGAUUUUCAUUUGUCAAAAGUUUUACGGGUAAUAGAGCUAGUGAUUUCUCCCUGUGACUCAUACAACCCAAAAAAUACAAAUUCAAAACUUUUGACUAAUUUUGAUUUUAACCGUUAGAUAUUAAAGUUUCUUUUAGUGGUCCUCAAUUUCCCUAAAAUAAAAAAGUUUGGGAUCAUAUUUAUUUUGGUCGAAAUAUCAAGAAUCAAUUUAACUGAUAAACCAAACAUGAGGGACCCAAAUUGCACAUCGCCCUUUAUUUUAAUUAUGUCUAAGUUCCUAACUCUUCCUUUUAUAUUUAUGCUUCAAUUAUUUCAAAUAUCAAACUCAAUUAAAAGAAAAAAACUAUCACAACAUUUGAUUUAACAUAUAUAAAAUCCACUAACUAAUGUUGAAAAUUUCACCAAUUUUCCGUUACAACAAUCUUGUCUAUCUUUUCAUGCCUUUUAUCUAUGUUUUUUGACAUUCUUUUCUUACAUUUUCUUACAGAAAGUAAGAGUUACGCAAAUAAACCUAAUCCCGUGAGAAACCUCAAAAGCCGACUAUUCUUGAGGUCCUCACAGGGACUUAUCUACCCAACCCAUACCCCCUCCCUUACCGAUGUGGGAUUUGGAAACCCCGACAGGGGCAAGUCCAGUGGGCCGCCCCUGCUAGAGGAUAAAGACCCCCCACGAACCCUGUCCUGUUGACCCACCCCUUGACAAGAGUUUCUUUUCUUACAUUUUCUUACAGAAAGUAAGAGUUACGCAAAUAAAUCUAAUCCCGUGAGAAACCUCAAAAGCCGGCAACUCUUGAGAUCCUCACAGGGACUUAUCUACCCAACCCAUACCCCCUCCCUUACCGAUGUGGGAUUUGACAUUCGCUUUUCGCUCUUUCCCUUUCAUUGGGACCCGUAUUUCGGCUUGGAGUGUUCACAAAAUAUUUUCUAAAUACUGGGCAUUAAAUGAUAAACAAAUUUUUAAGAGGGUUUUUAUUGUAAUUUGAAAAUGCAUUGCAUCAUUUCAUUCACACACGCCCGGCCUUAUUUGGGGCCCAGUACAUCUUUUUGCUAUCCGCCUUUGUGCGUCCCCACAAAAAAAAGUUGGCUUCCUUGCAUUGCUUCUGCCUACCGCGGACAGAAAAGUGUAUUUUCCACCGUAGACGGGACCACCGCUGAGAAAUAAAGGUGCAAGAUCCAAAACAUGACAUUGAGUUGGACUACUUAGAAGUACAAAGUACUAGAGAUUUUCUUGCAUAGCCAAUGCCAAUAUAUUGUGCCGAAAAUAUUGAAGAAUUUCCUGGUAUUCUCAUUUCUCUAAACAAUAAUAUGUAAAUUCUUGCCAAGUUAUAUGUAGUGUCCAUGUAUAUGCAUAACUCGUAGAACUGAAGAAUUGAAGUAAUUGUUAACUUAAUUGGAUUGCUAAUUAAGCUACUUAAUGGGCGAGACCACAGUGGUAAAGUGCACUAAAAAUUCUAUCAGGAAGACAUUAAUUUUUGCUCUUAUAUUUUAGAUAUCAAUCAAUUACUUCUCAUAUUGGCUGGCAAGGAGGGACCUUAAGAAGGGAUGUAAAUCUUAUGCCAUUAUGGACCAUGAUGAAGUGCUUGCAUACUUCCACAUAAACCACAAAGAGUCUGGACAAAGGAGCACAUAUGCAAUAUGAAAAAUAAACAUGAAUGAAGAACACAAUAAACGUAAAUUAAUUAAGUCAAUAGUACAGAAUCUCUCUCUCACACAUUUUUACGAUAGUUUGUAAAGCUCCAACAAGUAUUAGAAGAAAAACAAAUUCAAAUAACUAAAUCGUAGAACAAUAGUUCAUAACUUCACAACACUUUGAAAUUCCUUACAGCCCCAAAUAUUUGAUGCCAACAUGUCACGUUUAUUCCAGUCCCAAAUGGCGCCAUGUGGACAAUGGCUUUCAUAUAGCACUUUGAAAUUCCUUUAGAGCGUCCUAACAUGUCAGCAUUGAUAUUAAAAAAGUCAUCUUUAGUCAUUGCUGGUUUCCUGGGAACUCCAAAAGGAAUGAUCACAAGAUGCAUACGAGUAAGGGUAUCAUCCAAUUGCUCUUUUUUGACAAAACCAUGCAGCUAGAAAUGUAAACCAUACAUUAGUAACAAGUAACUUGAGGGUACUUGUUGGGUAACACCAAAAUACCAGCACCUUGCACACUGGUUUUACAAAACAGUAAUGCUAGCUUCAAUAUCACUUAAUAAUACCCUGCUAGCCAAGUGGCACACAUGAAAUUUUAAGGUAUAUCUCAAUUAGCUAGGACUAUCUACUUGAAAUCAAGAAAAAAAAUUACCUCAAAGAAUCAAUUCAUUCACUCACCAACUAAAGGCAAAUCAAACCAUAAUAAAUAGCAUUUUAAGAAUCACAAACAUAAAUAUUUAAAUUGCAAAAUGUUACCUUCUUUUGUGGGGUUUUGGUAGGUUCUUCCUCAUCCUCAAAAGUUUCUUCUUCAUCUUCGGAAGAUGAAUCAUCUGAGCUGCUUAUCUUUGGUUGCACAGGCUGCCAAAGUUAAAUUCAAGCAUUGAACAUAUAAGUGAAAUGUUAAGGUCCCACAAAAGCCAAAUGCGAUUAAACUUUCAUCUUAACUUUCCUCUUCACUACUACUUUUUGUUUUCCCGCCUUUAGCACUGGAUUUCAGAACACCAGUGGGCUAGAGAACCCCACAAAGAAAUAAUUACAAAAGCCAACUGAUAUGUUAAAAGGCAACAAAAAUGCAUACUUGAAAAUUACAUACCACAACUUUACUCUUCUUUUUCUGAGGCUCCCCAUCUUCACUUUCCUCAUCAAAAGUGUCUUUCUUGCUACUAUCUUUAUUCACCUGCACUUGCAAAGCUAAAAUGAAAAAUGUAUCUGAUACCAGUCAAAAAAGCAUGUCCUCUUUAACACUUUAAGCAUGUGAAGCUAUUACCUGCUUGUUUUCAGCUGCAAAGGAUGGCCUCUUGGGAGAAAUAGCUUUAGGAGGUGGUGACUGCCAUGUGAUAAAGUAGCAAAACAAGGAAAUAUCAAGAAUUAGAAAAAAAAAAAUGUAGAAAGAACCAUAAUACCUCUUCAAAGGAAUAUAUGUCAUCCAUAUUUUUAAUGAAGCCUCAGCAUUGUAACAUUCAUCAAACCACUCAUCUACUAAACUAAAGUCUUUACUUGCAUUCCUUUUUCUUUUCAUUUUAAUGAAAGUAGGAGUAACGAAAUGUGACUAAUGAUAGCUACUGAAGAGAGUAAAACUAACUUUUAUAUAUAUGAAAUCCAAACUGCUAGAUAUAAGUAGCUGACCAUUCUAACGCUUUUACAUAAGGUUGGAACUCAUAAGUGCUUAUCUGUGCUAGGAAUUAAUCAGUGCAUGACCAGUUCCUAAAAUCAAAAUUUAAGCAGAAACCAAAUUAUAUCAAACAAAUCAUGAUUUGAGUGCAGAUUCUACUUCUUGAGCCCCAAAACACCUGGAAAAUUAGAACCAAGACAGUAGAAAGCUAGGGAAAUACUCUUUAACUGGUCUUUGGUUGUAACUAUGAUAGUCACUAACAUGACAAUGCAAUAAAAGUAAAAAACAAUUGAUGAAAUUAAUGUUUCUAGGUCUAUCAAAGUAUUGUUUCCAAUGGAAUUUAAAGAUAGUUCGACCCAUUGCAAGACAUUAAAGGAUCAUUCAGCAUACAAACACAAAGGCAAAAGUAAAAUCAUUUUUGUAGGACUAAACAGUAAGCUAAAGAACAUCUCUUAAAUCAUCUAAUACUCCAUAACAAUGAGACACGUAUAUUUUCAGAAAACUAAACCAGUAUAGUGGUAAAGCUACCUAUAGAAGCAAAUUAUCAAACACAAAGCAUGCUACUAUUGUUAUGCAUCACUUACUGUAUUUAGAAUAUGUGAAUGCAUAAAAUAGCAAAGGUGUUGUGGUUUUAAGGUUUGAGAGUUGUGUGGAACUUGGAACGCUGCCUUUAGAAAUAGAUUUGAGGAAUUAAUAUUCUACACCUUCAAGGCAACUACAACAAAUUCUAGAAGCUCAAUAUUAGGAUUAUCUGUUUUAAAUUUGGUUUGUUCUAUCGCAGCCUAACUUUUGUGCAUAAUAGCUUCAACGUGGGAUAAAACCUUAAUAUGUAAGACUCAUUCUAAUGCUUUUACAUAAGGCUAAAACUUAACGUUACAAUUGAGAUUGAGAAUUUAACUUAUUUUAGCUUGGUUAUCUCUAUUCAGUAAGUAGUAAUAACCCUUCGUUGGUAAUUAGUUGUGCUAUAUUAUUAACAGGAAAAGAAAAGGCAAGAAAUUGAAGGACUGAAGAGAGAGACCUGAAAUUGAAGCAACUGCUUACUGUAAAUGUGUCGAUGUUAAAUCAGAGGUUUCUCUGCACCAAUUGUUUCAUACUGCAAUUAACCCCUUGAAGAAAUUUAACAACCAAAAUAAAAAGUAGACAAAUUAUUGAGUUUCUUUAGUACUGGUAGGCGAAAAAAUUAGAGAAAGAAAAGGAGUAGUUACCUUUAGCACGAAGAGUUGCAGAGAAGAAGGUAGAAGAAGCAUGAAGUUUUUUUUACCGGCAUUUCUGUUCUCUGUUCCUAAUAUAAGGGCACAAAGUUUACUUCAUUCUUGAUAAUUUGCCAAUUGGUCAACAAUAAGGAAAGCAAAACGACAUACCUAUAUCCCUAGCAAUGGUAUUAGCCAUGAUAAAGAGAGUGGAUAAAGAUGCAAACUUGAUAAAUUCUCAGAGAUUUUUGUUUUGACUCUUGAUAAUUUACCAAUCGGGAAAUGAAAAUGAAUAUAAAAGGACAAACCAAAAUCCCAUAGUUGGGAUAUGAUAAAGAGGACAGAAGUAAAAAAAAAAAAAAAAUUGGAUGGAUAGCCAUAAUUUAGGGAAGAAAUCAUUAAAUUGUCGACCGAGUGCUAGAGGAAUUCAAGCAGUACUUUUCUUGGUCUGAACCAAAAAGAAAAUGAGAGGGAAACAAAAAAAGGAAAACAGAGAAAAAGAGAGAAAGCAAGAGGAAAACAAUGGUUGGGGAAUAAAAAGGAAUAGAAGAGGACAAACCACAAAAUUCAAUAAGCUGCCGUAAUUUGGUGAAGACAAUCUUCAAAUAGUUGACCAAAUGUUGGAGGAAUUCAAUUGGCACUCUUCUUUAUCUAUAAACCAGAAAAGCAAAACGAAGGAGAAAGAAAAUAAGGGAAAAGAGAGAUAGAGCAUGAGAUUGUUGACCAAAUGAGCGGAAGAGUUGAAUUCAUAUUUUUCUUUGUUUGCUUUGGAAGAACACAUAGCAAGUAAACAACCCAUUUUUGGCCACUGUCCCUAAAAGCUGUUCAACUACUUGUUUACUGCUCUUUUUCCACCGAAGAGAAGAGGAGCAGUGGAAGAAAUGGGAAACAAUGAAAAGGAGAGGAGGAUAAUUUGACCCAACAUGCCGGAAAUAACCCUCAACAGUUAUCUACUGUUUUGAGGUGAUGUUAUGUCUGGUAGGAUAAAGUUGUAAUUAAACGGUAAAAGACGAAUGACCCCUUAACAGUAGUUGAUUGUUCAGCCCAGAAGUUAAAUUUUGGAGGGCAUUGUUGGCAAAAGACAGCUGCUACAGUAGGCUCCCUCCCCAAACUUGCAAUGUUUUAUUAGUGUGUUUUUAGUUAUCAUCAUCCUUCUUCUUCUUCUCGGUCAGUCCAUCCAUCCAUCAACUCAGGUUAGGCACCCAAAGUCAAAAAGCUAUUAGGUAUUAGCACUAAUUAGAUUUUUGUUAACAUGUUAAAUGAGUAGUGAGCAAGAGAAUACCUUUUAUCCUCCAUAAAAGAACAAGGUAACUAAAGAUUCUGUUAUCAAGUGAUUUGUACACAAUUAAUGGUCACUUACAUGAAAUUACACCCUAAUGGAAAAUGCACUCCCAGUCUACUAAUGAAUGGUCCAUGUCUAUUUCAAUAUCCAGCGAUUACCUUAACAAAGAGAACGUAAAACAAUAAAAAAAUUAGUGCUUUUUGUACACUCAAUGUGUGUUCAAUAAAUAGAUGUAUAAUAUUUAUGGUAAGUAAAUUUUAUAUGAAUUUUUUAUUGCCAAAAUAAUAGUUAAUUUCUUAAAUUUCUUUCACAUAAUAAUUGUUAUAUUGAUAGUUAUAAUGCUUAGUAUUAGGUAUGUUUAAGGUAAAUAAUUAAAGUAAAACAUGUUUUGGUCUAUAAGAGUAAAAUCGAAAGUUCAAAAAGUGACAAAUAAUGUUUACACUAAAUUGCCCUUUAUAUAUAUUAUAUAGACUAAUGUUAAGGGCAUACCCAAUGUACGUGCAGUUUAGAAAUAAUUAUUAAUGUUUAUGAAUAUGUUAAUUUUGUUUUUACAAAAUUAGAUUUUAUAUAAAUUCUUCAUAAAAAAUUUGCAAUUUAUUAGUAACUUUUUCUUUAAAAACAGCUAUAGUUUAUUUGGUAGUUAUAAUAUUUAAGGGAGUUAUGGGAGAUUAUGUUAGCAAAUCUGAUUAGAAGAGUAAAAAUUAAUUUUUAAGGACAAAAUAAAAAAUUCAUAAAAUGACACAAUAUUUAUGACAAAAUAAAAAAUUCAUAAAAUGACACAAUAUUUAUUCCAACUGCCACCUCUCUCCAUUUCCUAUACAUAUAUAAAAAGCAGUUUGCAUCUGACUCUUGGGAAUUUUUCAUCUGUAUUGUGGAAAAGUAUUUUAGGUAUUCUCUGUGGAGCAGUUUGUGGAGAGAAAUAAGGAUGAUUCUCUAUAGAGGUAUUUUGGUUAGAGGCAAGUAGGGAGAAAACAGUGAAGCCUAACAUACAAUACAACAUGGUAAUACAUUUGCCAAUGUUGGUUGCCUAUAAUGCCCUCUUAAGUGGGCACAUGGCUUUUGAAUAAUGAACUUAAUGGCUUAAGUAGUCAUUGAAUUUGUCACUAAUACAAAUAGAAAAUGGGAAAGCUGAUGAAGUUACAAAAAUACAAUUCAAUUUCUCUAAAGAAUGGGAACCACACAAAUGGUUAAGAGAAUUGGAAUGCUUGUAAAAGGGAGGACCGUUUGUUGGAGAGAGGUUUAAUUGGAAAAUCACUUGAGUAACCACAACAAGUGAAGUGAUAAAGCUUUGUUGGAGCAUCAUCAAGUGAAGCAUCAUUUGCAGUUAAUACAGGUGUUAUUGCAAUACUUUUGAAUGGAAAUUUUAUACAUAUUAAAGAAUCUUGGCUCACAUAUUUGUGGUCUGUUUGCUCUUUUGUUUAGAAAUGUGUAGUCACUUCAUGCUGUAAUUUCACCAUUUUUUAUGUGUAGGAAAUUAGAAAGCCAAAUAGAUAUUACGUACAUAGAAAGUUGCAUAUAUAUAUAUAUAUAUAUAUAUAUAUGAUUAUGCAUGUUCACCUAUUCCACAACUUCCGUCCGUCUCACUCACUACCGUGUCCAACUUGCAAAUCCACGACUUUAGACCCCAAAAACAUGCAUACAAGUAAUUACCAAGUAUCAGACCAUUCCUCUGCUCUAUCAACAACCAAAAUCCAUUUCACCUACACAACCUUCUAUCCCAUCCUAUCCACCACUCAAAAAUACCACAUUCGUUGAAUUGGAGAAAAAAAAAUAGGAGAACUUACAAUCUAUGGACUUGAUACUCACAAGGGAAGUUAAAACUGAUAACAAAAAAAAGUAAGGGAAAAAAAUUCAGUCGACAAGAAAUAACUGAAAGCAAACGAACUUACAACUAAAAUCUGUGAACGCUAAAUCAGAAGCUCUUCUGCACCAAUUCUUUCAAAGUGCAAUUAAACCCCUGAAGAAACUUGGCAACCAAAAUAGAAAAUAUAUAGAUUAUCCAAUCUCUUCAAGACUCGUGCGGAAAAAUAUUAGGCAUAGAACAUGAGUAGUUACCUUUACUCGGAAAUGUUGUAGAGCAAAAGGAGGAAGAACCGUUGAUUUUUUUUGUGAGUAGUGUUUGUGUUCCUAAUGUAUAUAAAGACACAAACUCUAUCAGUUGUUAGGAAUUUUUCUUUCACUGUCAAUAAUUUGCCAAGUGGGCAACAGAAAUAAAAACAAAAGGAGAAAUUUAUAUCCCUAGCAAUGGUAUUAGGCAUCAUGAAGACAAUAGAUAACAACACAAAAUUGAUGAGUUGUUAAGAGAUUUUUCUUGUCACUCUUGAUAAUUUGUGAAUUGGCAAAUGAAAAGGAAGGUAAAAGGACAAACCUAUAUCUCUAGUAAUAGAUAGAAAUCAUACCUCAUACCUGACUCUUUGUGGAAUAAUCGCAUGGUUGGGAUAUGGAUGGGCAGCCACAAUUGACUCUCUGUGGAGGAAUACUACGAUUGGGAUGUGGAUGAGCAACCAUAAUUUGGGGGAAAAGUGGGGAAAGGGAAUGAGAGCCAGUGGAUGAUUUUUGCCUUCACAUUUGUUUUUUUUCCAUUAAAAAAGGUAAGAAAUGAAUGCAUCAGUCCACCGACCAAUCAGCCAAAGAAAAAGCCCGUAUGUACAAAACAUCAAAUUUAGGCUCAAGACAUUAAAAAACGGGAAACAGAGAGAGAGAGAGAGAAUAAUCGCAUGGUUGGGAUAUGGAUGGGCAGCCACAAUUGACUCUUUGUGGAACAAUACCACGAUUGGGAUAUGGAUGAGCAGAAAGAGAGAUUGGGAUAUGGAUUUGGCUUCUUGUCACUUUUCUUCAUUGAACCAGAAAGAGAAGAAAAGAAAAAUAAAGAAACGGGAAAGAGAGAGAGAGAGAGAGAGAAAGGAAGAAGAAAACAAAAAAUGAUGGGCUAAAGUUGUAAAAUGAACUGCAUCUGGAGUGUUUUGCUUUCCUGCCAUCGGUGCACUUCCAAAUUUUUAUUUGACUUUUUGACUCCUAUGGGCUAAAGUUGUAAAAAUGAAGUAGAAAUGGAGUGUUUUGCUUUCCUGCCACAUCGGUGCACUUCCAGAUUUUUAUUUGACUGUUUGACUCCUAUGACUUCUUGUCUUUGAUAACGGAGACAAAGAAGUGAAGAACAACAGAGGUGAUGGCAACUACAUCUAAGAAAAGAUGGCAACUGAGAAAUAAAGCAAAAGGCUAUUCACGAGAAGUCAAAAAUAGCCCUCAACAGUUAAUUACUAUUUUGGAGCUAGUUAUUUUUAUUUGGGCAAGGUAGUAAUUUCAUGCAAAAAGACAAAAAUGACCUCAACAGCAAUACACUGUUUGGAGAAUCACUCAAUAUUCUCAGGGCAUAAACGGAAGAAAAUUUUCCUCCCUCUCCUCAGCCCGCCACCUGGCUGAACUUGGGAGAAGAAGUCUUAGCUUUUUAUAUAUAUGUAAGAUACUAGAAACUUUUUCGGCUGUGCAAGGCAUAGCAAAUGCCCAAUGUGUUGGGCUAAAUAUGCAGGAGAGGUAUUUGGUUUUCCUAUAUAGAUGUAUGGAGAAGCAUAUCAUAAAUUUUAAACAUAAAAAAUUAAACUACUCGUUUGGAACCUUAAAAAAUACUGAUCUGAUUAGAUGAUGAUUCAUUUAAGUUGAAUAGAACGCCUAACGAUGAAAUUGUUGUGCAAAGAAUAUAGUUGACAACAUACAGAAUGUAAACCAUCCUCAUUGGACCAUUUACUCAUUGCAAUAGUUGCACCAUUUUAUAUGUGCUAGCAUUUCUGGUUGUAGUUACCAGCUUAACUUCUAUUUUUGCAUGAGCACAAAAAAAUCUUGAUUCGUACAAUAGCUCAUUCACUCAACGCAUAACCCAUUAACAUGUUUGAACUGACUCUAUCUUCCCAAUUUCGAGCAAAAACUAAAAUAUCUGUCCCCUAGAAAUCAUUUCACUCUAGCAAGUGAAGGACCUCUGGAGUAAAAACAGCAACUUCUGAUUUCAACCACUCAAAGCAAGGGCUCAGGCCCUAACAGAACCUAGCCGGAUAGUCCUUGAGAUAAACCUCUCUACCGUUUCCGAUAAUAUAGAAAUUGAAAGAGCAAUUAUGAUGGGCCAUAGUCACAUGAGUGACUGGGACAACAGAGAUGAUAUGUCUCUCACUAUAACCCUUGCAGUAUGAGGGACCGAAGCCCUUUCUGCAGUUACUUCAGAGGAAAGCUUGCUGAGGAAGAAUGAAUCGGCAAAAAAGGUAGGAGUGCAUUGGUAGGCUUGGGUAUUGCACAACUGGAUGCCUUGCACUCUGUGGAAAACAUCGUCAGGAACUGUAGCAGCUCUACUUGUUGCACUCACUUUUCGAGUUGAAAGUGUCUUCCUGGACAGCCAAAAACACAGACAAAAUGCAUAAUCGGUACUUAAAACAAUUCUGUUUUCCUUUAUUUCUCCAUCAUGGCACAACUAUGAGACAGAUUGAAAUAGGCAAACAGCAUAACUUGAAGGAAUGCCAUGCAAGAAACAACAAAAUUGAAACAAUAAAUCUUGUGGACAGAGUGAUUUCACAUUUUCUGAUCGGGUUCACUAAAGCUCUUUUAGCUUUGGUAGAGAUCUCAACAUAGCAUCCAAACGCAUAAAUCACAAGCCAAAGUUGUUGUAGGCUUAAGUGACCUAGUACGCAUGUCCAUAGGGUCUACUUGGCCAUCCAUGACAAUUACUUCAAAGAAGGGUUUCAAGCCUAACACAUUUAAGUUUGUCCAAUGAAAAUUGUAUGAAUACUUGACUUGCCAUUCUUGAAUGAUCUUGAAUGAACCAACAUACUUUCCAUUCUUGAAUGAACCAACAAAUUGAAAAAGUAGUUAUAAAAUUAUUCAAAAGAAAUCAGAUGGCACUGCUUCAAUAUCUGGCCCUGAAUUGACUGUCCAAUGGAUCAUGGACUAAUAGCCCUUACCUAUGAGGAAUGUGCAUAGGGACCAACUUUUAAUGACAAACUGAACCCCAACUUUUACUUAGUUAUGUUCUUUUAGCAUUUUAACAAUUUUUCUCCCAAAAUGCUUCAGGCUAGAUUGAAAAUCAAUUUACCUGUCAUGAUAACAAGUUCAUUUAGUUAUGUUCUUUUAAACUAAAUCCAAAAUGUUCUUUUAGUUAUGUCCUAAAGUCUGUAAGAGCUAUGGCAUGCCAAAUAUAUUGUGCAAAACAACAUAGGCCAUACCAUCUCAUAACAGCCACUUUGCGAGUCAAAAGAGAACCACCACCCAUGCACGUCACACAUUUGAUAGGCCCAUAAGAAUCACAAGUUACUCAAGGCACCAUACACUUUCCAUUACAUUUUAAGCAUCUGCACGGAGAUUUUUCGACAAGCUAUCAGCUAAAUAGAAAAACUUAUAUCCAAUAACAAUAAUUGCAGAGAGAAAGCUGCCAACGAUCAAGAUGGGCCUAAUAUAGCUAAAUUGUGAAGUGUGUAACUUUCAGUUUAUGGUAUGAACUCUCCCUACGGAUACAACAAAGUCAGAGUAUGAAAUACAACUUUACAUUGUAUCAAACCCAUCUCUAAGCAAUUAGACCCCUCCCAUAGCACGUAGGACAAUGCAUCAUUUUAUUUUCUUAUUUAUCUCCCAAAGGCAGAGCAUUAUUCUUUUCAAAACUUUCUAUUGCAGGAACCUCUGAUAAGCCUAUGUAAUCAUGUUCCUCAAAAGGCAUAGACAUCAAAGUUAUUUUUAAGAAAUCUUAGCUCAGCCACAAAAAAGAUUCUGGAAAAGUAACGAAAAGAUGAAAAGUUGAAAGUAUACAUGGACCAAAUUGAACUUGAAAGGCAUAUAAAGGUUGAAAGAAUGAACAAAAUUUUUCAAAAAUCGAACUAAAAGAUCAAAAUUAAACUUCCAUAUGACAUCUAUCACCAGCAAAAAUAUAGUGAACGUCAACAUAGAAUGAGCAACAUGAGAUCAAGAUCAGAACCAAAAAAGGUCGAAAAGGAAAGAUAAAGUGCCCUAGAAAACACAAAAAGAAUUGGCCGUAGAAGAAAAAAAGAUAUAGAGCAAAAUAGAAUUUACCUGUGUAAUCUUUCUCUCCACGUUUUCUCUACUAAUUAUCCCAAGUUUCAUAUAGACAUUUCAUCAAACGCUUGAUAGUCAUUAGCCUAUGAGAUUUCACAUACUUUACUUGUUUGAACAUCUGUAUUUGCUUGCAACUAAAACAAACACCACCAACCAAAAAAAAAAACUCAAACAUCAGAACAUUAUUUAAUAAAAAAGAUGAGAAAAAGAAAUAACAAAAUGAAGAACAUUUAAUCAAAAACUUAAAAAAAUGAAACAAACCUUGUCAAUGAAGAUAAAAUCCAAAAAGAGACUAUGAUCAAUAAUGUGUAUACAUUAGUUUCUUUAUUUAUCUACUAUUGUUAUUUGUUAUGUAAAGAAAUUAACAAAAAGUAAAGAAAAAAUCUGUCUUACCCAAGGAGGCACCAGAGAAAAAGCAGCGAAGAGCAAGGUGGGAUUUUUUGCUGCUCCUAUUUCCUUCCAAUAGUAAAAGCUCAGAUUGCAAGACAAAAUAAGGAGUGAUAAAUAUGUCUGUUCUCUUUCUGAUUCCAUAUUUCCCCAAAACGUAAAGCCCUAAAUUGCUAAGAAGGCUAUCUGUCAUCAUAACUAGAAAAUCGAUCAAAUCUGCAAAAAUGUCUUAUUUGCAAUAAUCACAUGAUUGAGAGAUGAGAUAGAAUACGAUCUUUGUGAAUCAAAAGACCAGCCAAAAUUUGGGAAAAAAAGUUGUUGACAGAGGAAUACCGCAACUGAACCACUGAACAGAGUUGGCAAUCUAAAUAGCAUGUAGAAGAAUCCUAUCAGUCAACGUAAAACUAUGCAAACUAUCUAAUAAGUCUAAUACUGACAGAGGAAAAAAUUAGACAAAAAGAAAGGCGUAAUUAGUUUUAGUAGGAAAGAUUGCAGAGAUACAAUCAUUUUCAGCCAUAUUCAGUCAAUAAGUGAAACCAAAUGAACUUACAACCCAAAAACUACAGUCAUUUUAAGCCACGAAACAACACACUUCUAUUGCUUACCAGACAAUCUGGCUCCAUUAGGUCUGCACAUUUUUUCAUGCAAAUAUUAGGUUGUAUGGUUCAAAGUUCGUCAAGAAACAUAUUUCAUCAAGGAAACCUCGUGUUUUUUUUUUAAUGUUCCAACUUUAUAGAUACUCGGAUUUAGAGAAAUUGCCACAGAUUCUGCAAUCUUUAAUUGGGUGUAAUAGUAUUCAUAGAACCGAUUAUGCAUCAUUAACUGUAUCCAAAAUACGUGAAUAUUAAUAGAUCAGCCACCAUGUUAUGGUUUUAAAAUUUGAGAGUUCUGUGGAACCAGGAACGUUGCAUUUAGAAAUAGUUUUGAAGAAUUAAUAUACCACAUCUCUAAGCCAGCUACAACAAAUUCUAGAAACUCAAUAUUAGCAUUAUCAGUUUUAAGUUUUGUUUCUUCUAUUGCCUACCUAACUUUUGUGCAUAAUACCUUCAACGUGGGGCAAAACCUUAAUGUGUAAGACUCUUUAUCUUUUAUUCUCAGCUUACACUUCAGAUUGAGAAUUGAACUUGUUUUAGCUUGGUUAUCUCUAUUCAGUAAGUGGUGACAACCCUUCCUUCAUAAUCAGUUGUACAUAUUAUUAACAGGAAAAGAAAAGGCAAGAAACUGAAGGACUGAAGAGAGUGACCUGAAAUUGAAGCAACUGCUUACUGGAAAUCUGUGGACGCUUAAUCAGAAGUUUUUCUGCACCAAUUGUUUCAAAGUGCAAUUAAUCCCCUCAAGAAAUUUGGCAAUCAAAAUAACAAGUAGACAGAUUAUCCAAUGUCUUUAAUACUGGUAGGGAAAAAAAAUUAAACAAAGAAGAGUAGUAGUUACCUUUAGUAUAAAAGGUUGCAGAGGACAAGGUUGAAGAAACGUGAAGUUUUUUGUGACCAGUAUUUUUGUUCUUUAUAGAGGCACAAACUUUCCUUCAUUCUAGAUAAUUUGCCAAGUGGUCAACAAUAAGGAAAAGAAAAGGACAAACCUAUAUCUCUAGCAAUGGUAUUAGCCAUCAUGAAUAGAGCGGAUAAAACCACUGGGCCAAUGGUUCAGUGGCCUCCAGGGAGGGACUUAAGGGCUAUUGGUAAGAGUUCAAACCUCACCAGCAGCGAAAAAAAUCUAAGGGUUGUGCCAUAGCACUCCCUUGGUCUAGUUGGAUUUGUAUACCCACUAACCCCUACAACAGCCUCCUUAGACUCCCCUUCCCCCUAAAUUAGAAUAGAGUAGGUUAUACAAAUGUAUCGUUGCUGACAAAAAAAAAAAAGAAUAGAGCGGAUAAAGAUGCAAACUGAUAAAUUGUCAGAGAUUUUUCUUUUCAAUCUCGAUAAUUUCUCAACCAGAAAAUGAAAAUGAAUACAAAAGGACAAAUCACAAUCCUAUGGUUGGGAUGUGAUAGAGAGCAAAGAAGUAAAAAAAUUGGAUGGAUAGCCAUAAUUUAAGGAAGAAAAUCAUGAAAUGAUUGACUGAGUGAUCUGGAAACAACAGGAGGGGGAAAGUAAAGAACGGCAAACAAAAAAAAAGAGACAAAGCAAGAGGAAAAGAAUGGUUGGGGACAGCUGCAAUUUAGCGAAGCCAAUCCUGAAAUUGUUGACCAAUUGUUGGAGGAAGCAGGUGGACAACCCAUUUCUUAGCUACUGUUUCUAAAAGCUAUUCAGCUGCUUCUGUACUUUUUUUCCACCGAAGAGAACAAUAGUCCAAGAAACGGGAACAAUGAAAAGGAAAGGAGGAUUAUCAUCUUUUGUGGAACAAUCCCACAGUUCAGAUAUGGAUGGGCAGCCAUAAUUGACUUUUUGUGGGAGAAAAGAAAGCUGAAAGAAAAAUUAACGGGAAACAGAGAGAGAUAGAAAGGAAGAAGAAAACAAAAGAUGAUGGGCUAAAGUUGUAAAAUGAAGUAGAAAGUGAGUGUUUUGCUUUCCUGCCAUCGGUGCACUUCCAGAUUUUUAUUUGACUUUUUGAUUCUUAUGGACUAAAGUUGUAAAAAUGAAGUAGAAAGAGAGUGUUUUGCUUUCUUGUCACAUCGAUGCACUUCCAGAUUUUUAUUUGACUUUUUGACUCCUAUGACUUCUUGUCUUUGAUAACGAAGACAAAGAAGUGAAGAACAACAGAGAUAAUGGCAAUUACGUCUAAGUAAAGAUGACAACUGAGAAAUAAAGCAAAAAACUAUUCGCGAGAAAUCAAAAAUAGCCCUUAACAGUAAGUUACUGUUUUGGGGCUAGUUAUUUUUAUCUGAGUAAGGUAGUAAUUUCAUAGAAAAAGUAAAAAAUGACCUCAACAGUGAUACGCAAGGUAGUAAUUUCAUAGAAAAAGACAAAAAUGACCUCAACAGUGAUACACUGUUUGGAGAACCACUCAAUAUUCUCAGGGCAUAAAUGGAAGAAAAUUUUCCUCCCUCUCCUCGUCCCGUCACGUGGCUGAACCUGGGCGAAGAAGUCUUAGCUUUUUAUAUAUAUAUAUGUAAGAUAUGUAAGAAAUACUCCCUUCAGCCCAUACUAUUUGUAUCUCUCUUAUCUUUCUUGAAUUUUCCUCCUGCAAAUGGAUCAGAUUCAACACAAGUUCAUUGAAGUGAACGGGCUGAAGCUCCAUGUAGCUGAGAUUGGAGAAAAUGAAUCGAAAGCUGUAUUGUUCUGUCAUGGGUUUCCAGAGAUUUGGUAUUCUUGGCGUCAUCAGAUGGUUGCAGUAGCCAAAGCUGGUUAUAGAGCCAUUGCACCCGAUUACAGAGGAUAUGGACUAUCCGACCCACCAUCUGUACCCCAGGAGGCUACCUACUCUGACUUCAUCAGUGAUCUUUAUUCCCUCCUUGAUGUUCUGGGCAUUUCCAAGGUACCUUUCUUCUGCCAAAUGGAGUCUGUAUCCUUUUACAUUUUUUUUUGGGUUUCAUGUUUCUCAUUCAAAAGAGGAUGAUAUAAGGCGCCUCACAAAGUGUAUGGGCACAAAUUAAGACUAAUAAUGAGAAAAUCUAGUUGAGUUUCCAGGGAGCUUAUGGAGAUCAGACUAGUUUGACUAGAUUUGUGCGAUCCAUAUUGAAUUCUCUGCUUUGCAUUCGUCCUAAAUAAUCACCAAGUGGGAGUACUAUAGUAAUUGUUCAUUAUUUGGCAUUAAGUUUUGGUUGUUUUGAUGCUGACAAAGAAUAAAUGAAAGGUAUCAAAGAAAAAAUUGCAGUUUUGAUACCAAAUGUGUUGACCAUCGGCAGUUUUAGACUUUUAUUCUCUAAAAGUAUGGACGAGAGAAAAUCUAGUACCAAAUCAAAUGUUUCAAUUUUUAAGCACAUUUAGUCCAGUUGAUUAGUUUUGGCAAAUUGUUAUCGAAAUCUGGUCGGGUCGCGUGGGAAGCACGUUCGGGUAGGUAAAUUUUGAAAAGAAAAAAGGAAAAAGUUGUUGAUCAUAAUUUGUAAUUAAUGGGCGCUAAUUAGUCACAUGCCAAGUAAUUAGUCUAAUUAAAUGGCACUAAUUAGUGCCCUUUAAUUACAGAUUAUGGCCACCAACAUUUUUUUUUUUUUUAAAACUUUUGUUAAAAUGUAUCCACGGUCAUGUGGGCAGCACAUGACCGGAUUCCGGUAACAAUUUGUCAAAAUCGUUAAUUGGAUUAAACGUGCUUAAAAAUUGAAACAUUUGGUUUUGGAUUUGCUUUCGUCCAAACUUUAGGAUCUAAAAUUGCUAAUGUUCCAAGUAUUUGAUACCAAAACUACAAUUUUCUCUAUCUUAAAAUUCAGGGGGAAUGUGAAACCAAUAUAAGUUCUACCCAUGGUUCGAAGUCUCGGCCAAGACCGAGACGACUCGGCCGAGUCGUCACCGUCUCGGCCCCUACCGAUACGAUACCGUGACGAAACGAUACCGAAAUACUUGACUCGCCGAGAAAUCGGCCGAGUCGUCACCAUGACGGAUUGACUCGGCCGAGUUACUCCGAGUUAUCCUGAGUCAAGACGAGAAAUCAGCCGAGUCACACCGCGACGGAUUGACUUGGCCAUUUCUUUUGCUAUUUUUUAAUUAUUUUUAUUUAGCCUACUUUUUUAUAUUAUUAACAAUUUUUAGAAUAUUAAAUACUUUAAAAUUUGCGUCUCACCGAGACCGCGACCGAUAUGCCGAGACCGAUGUGGAACGUUCCGGGCCGCGCCCGUGACCGCGCCCGUGACUUUAAACCAUGGUUCUACCACCAACCCACCAGGAGAUCAAAAUGAUCGUGUUAUAAACAGGUUUUUCUCAUAGCUAAAGAUUUUGGCUUUCAUUUAUCUCAAUAAAAAGAUCAUGGAAGGUGUCUCGCAUGGUAUAUGCGCGACUCAAAUCAGGAUUAAUGAGAAAAUAUGAUCUAGCUUUCGAGAGAGCUUAUGGAUAUUAGACUGGUUUGAUUAGAUUUCUGCCAUUCACAUUUGCAUUCUCUGUUCUGCACUCAUCCAAAAUAACCAAAUGGAGGGAGUACAUGGAAAAUGACAUGGUAAUUGUUCGUUGUCCGACAUAAGUUUCAGUAAUUUUGUAGCUGACGAAGAAGAAAAUGAAAACUCUGUUGAAAUUCGGGGGAAAUGUAACCAAUUUUAAUAUCUAGCACCAACUCACCAAUUACUAGCAGAUCAAUAUGAAAAAGUAGUAGGUAAGUCCCCAUCUUACACGAACGUGGAUUAAGGUUGAUUGUUGUUUGUAUGCUAGAUGAUUUCUACUUGCUGCAAUUUGUUGGUGUUUUUCAGGAGCUUGUAUCACGUGUAUAUCUUUGUGUUGUACACAGGUUUUUCUCAUAGCGAAAGAUUUUGGAGCUAGGGUUGCAUACCUUUUUGUGCUUCUCCACCCAGAGAGGGUUGCAGGAGUUGUGACUUUGGGUAUACCUUUCCUCCCACCAGUUCUUCCUCCACUGAAAGAGGGCCUUCCUGAAGGCUUCUAUAUGGCUAGAUGGGAGGUAUGAAAGUCUCUUUCUUCACUUUUUUUUUUUUUUUUUUUGACACUUUUCUUUCUGGUGGUACAUUUAUGAAAUUUUGGGAUGGGAUGGUGAAUCUUGAAACCAUUUUCAGCAUAAUCCAAAGUAAAGGUUUCCAAGUUUCAGCAAACGCUUGCUCUUUUAUGUGGCAAGGUUUCCAAGUUUCAGGAAACCCUUGCUCUUUUAUGUAGCAAAAUAGAAGAGGAAACCUAUGCAUCUCAAGAGAGUUUUCCACUAUAGGAAAAAUGUCAAUGCAUCUCAAUAAAUAUCUCUAUCUUAGGAACCUGGAAGAGCUGAAGCUGAUUUUGGUCGACUUGAUCCUAAAACAGUCGUGCGCAACAUCUAUAUCCUGUUCUCCAGACCUGACGUACCAGUAGCUGAGAAAAAUCAGGAGAUAAUGGAUUUAGUGGAUUCAUCUACUCCUCUACCCUCUUGGUUCACCGAAGAAGAUCUUGCAAAUUAUGGUGCUCUCUAUGAAAAAUCUGGAUUCCAAACUGCUCUAAAGGUUCCAUAUAGGUAAGCGAAUAAAAAUACUUCUCAUUUAAAACGUUACCAAUUUCUUACAUGCUCUCUUUAUCCUGAAAUCAUUGUGCCACAACGCUAGAUUAUAGUUGUGAUUGUUCACUCAAGAUCUCUUAGCUCAUCUAAACAACAGGGUAGCUAAAAGUACUGGAUGGUGGCUCUAGAAACUAGUUUCGUGCUUUGGUAAGGAAUUAGUCAGUUAGCAUAAUGCACAUUUCUUUGUAGGUCACUGCAAGAAGUGUUCGACGUACCAGAAGUCAAGGUUGAUGCUCCUGCACUGUUGAUAAUGGGUGAAAAAGAUUAUUGCAUCAAAUUCCCAAGUAUGGGGGGCUAUAUUAGAAGUGAUCAAGCUAAAAUGUUUGUUCCCAGGUUGGAGACAGUAUUCAUUCCCGAAGGUAGCCACUUUGUUCAAGAACAAUUUCCGGGCCAAGUGAAUGAGCUGAUACUCAAUUUCUUAAAGACCCAUAGUUAAUCUAUAUGUGCAACAAAAACGGUCCAUAGCUCCUGAACUGUUUGAUGCUCUGUUUUUGGUGGUUUGGAGGCUGAAUGCUGUAGUUCAUUGAAGUUACUUUUCCUGCAAAUCUCGUCUUUACUACUUAUCUAAGGCCAUUUACUUUUCUAAAAGAUCUUAUCCAUGAAGACACAGGAGAUUUUCUCCUGUUAAAAAGACCAAGAUUUUCGCGGUCUGCAUCCAUACACCUACUUGGUUCACGAAAUAUGAAGUACCUAUUGUAUUGUAUGCUUUCCCUUGAGUUUGUUCGUUUGCCGAGUUCAAUAAAAGAGGCUACAUUUAAUUGAAAUUGACAAGGAUACAGGAAUUGAAUAGGACUUCAUUUUUGGCCUCGCUUGUUCAACUUUUCAUCACUGUUGUCUGUGUUUUACAAGGAUCUGGGAUGGGAAAUUGCUACAUGCCAAUCUUAAAGGCAUGGUGGAAAAUGCUACAUUUGCCGAAUCAGUGCAUUCAUGCAUGCAACAUUAAACUAAGGUACAUUUAUUUUCGUCCACGAAGGAUACAGAUUUACAAAGGCCUCCUAGAAGCAUUUUGCAAGAACUUGGCAAAUUCCCAAUCCCAAGUAGUAGCCUGCCCCAGAAGGAAUACGAACAAACAAGAAACAACCAACAUAUGAUGCCCUGAAAACCGAUUGUAAGUUAUAGCUCUUCCCAACAGUAUUAACUCCAGUGAUGAAAGAAUCAAAUUUUAUUCAUUAGACCGUGUGAAAUGACGUGCUAGCAGGCUAGAAAAGGAAAGUAAACGCAGUAUAUAUCAUUUAGACUUGCCCUGGAGUCUCAAGGUAAAUGCAUAUAAAGACAAAAGAACCUCUUUCAACCUCUCUCUGACUUCCCCAUCGAUCAAGUUACCAUCUUCAUCACACUUUUGGGGCGGGGCUAAAGGCCUCCGGAGGAAAAACUCAGGCUUAUUGACGAAAUGAAGAUUAAGAAAGACUCCAAUCUGGCGGACAUGAUACUGUUGAAGAGCCCCACCAGUACCUCCGGCAGCACCCACAAGUGCAGCAGCCUUAUCAGCCCAAACAUUGGGGGGUCUUGAUCCCCAAUCGAUAGCAUUUUUCAGAGGUGCAGUGACAGAGUAGUUGUAGUCUGGCGAAGCAAAAAGAACGCUAUCUGCUUGGCGAAUCUUAUCCCGAAAAGCCUCAACUUCUGGGGGAAAAGUCCCAUUCACUUCUAAAUCUGUAUUCAACAAUGGUAAAGGUGAAAUGUCUAUAUACUCUAUGAUCAUGCCACCUAUUGACUCCUUGGAUAUCUCAAUUGCUGCACGGAUGAGGCCUCGAUUACAAGAGCCCUUACGGAGGGAGCCACAGAUGGCUGCAACUCUGAUGGGGGCUUUUUCGGGCACGGCUGGAGAAUUGGUUUUUGCUGCCUCUUCCAUGAUUGAUUCAGACAAACCCAAGAAAGACUGACCGAUAAUAGAAGACUAGAAUGUCGCACAAAAUUCAGCUAUCGUGUUGUCUUGAACAGACAACAUCUCAUAUCUAAUCUAGUUCAUUAGUUUGGAUUGGGCGGGCCUAUAUAUGGCAGUGCUUCAGCCUUGAGCUGUCGUCAGGCCUGACUUCAACAGUUCAACAGCAAAAGAUCGUGUGACUUCAACAGCCUUGGGAUCUAAUUUUUAUAACUUUUAUUAAUGUUCAUGACAAUUACAGAUUACGAAAUUAAUUUCACUGUUAAUCACAACAGGUCAAACUCGUGUUUUUUUUGUUUUUAAUCUUUUUGUUGCGUGCCCUCCAGUGCUAUACUAAAAGAUAAAAUUCAAACCCACAUUAUUCCAAGAGUGACGGCUCCUAAUUAUACGAAGGAAGCAAAAGAAAACAAUUUCCUGCAGACCUUUUGAAAAUAUUCGAGUUUCACGAUUCCUACUAUGAAUUCGCUACUGAAUAUAGACUGGUUGUGGGGAAAAUUAGUUUGACUUCUGAAGAGAAAUUGUGACACGUGAACAGUUUUAAUCCCCAUAUUUUAGUUUUAGUAUCCAAAUUUUGACACACGAGCAGUUUUAAUUCCCAAAUUUUAAUUUUAGUUUUAACAACGUAAUCUCGACAUAAGCCCUUAGGAAAGUUGUAAACAUGGAUCUUGCGUUUCCAAAUGGAUUUGGCCUUGCAUCCAUUUAACGACUAUAACUCUUAGAUAUGAAGCAAAAAUCAUGACUAAUUCACGAUGGAAUGAUCAAUAUGACGUUCUAAUUUCUCAUCCGUUUUCGACCCAUCAUACAUUCAAAUCGGGUUUGGGUGCUUUCCCGACAAUUCUUGAUCUUGGUCUUUGCUUUUCAGUGCACUAAAAAUCAUCUUAAAUGGAGGGGUUUUUUUUUCUUUUUUUUUUUUCAAAUGGAGGCUUAGAACUCCAGGUACAGGCAAAAUUCUGAAUUGAACGGUCAAUUUUGAUCAAAUAGACUCUUUAUACUCCAAAACCAAAUCAUGAAAUAUAGCAUAUAUCAUUUUAUUAAGCAUUUAACUUCAACAAAAGACUAAAUGUAAUAGAAAAAUAUGUAAACUUGGCACUAAUUAGCUCAUUUGGUGUGUAAAAUACACCCCCAACCCCCCCCCCCCCAAGGGGCAAUUUAAAAAAAAAAAGUGAGUCCCCAGGGGCCAAGCGGCUUAUAUACGGUAGUAAUUCUGUCUUGUUUGGAAUGAGUCCCCUGGAUUUAUGAAAUUGAAACGAGCUCCCCUCAUGUUUGGAGAAUUAGACAUAUGUGGGGUGUGCAAAGUCGAAAAAUUUUGAUUUCAGAAUUGAUUUCGAAUUUAAUUCGGAAUUUUGAAAUCGAAAUUUCAAUAAUUUGGAAGUUAAUUCGGUAAUUCCAAUUUCGACAUUUCGAAUUGAAUUCGAAAAUCUAAUUUUUGAAAUCAAAAUUAUCGAUUUCGAAUUGGAUAAUUUGAAAUAGGAAUUCAAAAUCGAAAAUUCGAAAUCGAAUUCGAAUAAUAAUAUUUAUAUAUAAUAUAAUAGUUUUUAACAAUACAGAUAAUAUAAAUAGUUUUUAACAAAAACCCCCUAAUCUAUUAACUCACCUCACUACCUCAGGACUCUUCCGCCGCCUGACUCCGCUGUCUCACAGACUCACACUCUCACUCACCUUCCUUCGUCCUUCCUAGUUCCUCCGCCUCCAACUCAGCUUUGCCGCUUCUUCCUUCCUUCCUUCCUCUCACCUUCCUUCUUUCGGCCCUUCCACUGGGGUGCUUUGCCGUCUAAUGUGCUGAACCUCCAUUGACCUCGAGUCCAUGACCCGCUGCCCCAAUUUCUCCCACCCAGCAAAACAGUCCAAGGCACUGAAGGCAGAAAGCCAAGAACUAAAGCAAAAAAUUUAGCUAAUCUCCGCAGAGUUUGCAAAGGAGGCAAUAGCUUGGCUUCUUCUGAAGAAUACAGUCUAAAGCGGCAAGGCGGAGACCAGAGACUGAUGGGUUUUCAUAUACUCCCAUGUUUCUGCAGCCACAAAACAAAAGUGAAACAAACAAUAUUAUACUAAUAUCAAUUUCUCCGACCUUUUACUUCUUUUUUUUUUCCUUUUUUUGGCCAGCAGAAUAAUUUUUUUUUUUUUAAGGAGGAAGAGAACUGUAAGUGACAAUUAAUUUCACUGAUUAUUUUGCUAGCUCGAUUUUCUUCUGGAGAACAAUUCAUCCAAUCAUUUAUUCUUAUUGGCUGGUCAUUUACCUCCUAGUUGAAAACAACGAAAUACGACAAUUUUUCUGGUAGAAGAAGCCAAGAAGGGAGGAUAGCAAAGAAACCUAAUUCGGUAUCGAAUUCGAAAUCGAAAUUAGUCAUUUCGAAAUCGAAUUCGGUCGAAAAAAUUUCAGUCAAAAUUUUGAAAAUUUUCAAUUUCAAACUACUAAAUUAUCAUUCAACGAAAUACGACAAUUUUUCUGGUAGAAGAAGCCAAGAAGGGAGGAUAGCAAAGAAACCUAAUUCGGUAUCGAAUUCGAAAUCGAAAUUAGUCAUUUCGAAAUCGAAUUCGGUCGAAAAAAUUUCAGUCAAAAUUUUGAAAAUUUUCAAUUUCAAACUACUAAAUUAUCAUUCAACGAAAUACGACAAUUUUUCUGGUAGAAGAAGCCAAGAAGGGAGGAUAGCAAAGAAACCUAAUUCGGUAUCGAAUUCGAAAUCGAAAUUAGUCAUUUCGAAAUCGAAUUCGGUCGAAAAAAUUUCAGUCAAAAUUUUGAAAAUUUUCAAUUUCAAACUACUAAAUUAUCAUUCAACGAAAUACGACAAUUUUUCUGGUAGAAGAAGCCAAGAAGGGAGGAUAGCAAAGAAACCUAAUUCGGUAUCGAAUUCGAAAUCGAAAUUAGUCAUUUCGAAAUCGAAUUCGGUCGAAAAAAUUUCAGUCAAAAUUUUGAAAAUUUUCAAUUUCAAACUACUAAAUUAUCAUUUUCGAUUUCGAUGCACACCCUACAGUACGUCCAUUAAAUACUACAAAGAUCGUAAAGUUUAUUGGAUUCAUUAACAAUCGCAACAGUGGAUAAGAUACGCUUUGUUUCUGUCCAAGAAGGAUACCUAAUUACAACAACCUAAGGAUGGAAUUCUGGUUUGCAAUUUCAGAAGCAUUUUGCAAGAACUUGGCAAUUUUUCCAAAUACUAGUAUAUAUGUAUCAUUUCGACUUGCCCUGGAGUCUCAAGGUAAAUGCAUACAAAGACAAAAGAACCUCCUUCAAUUUCUCUCUGAUUUCCUCAUCGAUCAAGUUACCAUCCCUAUCACACUUCUGGGGCGGGGCUAAAGGCCUCCGGAGGAAAAACUCAGGCUUAUUGAUGAAGUGAAGAUCAAGAAAAACUCCAAUCUGACGGAUGUGAUAUUGUUGUCUAUUCCCACCAGAACCUCCUGCAGCACUCACAAGUGCAGCAGCCUUAUCAGCCCAAACAUUGGGGGGUCUCGAUCCCCAGUCGAUAGCAUUUUUCAGGGGUCCGGACACCGAAUAAUUGUACUCCGGGGAAGCAAAAAGAAUACCAUCUGCUCGGCGGAUCUUAUCCCGAAAAGCCUCAACUUCUGGGGGAUAAGUCCCAUCAACUUCUAAAUCUGUAUUCAAGAAUGGUAAGGAUGAUAUGUCUGUAUACUCUAUGAUCAUGCCGUCUAUUGACUUGCUGGAUAUCUCGAUGGCUGCACGGAUGAGGCCUCGAUUGCAAGAGCCCUUACGGAGGGAGCCACAGAUAGCUGCAACUCUGAUGGGCGCCUUUACCAGAACUGCUGGAGAAUUGCUGGUCGCUCCUUCCAUAUUUGUUUCAGAAAAUGCCAAGACAGACAGACCCACCACAAGCAACGUCCAUGUUUUUUUUUUUUUUGGGGGUAUCACCUGCUUCGUACCUUUAUAAUGCUGCUAUUGGCUAUUAAUUGGAGUAGUACAUUAUGGGGGCCUUUGCGACUUUCUGGUCCUUGUGGAAUCAUCCAAUUUUAUGAAAUGAGUGGACAGAGUGAGUAACUGGAGGAUGGUAUCGAGGAAACUGCAUAAGCGUCUUCCUGUUUCUCUUGAAGUGUCAUUGGUGGUAUACGCUUAUGUGGUUGUGCUUUCACUGGUUGCUUUGCUAUCCUGUUAGAGUCCUAUAUUUGCUGUUUGGUUUACCAUGCAAACAUAUAUGGCAGUUUUGUAGUCUACCUUGCUGAGAAGAUUUGCUUUGUGUUUUAACUUCUUAGUUGCAUCUAUUUUGCUUGACAACUUUAGACAAGAUCAAAUCCAUUUAGGAAUGGUGUGCUUCAUGAGGGUCAAGAAGCAAAGGAUCCUCGAGUGGAGCUGGCGGAAUGUUUCGGCAGCGGUGUCAGCAAAUUAAUACUCCGUGACUUGACUUGGAGGCACAUGGGAUUUGAUGUGAUUCAGUCCGUGACUUGAGCCUUCAUGCGGCUGUAUUCAACCAUUGAAAUUGAAGGCAUCAAAUGAAAUAAUUUGCAGCAAGGACUUGCGUAGACCCGGCAUCCCACUUAAAAAUGGCCCAAUCACAGUUUUCAUACUUUUCAUUUUGAAAUAUCUUAAAAUAUUUAUCAUAUUGAAAAAAUAAAAAUAUUUUUUAAUCUCUUUUUUUAAUAUAACUUUUCUUUCUAAUCAUAUACUCCCUCCGUCACACUUUGAUAGUUCUAUUUCUUUUUUCACACAGUUUAAGAAAAAAUAGUUAAUUUUAUCGAAAAAGUAAAUUUAGAUUGCUAUUUUUCUAAAAUACCCUCACAUUAAAUAGAGCACAAUUUUAUGAGAACUUGAAUUGAUGGUAAAAAAAGAACCAACUCUCAUUAAAUGGGAUGGGUUUAUAUUAACAACAACUUACAUUAAAUAAGGGUAUUUUAGAAAAAUUAAAAUACAACUACAUUCUUUAAUUGAAAAGUGAACUACAAUUUGAGACAGACAAAAAAGAAAAAUAAGACUAUCAAAGUGGGACGGAGGGAGUAUAUGUUAUUAUUUAAAUUUAAAUUUUAAAUUCAUUGAAAUAAAAUUAAUAAAAAAUAUAAACAUUACAAUCAAAUUUUAUUUUUUAACAGUUGAAAGGCUAAGGUUGUGUUUGGAUUGCAUUUUCCGUCAUUUUUCAUGGAAAAAUUACUGUAACGAUUUGAUAUAUGUGAGGGAAAAAGAUGAUAGGAAAAUGUGAUCACGGAAAACGACAAUAUUUUCCGACGGAAACAAGCAAUCCAAACAAGGCAUAAAUAAAUUGGGAUAGAAGCACUAAUAAUGUUCACGGUGCUCAACAAAGCAGCGACGUGGCGCGAGGUGUUUGGCCAUGAUUUGACAAUAAAUAAACCUUUCUUCUAGCCAUCAGUCAAAGUGAUCCAAAUAGGACAAGACCAAAAAUUAAAGAAUCUCCCACCUAACCCCGUCGAGAAUUGUUUUCCGCUUACUAUAACUUAAAAGUUAAAGAGCAAGUGCACGCCCAAGCCUUGCAGAAACGAAUACUCCAGGAUAGAUAGACUGCAAUAGUUACACUUAGCACACUUUACUCUUGUUCCCUCCCCUCCUUCUCGGGUUUUGUUUCGUGGCAAUGGAUCAAAUACAGCACAAGCAUAUUGAAGUCAACGGUCUGAAGCUUCACAUAGCUGAGAUUGGAGGAGGAUCGAAAGCAGUGUUGUUCUGUCAUGGGUUUCCGGAGAUCUGGUAUUCUUGGCGCCACCAAAUGAUUGCUGUGGCCAAGGCUGGCUACAGAGCAAUUGCUCCAGAUUACAGAGGCUAUGGACUCUCUGACCCUCCAACCGUGCCCGGGGAUGCUACCUAUGCUGAUUUUGUCGAUGAUCUCCGCUCCCUUCUUGAUGCUCUCGCCAUUUCUAAGGUACUAUUCUCCCCUUUCCCAAUUCCCGGCCGACAAUCUGCUAUGAAGUAGUGUGUUUUUCUGCUCUCUCUCUCUCUCGCUCUAUAUAUAGAUAUUCUGAACUCUAUUUGCUGCUAGAUAACUUUUGCUAGUUGAAUUUGUUAGGAAGUGAAGGAAAAUCAAAACAUGGUGGUAUUAUUUCUUUUAGUGAAACAGUUCAUGGCUUUGAUAAUUGUAUGCAUGUCGAGCCAAUGGUAGUAUAGAUGCCUUCAAAAUUUUCCACAAUCUUGAGAAAUGGUUUAACAAUAAAAGAAAGAACAAGGACUUGAAAAAAAAUGCUAGAAUGAUAUUGCUAAUAUGCAAAUCAAACAUGGUCUUGACGACUUUCUUACAUUUCCAGUUUAGAUUUUCUGCACAGUAAUCGUUGAAGUACCUUAUCCGCGGAAUAAAUCAUUAAUCCGAUGCAACUGGGGACUGACUUUCUUAGAAAGAAGAAGAUAGAUAUGCUAUCAUACUCAUUGCUCUGCCGUUUUGAGUGAAGUUGACAUUAAACGUCUAGAGUACAUAAUGUAAAAGGAGUUGCUCUUUCACUUUUAUAUAUAUACAUACAUACAGACAUACAUGUAUACACACACAUGCGCAUACCAUUACGAGAUUUUUUCAAUUGAUGUUUCCUUGUAUGUUACGUGAUUGAACUUUCUUUAUUUGGAUGCUUGCUCGUUUUGUGGAACAUGAAUGCCAAAUCUGCAUACCUUUGGAAUACACAGGUUUUUCUCGUAGCUAAAGAUUUUGGAGCCCGUGUUGCACAAUAUUUUGCCCUUCUCUACCCAAACAGGGUUGCUGGAGUUGUAACAUUGGGCAUACCUUUCGUGCCUCCAAAGCCCACUCCAAUGCAAGACUUCCUUCCGGAAGGCUUUUAUAUAUCCAGAUGGAUGGUACACAACAAUCUUUGUUUCUAGCACCUUCUUUCUUUGUUAUCUCCAGUAAGCGUGCUCAGUUUUCUUUAAAAGAAUAGGAAAGUAAUCAUGGCAUCUUACAAGAUUUCUUGAUUCUAGGAACCUGGAAGAGCAGAAGCAGAUUUUGGUCGGUUUGAUUGCAAAACAGUUGUGCGCAACAUAUAUAUCCUGUUCUCCAGGAGUGAAAUACCAAUAGCUAAAGAAAAUCAGGAGAUAAUGGAUAUGGUGGAUUCAUCUACUCCUUUACCCUCUUGGUUCACUGAAGAAGAUCUUGAAAACUAUGGUGCACUAUAUGACAAAUCUGGAUUCCAAACUGCUCUACAAGUGCCUUACAGGUAAAAGAAUUGUUACACUUUUUAAAUUCAUUGCAAGUGCAUAUAUGUGUUACUCUUAUACUACUGCCUAGAUGAGAUGAUUAUCAAGUAGCUAGUAGUCAUGGUGUGGAACUGCUGCAACUCCUGCAAUGAAGAGUUGCAAAUGACAAUAUCAUUUACCCCAAUUUUUGAAACUCAUGAUCACAACUUUUGUGUCCACUAUUGCAGUGAUGAUUCUCUAUUCCAAGUUUGCAACUUGUAGCUUGCAACUCCACUACAAGCCGGCCAAAAACAGUGGGGGGUAGCUUAUGGUCCUAGAUAUAUCAAUGUGCACACUUCUCUGAAAACUAGUGGUUGAUUUGGUAUAUAACUUUAUUUGUAGGGCGAACAGAGAGCUCAAUACAUCAGAAGUAAAGGUUGAUGCUCCUGCACUGCUGAUAAUGGGUGAAAAAGAUUACUUCCUUAAAUUCCCGGGAAUGGAGGACUACAUAAGAAGCGAACAGACAAAAUUUUUUGCUCCUAAUCUGAAGACAGUUUAUGUACCUGAAGGUAGCCACUUUGUUCAGGAGCAAUUUCCAGAUCAAGUGAAUGGGCUGAUACUCAAUUUCCUCAAGACCCAUAGUUGAUCUAGACAUGCAAGUUGGUUGGUAGCAGGCUUAAUUUCUGACGCCCUGUUGUCCAAGGUUCUAAAGUUCAUUGGCUGCUGCCAUGCUAUAUUGAAGUCAUGGACAUUUUGUGUUUUCUUCCUGUCAAUUUCAUCCACAACUUUUCUGCUAAACUAGCUCAUGGCAUUCAGCUUUUGCCAUUGUUGUAGUUUGCACUACAAAUCCUUCAAUAAAUUAUCAUUACCUGCAGGACCGGUUCUUAUUCUCAAUUUCUUUCGAACUUUACACUUUAAGUUAUGCAAAAUUUAGAUUACCAGCAUUUCCAUUUGUUCUUUAGUCUAUCCAUGUUUAUUAACUUUAAUUGAAUUAUAAAUUCACCAAAAGAAGGAUAUGCAACAAUGACAACAGAAGGAUGUGCUUACAAGAGCCUGGUUGUUGCAAAAUGAUGUGGAGUUUGGUUUUCCUUCUAUGUCCCUAGGAAAGGAAUGAUCCAAAAGGAGUACUAAAAUGUUUAUGUUGGAUUGAUUGGAAAACUAAUACACAUAAAUGACAAUCAAAAUGUUUUCUUUUCCUGAAAUCAUUCCUUCCCAUUUAAAUGUCAAGUUGGCAAAUUAUCCUAAAUAUUAUUUUACUUACGUCACAAAUAUGAUUUUUCAUCAAUUUUUUAUAACAUAUAAAUAACAUUAUAAAAGAAGCUAUAGUAAUUAUUUCAAAUAAUCUCCCAUCCAAACACUAAAUAUUUGUUUGCCUAUUUACGAUAUGCAACUUUUUUUUUUUUUUUUUUUGGCACUACGUCAGUUUUGCCAACCUUCUAGAUAUUUAAAGCAGGAAUAGUUAAGAGGGAAAAAAAAAAUGUUUGCCAUCUUGAAGGGCAGAGAUGUAACCUUAAAAGUUCACGAUGACGUAUUUUGCUGUAUAAUUUCAGAAAUGUCCUCUUAAGGUUUCUAACAGUUUUACUUGGCACCUUCAAACUUUUUAAAAAUCUCACUUGAUUCCCUUAGCUUAAAUUUCUUGUAACAUUUAAAUUCCAUUUCAAAAUAUAAUAUUAAACAAGCUCUCAUUUUGAGAGGGAGAAUAUAAAUUCCAAAUUUGUACUUAAUUAUUAUAACAGACUAAAUUUAUCUCUUAAUUUUUGUUAAUUGAUCAAUAUAGUUCUUUAAUAAAAGUUCAAAAGUUGAUAAUAAGAUCGAAAAACUCUUUAAUAGUUUUGAUGUCAUUGGUUUGAACAAGAAAUGUUAAAUUACUUAAAAUUAUAAAUGAUUUACAAUGCUCUUAAAACUAACUUGCCAUAAUUUACAACCAAAAGAAUACCUUUUUGCACUAGCCUAAAAACAAUAUAAAUAAGUUCAUAUAUAAGUAUCUUUUUUCUUUUCAAGCCAUUGAUUUAAAAAAAUUGAAAAAUUCAAAAAUAUGUAAAAAAAUUAUAAAACUUCUUAGAUUAACUCAAGAUAAGAUAUUUUCUAUCUAACUUGCAAAAAAUCAAUAAACUUUCGAAUAUUAAACUUUUUGAUAUUUAAAAAAAAUACUAUAUUUUAUCCAAUUAGAAUAAACCUUCAUACCUUUUAUUCUUAUUUUUCAUUUGUUAUCAAUAUGUUCACAGUUUGGUAAUAAAAAGUAAGACAACAAAAGGACCAAUUUGGAAUGAUACUAAAUUUGCUCUUCCAAAAUGGAUUUUUUAAUAUUAUAUUUUAAAUUGGAUUGUAAAUGAAACUAAAAAAAAACUAAAAUAAAGGAGACAAGUAAGAUUUUUUAAAGUUUGAGGGUGCCAACUGAACGUGACUGUUAGAAACCUCAAAGGAGGUUUUUGAGAUUAUCCCAAUUUAAUAUUAUCUUUGCAACCAAACUUCAAAGCAGGUGACAAACUGACAAUUCAGCUCAGCUCACCAAAGUUGAAUUAUUCCCACCUAAGCAGCAGACAGGAACUCAAAAACUUUACAAGAAAGCAACCUUAGAAUUGGAAGUACAGUAUCAAACAAGUUUCUUUAGUUCCUCUCUGCAUCGUUUUGGGAUCUUCAGAAAUGGAUCAAAUCCAACACAAGUUCAUACAAGUUGACGAUGGUGUAAAGCUUCACGUAGCUGAGAUUGGAAGUGGGCCAUCAGUUGUUCUGUUCCUUCACGGAUUCCCUGAGAUAUGGUACUCUUGGCGCCACCAGAUGAUUGCUGUGGCCAAGGCUGGUUACAGAGCCAUUGCACCUGAUUACAGAGGAUUUGGAUUAUCCGACCCUCCGCCAGAACCCCAGAAGGCCAAUUUUGCUGACUUUAUCACAGACGUCCUUGCUCUCCUUGAUGCUCUGAGUAUCCCCAAGGUAUAUUCCUUGCUGCAAUCUUGCCUCUUCUAUUUUCGGGUUAAUGCUAAAUUUCUAUUUUGGGCUUCUGGUAAUUGCUUGCCGUGAGUUGUAGCUAUAAAAUUCUCAAGUUUUCAGGCAUGACCCCCUAAAAACACAAGACUCUGUCUGUUGACUGUUGAUCAGCUUGGGACGUUAAUCCCGUGACCAUCCAAGAUAGUUGUAGUGUUGCCGUCAUGAUUCAUUAGGGUCAUCACCUUGCAAGUUGCAACAAGUUUUAGCAUCAGGUCAAACAACAGUUUCUAUGUUCUUGGCUUCAUUAUGUAUAGCUGAAUGAUUUCCACCAACUAUUAGUCCUGCCUCUCUUGGCUUGUCUGACAUCCUGGGCAGAAUGAGUUCAUGCAUAGUAUCAAAUUCGUGAUGAGCACAGCAGCAACAUCUUCCAUCCAUAUUAUAGACACCUUGAGGAUCUCAUGAGCGGGGCAUAAUAAAGUAUGGGGAGGCACCAUUCAGAUUAAAGUACUUAUUAUGGAAUUUUAAGAUUUUUAUCUUGAUUGUAAUAUCUGUAAUGGCAUUUAGUGAUUAGUAAUUUGAUGUAGCGCAAAUCAUGGGAUCUGAUAUAGCUAAAAUCAUGGGGCUUGGUGUAGCUCAAAUUCUGGACUUCCUAUCUUUUUCAAUUUACAUCUUCACCGAAUGAAUAUUAGAGUUCUUGAUUGACAUAUUCUCAGGACGAGUGAUGAAUGCUGCUGUUGCUUUUUUUUUGUUUUUUUACUGACUUUGCCUCAUAACUUUGCUUCCAGAGUAUUAGAUUCCUUCUCUUUGUUGGAUGGUUUGUGCCAUAUGGAAAGAAUAUUCCAGAACUUGUCCAUCAUCAGGCGUCAAAUGUUAAAUGAUAUCUCACAAAGAUGCCAUCUAAAUCCUGCUAAACUAUUUUUCCUGUACAGUACUAAAUCUUGACAUUCUUAGGUUACGUUAAAAAGUAAGUGCAAUUUCCUCAAUUCCGUGUAAGGAUUAUGUCCUGCUUGGCACAUAGCUGCACCAAGUAAAUAAAUUGAACAUUAUUCAUUUUCUUGUGUUACUGAUUUGUUAUCCACAUCAGAACAUACAGCUUUUGGGUGUCUGACUGCAAAGCUCUUUUUUUUGCAGGUUUUUCUCGUUGGAAAAGAUUUUGGAGCCAGUGUAGUUUAUUACUUUGCUAUUUUGCACAAAGAGAGGGUCACAGCUAUAGCAACAUUAGGCGUGCCAUUCAGGCCACCAGGGCCUCCUCCACAUCAUAAGCUUCUCCCGGAAGGAUUUUACGUAACAAGAUGGAGAGUAUGCACUUUGCUUGUCCGGUUAUUCAGGACGAUAAUUAUAGCUGCUUCUAGUAUUAAUUCUUCUUUUCUUUGACUUGCAGGAGCCUGGGAGAGCUGAAGCUGAUUUUGGACGCUUUGAUUCAAAAACGGUUGUAAGAAACAUCUACAUUAUGUUUUCCAGGAGUGAAAUGCCAAUAGCUAAUGAAAACCAAGAGAUCAUGGACCUGGUGGAACCAUCCACUCCUCUUCCUUCUUGGAUGACAGAGGAAGAUUUUGCAACCUAUGGAGCCCUGUAUGAGAAAUCUGGUUUUGAAACUGCAUUACAAGUUUACAGGUACAGGUACUGGACUCCUCUUAAUCUACAUUUCAGGCGAGUGGCGUUCUCGAUUUUCUAUCUUUCAUUGCAACACGUAAUUAAUGAGCUCAUUUUAUGCAAUAGAAUUUUACUAUUGCUUCCACAAGUAAAUGCAAGAAAUUUAAGUGCACCUAAAUUACAUAUUUUCUUGAAGACUUUGGUUGAACUGGUGGAGAAGCAAAUUUUCAGCUGAGCAGUAGCUUUUCUGAUUAAACCAUAUUGACAUGAAUGUAUGCUUGAUUUCAGGGCCACUGGAGGAAGUUCGAAUGUGCAAGAUCCAAAAAUUGAAGUUCCAGCGUUAUUCAUCAUGGGUGAGAAGGACUAUGUGAUUAAAUUCCCCGAAACUGAAGACUACAUAAGGAGUGGUAGAAUAAAAGAUUUUGUACCAGAUUUGGAGAUAAAGUAUAUUCCAGAAGGAGGCCAUUUUGUGCAAGAGCAAUUCCCUGAUGAGGUGAAUCAACCUCUGCUUAGCUUCCUCAGCAGGCAGGCAUAGUUAAUCCUGAUCGCAUACAAGCAAGUACCAUAUUAUAAGAUGGCUCUUCGGAUGUACUUGAAGUUGUUCUUAAAUUGAUUUUCAGAGGUAUUAUCAGGCGGAUGAUCAAUCAUGCAUCUGUAGUCCGUAGUUUCAGCUCCGGCAUCCAUGUUUAUGUGUUUUAACGCCAAAUCAAAUGUAUGAUUUUUCUUCGUUUUACUUUAUUCUUCAAGAGCCAUCACUACCUACUAUUUCUCAAGUUUCGGUCUUUUAGCAUAGCGGAUAAGCGGUGAACAUCACGUGACAUAUUCCAACUCGAAAAUACAAAUCGCUGAUGUGCUUCAUGUUAUAAACUAUUGAAUGGAGAUGGAAUGUAGAAUGCUGAAAUUUUCCCAUCACUAACUGAAGUUGAGUGAGAGAAACCCAGCAACAAACACCCUUUCCCUGGCCGGACUGAAAUGAUUGGAAUAGAGCACAAGUACAUAGAAGUCAAUGGGCAACAACUUCAUGUUUUCUUGCAUGGGUUUCCAGAGAUAUGGUGCUUUUGGUGCCAUCAGAUGGUUCCUGCAGCCGCCAUUGCACACCGUCAGUGGCUCUUUAUUCGGACUCUCAAAUACAGUUAGGCAUUAAUUAUGAGGUCCUUAGCUGCUGAAAUGUAUCUGAAUUAUGUGGUCAUUUUGUAUAGAAAGAAAGCGAAAAAAAAAAAAAAAGAAAAAGAAAAACAGCCCUAGGGGAUGAUGAUAAGACGAUAAGUAAGGUCCGUAUCAAAUGCACAUAAGCGCGUGCCACUAAUAUUAAUUAAUGAUGUAGCGAGCGAUUAAUGCUAACGAUGUGGGGUCCACUAUAAGAAGUUUGUUCCUUCUUCCACGUUCAUAAGAUAUAAUAAAUAUUUCAUGUCUAAAAACCCAAAAAAAAAAAUUCCCUCUUUAUUAAUCAUCCGAUAUCUAUAAAUUGAUGCAACAUCAUGGUCAAAGGCCUUCCUCAUUUUUUUUUUAGGUAGGUAGAGAAACCAAUCCUAAUGAACUCCUGUACAUAUUUGGGUCAUUAGUGUUGUGAAAGAAGGUAAAUGCGCGUCGUAAUUAUUGUAGUAUUUUUUUUUUUUUUGUAAUUACUAUAAUCAUAUUUUUAGCUUGGACCCAACAUGCUAAAAAGAAGAGAAGAAAAUUCGAAAUCCGUUAGUUAGUAAAUAAACUCAAUGACGACACUUGUUGAGGAGGCGAGGAAAAUCGUUCAAGCUAAAGCAACUUAAUUCUAUUGAUUCUGCCUCAAUCAAGAUGGUUCCAGCCAACGAGAAAAAGAUUUUUUUUAUUAAAAAAAAAAAAAAAAAACUCCUAACUUCAUGACAAAUAUUACGGAAAUCGCUCCUAAUAUGUUUCGUGAAUCCACAAGUCAGGAAAUUCCUAAAUCAUAUUCAUAUUCAUAUCCUCCCACCAGGCGGCCGUUUAGGACCACUAUCUAUCAUUUCGUUAUCUUGUACUUUCUCACUGCUGACUCCAAAGAUUGCCACUUUUCUUCUUCAUCACGGCUGCUUCUACUACUUUCAACAUAUAUAUAUAUAUAUAUAUAUAUAUAUAUAUAUAUAUAUGUAUAUGUGUAUAUAUAUAUAUAACCUAAAGCAAGCAAAAUUUAAACAAGAAGAAUAUAUUACAAUUUGUCACAGCAGAUGAGGAUAAUCAUUUAUAAAAACCAAACACCCCACCCCCCCAAACGACAACAUUGGAUGUGGCAGCUUACGUUAGUAGCUAGGGAUCAUAAUAAAGUAAAGAUUUGUGUCAUGUCAUCCACCCCAAAGUACCCCUUUUCCAUUUCGUUCCCCUUCACGAAUUGUAAAUAAACAAACUAUUCUGGAAUUGAAUAACCAUUAAUUGGGCUUUGGAAAAGAUCUGUUUUGACCCAUGAGAAGGACACGUGUACCCACCUACACAAUCCUCUACGCCAGUACGAAAAAUGACACCCGGCACAGCCGGAAUGGCUUGGAUGGUAUUUUUCAAAAGGGCGAAAAAAAUAAAUAAAAAUACAAAACAACAAAGAUCUACCACACACUGCGCGCGUGCAUUAAAACAUUUCAAAAAAAAAAAAUAGUGACGAAGACGGGGUUGGUACUUGGUAGUAGACAAGACGCUGCCUUUCCCGCCCCGCCGGUUCACGACCCUCCCAUGGACCGGGCCUCACCAGAUUCUUUUUCUUCUCUAGCUUUAUAACCCGCCCUGCGCCAGUGUCUUAAUUAAUUCUCUCUAAACUCUCUACCAUCACGGUCUCUCUGCCUCAGCUAAGUAAGAUUUCCCAAGUAUCUUUCGGUAUAAUACACUUCUCCUCCACCAACUCCUAUUCACGACUCUCCCCUGCCCAUAUUCCUCAUGAAUUCCAUGGAACUUCCAUAACACUUGUGCGUUCUAACUAUAUUUGCAGGUCUGCAUACCCAUAGCGACUGGCCAGGGCCUCCUGUAGAGAUACUUCCACGAUUGCUUUGUUCCGGUAAUCUCAUACUGCUACUGCAAGUUCUUCUUUUCUUUAAUAAUAAUAUCCUCACUUUUCUCGUAACAACUAGCUAGCUAAGAAAGUGAGGAUGCGUAAAGUCCAUGUACUUUCCAUCCGGAGUCAUCAGGUUCAGAGAACAAAAGAAAACCUCUAGUUUUUCCUCCUGACUUUCUGCUCAUACGUCGAGUUUUGCUGCAUUUCAUCUGGGAAUCCAUCUCAUUACAAACUGCCAUCGUUCUUGGGCAUUUACAGAUCUGCACGCUGUAUUACUUAGCACACCCGGCUAGUUCGCUAACUCGUCCGAGUCUGAGUUGUCUCGGACGGGACGAGUCAUAGCCGGAAUGGCUUAGGUCAGUACGGAAAAUGACACCCGGCAUGGUAAUUAACAGAUAAUGGUAGUCAUAGCCUUGGCAAAUUUUAAAGUUUAUCAGCAUCUUUUCAGUCUUUCUUUUUGUUCUUACCUAAAGUUACACACUGCACCAUGGGUCGUUAUUCGGACUCACAGAUAUAGUUCUAUGCAUUAUGAAGUCCAUGGAGGAUUGGAAAUGUCUGCAAAAGAGAGCUGAAUAUACCCUAGUUUUGAUGCUUUUGAGUGAGAAUCGGUAUGUUGACAUCAUAGAAUCCCGGUAACUGCUUCAGUUCCUGCAGCUUGAUGGAUGUAAAAAUCAGAAAAACUGCAGUUCCAAAUCUAACAGUAAGAGAGUUUGAUAUGAUAUGGGUGAUGCGGCGGGAGCUGCUUAGCUGGGCUAGUCCCAUUUUGCUGAUAUACCUUGUAGUUUUGGUCUCUUGCAUCUGUAGCAGAAAGAGGAAGAAACUUUCAAGGGCAAAAAUCUUAAAAUAGACAACAAAAGGUCGCAUUUUCAGUACAUAUAGUAGUUUCUUUUAUGUGAUUUUCCAUUCUUUUGCGGGAAAUUUCUCAGGAGCAUUAAUUUUCCUCAGUUCUAUCUAAAGUAUCAUCAACCCUUCAUGGUGCAAAAAUUUGUCUUUCCUGAUUGUUUUGGCUAACUCCACGUUGUAAAGGUUCAGUUUUUGAAAUAAGUUAGUAGUAUAAUCAUUGGUAGUUAUGUACAUGCAAGAUUAGGUGCAGCUUCAUGCAAAAGCCGGCACUCAUAUGAAUUGGCCACUGGUUUGUGUUAUGUAUAUGUCGGUGAAAAUGAAUGGGAAGGGGGUGCAUUGGUAGCUCUAUCAAUGAAUCUUAAACCUUGGAUUUUCUGUAGGAUGGCUGAUCGAAGAAGGCCAAAGAAAGGUCCUCGAAGUUGUGUUGUUCUUCAAUAUCGAAAAGCAAAACCCUACGAACGUGGAACAAAAUUCAAGGUAGAAAAGAUAGAUAUUAGCAUGUUUAGCAAUUAUGUAGAGCUGCAGCUGUAUCUGCUCCAAAGAUGCGGCGGGGGCUAUCGUACUUAUCCAGGGGGUGCAGACUAUCCGGUGAUAACCUACACCAAGUAUAAGGAAGAUGAUAAUGAGCGUGACCUGAAUAGCGAGACAUGGGAUAUCUUUGCUGCAUCUGUCUCUUAUAUUCUCAUAGAUAGGAAAGAGGCUUAAGAGUAACUUUGGUGUCAUUUGGUGAAAGAGAUGGACUACUUUUCCCUUUCUCUUUGCGAAUAAUUAAUUUAAAGCCCUUAAUUAUAAGGACAAGUAUUCCAGCUGUUAAUUAGCUACGAAAAUGUGGUACAGGCUAUAUAUAUAUAUAUAUAUAUAUAUAUAUAUAUAUAUAUAUAUUUUGUUUGAAAAUGAAAUCAUGAUCAUAAGCCGGUGCUCCACGUUGGAGAGAUAAAGAAAGGCACAGUUGACAGCUUCAAAUGAUAAGACUGGGAAUUUUGUGCGUGUGCGUGUGCGAGUGCGAGUGCGAGUACCGGAGGGCGGUUCCAAACAAAAGAACCAAUGGACUUUGACUCGUUUGGUGGCAAUAUAGAUUACAAUUUCUACGCGCCCAAGAUUACAAGUCCACUAGCGUGAAUAUCCGUGCGUGCUGACAUUAUUAAAAAAAAUAAAAAAAUAAAGGUGAAAAAAUUGAAUCAACAAAAUUAAAAUGUAAUAUCUGUUUAACAAUAAUUUGAAAUAUAAUAGAAUAUGUUCAAGAACUGAAUACAAUUUCUACGCGACCAAGAUUACAAGUCCAUACUGAAUAAGACAUGUUAUACUCAUUGAUAAUAAAAUAUAUUAGGCAAGAAUACUUUAGUAAAAUUAUAUAUUAACUAUAUUUUUAAUUAAAAAAUAAACUAUAAUUUAGAACAGACAAAAAAUAAGAAUAACACAGCCAAAAAUGCGACGCAGGGAGUAUUCAGUUUAUUUGUUACUGUCAAACAUUAGUUAUUUGGCGUCUGAAAUGAACUCGCGGGUACCUGGCUUGGCAUACAGCCAAGACCGGAGGCAAAAUACAUUUCAUUGACCCGAAUUUUCAACAAAGAACAAUCAUGUAUACCGUUGUUAUUCUUCCCGACAGUCCAACACCCCGUAGUAGCAGUAUAAGAACAAAACAGCCAAAUUCGUCAAUGGUUGGAUGACGCUUGUCGCCACCACGCGCGCAGACGGCUGAACCAUAUGGACCCACCCCAAAACAGUUACUAUAAACAAUUUUAAAUAGUACUAUUUAAUUGAGGAUCCAAUCCAAAAGUUGGAGAUGCUUCUUUUCGUGAAGUACGCGUUCACUUGAAGGUACAUAACAUAUUUAGCUUUUCUUUUUAAAAAAAUUAGAAGACGAACCACUGGAUCAAAUAAAUGCACUGCUACGCUCUCUAAAUUUUUUAAAAACAAGAUGCACUGUACUUCUUGUAUGAUGCAAUUUGAACCUUCACUCUACCGCACGGAAGAGCUUAAGGGUCUCUUUCUAACUAUUUGACCAAAGCCCAAUGGCUGGAAACAUAUUUAGUCGAUGGAUCACAACUGCCAUCUUUUUGCUGAAAAAGCAAACUCGUAGUUAAGGCUGCAAACGAGUCGAGUUGAGUUUUGGAUUAAUCGAGUAGAGUCUCGACUAAAUUUUAUCAAACUCAAACUCAAGUUUGAGCUUGACGAGCCGGCAAUUUAAAGCUCGAGCUCAAGCUCGAAAAAAAUUAAAAAAAUUAUUUUAUUUUUAAAAAAUAAAUAAAAUAAUAUUUUUUUCUUAAUAAAUAAUAAAAUAUUAAGGAUAUAUAUGUAAUUUUACUAUUAAAAUAAGAAAAUAAAAAAUAUAUAUAUACUUAAAAUAAAAAAAUAAAAAAAUAUUAUAUAUAUAUACUCGAGUUUAAUAUUUUGAGUUUAAUAUAUAUAAAAAAAUGAGUUUAAUAUUUUGAGCUCAAGCUCGAACUGCUCGCGAGCGGCUCGAUUCGUUUGUAGCCCUACUGGCAGUUCAACCAGUUAGCAAUAUGCCAAAUUCUAGAUUGGUCCUUGUACUACCUUUUGUUAGAACACAGAUUUGGUCCUUGUACUGAAAUAUAAUGCUGGAUCAGGAGGGAUGACUUCAAGUUGCGUUGCAAUGUUGCUUUGCUUUCCUUUAAAAUUUUAAUUUGCCCGUAUAAAUUUAGUUGGCCUACAAAAAGAGUCUCAUAAACAAAGUCGAUUUCAUCAACGCUCAUGACAAUCUACAAAAGAAUCCUUCGGCCUACAAUAAUCCGUUAAUACCAGUGAACAUCAAUAUUGACAAAAGCGUUGGCAAGCAACCCGGAAAAGGAGAAACAGAAAAAACUCUUGUGCGAGUGCCAGUGCGUGCAUGCAUGCGCGCGCGUGUGAGAGAGAGAGAGAGAGAGAGAGAGAGAGAGAAUUCAGGGGACAGAGAGAAAAGCCAUUACAAAGAAUGAGACUGCAGAUAGCCCGCCAACAGGAGAAAGCUGUGUGUCUAUCCAUUUUGUAUACACCACAAAUGGUGGAGGGACCAUAGAAAAAAAAAAUGAAGACAAAAAUUGUACCAAAAAUAGAAUGGGGAAAACAAAUGGUACAAGCUUAAGUAGUCAGCUCAGCCUACAUCUAUGCCUAUGACUAGUAAGUAAAGAGCCCAUCAAUCUGAUCUCCCAAGUACAUGUAUACAAUCGCUAGAGCUGAGGGAAGACUAAAACUAUACAGAUGUGAACCUUCCGGAAUCUCAAGGGAUCCUACAAGAUUCAAUUACUUCCAGCACUGUUGAAUGAGUUUCUGGCGAGAUCAUGUCCAGUGACAAAUGAAAUUCCUGGAGGAACAAAAACAAUUAUGUUGAUAACCUAUACAAUUUGGCCAGUCAAAUUUAAGGCAAAUCAAUUCCUUGAAUUUCACUAAAAAUGGCGUACCACAAAUCUCUCCAACACAGGGACAAGUACUGCAAGGUUGUGAUCAGGAAGACAUUCAGCAAUCGUACUGCGUAUCCUCCUACUGAGAGUCAAAAGAGGCGUGUUGUGAGAAAGCGUGAAGAAAAGCUAUCCUGCAAGUAACAUUUCCAGAAAGGAUACCAACCUUUCAGUGGAAAGAAAUGCAAGAAGAAGAGCUGCAUAAGCUUCUAGAAUCAUUUUCUCAGCUUCUUUUUCUUCCUGCAAUAGAGCAUCUUCAUCAUCCUGCAGAUCAAUAAAAAAUCUUUGCUUAGAUUUUGUAUAAAUAAAAUUCAUUAUGCACCGGCUUUCAGAUCAUGAAAUAUGUAGCCGCUAUCGACACAAGGAAGCAACUAUAAUAGCAGAUGAAAACUCCAAUACCACAUCUGGCUCCUCUAGGAUUCAACUAAUGUUUGACCGUAAUUUCAUUGAGGAUCAACUUUGUACCUAUAUUGCCAAAACACUUCCUUGAAAAGUUAUCAUUAAAGAAAAGCAACACCGUAGUAUUAUAAUUUCUCCAAGAAAACCAGCAAUUAUACCACCAAAAUUCAUUCACCAACUCUUCUUCAUAUUGAGACAUAUCAGUAAUGCCGGAAGCAGGAAAGCAUACGGACAGCAAGAGGCUGGUCAUGCAUGAUGCAGACUGAAACUCCAAAAAGUUCUUUCAGUAAGAUUUUGGUGUCACUCUCCUUCACUAUCAAACUUAUUAUUUCUCUCAUUGCCACAUUGUCUUCUGCAUCUAACCAGUCAAAGCUGUUUUCCCCGCAGAGAAAUCGACUUGAUCAACAAUCAAGACUAAAACAUUAAGCUCAGUUAUAGAAGGGGCUUGUACAAAGGAGUGACACCAACCAAAUUAAAUCCAGCAGAUAUCCUACAUAUUUAGUUCCAACAUCCCGUUUCUUUUCUCUGAUUGACGUCUCUUGGGCCCAUAAACAUUGUGAUGUGUUGAUGAUGCAUAUUCUAGUCAUAAAAACAUUUUAACUUUCUACAUGAAUCUAAUAGUCAAAAGCUGAUAUUUAUCAGGAGUACAUAUCAUGAAACAAGAUUACACAAAUUUGCUUAUCAAAUCAAGCUCAGCUAUAUAUGCAAGAGCAAAGCUUCAGAUAAGAGAUUAAAAGUUAAAAGAACAACUUUAAUUUCUGUAGUGUAUUCAAAUAUGUUGAGUUCCAGUAAGAGUCAAAAUUUAUUUGGAAUACAAAUCCUGAAACAAGAUUAUAUAAAGCUGCUUAUCACGUUGAACCCAGCAAUAUAUGCAAGAUAAAAGCUUCAAAUAAGUGCUUAAAAGAACUAUGUUGAUUUCUCAAGUACAAUCAAGUAUGCUGACUUCCAAUAAUCCAGUUUCCCUUUCAAUUCCUUUUAUGAUGGAAUAUUGGCCAAGUCAAUUUGCAGGAGGCACUAUAGUUCAAGCUAUCUUAGAAGGCUAAAAACUUGCAGAGACUUGAGCCCACUCAAGAGGAGCUGUUUUCAAAGAACAACUUUUUAGAGAACCCCAAACACGUCGUUCAACCACCUUUUUCUCUUGCAAUAGCAUUUAGCCAAAAAACUGCUACAGCAUUUUUUUAAAAAAAUCUAAAAACACCACCAAAAACAAACAUCCAAACUGAUCUUCUUCUCAAUAAAAUCUAAAGCCCAAAAACUCUCAGAAAUUUAAUUACAACCAUAGCUAUCAAAGCUUACAAAGUUGAUUCUUUCAAUUUAAGGGACACAGAUUGAAGUUGCUUUGCUUCAGCUCCAAACAUCUAAUGCAUAGAGCAACCAUUGAAAGCAAUGGUGAAACUAAUAGUAGAAUGAUACAAGUUUACUCACCCAUGACAGUUGUCUUCCUUCACCUGCAGCCUCACCCGCCCCUUGGUUGGCCAAGAAAAUUGAACACAGCAGUGGAAUUAGGUCUGUAGAACUUUCUUUUUCUAAACCUUCCAAAUUAGUCAGUGAAACUCGAGUUGCAGCAAGGCGUGAUCUACAUUGGAAAAAUGAACAGAAUUAAUCCAUGCGAAGAAUAUCAAUAUCUGUGAGCGAAGAUAUACUCUCAAAUCAUUCGAAGUGAAGAUGGUCAAGUUGGAGACCAGAAGAGGAAUAGCAGGCAAAGAAGUCAAAAUACGCAAUAGAUGUGACAUUACUCAAAGCUAAUAUGCAAUCGAACCAAAAAUCCAAUACCAAGAAAGAAAUCAAGCACGGAGGCAUAUUUCGCUCUGAUGUGGUUUUCUGAUCAACCACAGAGGAAUAGAAAGCAGCUAGUCUAUUUCUUUGUCUUAUUAUAAUUACAUAAAUUUCCAAUGGUUUAUGUCACCAGAAUGGAUAGAGAGAGGGUAAGAUGAGAAGGAAAGUAAUGUUAGACAAUAUCUGCUACACUUGCAUCAUUGAUUAUCAGGAUGAAGGAAUACAGACAAGAAGAUUGUUUGUCUAUCAUUACCAUAAUAAGCAGCAUUAGAUCAACAACCAUGUUGAUCUAAGUCUUUCCAUAGGAAACCUCAAGUUAAGAACUCUUUACAUGGAGUACCAAUUUAAUCUUGAAAAAAGCUUCUAGUAUUCUUUGAAAAGUUAAAAGCAUAUUACAGAAAGGGCACUUCUUAUCUGUGAAAGUACAGUUUGAAGAACUUAGCAACAAGAAAGGUGACUAGAACCAAGAAUGAAACCACACACCUAUUAAGGCCAUCCUUCUCUACCAAGUUCACUAGUAAUCCCAGAAUGGCAACUAGCAGAUCUAGCUCUUCAUCAGUUAGAUGUCUGUCAUUUUGGUGGUCAACCACUGCACUUGAUCUUGAUGACACACCAUUUUCUCUUGAACUGCCAGAGCAAGGAAGGUAGGUACGAAAGUUUGGAAAAUGGCUAGCAAUCAAUGUAGACAUAAUUUCCAGUCCUCCGCAGGCUGCAAUUUGCCGACAGCCCAUAGGGUUGUCAUUUGUUAAGUUCAUCAGGACCUGCCAAAUGAUAACAUAAAUUAGAAUCAAACAUAAACCAUUGACAGGGACCAUAUGGAUUGACUGUCAGAAACUUAUAAGCAACAUUAAAUACCCAGAAAAAGAGUUCUCUAAAUAAUGGCGGGUAUAUAAAUGAAAUCGCAACAUAAUCACAUAAGGACAACUUUCAAAAAACACAAAAAGAAUGAAAAAAAUGCAAGAAUAGGUGUCUUAUUUCUGAGUGAUGUAAAAUGCUUCUUUGAUUACAGUAAACAUGGGAGCAUACAGUUAUCAAAUCUAAUCAACAACCCCAAAGUUACCAUAAAAGGUUUCAGAUCUUACUUUCUCUAACUGUUUAUGAAAAAGAAACAAUAAAUGAGAAAGUGAACAAACUACCUUUACAGAUGAAAGAAGACAAUCUGCCAGAAGGUUGGACUUUUCAUCUGUAACACCAGAAGAACAAGAUACCUCAGAGGAAUGUUGAUUAUCCAGAUGAGAAUCUUCUUGGCCCAACAAUAGAAGAGAUUGACUUUCACUUUCAGGCUGAUAAGGCUUAGUCCUGCUAUUGUGAACUUGAGAUACUUUUUCCCUCCCAGAUAAUAAGUCCCAUUUAGAUGGUUCAAAGUCAUCCUCAUCAAAAGCGAAAGGGUCCUGGCUGUCCUCCAUAGGUUCGAACUUGGUGGCGUUUGAGACCUUGUGAUCAUUACCUCUACCAAAACUCACUCCAAAACCUUUCGAUAUAGUCCCAUUAGUAAAAUCUCCAGAUGUUCCACUACAUUGCCCAGACAUGGAAGAAUCAAUCCUCAUUUUCAACCAAGGGUCGGUAUCAGACAUGGUUGAAGCUCCUGAAUGGGAUUUCGAAGACGAUGGGUGACAAGAAAAUGAUUGACUGUUGUGUGAUAUACUGAGGCUUUUCAAAGAUGAGGUCCCUUCCAUAGUACGCCUUCUAGAACAACUGAUACACAAACUCCUGUUGUCCUCCACUGCAUAUACAAAUGCUGAAAAUGGUUAAAAAGCCAAAGUAAACUCAAUUCACGUUUUCCAGAUUGAUAUUAUCCACUAGGUUUGCAGUUUUAAGCAUAUUAUGCAAAAAUCAGAGACCACCAACAAUCAAUAAAUCUUCAUCAGUUUAUCACAAUAAAAUGUAACUCAUGACAUGGAUACCAUGAACCUUUUCCUCAUAUGAAAAUCAGUAUAUGUUUACUUGCGAUCCUACAAGUACGGAGCACCUAAAUGUCGGACUUGGGAACACUUAAAAGUACAUAUGAAGUGCUACCAUCAAAUUGACCAUCAUGUUUAUUUUAUGAUCUCAUGUGGUAAUAUUAACAAAGGCUACCUUUGAACUCAGAAGCAUGACUAGUUUCAUUUGAAUGGUUGCAAGUCUUUCCUUCCUCAGAGCCCAACGAACUUCUAAGCAAAGCAAUACCUACACAUGGAGAAAAUUAGUGAGAACAAGUAAAUAUGAAAUCAACAGUGUUAGGCUUAAUACUAGAAUAGAAGCGCACAAAAUGAUAACGAAGUUGUUCAAUGGUCAGAUCACUCAGCAUACAUACCUGAGAGAAUUUUAACAACACCAAGGAUGAGCUUUGUGAAAGACCGAGGGGCACUCUGGCUGUCAAAGUUCCCUUUCAUUCCAAGCAAAUGGCUCUGCAAUGGAAAACACCAGCAUACUGACCAUUGAUAACUCAAACAAGUUCAUUCUAAGAAUCAUUUUGUGUGUCACAAGAACAAAGGAUAAGAUGCAAAUAUUGAUUUUCAGCAUGCAAUGACACAGAAAAUUCCAUCUUUCUUAUACCUGAUUAUCCUUGCUGAGAAAUGUGGCAUUUUCCAUGAUUUUCAAACAUUUUAAAAGCAUCACCAGGCUCUCAAGACCUUCCUUAUCUUUUGAGUCCAACACUGAAGAUGGAUUCCUCUGUAACCAACCCUGAAAAGAAAGGGAUGUAUCUUUAGAUAACAAUAUGACUAGAUCUUAAAGUAAAAAACUAAAUAUAGCAGAAAAGGAUGUCAACCAGUCAGAAAUGAACAUGAACACUGACAAUACUUCCUAACAACCACGUGCAGCAGCUGCGGCAACAGACCUUAUCCUGUUGCAGAAUCAUCUACUGUUCACAUCACCUAUAAUAAAAGCUAUUCCUGGUCUCUCACAUACACUGCAAAGGAGUGCACCAUAAACCCAAGGCUAACUGAAUUCCAAGGGAGAGACACUAGGCACAGUGAUGUGGGAGCAGCAGGUUCAAGAAAGUUCAGGGAAAAAAGAAAAAAAGAUUCCUUUUAAGUUCCUUAUACAAACUCCACAGCUUCCUUGGUUUUUUAUCAUUUGGAGACUCCACCACUAAAUCGGCAGUAAAAUUUUUAAGUGACUUUUACUUCCAUAAUGGAAUUUCAGAGUGCCUCUAGAAAGUUAAAACACAAUUAUAUCGAUCUUGUCAACCAAAAUUUGGUGUGAUUACUAGAUCAAAACAAUGACACCGAUGACAAUUAGUAGUAUCAUACACCAGAGGGAUGAAGUGUAUAAUCGAGUACUAAAAAGUGAGCUAUAGAAUUUUACAUCAAAUGCAGACGAAUAAAUUAUCAUCACUAAAACACUCGGCAAACAAGAGCCUUAUCAUCUCUCCAAACAAAUUCUCUAAAUGAGGCCAACUUCAUUCCACAUUACAAGCAACAUAAACAAAACAACUAUCAUACAGGUUCACACCUCCAUUACACUAUGGCAAUUCCUUGCAACUUCAAAGACCGCAUUAAGUCCUCCAAGCUCUCGUAAUUUUUCCUUGAAAUUCCCCCCAGUUCUCCGCACUCUGCCUGAAGCAUCUGAAUAUCAAAGGAAAAAUAAUUAGUCUUCUAAAGCAAUCAACAAUUAUGACAACCCAACUAAAUUUACAAUCUUCUUGGAAACAGCUACUGCAAACAUGUUUCUAUCUUCUGUAAGAUAGGAAUGCUAAUUAUAAAACUAUUCAAUGGUGUGAUUAGAAUGAAAAAAGGAAAGAAAGGCUACCGCCUCUGUUAUGGAAUAACCUUAAGUAUAUUCGAUGGGCUGUAAGUUUCUAGAAAUUAGACAGGCUGUAAACUUUUCUAGACAGGGAUAUAUUCAAUUAACAGAGGAAGAGGUGCUAAAGGGAUGAACUCAAAUUCAGUAUCCUUCAAGGUAACAGUUAUAUCCCAAACUAAUUAUCUGGCUAUCUCAUGUUAACAUGCAAUAGGGAGAAACCCAAACUCGGUACUCAUAAAGGUAUCAUCUCUAUCCCUAACUAAUUUAUCUGGUUAUCUCAUGUUAAAUAAGUAAACUAUUAUCCAGUUGAAAACUAACUUCUGCAGGAAGAGUGUGCUGAUAUUACUAAGUUGAUCAAAACUAUUAACUAAUCAACUAGUAGCAUCCUUUUAACAUAUCCUAUUAAGAAGCAGAUGGUGUUGAUGGAACCUUCUAGAGAAAUGGUAGAAAAACAAGCUUUUUCCAUUGUAAGCAGACUUAUCCAUUUAGGAUUCAACUCAGGCAACUCAAUGCAGUCAUCAUUUGCAUCUCUAGGAUUCAAAUCCUUGCUACUGACAAGAAUCUCCUGAACCUUCUGCAUAAUUGCAGCAGAAGAUUCAGAACCUUUAGCUGAAAUUUGCGAGACGUCAGGGUCCAUGCGAAUCGCCAGAAGCUUGCUACCAAAACUCGGAGCUUUGACAUUAGCAGCAUCAAAUGUAAGUGGCCUCAAGAACUUCAACAAAAACCUAAUGCAUAUAGGCGAAUCUAGAAGACGGUCAUCUUGACCCUGAAAUAGAAAGAAGAAAGUUCAAACCUAGCAACAGGGGAAGAAAAGUAGUAUGUUAAUAUUAAUAUUUAACCAAUUCUUUGCAAAAAGUCAACAAAACUAUAAAGGUUAUGGCAAACUUGCUUUAAAGUCAAUUUCUGAAAGCGGCAGAAAAAACUAAUACAUCUUCUAGACAGAUAUCCAAGGACCAAGUGGUAAUUCUCCACAGGUAAUCCAAAAUUUCCAGUCUUUUUCAUACUGGUGUAAUUUGUCUGAAUGAUCAUGAUGCUCUAUUUGCAUAAGCCGGAAAUAUACUGGUCUAAUUGGACAUGACCAUAUCCAUAAUAACUGGUCUUGAUCACAACAAUGUUCAACAAUAAUAAUGAUGAUCACAAUAAUCCAAUAAGGCCCUCUUAACUAGAAAAAUACAAUGCACUAGAACACAUAUGAACAUGUUCGACACAAGUAAGAAACGCUUUGGCCUAAUUACAUCUCUCCUGCAAUUUAAGGAUAAUGUAGUAUACUAUCAUAACUGACGGGAAGUUCUAUUGUAAUCCAAACUACUUAAGAAGUGCAGGUUAAAGAUUGCAGUGAGCCAGGGUAGCAUCACAAGGUUUUAGCCCAAUCAUUAAAUCAGGAAGAAUCAACAAAAGCUCAAUCUUUAAAUCAGGCAAGAAUCAGCAAAAGUCCAAUAUUCAUAUUGAAUCAGGCAGAUCUUUUACAAAAUAACAAUUUACUAACCAAAUACAUAAAGACAAAGGAUUCAAUCACAUGUUUACAGUUACAGAACCUUACAUCACUUGUUAAAAUGUAAAAGAGAGCUGCAGCAGCAAGAUUGCUUGGUGGGUCAUCAAAGCUGAUCCCCAAAACAGCAUCGAUAAUUGUUUUAGCCAGCCUGAGACCAUACUUAGCAAGUUAGUUUGUGAAAUGAUAAAGAGAGGUUGGAUGAAAGUCUAAUAUGAAUAUCAUAAAAGGGUUUUCCAUUAAUAAAUGUUGAAAUUAUUAAUUUCCAUGGCUUUGCGUACAUUACCAUUCCAGCCUGUCAUCUUAAUAUCACAUACAUUCUUUUCUUCAAUAAGUCACCAAAUAAAGGUUAAACAAUGAUUGUCAAAAUAUUUAGUAUAUUGCACCUUUUCAUCAACACUAUUAGCUUUUUGUAAGCAAGAGCAAAUAGCAUAUUCUACUCAUGGUCUUCUUUCUUAAGAAUUAACACAAUUGUUAAAAUUGCUGGACUUUAAUAGUAAGCUGUGAUGGAAACUUCAGCAUAAGCAGCGAAGAAAGCUCAUUGUACAUUAUUGUAGACAGGAUUGUCUAAUGCAUUCACACAACUAUGCAAAUAAACUGUAGAACCUAUUAUUGCUGAUCCAAUAAAAAUAACCCUCAUCUUUUAAAUAAUGAACCCCCAACCACAAAUCCGCUUUUCCAACUACUGAAGAAAUACUUUCUUCCAAUUUAAGCUUUCACCAGCAAUUUCAGUCACAAUGCUUUAUAACUUACUUUAGAAAAUUAAUAAGCCUAUAGUCUGAGAUACCAACAUCCAAUUCAGAUACUAAAAUGAGCUUCUGUAAUUUUUCUUUUCAUCUUAUCAUGGUCUUCUGAAUUUUGCUUCAUGAAGAUAUGCCAUAAUCUAUUAUAAAAAUCUUGUGAAUAAUAGUCACUGUGAAAACAGGAAAGUAGUUCAUAUUCGAUUUUUCAUUAAAUGGACUAUCAUACGUUAUCAAGCCUGAAAUAUUUCUCCAACUACAAGAACAAUGAAAAGAUAAGAAAUCAAGAGAACCAAAACUGUGGGAACAGAACUUUAUGCCCUAGAACCACAAAAUCAUCAUAAUUAAUGUAUCAGAAAUAAAGGUUCAUCACUGGUUACUUCUUUCGGUGCUUCCAGGUCAGAAAAUUACAAGACCUAGCAAUCUCAAUAAGCUUUUACAGGUAUCAUAAAUCUUAUCCUUAAGUUAUUUAGAUCAAACCAUGAUAAUAGAUAAGUAGCAACACACUUGAGAAUCAAUAUUUGCUAUACAACUUCAGUCAUCCAUAAGCAGAAGUCCAGAAGACUUGGAACAUCACAAUUAGCCCAAGAACAUUUCCUUCAACUACUAAAUACUGUUCAGAAGUUACUUAAGAGAUUGAAUUUGGCUCCUAUUAGAAAAGGCUGUAGCCAUAACUUGAACAGCCCUCCAAAAAUCAUAUGAUGCCUAGAAAAUGUUAAAAACCAGAAUAUAGAUUACCACCUGCAAUAAUUUCGUAACUAUAAUGCGUUAUAUUAUUAAUUAAUGAUUUGAUUUAUCUCUUUCUACACAUGAAUACACCAGGCAUGUCCACUCAAUACAGCAAUAUCUGUAACACCUUCCUACGGAUAUCCAAAUGAUUUAAAAGGUCGAGCAUAGCAAAACACGCUAUAUCAAAUUAAAAUUCAAACCAAGAAGAAAGAGACUGAAUUUAGAUAAAAGUUAAAAUACCCAUGAGCCCUCAAUAGCCUUCUCUGCUGAGAACUUCCACAUAUUGACAGCAAAGAAAGAAGACUCCCUCUUCGGACCCUCACGGGCUGCCCCUUCUUCAAUCCAUCCAAUGCAAAAUUCACCUCGUCCACAUGCUCCAUCAUCUCUCCAAACUCCUGAGUCUCCAUCAACGUUGCCGUAGAGCCAACCGUAACAGAAUCUGAGCCCACCUCCCUAUUUUUCCCCUUCUUCCUAUUCUUCUUUUUCUGCAUAACCCCAUUUUCCUUCACUUUCUUGGGUUUUUGAAGAAGCCCGUCAAAUUUACCAUUCUCCUUGCCCUUUUUCACAGGCAAAAUUACCAAUUCAUCAGAUUCUUGAGACGAAUUCAAGCUAUAAGGUUCCAAAUCCAUUGAUUUUCCAAAACCCAAAUCACUGUAACCAAAGUCCCCAUCAUUCCUCCCAUUCUUGGAGGACAAAAUCGUCAAUUCAUCCGACUCUGGCGACGAAUUCAAUUUAUAGGUCUCCGAAUCCCCGAUCUUCACCUUCUUGGUCCGGAAAGCCCCAUCAUCAAACCCUUCAUAUUCGGCAUUUCCCCUACUACCACCACCCCUCGCCGGCAGAAUCCUCAACUCAUCAUCAUCCUGAAAAUCAUUCCCCUGCGCCGACGACGUAAUAUUAUUCAAACCAUACGGGUCCAACGAAUCACUGAACCCAUACGGGUCGGAAGACCAGCGGGUCGAACCUUGGGAAGAAAACGUGAAAUCGAAAACAUCUGGAGGGCUUUCUUGGGAAAACGACUUAUCGGAGACGCCACCGUUAAAGUUCCUCGUCGCCAUGCUUCUGCUCCGACGGCCGUAGGUCCUAACAAUCAUUUCUUGACCAAGAUCGAUACUUUGUCAUCAUAGGAGAAAUUUUGAAAAUUUUGAAAUUAGGGUUUUUGAGACGAGCUGAAAAAAAAAUCAAGGGUUCUUGAUUUUCUUGAAGAUCAGGAACUGAAAUUCUAGCGAGACAAAAGUGAAAGGAGGGUUUAAUGUAAUGGCAUGUAACAGUAAAAACCGAUUGGAGAAUAUUAAAUAUAUAGACGUUAAUUUUUUUCGGGUAAAAUGAGGAAUGCGAUUUUGAGGAUGAGUUGGUGGUGAGAUCUGAGCCGUUGGAUUUUCAAGGAAAGACGUUGAGAUUUUCGUUUUUUGUUUUUUAAAAAUUGAGGGUAGUUUGGGUAGUCGGAAAUGGAAGUUGGCAGCGUGGCAACGGCGUGACCGUUGUUCAAGAUAGAUCAGAGCUCGGCUACUGUGCUUUCCGUUCUUACUUUCUUUGCUGUUUGCUUUUGAGCAAAUUAAUUCCCUUUUAUUUACGAGCAUUCUAAGUUUAUUUAAAAACUGAGUAAUACACAAUUUAAACAUUAUCAAUAAAUUUUAGCCCUAGAGUUGAUUUUAUGGUGCGAAUAAGCACCAACUAUGUGAAUUAUCAGGAAAAUUUCUAUAUACGAUGCACCUUUUUUAAAUGAUUUAUAUGGAUUCAGUAUUUGAGAAAAUAUUUUUCAAAUACAACACUCUCGUAAUUUCAAUAUAUUAUUUAUUCACUCUCGUAUAGAUGUUUUUCUUUAAUAAAUCAGUUAGUUGUAGCUAUUGUUAGGGAAAUAAAAUAAAAUAAAGGUUUUACGUAAAAGUAGAUUGAGUAUUUGUUAAAAUGAUUCCACUAAUUCUGCCUAUUUUAUGGAAAAUGAGUUACCAUUUUAAAAAUUUUAUGGAAAAGAUUUAAACCAAUUAACUCUCAUUCUGAAGUUCAAUUUUGAAUAUUAGACCAAGAUUUCAAUGGCAUACUUCUUCUUCAUAGUUUAACCUGCCAAGAUAGAGAGAGGAGAGAUGGUAAUAAUAUGUAGCCAUGUUGACAAAGGGGGUGAAAAUUACCUAAAAUCGGGUUCACAAUUCUAGAGGUAGUGUGAAGAUGAAGUGACACAUAAGAUUUUGGAUAAGAAUGGAAGGUGUUUUAGGUGUAAAGAACUGUUCUGGUAGCUGCAGCACUGUGUAUUUGCUCGCAUGCAUUUUUCGUACUUCGCACAGCAAAUUAGCUUAAGGGGAAUGAGAGGGGCCGGCUGGGUUGGUGAGGAUUUGGUGCUGUGGAUACUGUGGACCGUUUUCACUUUUUGGCAUGUGACUUGAUCAGAAAAUUACCAAUCACGACUGAUUUUUGUUGUAAACCUUUCACCUUUUCGGUGAGAUUCUGUUUGAAUUAGCUAUUUUUUAGAAUAUUUUUAAAAUAUUUUACUAUAAUAAUAUGUAUAUAAAAAAAUUUUAUUGUAAAUAUAUUUUUUGAGAGAUUUUUUUAAAUAUAUUUUGAGAUAACUUUUAAAAUUACAAUAUUUUUAUGGUACUUUUUAAAAAGUAAUACUACCACGUACAAUCACCACUAUCACCUACCACCCCCUUUAGCUUCCUCCUCCCUCUCCUUCCCUCUUCCCUUCCCCUUCCCCUUCUCUCUUCCUUUCCCCCCACCUCUCGGCCCCCUCCUUCCCCCUCGAUCUAGUCUCAACAAGAUCGAGGCCUCUAGUCAUAACCAGAAUGUCACAAUUUUCUAGUCCCAAUCUGGAGACUAGAGGCUUCGACCUAGGAGUGAGGGGGAAGGGAUGAGGAAGAGAAGGAGGAUGAUGAUGAUGGGUUGAUGGCGGUGGUGAGUGGUGGUGAUAGGUGAAAGAUAUUGUAAAUUUUAUUUUUUAAUUUUUUGUAUAUAUUUGUGAGUUAUUUUUUAUAUAUUGUAUGAAUUAUAUUUUUUUGUAUAGUUUUUUAUUUGCGUAUUGGUGUAGCAUUAUAUUUGAAAAUUUAAUUUUUUGAAAAACAUGUCAAUCCAAAUGGAGAACUCUUCAUUCUUUUGUGUUUUUCAUUCUGUUUGUGCAAAGUGAUUGUAGCUUGUUCUUGAGCAAUUUGUGAUAUACAUUUAAAUGUAUUAGAUUUAAUAUUUAAUAAUUUAAAAUUUUAAUAAAUUCAAAUUUUUUAGAUUUCAAUUUAAUCAAACGCAAAUUUGAGCAACUUGUGGUGCAUUUAAUAAAAUUGAAAUAUAAAAUCUCAAUCCAUUACGUUAUUAAAUAGUUAAGUACUAAACUUGAUACAUUUUGGUAUAUAUCAUAUUAAGUGAUAAGUGAAUAGUUUAUCAUUUAUUUUUUGAACCAAGUUUUAUCUAAAAAAUUCAAUGCCACUUAAUUAAUUUAAACAUUCUAUUUUUUGUUACUAAACGCAAUUGAACAUAUUAAGAUCUGAACCUAUUAACUUUAAGUGUUAAAUUGAGUUAUCAAAUAGGAUACCUAAAUAAUAUGUAUUAAGGUAUGAAAAUCUCGAACUUAUGAUAAGUUAAUAUUGGAUUCUAUGAAAAGCUUGAUGCUGACAAUAGAUUGAUCAAAUUUAUGAAAACAAUAUGCACUUAUAUAAUAUGACACUUUUCUAUUUCAAUGUAUGCUAUCAUUUUUUUUUUAGUUCAACGGAGAGACUCUAAGCAUUAAAAGAGAAAAAUCAAAGAGCUUGAAAGUUACAUGAUCCUACCUAGCAAGCAGCCAAGAAUAUAACAAAGAGUAGCAGGGUUUUGCCAAAUGUCCUGUGAUUUCUUUUUCAAUAUGACUUUGGAAGACGACCGAAAAUCACAGGUUUCCCAUGAUCCACAACUAAAGGAUUAAAUUAAUCAAUCAGAUUGAAUCCUCCAUUAAGAAAAAGUGAGUGAAGAAGAAGGGAAACAACCUAUACUCCUCUCCUUUAGUACUCACUAAGGCUUGGUUAGGGAAUUGAGGGUUUGACCAGAAAAAAGGGAAAGAAACGAAAGUUUAGGUUGUGUUUGGAUUGCAUUUUCUAGGAUUUUUUGUAGAAAAAUUAGUGUAGCGAUUUGAUGUAUAUGAGAAAAAAAACGUAAUAUGGAAAUGUGAUAACGGAAAACAACGCAAUUUUCUGGUGAAAAAUAGCGGUCCAAACAAGGCUUAAUUUUCAUUUGUUUGUUAGUUUGAUAUAAAAAAGAAAGAAAAUGGAAGGAUUUAUUAGGAUGAACAGGAGUCAAAACAUUUCCAUCCAAAUUGGACGAAAAUGAAAAGAAACUUCGAGGAAGCUUGUCAAAAAUUUAAAAAAUAUCUAUUUUGUCCUUAAAAAGGUUUGAACAAAAAUAUUUAAUAACUUUUAUAUUCAAAAUCACUCCACUAAUUAUUAAAACUUUCAAAUAAUAUAACAAUCCCUUCUCUUUUUUACUUUUCUCUCUCGUAACUUAAGUUUUCCCCUUUUUUUUUUCCCCCUAUCCUAAACUCCCAAACUAAGCCAGAGAGUAAAAUAGUAUGAUGGUUGCGUGGUUCUUAAAGCAGAGAGCGCUUAAGUUAUAAUUUUUUUUUUUGGAAUUCAAGAAAUAUGAAUUAUGGUGCUUGCCACUGCGAGCAGAAUUGUCAAGAGACAAAAGGCUGAAAAAGACAAAUCAGGUGGAACGGUAAAGAGGUCAUAGUGGAAGAGAGACCUUGGUCAAAUAAUAACUUCUAGACAAAGGGCUAAUAAUAUGGAACUAAAAUUGGAACUUUUGGCCCGUAGGACCAAAGAAAAAGGUAUAGUUGCCCUCUACUGUGCUGGCAAACCGAGUCACUUGCAACUGGUCCUGUCAAACGCUAAAUUCGAUUUCGUGCUUGAGUUACUUGUUUCAGGUUUCAAAUUACUCAGUGCUUGAUGAAUCAAGGCAAAUAGUUCUAUUAUUUAUAUAAUAUAUUUAUUUUAGUUAUGAAAUUACAUUAUGGAUUUAUGUUUUAGCAAAUUUAUUGAAAAGUUUUGUACACUUUAGAAUAUGGCAAAAAAGCAAUAAAAUAAUUAUGAAAAUACUAAAAAGAGAAAACCGUAACAAAAAGAGCUCAAAAUUCAAGAAGAAAAAAAAAAAAAAAAAAAGAAGAAGCUACUCGUCUCUCUCAUGCUCUGUCGCCACUUACCCGUCUCUACUAUCUCUAAUCGUCUCUGAAUCUUUGGCCGCCAUUGCUGUCUCCAUCCUCUUCAUUGUCGCUGGCUCUACUUUCUAAUCUCCCAGUCUUCAUUUUGCUCCCCGUCAUUCGAGUCUCUCACUCUCCUUACGCCAAUGCUGUCUCUGGCUUUUAGCCACUCUUUGGCCCAUGAAAACCACCAAAGCUUUGCUUCUUCUGCCUCUCAAACCUUCAAUGGUUAGCUUCAAUUAAGUCAAUAGCACGAGCAAAGGGUAGGUCACUUCACGAACUCAGAUUGGAGAAGAAACCAACCAUUGGAGGCUUGGAGCUCAUUUAAGGUAAGUAAAUCACCGUAAUUUUUCCAUUAUCGCUUCUGUUUAUUGAAAUAGUUUUUUUUUUUCUUUCUGGAAUGCCUGGACUAAGCAUGAAAGCUUGAGUUUUUAUUCGAGUACUCGAAGUUGACGAGGUUCAAGAAUUGUAUCAAACUUUAUCGAAUCGAGCUCGAACUCAUGUGUUAUCUCUACAAGUCGAGUCCAGCUACAAGUUAUUUUACUCGAUCAAGUCGAAUUUGAACUCAAAUAUAUUAAAAAUUUAUCGAAUUCGAGUUGGAGUAUAGCGUUACUCGAGUAUGACUCGACUCGUCAGCACCUCUAUCUCUAAUUAAAGAACCUCUGCCUCUAAUUAAAGAAUAAGGAAAGAAGAGCAAGUUUGUUAUGAAUUUUAGUCGAUGGGAUUAGCACUACCACAUGUAGAGAUCUGAUAGGCAGGAGUAAUACAAACAAACCAACUGUCAAUUUUGCGAUGCAGAUGGGUAAAUUUAUUGAGAUCCAUGGUAUUAGAGAAAGAAGAGCUCUAUCGCGUAUUCAGCAUUCAUCAAUUUUUGACUUAUAUAAUUUUUUUAAAAAAAUUCUUGUCAGGAUGUCCAUUCUUAAACUCACAAGUUAGUAAAAAUCUAAAAUUUUGAAUUGUACAUUUCAUAUUUUGUUCUCUUGAUUUUAUAACUACUCUCAGGACUCACUCAAGUGCUAUUUGAUGGAUAAUAUGUUAAGUUAGUAAAAUACAACCUAAUUAAAUUGUCAUAUCUACAGCCUAAAGAUUAUUUUUAGGGAUAAUUUCAAAAAACUCUCGAGAUUUGGCUUAAUAUAACCUAUCAUCCCUCUAAUUUUAGAAGUCUUUCUUACUUCUUCUAUCACUUUGAUGGGACAAGAUGAACCCAUAGAAAAUGGUGAAUUUACAAUAUUAACCCUGUUCAACAGCUCUAACUAACCGACCAAAAACAAGCCAACCCAAAAAAACUGAGAAGGAAAAACUUGGGCUCCGUUUGGAUUAGCUGUUUUUGGGUUUGUUUUCAAAAACACCACUGUAGCAUUUUGAAUUUGAAAAACAAGUCCGUUUGAAUUAGUUGUUUUUUGGGUUGUUUUUCAAAAACUAUAUAAAAAGCUUUUACUGUAGAUUUUUUUGGAUUAUUUUUAGAGGUAUUUUUGAAACAUAUUUUUGAGUAUUUUUAGAAUAUUAUAAUUUUUAUAUUUUUAUAUAAAUAUACAUUUAUGCAUUUAUAAUACAUUUAUAUUUACAAAUGUAUAAAUGUAUAUUAUUAUAAAUGUAUAAAUUAUAAUGAAUAUUAUAUAAAUGUAUAAAUUAUAAAUUUUAUAUUUUUAUAUAAAUAUACAUUUAUGCAUUUAUAAUACAUUUAUAGAUAUUUAUAAAUAAAUAUAUUUAUAUAUUCAUAUAAAAAUAUAUAAAUGUAUUAUAUUAUAUAUAAUACAUAAUAUAAAUAUAUUUAUAAAUGUAUAAGUGUAUAUUAUUAUAAGUGUAUAAAUUAUAAAUGAAUAUUAUAAAUGUAUAAAUUAAUAUAUUAUAAAUAUAUAUUAAUAUUAUGUAGAAAUGUAUUUAUAUAAUUAAUAUAAAUGUAUAUAUGUAUUAAUAUUAUGUAUAAAUGUAAAAUUAAUAUUAUGUAUAUUAAUAUAAAUGUAUAAAUGUAUUAUAUUAUAUAUAAUACAUAAUAUAAAUGUAUAUUUAAAUGUAUAAGUGUAUAUUAUUAAAAAUGUAUAAAUUAUAAAUGAAUAUUAUAUAAAUGUAUAAAUUAAUAUAUUAUAAAUAUAUAUUAAUAUUCUGUAGAAAUGUAUUAAUAUAAUUAAUAUAAAUGUAUACAUGUAUUAAUAUUAUGUAUAAAUGUAAAAUUAAUAUUAUGUAUAUUAAUAUAAGUGUAUAAAUGUAUUAUAUUAUAUAUUAUACAUAAUAUAAAUGUAUAUUAUAAAUAUACAUAAAUAUUUAUAUAUUAUAUAUAAAUGUACAUUUAUAUAAAUGCAUAAUAUAUUAUAUAUUAUAUUAUAUAUAAUUUAUAUAACAUAUAAUAUUUAUGUAAAUAUAUUAUAAAUAUAUAAAAACAUAUUAUAAAUAAAAUAAAAUAUUUAUAAUAUGUAUGUAUAAAUAUAUAAUAUUAGAAAUGUAUAAUAUAUAUAAUAUACAUUAAUAUUAAUAUAAUUUAUGUAUAAUAUACAUAAUUGAAAUAUACAUAUUCAUAUAUAUUAAUAUAUAUUAUAAAACAAAAUUGAAUAAAUAUAUUUAUAAAUUUAUAUAUAAAUAAAUGUAUUUAUAUAAAUAUAUAAUAUUUAUUUCAAUUGAUAUAAUAUGUAUAAUAUUAUACAUAAUUGAAAUAAAUAUAUUUAUAUUAAUAUAAUAUAUAUAAUAUACAUAAUUGAAAUAUAUAUUAAAAUAUAUUAAAAUAUAAUUGAAAUAUACAUAUUAAAAUACAUAAUUAAAAUAUACAAAUUGAAAUAUACUUAUUAAAAUAUACAAAUUAAAUAUACAUAAUUGAAAUAUAUUUGGAGUUGUUUUUUAUAUAUUGUUUGGAUAUGGUGUUUUUGAAAUACACAUUUACUGUAGCAUUUGAAAUAUGAAAAACAGUUUUUCAAAAACAGGUGCAAAAACACUCAAUCCAAACGGACCCUUGGCAUUUUGGGCAUGACCAGCUGCCCUAUGUUUAACAGUUUAACUACAAUCCGCAUCAUGUAUUUUUGACUAUAAGCAAGUGACUAAUUAAGUAGUUAGAGCAAUGGUUAAGUUAUCUCUAGACACCGACUAAUUAAGCAGGAUGAAAUUAAACGUGGAAAGUAACACAAAUGCUUAUGUCUAAAUGGGAAGGUACCACAUCAAAGCAAUGCCAUUGUGUUUCUUUUUUCUUUUUGUCUUUUUUUUUUUAAAAAAAAUUGAAAAUAUAGCAUUCUACAUUUCUAUUCAAGAAAGAAGAAUUAAUUAGAUUGAUUGAAGUCAUCUUAAGGUACAGAUGCAAGCCACAAUGGCAAUUUUCUUGUAAAUAAAAAAGGGAAAUGUUUAGGCAAUUUAGUCCCAACAUAAUAGUUAGGCAGUUUAUUUAUGUUACAAUUCUAGACGAGUAAGGAAAUUGUCAACAUUGACAGUUUUUGUUCGGGAGACAAAAAGCUAUCAAUAAAAUAAACUCAAUUAGAAAAAUGUAAUUAACCCUAAUUAGAAGGGAUUGGUUGCGUUUAAUUCGUGAAGCCGAUGGGAAGGGGGUCGGUAUGGUGUGUCCAAUUCCAAAUCCAACCGCUACUCCAUGCAGUUGCCAACCAUCAAUUGACAAGUGUCCAACAAUCUCCCUAAAGCCUUCUGACUUUUUUCUUUUUUUUUCUUUUGAGCGAGCAUUUUUUACCAUUCCACUUAAGUAUGUUUGGAUAGCAAAUUAUUUGGAUAAUUUAAAAUAAUAGCAUGAUAAUUUUUUGAUGUGAUGUAUAUGACAUAAAAAAGUGAUUGAAAAAUGUGUUGAUAAUGCAAACAAAUAAAAUUUUGUAAAAUAAUCCAACAUCCAAACAAGUGUAAUUACGAUAUCAACCCCCUUCAUCAAGGAAGGGUUGGAUUGGAAAAUGAGGUAAGAGUGAUUGUAAGUAAAAAAGUUUUGAAUUUAAAACCUCUCACUUUAAAAAAAAAAAAAAAAAAACUCCAACGAAAAGUGAAAUAAAUGCAUAGAUAGAAAUUGUGGAAAGGUGUUUCUAAUUCCUAACAUCGUCUUGCUACAAGAUAUGUUUUACAAUCAAGGUGAAGUUCUCUCUCUCUCUCCUCCAAGGGUUUAUAUGCCCUUUUUCAAGUUGAGUAUGGUAAUAGUUUUUAGCAACUUUGUUAAAUUUUAGUGUCAUGCUCAUUGAUAUGAACUAAAUUAAUUACUCGAGUAUCUUAGCACAUUCAAAAAAAAAAAAAAUUUUCAAAAAUUUCAAGGAAGGUUUCUAACAUGAUUUCCGUAAAAUAAUUAAAUGAUAACUUUUUAGAGGGGAUUUGUAAGGGCAUGAAAGUCAUUAUAAAUUCAUGAAUACAAAAACAAGUUAUCAUCCAAAUCAACUGGAUCUUUCAGAUUUAACAAAGAAAAUCAAUUAUAAAUUUAUGAUAAAUAAAUAAGUUACCAUCCAAAUCAACAAGAUCAUUCAAAUUUAACAAAGAAAAUCAUUAUAAUGGUCAAAGAGUUGAACUCUCUCCUCAUAGAACAAGGUUCAAAUUCCGGCUGAGAGAGAGAGGGAAUUUGGUUCAAAUUCUGGUUGACAAGUUUGAGAUAGGGAGGGAAUAGGGGAGUGGAGGAAAAGUUAAAAAAAAAAUGAAGAAGAAAAUACCCAUUAUGGCUCAUAAAAUACACAGAUGACCUACCAUCCAAAUCAACAAAAUCUCACAAAAUAAACCCCAUUUUGUUGUACAUUAGAUUUUUCCAUUAUCAUCGAGAUUAUCUUAGUAAAAGCACUAAACGCGUGAGGAACCUUAUCAAUCAAAUACAUGUCAUUACUCCAUACCUUUUGGAACGUUACGCAAAUAUGGUGUGAUGACUAACUAUUUCCAUAACUUUUGACCACUUGAUUUUCAUGUGAGUUAAAAUCGCGUGUGUGUGGAUGUGAGAUUAUUCAUAAAACUUUUUAAAUAAUACAUUUUUAUGAUAUGACGUACGUGAGAUAAAAAAAAAAAAAAACCCAUUCACUAAAUACAAACACAUGAAAAGAAAGCAUGAGAAAGUGAUACAUCAUUUUUAUGUUACCUAGAGUGAUGGUUGAUAUAUAUAUGAAUUAAUCAUCUUCUAACAUGAUCGCUGACAGAUAUUAUCAUAUCAAACCUCCAUAAUUUUUUUUUUGAGCUUAACCUCCAAAACUUGAUCACUUUUACAUUUCAUGUGUUAAAAACAUACAGUAAGAUCAUUAGUAAAAAUAAAUAAAUACUACACAUUUGACUAAACACGAGACGACACCAUGCUGUAAACACCAAUAUAUAAUAGAGAAAAUAGUGACCAAUACAAGUUGGCUUAGUCGGUGAGAACUAGUUAUUUUCUCAUUGUAUCCUUAUAAAUGAUUUGUAGUCUCGGAGGAGCAUGCACUGAUCCAUGGUGAUGAUCGGAGAGGAGCCCAUUCAAAAUUUUUUUUAUCCAUGAGAAAAAUGGUGAAGUAUAACAUCUUUUUACCUUACUUAGAUGGCUCAUGUGUAAUAGAGUUAAUCAUUUUCCCUAGUGCUAUUAUCUAGAACUACUAUUUUGUGGUUACAAAUUAGUACUAGUAUUUUUUUCAGAGCAAUGACAAAUAACAAAAGCAUUUUCUUUACAAGCUAAUAAUAAAACGAAAGACAAUUAAUGAUGUAAACAAAAAGUCAUGCGUAGCAUAGGUCGUUGAAGAAUUAACCGAACCUUUCAUUUGUGGCGUAAGAAAAGCAUCAACGUGUAAAAUCCAGAAUCUACGAAAAUUUGAAGUUGUACCAUUAUUAUCAGUACCUCGGGACGUCACCACACCAAAGAUGCGUGCACCAGACCAAGAAAAGCAGAGAAAGAGAGGCAGAGACAAAAGUACAAUUUUGACCCCAAAGAUCCCUUUUAUUAUCAACUUCUCUCCUCACCUCUUCAGAGCCGCAUCUCCUCUCCUGUUCUGCAGACUUUUGAGUUGUUCUUCCCAUCAUCAGGCACCAGUAGUAGUAUUAUUCCUGGUGUGGAUCUAGGGUUUCUUCUUUUCUUCCUCGUAAAAAAUAUAUAUAUAUAUAUACACUUGCAAAAGUCGUACGAAAAGCGAAAGUCAUCAUCGUCAUCAUCAAUAUUCACAAAAUUUACAUAUGCAUAAAUUUCUUCGAAAAUUCACUUCAUCGUCGGUCGGACGAGAACACGUCAUCAACGAGUACAAUUUCGUCAUCAUCGUCACCAACAAGAAUCAGAAGAAAAGCAAAGCAUAGGAAAACCAAGCUCCUUUUUUGUUCGACCAGAUCUAAGAAACCCUAAUUUUACCAGCUUGAUUAUUAUAUAUACUUUCUUGGGAAUUUUUUUUUUUUUUUUAUCUUUUCUGGAUUGAAAAACCUGGAAAAAUCGGACCGUUGAACUUCCAAGAGGAAUUACCACUACUGAGAUGAAAAAAUGGGACCGAUUUACUUGAUUUUUGAUUUUUCCACAAAAUCAAAGCGAAGGAAAGCCAAAUCCCUACCUCAUUGGAUGAAUCCGGAUAAAUCGGCAUCAAAUUGAUACUUUGAAUAAUUUGUUCAUUUUUUGGGGUUCUAUUUUUAAAUAAUGGCGGCGGCGGUGGUGGUGAAUUUGAUAGAAGGGGAAAGAGUACUGGGGGAAGUGGAAGUGUAUAGUAUUGAUGAUCAGAACGGUGUCGUGUGGGACAGGGACGAAAUUCGGAUCUCUGAGUAUUCUCAGCCAAGUGAAAGGUGUCCGCCACUGGCGGUGCUGCAUACUGUUACUUCUUCUUCGUCAGACUCAGGCGGGCUUUGCUUCAAACUGGAGUUGAAAGACAAGUCUCAACAGAAUUCGCCGCUUUCCAUUUUGCACGCCACUUGUCUCAGGGAAAAUAAGGUAUUGAACAAAGAACCUGCCACCUGCCAGAAGCUGGCAAUAAUUACUCAAUACUCAGCUCAGCUUUCUGCUCUCUGCUCUCACCUCUGUCUCUCUCUUUAGUACACUGAGGACUAAAGGAACCAUAAAAAUUUUAACGUUUUUUUAGAAGACUAAAUGAAAAGAAAAAAAGAAGAAGAAUCUGACUUGCUUUAAGUUGUUGGUAAAGAGGAGUGAAUCUUAAUUUGAAGGGUUAACGAUGUUCCCUCAAGUUGAGAAAUCGAAACCCUAAUUUUCGGAGUAAAAUAUGUGGAAACCCUAAUUUUGGAUUUGAACCUGGACUUUGGACAGGAUUGGACCUGGACCCUCAAAUUUCUAUCAGUGGUUUUGUUGAAUAGGACUGAAUGAACCCAGAACUGGCUUUCCAUUUUACAUGAAUUGGAGUGUACCCUGAACUGAUCUCUGUUGUUGUACUUCUGCAGACAUGAUUGGAUGUAUCGACUGAAAUACAUGUGCUCGGAAAAUUCUGCAUGAACAAUUUCUUUUUCCUUAGAAAUAAAUUGGAACAAAAAUGAUUCUUGGAGAGUUUUCAACCUUGAUCUUGUAUCAAAGUUAUUUUGUUAGAAUGUGCUACUGCAUAUGGCCCCAAGCAUAUUCCUUUUGUGGAAGCUGCAGAUUGUAUGGAUUGGGGAAACCAUAAUAAAGUUUGAAAGUGGGAAUAAAAGAUAUUAUUAAACAGGGUUGUUCUUUUCCCUCCUGAGGCUUUUAGAUUGCAUAUGUGUUUCUGGACUUAUAUUAUGUAACAACACUUUGAUCAUUAAUACUUCAAAGCCAUUAAUCUGUACUUAACUGAUUUUGUCACAGAAGUCUUAUCACCGAAAGGGCACAUGGGGUUUUAUGCCAUAUGGCUCUAAUUCUUUGUAUCUGAAGUUUUUGUACGUUAGAAAUAAUAAAUGAGUGAAUAUCCUCAUGCGACUUUUUCUCCUUGCAUUUAACUGUAAUUAAAUGCUUUUCUUCUAUUCCUUUUAGCAUUAUUUUGUCUUGAGCACAAUUUGCAUUGUAUAGCUUGGUUUUGUUAUUUCAUUGUCUGUGAAAGGCAAAUUAUUGUGAUCUUUCCUACACUCACUGUUAAUUCUGAUAUGUCUCUGUAGACUGCAAUAAUGCCACUUGAUGAGGAAGAUGAACUUCAUUUGGUUGCCAUGCAUUCUAGACAGCAUGAAGGACAGUUCCCUUGCUUUUGGGGAUUCAUUGUUGCAUCUCGACUUUACAAUUCUUGCCUUGUCAUGCUGAACCUUAGAUGUCUUGGUAUUGUAUUUGAUCUUGAUGAAACACUCAUUGUGGCCAACACAAUGCGCUCUUUUGAGGAUAGGAUUGAAGCCUUACAGCGGAAGAUAAACUCCGAGGUUGAUCAACAACGUGUUUCUGCUAUGCUGGCAGAAAUAAAGCGUUAUCAGGAUGACAAAAAUAUACUGAAGCAAUAUGCAGAAAAUGACCAGGUUGUUGAUAACGGGAAGGUUGUCAAGUCUCAGCCCGAGGUUGUUCUUGCUUUGUCGGACAAUCACCAGACCAUUGUUCGCCCACUUUUAAGGCUUCAGGAGAAGAACAUUAUCCUUACUCGCAUUAAUCCUCAAGUAUGUCAUGUGGCGUCUUAAUAUUUCUAUUGUAUAAUUUGAACUUUAUUAGAUAUUGACUUUGAUCAUGAAGUAGCUGUUUGGUUAAGCAUUAUGCCAAAUUACUGCCCAUCCAUAGUUUGUAGUUUUGCUGUAGUUGUUGUUGCUGAGCAUAGGAUAGUAUCCUAGCUGGGUGAGGGAGUUGGAGAAGAGUGUGGUGAAGUGUUCAUAGACCUUAGAGGCUUGUGACUUUUGCUGGUCAACUUAAUUAGCUUGUUGGACUCUCUUACUCGGGCUCAUAUUUAUGUUUCUAUUACCUCAGAUCCGUGAUACAAGUGUACUUGUAAGAUUGAGGCCUGCAUGGGAAGAUCUCAGAAACUACUUAACCGCAAGAGGUCGAAAGCGUUUUGAAGUGUAUGUUUGCACAAUGGCUGAAAGGGACUAUGCUUUAGAAAUGUGGCGGCUCCUUGAUCCUGAUUCAAACUUGAUUGACCCGAAAGAGCUAUUGGAUCGUAUUGUCUGUGUCAAGUCUGGUGAGUUUCAUAGAGAUGUCACUUUUAUUUAGCUUGCCAUGAGGUUUUUCUUGGUUACAUUUGAUUGCGAUAUUUUCGGUGGAUUAACUGUAUAUAAGCAUUUCUGUUUAGGCUUGAGGAAGUCGUUGUUCAAUGUUUUCCAACAUGGAAACUGUCAUCCUAAGAUGGCAUUGGUGAUUGAUGACCGGUUAAAAGUGUGGGAUGAAAAGGAUCAACCUCGAGUGCAUGUGGUUCCUGCCUUUGCUCCUUAUUAUGCUCCUCAAGCUGAAGUAUGUACUGGAAACUACUGUAUUCUUUAAUAUCACCCUCAUCUAUGCUUCUUAUUGUUAUUUGUUUAAAGUUAACUAAUGAUAUCAUGAUGCCAAGAUUAAAUAAUUUGUGCUGUAGGCCAACAAUGCAAUUCCAGUUCUCUGUGUUGCAAGGAAUGUAGCGUGCAAUGUCAGAGGUGGUUUCUUCAAGUAAGGUUUUGCAACUUCUUUAGAGUUGAGAAGUACAAGCACCAUAUUAAUGGCCACUCUUAGCAUAGUCAGAUUUUAAUUUAUCAGUCUGCAUAAGCUUUUUAACCUGAGAUUAUUUGUUGCAGAGAAUUUGAUGAGGGUCUCUUGCAACGAAUUUCUGAAGUUGCAUACGAAGAUGAUAUUAAAGAAAUUCCUUCUCCUCCUGAUGUGAGCAACUAUUUAAUCUCAGAGGUUAGUGAUGGCCAUACUCUUGAAACACUUGUGCAAUCAGAGUAUGCACUUGCUUGCUUUUUUAAACAGUCAUUUUGCAGUAAAUUACUUUGGAUGUGUUUCUCAAACAUUGGCUGUUCAGGAUGAUCCUUCCGCUUCAAAUGGAAACAAGGAUUCACUUGGUUUUGAUGGCAUGGCAGAUGUUGAGGUGGAAAGAAGAUUAAAGGUGAGAGCUUUUCUCAAAAUUUGGUUUCUUUACUAGUGCUUAUUGUUUGGUUGAGUUUCCUCUGUUAUUUUUCGGUUUUACCGAGUAUAUGAUAUCUACUUUUAUGCACUUGAAUCUGUUUCCCAUCUAUGUUAGGCUAGUGAUUGAUCUACUAAUUAUUUUAUGAUUUAGGAGGCAAUUUCGGCUUCCUCCACUGCUCCUUUGGCAAUUCCAAAUUUGGAUCCAAAAAUUGUUGCCACAGUCCAAUAUGCUGUACCUUCUUCUAUUUCUGUGCUGCAACCAACGAUGUCAGGGCCAGUGGUUCCCUUUCCAUCUCAGCAGUUGUCUCAAGUGACUUCUGUCCUUAAAAAUCCUAUUAAUCAAACUAUUCUUCCUCCAGAAGCAAGCUUGCAAAGUUCUCCUGCUAGGGAAGAGGGUGAAGUCCCAGAAUCAGAGUUAGAUCCUGAUACAAGGAGGAGACUACUCAUUUUGCAGCAUGGUCAAGACUCAAGGGAGCGCACAUCAAGUGAACCUCAGUUUCCUGUACGCACACCAUUACAAGUCUCUGCACCGAGGGCUCAGGGACGUGGUUGGUUUCCAAUUGAUGAAGAGAUGAGUCCAAGACAACUUAACAGAGUUGUACCACCAAAGGAUUUCCCUCUGCGCUCAGAACCUAUGGAAAUUGAAAAGCACCGUUCGAGUCACUCUCCUUUUCUCCAAAAAGCAGAGAGUGCUGUCCCGCCUGAUAGAGCUUUUCUUGAAAACCAGAGGAUGCUGAAGGAGGUAAUUCAUACUUCUUUUAAUAUGAUUCAUGGGUUUGAGCUGUCAUGUGAAUGGUGCUGAUGUUGUGGGAGUUUCUUUGUGCAGACACUUCCUAGAGAGGAUCAUUUGAGAUUAAACCAGCCAGUUGCCAGUUUCCCAUCAUUUUCUGGUAAGCCUUGAAUUUUCUGUGCUUGUGUAUUGUAAUCACAAUUAUGUGGGACAUCUCAAAGUAAUUUUGCAGACUGAAUUGCAGACUUUGAUUGGAUGAGUAUGUUGUUUACAUGCUUAACAUUUUUAGAAAUAGAUCCUCUUAGAGGCUUAUUCAUAAUUUUUUUUUCUAUAAAAUAUCCCACUUAGCAUAAAAGUUAAGCUCUUAUAAUUAAUAAAGAUGGAAUUUUGCAAAUGCAUCUUAUGUCUGCAAAAGUAUGGAUAAUGUCAGUAGAAGUUAGCAACUUUUAGUAAUUGAUGAAGUUUUGAACAACUAACUUCAUUCUGCGUUGUAAAAUUCCUAAUUCUGUUACCCGAUACUUGAUACAUAUUAUUCCAUUCUGUUUUAGAUAGCACAUACAUAUGAUGUGUCCUUUCACUAGCAUUGAUCAUUGGAGAAGAAGGCUCUAAAUUGCACGAGUUAUGAAGUUUCAUAUGUCUUGGAUUGAGACUUGGGGGUGCAACAUAGAUAUUUUUAGUGAGCAAAAUUGUGUUAUAUGGUGGUUGAAUUUUUUAAUUUGGCUAAUACUGUCCUACCCGGUCAUAAAUAUUGAAGUUGCACUUGAAAGGGAUGUAUAAUUUUUUAUCCCUGUACUAUGACUCUUCAGUAACAGAUUCAUUGAGUGGGCAAAGCUUUGAUUAAAUUUUGCAAUUGAAUGGUUCUUGAAUACAUAGAGUUUGAUAUUUGUUACUAGUAGUUAUGGAGGAGUGAACCGCCUAUCCACACAUUAAAUGGCAGAAAUACUUGCAUGAUGGUUUGUUACUGAUUCUUUUUUUUUUUAAUGUAUUUUUUACUAGAAACCUAUCUAUGGCAGCUUUUGUAAUUAUUUGAUUCUGGGCUAUUAAUAGGCCAGUUAUGAACUUUGCUGGCAAAGACAUGAUAUCUGUGCAUUGCCUGUUUGUAUUUUCGGAUUUAUUCUUUGUCUCUCUCUCUGGGGGGAAAAUGAGAAAGGAAAAGGAAUUAAUAUAAGGACAUUUUGGAUGAGGGUAAUUUGAUUGUCAAAUAAAAAAGAUUUCAUCUAGUUUUAAUUUCUCAUUUUAUAUUUGGUCAUCUGUUGCCGAACCAUCUGGAUCCACCAGCAGUAAUGGAUUUGUGAUCUCUCUCUUGUGCUCUUCCUCUAUGAAUUUGUAUCAUAUGAAGGGUCUUGUACCUUUUAAUAGUUUAUAGCAUCCAGUUCAUUGUUAUUUAAACAGGAUAGGUUUACUAUAAAGGAUAAUUCGUUUGGAUGUCUGAUGUGCCCAGAUGUACAUGCAAUUAAAAAAUAAAUAACAAUGAAGUGUGUGUACUUUUCUCUGCUUAUGUUGGGACAUGCUUGUGAUGUAUUUAAGUCCUAAAUGUGAAAAUGAACAGGAUUGGUUCUUCCUGUUGGGAAAAAGGGUAUAGGGGAUUGAACUCGGACUUAAAAUUCAGUGUAGCAUAAGGUUAUUGAAAUUGGUGCUAACUUGGCCUUGGUCUUUUCCAUAAAUCUUAUGUAAGGCUCUUGUGGAGUGGUAUGGAAGAUUUUGAUGCAUUUUGUUGACAUUUUGGCAAAAACCCAUCAUAUGCUGUUAUAUUCUUUUAUGGGUAAUUUCAUAAUCAGAUGUAUGUAAUGAAACAUCCUUGUGGUUACCUUUUUAUUCUUAUUUGUUUUUUGGGAGUUGCAUUUUUUCAGGUGAAGAAGCUUCCAUGGUUCGAUCAUCUUCAGCGAAUAGAGAUCUUGACCUUGAAUCUGGACAAAUUGAUCCACAGGCUGAAACACCUAUUGGAGCUUUGCAUGAUAUUGCAUUCAAAUGCGGAACAAAGGUAUGAGACAAUUAGACACCUCUUGACAGUCCCAGGCUUUUUAGCUUUGCUUUCGUCUGGAAUUCUCAUGAUGCCUGGCUUGUUUGCUCACAGGUGGAGUUCAAGCAAGCAUUGGUUUCAAGCUCGGAGUUGCAAUUCUGUGCAGAGGUUGUUUAAAUUCUUCAUGGAUUGAACAAUUACAUCAGUUUUGACCAUUAACCUUGUUAAUUAGGAGAAAAUAUAAUGAUUGAUAUACAUAUUUUGAUUUAUGUUAUUCUCUGUGUGUGUGUGUGUGUGUGUGUGUUUGUGUGUCCUUGUCUCUUUCUUUCAUGUCACAUUUCCGCAAAGCAAACAGAUAAAAUAUUAGUCACUCAAAAUUUAAUACAAAAACAAACAUGGGAAUGAAGACUUAGUUUCAAUAAAUAGUAUUUGAGUAAUCAAUAUAUAUCUGAAAAAGUCCACCAUUCCUUCCAAAAAAUGAAGAAAUAUAAAACCCUUUUGACAGAUUUGCCAUAAAAGCAUGCAUUUUUUCACAAUGCCUCAACGUUUUUGUAAUAAGCUGUACAUUUGGUUUACAAAGUUAUCUUGAUUACUACGUGCAUGCUGGACCUUGAUUAUCAUGUUUCUUAUUCCCUUUAGGUCUGGUUUGCGGGAGAGAAAAUUGGUGAAGGGAUAGGUAGGACCAGAAGGGAAGCACAGCGUCAAGCUGCUGACGGUUCACUUAUGAAUUUGGCUGGUAUGUUUGUUGUUGUUUACAUUGAGGUUUAAAAUGCUUUCAGGUUUUGUAUGCAGUUUACCUUUAGAUCCAAAUAUAAUUGACUUGUGAUGUGAUGAUUCCACUAGCCCAAGGAUGGGAAGAGUUGGGGGGGGGGGAAGAGGGAGAGGGAGAGGGAGAGGGAGAGGGAGAGAGAGAGAGAGAGAGAGAGAGAGAGAGGAGAAAGUGUAAUUCGUAUAUUUCGAUAUACUUUUGUUUGGGUUCUAUCUUCUGAAGAUAUAUGUAUCUUUUAUUUGAAUACAGACUGGAAAAUCUUGUGUUAAUUCUCGUGCAAGUAAAGCAAGGCAGGUAUAGAAUGUUCUAGAAUUAUUUUGUGAUACAUCAAGACACGAAAUGGCAUAUGCAGUUCUGUGGCUUCCAUGUGUUGAACUCUUAGCUCGCUUCUUAGAGUAGGAACUGUGGAGUUUGACCUUUCGUUUUUCCUGGUUUUCUGACAAAUAAGUUCAAAACUUCUUUUUCUUCAAAGGGACAAGUUUGAUAUUCAGCUAUGGAUUCAUUGUGAUUAGUUCAACAUUUGAGGCUGCUUUAAUAAGUUUUUCCCUGUUUUCAUUGAGGUUUAGCUUGUGGUAGCUUUUACAUAUAGUUAAUUGAUACUAUGGGAUUACAAUGCAUUUCCUUUGAAAGAGUUUAUUCCUUUAAACUUUUACUUUUCUAUUUCUUUUUCUUAAUGUACUAUUUUAAUCUUUGUAAGCCACCAUAUGCAAGAAGCUAGCACUCCAUUCAUUUCUAGUUUUUGAGUUGGAACGUUUAAUAGCUGGCAUUUUGUAUAUUUCUGAGACACUGAUUCCUGAAAAAUGUUGCUUCUUGCCUCAAGUUUGUUUGUGAAAAAGCACACUUUUAGUUAUUCUUUUAGUCUUUUUUGAGAUUGGUGAACUAAUUUUAAGGAAAAUGAAGAGAGAUACAAAAAAGAAUGAGCAUGUUGAUUCAUGGAUAUUUCAGCGUAUGCUUGUACAUACCAGCUACAUUGAUGGCUGGCUUUGUCUUAUUGAUGUUUAAGUGAUUUAUGGCUGGCUCUUUGUCUUGAUGAUGUCUAUUUUGCUAGUUUUGUUUGCUUCCCUGGGAAAACCUCAAUUAAUUCUGGUAUGUUUUGCCUGGGAUGGAAGGGAACCUUUGAUAUAACUUCACCUUCUUAAAGUUCCUGUUGUUACUUGCUGAGUGGUUUGACUGGUAGAGACUCCUUUGCAGAUAAGUAUAUAUCAUCUCUCAAACCUGAUUCCAGCUCUGUUCCUGGGGAAUGGCGUAGAUUCCCAAAUACAUCCAACAAUGGUUUUGCCAACGAUUUUAGUUCUUGGGGGUAUCAACAAUUGCCUAAGGAGGAGCCCGGGUCAUUUUCUACUGCAUCCAUGCCUCCUAGGGUGCUGGAUUCGAGAUUGGAGGCGUCCAAGAGACCUGUGGGUCCAAUUGCUGCCCUUAAAGAGCUGGUAAGAUUCUAGGAGCUGUUGUGAUUCCUUUUCUGGGAUUAUUCUUCCACUUGUAUACUUAUGAUUUCUCUUUAAUUCUUAAGUGUUCAAUGGAGGGCCUUGGCUUAGCUUUCCAAACUCAGCCUCAGCUUUCAGCUAAUCCUGGCCAAAAGAAUGAAGUGUAUGCACAGGUGAAUGUUUUCCUCUCAAUUAGUAGCUGGUUUUUGUGUCAUUUUCUUACAUGAAGCUGCUUCCCUGUUUUUCUAAUUCUUCUUGUGCAAAACGAAAGCAUUUAGCUUUAUGUUUAUACAGGACGAAUAUGUCAAAAAAAGGAUGCUUACAAAUGAUUGGUAACUUCACAUGUGUAGGGUCUUUCAUCUACAUUGCAAAGCUUAUGAGAUACCUCUAGAUUUAUGCUCGUUGGUUGUUGGGACUUUUUCGUGAUCCUAAAUACAUAUUUGAGGUCUUAAGCAGAUAUUAUGUUCUUCUUUGCACUGGAUGUACAUAUCUAACUACUUUUGCUCCACCGGUGUGUUCGAAAUGUCUUCCUUUUGUCUGGAUUUAAUUGCUUGGACAUGCUGAUGCACCUAUAGGAUUGAGAUAAUCUUUUCUCUUAUCCCUGUUUACUUUGUUUAAUCUGUGCUGUUGAUCAUGCUCUAGGUUGAAAUAGAUGGACAGGUGUUAGGAAAGGGAAUUGGGAUAAACUGGGAUGAAGCAAAAUCACAGGUACCAUGUAGAUUUGUUUCUAAAUUUCUUCUCCUCCUCAAACAUUCUAAGUGGAACCUUUGUGCCCGGCUGAAAUGUCGGAAGUUUAUACUCAUUCUGCAUGAAAUGUUGAACUGAGUUUUCUUGUCUAGGCUGCUGAAAAGGCCCUUGGAACCUUGAAAUCAAUGCUUGGUUCAUAUGGUCACAAGCGUCAGGGCUCUCCCAGGUGAGUUGUUUUGCCAUCACAUUGUUGUUACAUUAGAUUGUCUUGUUUUCUUGUCAAUAAAGUGGACUAUUUCGCGUGCUUUAGGUAGAUGAAAUUCUACGAAACUGUCAACAACCUUGAUAGCAUAAUUACAUGCUUGUUUAUGAUGCUGCUGCAGGUGUUUUCUCAGCUUUCCUAGGCUACUUCCACUUGCUUUAUGUUUACUAACUGCUUUUUCAUCAGACCAUGGCAGGGGAUGUCAAGCAAAAGAUUGAAACCGGAGUUUUCCAGGGUUCUGCAGCGGAUGCCAUCUUCUGCAAGAUAUCCAAAGAAUGCUUCUCCCGUACCGUAAUUCUUCAUGUCCUAAUUGCACCUUGGCAGUAUAGCAUCUGCAGAGAGACUUGUAGCUUAUGCGGUGACACCAGAGAAUUUGGGAGCAAUGAUUAGGUCAUGUUCCAACCAACUGUUUUAGAUCAGUUUUACAGGCUGCGAAUUUGGGAGCAAUGAUUAGGUCAUGUUCCAACCAACUGUUUUAGAUCAGUUUUACAGGCUGCUGAUAUAGUUGCAAGUUUUUGAAGACAAGGGAAAUGCUUUGCCAUAUUGCUGCCGUUCAAAAUUGUACAUGUUGCAGGACGUUCGUGGACUACGGUACCGUAGGAGUUUGUUGCGCGAGGGUGCAAAAGGCCCUCACAAACCAAUUGGGAAGGAAAACGAGACGGGCACUGUGUAUAUCUUCUUUUCUGACAUUGAAUGCAGCCAUGAGCCAUGAAUGUGGUAGAGCUGUGUCCCUCGAAUUUGUGUUCGAGGUGGUUGUAUAAUUAUACCGGGAAUAUGGAACGCUUUCAUCGGGUGUAGAACGUGGAUUUUGGAGAGGAUUCACUGAAUGCUAACAGUACAUUGGUUCAAUGGUCUGGCUCCUAUUUCACUUUCUGGAUGAAAGAUGAAAGUGAAAGUUUUGUUCAGUUUUAGGAGCUCUUUCUUGUUGAUGUUGAUGUUGAUGUUGAUGUUGUGCAGGGUCACUGAUCUGGAUGAUACAUUCCAUUUCACUUGGCCAAUCCACCCCAGCCCAAUGAUAAAUUGGCUUUUUCGGCAUUGUGUUUCAUGUUUCCUUGUUUAAUUAGUUAAAUUACUGCUAUCGUCCAAGCGCAUUGACAACAAUGGGAAAGGGGGAUAACUGUUGAAGCUCAGCAACUGUGUAGACCACAGAAUAUAUGAAAAGAACGAAAAAACAAAAGAAAUUGGAGGUAAAUGAAAGCUCGCAUGAUGGAUAAAUGAAAAUUGAGAGAAUACACUACUCCUAUAAUUUCAACAAUAUCAAAACAUUUUUAAUGGACUCGCGUGUUUUUUGGUCGAGCAAAAAGCAGAAAACGCAUAGCUGUUUGCGCAAAAAUCAUUCAGGUAGGCUCGCAAAACAAAAAUUUCUCAAAACAUGUUUAUAUAAGGACUUAUUUGAGAAUCAUCGCGCGGGAAGGACGCAUAUCAAUUUCUCUAAACUUGGUGUAUGUGAUGUUUCGCAAAACUUUGUAUAUGAACAUACGAUGGUUUGUCGUGGUAGGCUGGUAUUCUGUCAAAUAUUCUCUAGGGAAAACUGUCAAAUAUCUUGACAAAUUAGGACGACAAGGACGCAAAAUUCUCUCAACAUUAAAUUCGGACCUCAUAAUAUAAACAAAAUCUUAUCCCAACUAUUUAGGAAACACCAGACAACUUUUCCUAGAUUUGUCUCCUUUAACAGAUCUUCUGCUUCACUCCCAAAUGAAAUGAAACAGAAGUUUCGUUCUAUUUCAUUCUUUGCAAAUCUUUGUAGUAAUCUCUGUAUUAUUACCGUUUAACUGAACUUAAUGAACUACAGACGACUUCAUUAUCAAUCACUUAAAAUCAUCACUAAAAAACAAAACAACAUUUUAAAACCAAAAUUUUCAAUAAGAAUGAAAUCCCACUACAACUAUCUUAAAGAAAAAUCAUUUAUUUCUGUGUACAAACAAAAUAACAUUCUACUUCCAAAUCCCAAUCUUGUUAAACCCUUUUUAUUCUUAAAUGUUUUUGUGAAUGUGUUGCACAUAUUUUCGAAUUUUGAAUAACGAGGAAUCCAUUCUUAUAUGAAACACUAGAUUUAAUAAGUCCUUAUCUUUUGAAAUCAAAAAAAAAAAAGGCAAGAAAACAGUUUGCAUCGAAAUUUAUCAAGACAAAAAAAAAUCCCAAUUACUCUACCAAGAAAAAAAAAUAGAGAGAAAUAAACUCUAAAAUCUUUGAAUGUCAGAAACAAAAAUACAUACCGUAAAUACUACCACUAUAAAAAUUAUUUUAAAAGUAAUAAUAAUGAAAAUAAUAUUCUCAAGUGGGAGGAGGUUGACAGAGAGAGACCCCUCACACAUCCAUCAAUCUCAUUGCUUCUUUUUAAAGCAGCAAUCACUAAUCACUAAUCAAUAGUAUAUAGUCACAGUAUUAAAUUGAAAAAAAGAAUCCACUAUAUAAACUCCUCUUAUACCAAUUAAUGAGACACACAUACAAAUAGGUGUGUGUCUCCAUAACACAGAAAUUUCCAGAGAGAGAUAUAGGAACAGAAACAAAGCAGUAAGAAGAAGAAGAAGAUGGCUUCUUUUGAUACAUUUAGCAUCGACGGUGAGGAGCAGGCGACGACACGUCAGUUCGAAGACGGAGGUUACGGUGGGUACGACUCUUACACGGCGUUUUCCUCCGCCGAUACUCCGCCGUACCAAAGCGGCGGCGGGGGAGGAUUUCCAGCUGGAUACGAAGAAGAGGAAGUGACGGUGGAACACGUCUCCCACUCUGUCAACAGUUCGGAUCCGUUCGGAUUCGAGGCGGAUCAGGAAGCUGCACCGUUUGAGGGGCCGGGGGCUCCAAUUCCGAAUGGAAAUGGGAGGCCUUAUGAUCUCGGGGAGGAUACGGAGGGGAUUUUUAGAUCCGAUGGACCUGUGCUGCCACCGCCUACUGAAAUGCAAGAAGAAGGCUUUGCUCUCCGGGAAUGGCGGAGGUCAGAUUUUUGUUUUUGUUCGUUUUUGACAAAGCUUUUCCUUUCUUGAGAUAAUAUUACGCAUUUCUGUUAGUGAAAUAUUUAUUGCUGUUAUAGAUCUUUGUUAUUUUGGUCUUUUACUAUUUUUAGUUUUACUAAUCUGGAGCCCAAGUUCAGAUCUUUGGUUUAGAUUAUGACAAUUUGAACUAGUUGCUCAUAACUGAUUGGUAGUAGAAUUUGCAUGGUAGUUUGUGAUCAUGAUAAAAUGUGAGUGUUUGUCGCUUUUUGUUUGUCCUAUUUUUGGGUGGUUUUUUUUUUUUUUUGGGGGGGGGGGAGGAGGGAGGGAGGGGGUAGUUUAUUUGAUUUGAGCUUUGAGGAAAUGAAUCUCUGGUGAUCGAGUUUGUUAGAUGUACAAGUUCAGGAAACCACACAUCCACUUUUCAGGCACCCUUGUGGAAUUUUAGGGACUUUCCCGGUUACUACGAGCCUUGCUGCAUGAUUUGACAUGGAAUAGCUUGUUGCAAUUCAAAUUAAAAAGGGGGAAAUUUUUUUUUUUGGUUUCGUUGGUAUAUUUUGGUUCUUGUUCAAGUGAAUCAAGAAUUAAUUUGCUUUCUAUUGGUUUCAGAUGAUUUAAUUAAGUACCUACAGAUCGAGAUCCUUGACAUAACAAUUUGGCUACACUGUUAUGUAUCUAAUAACAUUUUGUGUGGUUGAGAUGGUAGAAUUGGAUCAAUAAAUCAUAAAAAAUCUUAAGAAGGGUUCAUGUACAAUCAUGCUUGUUGAUUGCAUGCCAUUAUUGCCUCCCCCCCCCCUCUUUCUUAAAUGCAAGAAUAAGCUCUUAUAAUUUGCAUAAAGUUUAUAGGUUAUGUAUCUUAAAUUUUAGACACAUCGAGGCUAGAAUUUGAACUCAGAGCGUGAUCCUUGAGUUGACCAGAAUAUGCUUAGACUGUUGGAUUCUAAAAAAUCUUGAAUGAAGCCUUCUUAUAGGUUAUCUUUUCCCUUUUAAGAAAGAACCUAGUUGCGAAAUUUCUCAAGUCAACUUUUGACAGAUCUUGACUGAUAGUUGCCCUCGAGCUCUGCUCAUUUAGGAAAUUUGAUGUUUGACUAAUGUGGAAAGCUUGAACUUGAUUUUUGAGCUUGAGCUUUUAUACAAGAAACCAUGUAAUGCAAAUAUCAUGAACCUUAUAAUCUGCUGGACAUAAAGAGCAAUUUAAGAAGAUAUAAUGUAAUGAAUCUCUAUUGCUAUUCCUGAAAAAGUAAAAGUAUCUAAUAUUUAAUUUGUUGCUGAGCCUAAAGCAAGCGUAGCCUCUGUCAAGCCUAUGAAUGUUAUUUGAUGUUGAAGCUCAGCCAUCAAAUUAAACAAAUGAGUUCCCAGUUCCCAUCAAGCAUACUUGAGCUGAACGAAUAAGCAGUGUGUGAACAGUUGUGUUUUGAAACAAUUCUACUGAACUGUCAAGAAUAUUAGGGACGGAAUUCCCCUCCCUCUCUAUGUCUCCCCUUUUUUUCUUCAAGAAAACUGGUCUUGAAUCAUAUUAAGCACUUCCUUCUCUCUUCCAAAAUUAGCAUGAAUGUUUUGUUAGAAAAUUUAUUGAACUGUCAAUCAGAUCUGUUGGACUGAUCAACUAUAUUCUUUCUGAUAUAUAGGUUGAAUGCUAUUCGACUUGAGGAGAAGGAGAAGAGGGAAAAGGAGAUAAGGAACCAAAUUAUUCUAGAAGGUGAAGAGUACAAGCAGGCUUUUUAUGAGAAAAGAAAGGUUAAUAUUGAGACCAACAAGAACAACAACAGAGAGAAAGAGAAGGUAAAGCUUUAUUUGGUUUUAGCUUUAUAACCCAGAUUUGAGUUUUUGUUAAUUCUGCAUUAACCUGGGGUCGUGUAUUGUUAUGGGCAAAUUGCAUGUUAGUCCUGUACUAUAAUGAAAGGCAAAAAAAAUCUUAAUUUUUUCUAAAAUGUAUGAGACAAGAUUAUACAUGCUUUUAGUUGUUUGUCUCAUUUCACUAGUAUAUCAAAUUACUUUGACCAAGUAUAUUUCCAAACUGGGAGGUUGCAAUUGCUAAAUGUCAGGCUGCUACUAGAGCUUCUUAUAAGCUGAGUGAGAAUUGUUGCAUCCAGUUGGAGCUAGACAGAGUUAUUGAUAGUGGUCCUUUUUGAUUAAACAAUUGUCAUUAGAAGGAAAGCACCUUACAUGAGAAAAAGCUCUUAUUUUCUAAUAAAACUGAUAUUAUUAUCCUUGCUGCUCGUGUGUAGUUUUUGUCCCAUUUCUUUGGUUGAUUACUGAUUCUUAGUCAAAAAAUUCAAUAGAGUCGUUGAACUUUCUUGUGACUCAAAGGUGCUUUACUGUUAUUUCAACUGAUAGGAUUGCGCAACAGGCAAAAUCACUUCGUGUAAAAAAUUUUAUGGGCUGAGAUGCAUCCGUAAAAAAAAAAAAAAAAAAAUCAGAUUUAUACAGUAUAUAUAUGAUUUUAAAAGAUGACUUCCUGAGAGUUUAAUUUGGUCUAACCUUCGAAUCCAUCUAUUUUUGGGGCAGUUGUGCUUGGCAAGUCAAGAGAAAUUUCACAAGGAGGUUGAUAAGCACUAUUGGAAAGCCAUAGGAGAAUUGAUUCCGCAUGAGGUCCCGAAUAUUGAGAAAAGGAGAGGGAAGAAGGAACAAGAGAAGAAGCCAUCAAUCACCGUCAUCCAAGGACCCAAACCAGGCAAACCCACCGAUCUUUCAAGGAUGCGCCAAAUACUAGUGAAGCUCAAGCACAAUCCCCCACCUCACAUGAUGCCGCCUCCGCCUGCUCCUUCCAAGGAUGAUAAAGCUGGGAAGGAUGCAAAGGAUGGGAAAAAUGCAAAGGCCAAGACUGGAAAAGACGCUGAAGCUAAUGCCAAGGGAUCUGCAGUCGGUGAGGCAGCUGCCGCCCUCACUAAAGAAAAAGAACCAGUUGCUAAUGGCUCUGCUCCCACAUCUGCUGAAGAGACUGAAGCUGUGGCCAGUGAGCAGCCUGCGAAUUAAAUUUCAAUGUUAGCUAGUCUUGAUAGUGCCCUCCGACAUCCUUUUUUUGCGUUUAUGCCGAUUAUUGUGAUUGUUAUUUGCAUGCCAUUUUAUGAAUGUACGUACUGUUUCUGCUAAGUCGAUUCAGCUCUCUGAUCCAUUAUGAGGACUUGUUAUUGUGUUUUUGAAUUUUUAUUAUAUUGAUUGAGAUUCAUCUUGUUACUUGAAACUUGCUCUUAAUCUCCGGAGUUGUGCAGCUAAAACUAAGACCAACGAUGUUUGCCCAGAAUCCGCAUCUUUUUUCAUGGUAUCAACAGUGUGGCUUCGACUACGCUGGAGUAGGUUUGACUAUUCGUUGCUUUUCUCCACCCCAAGAUCAACUCUCUCUCACAUGCGCAGAAAGAAAUUCCUAACGCCAAACAACUGUUGCCCUUUUGUGUCAAUGCUUACGCGCCCCGUUUUAUGUGAAAACUGGCAAACCGCAAGUAACAUAAGUCACCGAAGGGAACUUCUUCUGUACCAUUAAAUUCAUCCUUCCUCCUACCUCCACUGUGGGUUGUGACUAGGGCUGCAAACGAGCCGAAUCGAGUCGAGUUUUGAGCUAAUCGAGUCGAGUCUCGACUAAAUUUUAUCAAACUCGAACUCGACGAGCUGGCAAUUUUCGAGCUCGAGCUCGACUCGAAUCAAGUCGAGCCGAGCUCGAGCUCGAAAAAAAUAAAAAAUAAUUAUUUUAUUUUUAAAAAAAUAAAUAAAAUAAUAUGUUUUUCUGAAUAAAUAAUAAAAUAUUAAGGAUAUAUACGUAAUUUCACUAUGAAAAUAAAAAAUAAAAAAUAUAUAUAAUAUACGUAAUUUUAUUAUUAAAUAAAAAUAAAAAUAAAAAAAAUAUAUAUAUACUCAAACUCGCGAGCCGGCUCGCAAGCUAAUGAGUUUAAUAUUCUGAACUCGAGUUCGAGCUCGAAUCGAGCCGCUCGCGAGCGACUCGAUUCGUUUGCAGCCCUAGUUGUGACGUCCUAAGCCGUAGAAACCAUUUGUUGGCUCGCGAGCUAACGAGUUUAAUAUUCUGAACUCGAGUUCGAGCUCGAAUCGAGCCGCUCGCGAGCGACUCGAUUCGUUUGCAGCCCUAGUUGUGACGUCCUAAGCCGUAGAAACCAUUUGUUUUCAAUGAGAGUGGAAGGUCAAUAUGAAUGAAUUUACUUCUAGAGGCAAAAAGGGCAACGCGAGGCAACUGCCUUGAUGGUUUAUUUGAAUCUAAACACUUUUCACAUCUCUCUUUUCCGGCAAGCCAUAAAAAAUUAAGUUGGUACCCAACCAGGCAAGCUUGAGUUGGUACUUUUUCCUGAUUGAGUUGGUACUUUUUCCAAAAAAAAUUAAUUCCUAGGCAAACGUUUCGAUAUUCAGUUCACUUUUUAGGCUGCUCGUACCCAACCCAAGCACAAGCGCAAAAUCACACCUUGAUGAAUCAGAUUUUCUCCCACUACUAAUCUCAAGCUUGAGAAGAAUGGAUCACCGCUCGAGUACACUUCCAUUUUCUCUGACUUGCUCUUUUGUACUCUUUUAUUUUUUUUUAUUUUUAUAUUUAGGGGGAGUUGUUGGUUGAUUAAUGUAAAAUUGGGAUAGCUUUUCAAAUGAGACUAGCUUCAUUCCAUAAAUCUCAACACUUGCUACUUCUAAAUAAUUUACAUAUUGCAAACAUAAUAAUAAUAUGUUUGCUACAGCAAAAUUUUUUCAGGGGUGGAAACAUCAACGGACCCGGAACAUCAACUUGCUCGGCUAGUCUUAGUUAAGGCCAAAAUCCAGUCGUUGAUACAUGCACCAACCAACUCCUCCGACAUGGGAUCCUUUGGACGAUAAUUUUCUCAUUUGUGUUUAUUAGCUCUGAAACUCUGGUUUACGAAGAAUAGAGGCCUGAGGUGAGGCCUUAGAUUAUAGCAGCAACUGGAAAAACACCAAAUGCAGCUGAAUUAUAUACUCUAAAUACAGAUUUACCAGUGUCAUUUGUCUCGAUAAUGACCCAUACACUGCUCUACGUAAUGAAACUCUUUUUUCUUAUUUUGUGUCCCCAUCUGAAAAUGAAUCAAGGCCAACAUAUUAAGGCCCAAGUGAAUAAAACCUCAAAAUCAAAUAAGAGGAAGAAGAAACUCAAGAAAGCACAUUAAUCUGAAAAAGAAAUUACUCCUGAUUACUUCCUAGUUUUCUAUAACUUUAAUUUCUUGUUUGACACUCAAUUAAAUUGUGCCCUCUGCCAUCCUGGAGUAAGUAUUGGACCCUGGAAUCAAUUUUCAUCUAGCUUUGACCUGAGUGAUACUGACAGGAACAGAGCUCAUCUGAUAGCUAGUAGAGCCUUCAGACGACUUCUCUUUUGACUGUAAGCUACUAAGCCCACCUGAUUCUUGGAAGAAACCUGGGGGUGUAAGUUCCUUCUCAUUAAGCCGGAUGUCUCUCGAGAGCAUCUCUAUAACCUGGCUCAUCAACGGCCUUCGAUGCGCUUUAGCUUGUGUGCAGAAAAGGGCUACCUUCAUAUACCUAAGGACCUCUUGCUCAGGAAACUCCUUCAGUUCUGGAUCAACUAACUCCAACAACUUCCCUUCUUCGUAGAAUUGCCAUGCCUAUAAAAGCAGGUAAGUUUAUUCGGAGUUGGAAACAAUUCAAGAAGAAAAAGGCCGUGUCUUCAACCAAACGCUAUAAGCAAAACCAUACAAUUGGAUACUUACAAAAUGAGGAUACAGAGAAAUUCAAUUAGUCUGUAAAUGUGUGUGUGUGUGUGAGAGAGAGAGAGAGAGUUCAGCGGCAAUUCAACUAUAACAAAACAUAGUAACAACCUGAGUAGACAUAGCAGGAGCUAUAUCAGCAAAAGUACCAUAAGGAUUAUAUGUUUCAUCACUAGAUUUACCUUUUCUGAUGACUAGAGUUUAGACCAAGGUAUUCAGUUUAUGUGUUUUAUUCUAGGGUCACAUUUGUCAUGUUUCUCUAUUGGCUAGCGAGAAGGUCUCCCUGUUGUUUCUAACUUAUGGUUACAUCCAAUUGAAUCUAAGGCAGUUUUAAGUUUGAGGGGUUACAAAGAUAUUUAUUACAAAGGUCAGGUUGCCUCUGCUGUUUUCUUUUUCUUCGUUCCUUUUCCCCCUGUUCGAUGUUCAGGCAUGAGGCAUGGACAAUUUGUCAAAAAAAGUCCCUUGGCAUCAAGUUCAUUGUUUUCUUGGUACUCUAGCAAGAUUUAGUCUGAAGAUUAAUCCCUUUUUGUCCCCUUAACCUUGUCUUCAUGUUGUUGUCAUCAAUGAACUCAAACAAAAAAUCCAAUAUAACCCACGUUUCUUGACGUUCUCAAUUCUUGCCAUUGAUGGAUACAACCAACCAAUGGUAAACUUGCUAAAAGGGCAAGCCCUGUUGGCAAUUACUACUAUAGUGGCCAACUAUGCCAAAAUCUAUCAGAAUGUACUCUUCAAGCAUGCAUUCUAACUAAUGGCCUUAAGAGAGUUUGGAGACUCAGCACCAUCAAAGUUUUCUCCCUCAUUGAGAUGGCAGUAUGGCACAUCAAAGCACAAUGGAAAAGACCUACUAUCUCCAGAUGCAUCAUGCUUACAUGCACAUCUGUAUUCUCUAUCAUGUACUUAACUAUAUUCUAUGUGAUUGCAAUGUCCACUUGCCUAAAGAACCACAUACAAGCUCUAAGAUGCAAUUUAACAGAACUGGAAAAAUCAAAAUCUUAAAAAAAAUAAAAUAAAAGAAGUUUUCAAAGAGUUUCAUGAUAAGAUUUCAUCAAUUGAUAUUCUAUGUUUGACUUCUUAAAUUCUGAUGAUGUGAUUUCUUUUUCCUCUACAAGAUUCUCUUCACUUUCUGCAUAUUCUGAAAUGUGUCAGUUGUUAGUCGUACUAUCAAGUUAAACCUAGGAACAUUAAAUCUCUUUUCAACAAGCCAAUUUUAUAGAUAAUAAUCAGGAAUAUCCAUUCCACUAUUAGUAAGACAGAUCUUUGCAACUCUUUUAAUCCCUUGAGAUCAAAAGUUGAUUAAGCAAUUUCUACCCCCAUAAAGCUGCAAGUGGUGCCUCUCUCUCUAAGCCUGAUCUGCUUAUUUCUGUAGUGUUAUGCAAAUAUGUAUCGCCAUUUUUCUUUACUUCUAAAGGACUCCUAAUCAGGUUAUGUAAUUCCAAUAUCAGAAGCCCAUCAGAAUAGUCAAAAGUCCCAAAAGAAAAGGGGAAAAAUAAAAAAUUAUUUUUCAUAUACACGGUCCCCAGUGCCAGAAAUGAUAUGGAAGUACAAGUUUUCUACAUUCUCUAUACUACAAAGUAUGAUCAUCAGAAGGAAAUGGCAAGCAGAUGUAAAAAGAACAACUCAGAACUAAUAAUUCCCGUACUUCCAGCAAUCAUUAUGUAAACAACAGGGCACGAAAACUCCACAAUUAGUGCAGGAUAUCCUAUGAUCUAUACUGUAGGUACGGUCCAAACCUUACAUAAAAAGUCACUAUAAAUUUCAAAAGUGAGACACGCACCAUUUUCUGAAGGAUCUUCUUAGCCUUUUUGUUAACAUUUUUAGACAUUACUGUGAGCAGUCAACACCUCUAAAAUGGGGAAAGGUUCUGGCAGGAUAAUAUCAUGUCAAUACACACCCCUAGGUAAUGCUGCUUUUUAAUUGAAUAAAAAUCAUGACUAGCAGCAAGCAAAUGCACAUGAAUAACAGAAUAACAGCAAAAGAGGUGAAGCUGCUGCAAUGAAACUUGAGAUAUUUUAGAUACCUCUUCCAGAAGUAAUUUCCGUGCCCCUCCCCAGAAUGAACUUGAACUGCUCUUACCGCUUACAACUUCAAGUACUACCACACCAAAGCUGUAAAUGUCAGCCUUCAUUGUUAGUUGACCACCUAAUGCAUAUUCAGGCGCUAGGUAACCUCUGCUUGAAAAACAUGAAAGAGUUAAAAAGGAUGAAGUAACCCCUGCUUGAAGAACACGAGAGCUAGAUACGUGCAUUAGAUGAACACAACUUCCACAGUUGACAAAUGCAUGCUCAAGAUUAGAUAAAAUUUGGGUUUCAAAUUCUUCAAAUCUAUGUAUAAUUGAAGGGUAAAUUUCAGAAAAAGUUUAGCAUUGGAAACUCCCCAAAGUUAAAGACCAAACUGACUCUAUAAUCCUCAAUAGACCCAGCGCAGUUAGAAUAGAUUCUGUAACUCAUGCCAGUCACACAAUGACAACUGAUUCUGCCAAAUGUUGCAGUUAUAGAAAAUUACUACUGGACUUUAGUAGAAGAACCACCUCUAGGAUCUGAAAAGCAAUUCUUCCAAUCUCUACGUAUCCAUUUUGCACAAAGUAUUGAUUCAUAAGCAUGUUUUAACAAGACCAAUCUAUUUAGCAAUAGUCUUCCAACGAUGAAUAAAUGCAAAAGUUUAGUGUUACGUAGCAGAGCAAACAGAGUUUCUAGAACUAUAUUGUAAGUAACUGAAAACUUCUACUAUCAACAAGAGAGGAGACAUACGUUGUCCCUGCUAUUUUUGUGCUGAUGUGGGUUAUGUCAUCUGGAAAAAGUUUAGCCAACCCAAAAUCUCCAAUUUUUGGUGCAAAGUCCUUGUCAAGAAGUAUAUUACUAGCUUUAAUGUCUCGGUGCACUAUGUGUGGCACAAGUUCUUCAUGAAGAUAUGCAAGACCCCUUGCAGUGCCCAUGCAGAUAGCUGUUCUUUUGUUCCAUUCCAGAUUUACCACCCUACUUCUACCUACAAAAUGGAAAAAGUAUUCAAUAUUCAAUUGAGGAUCAUUAGUUAUCAAUGAAUUCCAAGUUCUUGCAAAAAUUUUCAAAUACCAAGUAGUGCAUUAUCAAGGCUUUUGUUUUCUAAAUACUCGUAGACCAGUAUCCUGUCAGGUCCAUGUACACAGCAUCCGAUCAUCCGAACAAGGUUUGGAUGUUGAACAUUUGAUAUAGUUUCAAUCUCAGUCAAAAAUUCACGCACACCCUGCUUCGAGAAAGCAGAAAGCUUCUUCACAGCAACUGGAGUUCCACUCUUCAGUUUUCCCUAAGAAAUUACAGCAUGGUUAAGAAAGUCAAGUCAAAUCUAACAGUUCCAGAAAAGAUCAGAGAUAUGCUUCUCAACUGGAAAGCCAAAUAUAGUUGUUUGAAUUGGCAAAAAAUAACUUCCUGGACAAUCCAAACUACUUUAGCAUGAAGAUGAAAUCUUGUGACUCCUAUGGAAACAAGCAUCUUUUUUUACGAAUGUACACACUCACAAAUAAAAGAACCUAUGUAACUUCAUGCAUUAUAUUAUCAAUCUACGCAUUCUUCAUACUCUUUCUUUUAAAUAGUAAAAAACAGAAUUCCUGUGGAGCAUUUGAGCUAUAUGCCACCGAAACAAAUUAUAUAAUACAUCAAGUAUAGGAAGCCCUCUCUGUAUUAUUUUACUUCCAGAAAAAUUCAUGAAAAGACCCAGACUUCCUAUUAGACAGUUCAGGAUGUAAUUCGGUGAACAAUAUAUGGCAGCAUGAACAAGAGAUAAUUUCAUCUGAGAAACUUAUAGCAACUACCUUGUAAACUGUCCCAAAUCCUUGUAAACUACCUGAGAAACUGCAAAUACCUUGUAAACUGUCCCAAAUCCUCCUCGCCCUAUCUUAUUGCUUUGAUGAAAGUUAUCUGUUGCUGCAUUUAAUUCAUUGAUUGAGAAGUUCUUUGUCUUACCAAGUAAAAUCCCUGUUAAUAGAACAAUUUAAGAAUCAUUUCUGGCAAACAGAUGUUGGAAAGUCAAAAAAGUAAAACUCAAAGACAUAAUUAUUGUUGACUUUUGCAAUGUUAAGUAUGUAGGCGAGAUAACAGCUUGAAAUUUUCCUGGACUGAGAGAAGUUUCAGUUAGUCCUUCUAAGUUGUCAGGUAUAACUAUGGUUCCAAUACACAUACGUUAAGCAAGAUUGCUCAUACUUCUAUUUGUUGGUUCUGAAAAAAUGCAAAAAGACUGAUUGUAGAAAAAACAUUAACAAGUUUGACACAUGAUUGAUAAUUGGUAAGAAAAAAAAGAUUAAUGCAUUUGUUGGUUUUAAUCUUUUAGCAUUAUUGAAACUAUUAUGCUGAUUAUGGCAUCCAGCCCAGUCAUCAAUCUGUAGGAUAACAAAGUCGGAAAGAAACAGGAAGAAAGAAAUAUGUUGCUAUUUCAAACCCUAAAGGUCAUAAAGGUGAUUGAGUAUAUCUCUGUACUUAGGUUGACCACAUCUCAGAAUGAUCAUUAAGCUAAAAGAAAAGAGAAAGAUGCAUCUUUUAUGAUCUAGUUUGAAAUAGUUAUCCUAAAAGACAUAAGAAUUUAGAAAACUUCUUAAAAGCCCCUCAACAGCAUCACAUAACAAGCUUAUGACCAAGAAAACUUCAGACUUUGAUGUUUGGCUGACCACAAUUUCACAGAUGAAAUAAAAAUUCUUCAUGCUGCCAGACACCAUUGCCUUGAUCAGCAUCUUAGGAUUUAGUCAAUAUGCACUUUGAUGACUGGUUUUAUGUUGUUCAAAGUACCAACCAUUUGUGAUAAUGUGAAAAUGUUGAAAACUGAUAUACAAGAAAAAGAAUUCACCAACAAUAUCAUGAUUCUGAGAACAAUGUACCAGCAAUUCAUUUACAUGAAAGCAAAAGAAAAUCCCAACGUCAAAGAAAUUGACAAUUAAAGCAAACAAUCUGAUGUCUCUUCUCUAUGCUGUGAAAAACGUCCAUGAAAAAUAUUCUGGAAGGCAAAAUAAAAGAAACUAGUAUGAAACAACACUAACAUCUAUGAUGUCUAAACUGUAAUAAAGCACUCACCUUCAGCAUCACCUGUGUCUGGACGAGAAUAAUAGUUAGCCCUAUUCUGCUUGGUACUAGAGGCACCAAAGCAGCAACAACCCAUGUCCCUUGGCAGCUUUAUGAUAGCAAUUUCAAAAUCCGAUCAUAAAGCCUCUCACAUUCAUUUUCUGCAACCGUGACCAUCCAUCUCCUCAAUAUGCCUAAAGCGUCCAAUCAUGCACUGAACAAGAAAGAGAAGAUGCUAUAGGAUCAAUAAAAUCUUUAUAUAACAAGAACAGCUUCCUAAUAUUAAAACACUAAUCAAGUUUAAAAAAAAAUUUAAAAAGAGCAAAAAGCAACGCCCUUUGGCAAAAUUCAGAAACAAUAAAAAAUAUAUAAAAAAGAGCAUCACUAAUUACGGAUGCAAUUGAAGACAUCACUCGAACCAUUUCAUCUACUUACAUGCAAAUGAAGUCGAACCCUGGCUUUGCAUUUUCAAUUAGGCUGACAAUAUUUAUUUCGUUUGUUAAAAAAUCUGCGGCAUAAUCCAUUAUUAAUUAACCAAAUGCAAAGUAGUGUUGAGCUUAGCUCAACUCCAUAAUUCUUCUUUUUUUUUUUUUGGGAACCGGAGGCCGGGUGUUGGGGGGGCGAGAAGAAAUCCAGAAUGAACCCCCAAAAAUUUAAAUAAAAAAAAAAAUUCAAUGGAGCAUACAAAAUUCAACCCAAAUACUAAAAUUUUAAGAGGAAAAAAUAUUGAAAGAUCAGAGUAAACUUACAGAUUAGAUUGUUAGCUAAAAAGGGUUCAACCAGCAGCGUCCGAGGAGGAAUUUGGAGAAUAGUAAUUAAGGAUUUGUAAAAAGCUAAGACUUGCAAGAAAUGAAUAUAUAGGAAUGAACUGAAAGGGUUCAAAACGACAUGGUUUCUUAGACGGUUUUGGUGUGAAACGGCCAGGAGUCAUCCCUCUCUACCAGCCCCCCACUCCCAGAUAAUCAGCGUUUUUCCACCUUGACCAAAAUUUGGUCCGAGGCUACUAACUCUUUAACUCGUAUAUAUGGACAAUGGAUCUUCAAACUAAAGCUAGAAGGUCUGCGCGCCGUGACUGACUGUAUUGUGUGUGUCCACACUUUUCACUGGGUGUUGGUGACACGCUCUGAAAGUGACCUCCGGAUUUGUACGUGCCCAGGUUGGCCGGCUGUACUCAACCAACAGGUGUUUUACUUUGCUCUUCUUCUUGCUGUCCCCAACUCAAGUUUACUCGGAUUCAGCCACCGGAACUUUCUUACCCAACAUUUGGGCUUUUAUUGGGUUUUUCUGGUUUUUACCAAGCGCGUCUGGAUUUCCAAACAUAGGACCAUGCAAAGGAAGAGCAAACAAUCCUAGGAAUUUCCAAAAGAUUAGACGCUGAGUCUCCAGUAUAUGAAAUCAAAUAAAGCUGUUUGUAGGUGCGCCCGCACCACUUUAGGCCUUUUUGAUAAAUAAAUUCAAUUGUUAAAUUUAAUAGAUUCGAGUCUCGAUCAAGUAAAUGACACCGAAAUUAAGUAUUUGAAUUAAUUAUGUGAUAAUAAAUUUUUUAGGAAAAAUUUAUUAUCACAUAAUUAAUUCAAAUACUUAAUUUCGGUGUCAUUUAAUUGAUUGUAAAAUUUAUUUUCAAAAAUAAGUUAUAAAUCAUUCACUUAUUACUUAAUUUGAUAUAUACUUAAAUAUAUAUAUUAGUUUUGUAUUUAAUAAUUUAAUAAAUUGAUACUUUAAAUUUCAAAUUUGAAAUUUCAAUUUUAGCAAAUGUAUGCCAAGUCAAUGGGGGAUGAUUAUUUAGUGCAUCAAUAAUAUGCUCUGACCUUAGAAUGAGACCAACCUUCCCUCCUCCUAAGGUUCUACAUAAAAAAAAAAGAUUUUUUUUAAAAAAAAAAAAAAAAAAAAGAGAACUCUAAGCAAGAAAAAGAACACGGGGAGAGAGCUUAGACUCGAAUUAAGUACUCCACUAUUUUUUGAAGUUGAUGAGUUGUACACAUGUCGUGUCAAAUUUUAAAAUUCUUACAAAAUUUUCCUAUAUACGACAUGGAGUUAUGUAGUCUAGACUUGGAUCAUAAUUUUUCUGUAAAAAACAAAAAAAAAUUACGUUUUUCAUUACUAUAUUUUUCAAUCACUUUUUUAUUUUAUAUGUAUCAAGUCAUUAUAGUAUAUUUUUUUACAAAAACUCCUAACAAUAACAAUCCAAACGAGACCUAGUGGAGUUCUUGAACGAAUUUUGAGUUAUACAGUACUAUAUUAUAUCUUUUGAUUCUCGAAUGUGAAGACACCUUUUGUUGUAUCUCUUCAUUCUUAAAUGGAAACAUCUCGUAGGCUUCUACAGUAUGAUUUAUAAGCCUAGGUACAACAGCUGCAUUGAAAAUUUUCACCUGUUUGUUAUAAUAUAUAAUAUUUGUUAGACACAAAUUUGAUGAAAAGUCAAAAGGUGAUUAGCUUCAGCAUAAUGUGAAACAAAGGUUAAUACCACAUUUGGGCACUUGCCUAUUACUACUUCCCAUCUUACGAAACGAAACCGUAUGGAAAGACAAAUUCUAGCUGCCCUGCAAAACCUCAAUUAAACAGACCUCUCUUUUGUAUUUUCAUGUGUUUUAUAAUAUGGCUUUCAUUUUUUGACUAAUUCCUUUUUCUUGACAUUACGUUUGACUUUUACCUUUUUUUCACACAGGAAUUUAGUGGGGUUUUUUUUUUUUUUUUUAAUUAUCUGAUGGUGAUAUGAAGUUUGGUUUGAAUAUACUAUUUAUUAUAAAGGAAAAAUGGUCAGAUACUUGCCUAUAGAUUUAGGUCAGAGGGAUGAGUACUGGCCUUUGAAGUUUGGAAGUUAAAUCAACCUUUGACCACAACAAAUGCCUAGAAUUCUUAUGGAAGUCAAAACCAGGAUUUGAAAUAGGCUGGCGUUUCUAAUGGGUUUUUUUUUUUUUUUUUUUUAAAUGAGAAAUUUUAAAUUCAAUAUUUAUCGUUUAUAAUUCCUUUUAACUUCGUUUAUAAUAGGGAUGACGAGGUGUGUUGCAUAAUUACAUUUUUCAAAAGUAUUGAACGCAGUCCAACAAUACCGUCAUAGCAUCAUCUAGAUUGAUGACGAUUAUUGGCUUUGGCUUGGCUCCAGGAUUCAAGUUCAACAGAAACCGACAAGAAAAAUGAGCAUCGCGUCCAAUUCCACUAACAUGACAAAGGGCACCAACUGGUUUGCAUCGACGUGGCUAUGUUUGCAGUCACGAGAAGAAAAACGUAGAAAACUCUGAUGGAGUUGGACAAAGAAUUUCGUGACAAUGCGUUUGGAAAUUUAAUGUGUUGCAGGUGCAAUUGGGUGACCAUUCGUCAGUCAGAGUGAGUUGAUUUGCAAUUUCACUCUAAAUUUCUUCUAACCUUAUGUUACAGGAUUACCAUUUUCAGGGUAAAUGGUAUACCAUCAAUCCACACAGUAUGUUUGAAUAGUUUAUUACUACUACUUAUAAAAAUUUAUUUAAUUGUAUCAUAAAUAUUUUUUUAAAUAAAUAUUUUUUUUUUAUCUUUACAAUCAAUUUUUUUUUUCAUUUCAUGUACAUCGCAUUAAAAGGGUACACAAUCAGUCAGUCAUAAUUAAUUUAGUUGGUAACCAAAUAACAGAGCUCGGAAAACAAUAAAAGAUUACAUGUUUCGUGUGAGAGUUGAGAAAUGAAAGGUAAAGAUAUGAUGAAUUACAGACGUGAAAAGCAUUACUAGUAGGGUAGAAUGGAGAGACGUAUGAGGAUCUUCCAUCGAACCGAUGAAAGAGCACUUUAGACCAAGAAAAUUCUUGGAUGGGAAUUGUCCCCAAAUCAAGAUAGAAAAAGUGAACAUGUUACUGCUAAGAAAUUGACUUAAUUUUUUUUAGACAGAUUUCUUAUUCUGCGUAAAAGUAACUAGUUUCCUAAUUGUUUAAUCAAAGAAUUUUCUAUUUGUACGAGUUUAAGAAUUAGAAAUUAUUUUUUAUUCAGGAUGAAAUUAGAAAUUAGCGGUUAUUACUUGGGUGUUAGUCAAAUGAUGCAAUUUAUAAAUGGGUGGAGGUUGGCAUGCUAUAAAAUGACACAUAAAUGUGACAUGUAUCCUUAUAUAUGGGGUAAAAAAAGGUUCUUGAAAAAUGAAAAAUUAUACAAGGGUUUAAAUUGGGUUCAAGUUGUAUUCUUAUAUAGGGUUUUUCUCUCAUAAUAAAUAAUUACAACGUAAGCUCAAUGAUGAAAUCGAGCACGUUAAAUUUUAUGUGUCGUUUAUCUUUCAUACUAUGACGUAAGCUCAAUGAUGGAGUUGAACUAUGUAUAUCUUGUGUCGUUUAUUUUUUAUACUUAUGCUUUAUUUGUCAUUAAAUUGUUAUAUUCUUGAUAUUUUAAGAUGCAGUGAAUUUUGUGUCUGGAUCUCAACUGUUAUUACUAUUUGGAAGAUUCGGCCUCCUGGAAUUCUCAAACUUGGCCCGUGACCCAAAAAACAGAUUGGAUCUGGGUUGACUUUGGGCCAAGCCCUGAUCCUUUGAUAGCCCUAAGGAAUUAUCAGUGAUGGGCUCAGUUGAAGCUAGGUGGCACCCGUGGCUAACAUUUUAGUCAAUAAGCUUAGUUGGGCUUGAUUACUGGUCCAGAGAGAUGUGGUUCGGGGUGCCUUCAGAGUGUUUGAUCCACAAAAAAAAGGCUUAGUAACAGGUUUAACAAGAUACGUCAAUUGAAAUGCCCAUGCAAGUUAAUUUUAGUACAAACGUCGGAAAGUUCCUUCUUUCGCCCGGAAAAGAGCUUCUUACAUUGUGAAGGGCUUUGUUCUUACACAAUACUGAAUUUUGAGCACAUUUGCUGGUACAUGAAGAGUAGGUCCUGACAAUUAUUAUUAUAUUGUCCCUGUGGAGAAAUUAAUCCAUUUGGACUGUUUUUUUUUUUUUCUUAAAGUACUAAUGAACAAGAAUACAAUAUUGUGCCCUAAUUAGUCAGCCAUUCAACCGUUUUCCAACAGAAAAAGAUUGUCUGGAUUGCAUAUUAUUUACAUCUUAUUUACACGCACGAACUUACUUGUAUUAUCAAUAUAUUUUUCAAUCAUUUUUUUUAUCUUAUACACAUCAUAUCAAAAAAGUAUUACAUUAUUUUUUUUCACAAAAUUAUCUCAAAUAAUCUCCCAAGCAAUCAAGCAUGGCCCUCCAACAAAUGGGGAAAAAAAAAAAGGAAGAAGAAAAUAUUGACCCAGAAGAGAGAAAACAAAAAACAGCAGAACAAGUACUCCUCUCCCACAAUUGGUCCCUGUGCCCUUUUUUUCUCCACCCCCCGAACACCUGGAAUCUGCUCACUUGGCUCCGACUCACUCUCAAACCCUAACCCCACUUUUCCACAUCCCUCUCUUUCCUACGCCCAAAAGCAUCUUUCACACAAACACGCACAACACACACACAGUGCUUCCUGUCGCCCUCAAUUGCGACUUUCCUUCCACUUGUCUGUCCAUUGCUCACAAUUCCAUUAAUUUAAUUAUCUUCAACUAUAUCUCUUUCUAUAUAUAUAUAUAUUAGGGCUUUUUGGGCCUUUUCUCGGUUCUAUUCAGAUGAAUGAUUCAAACCCUUCUCCACAUCCCUCCAAGGACUCUGCUGCUGCUGCUCCUGCUCCUGAAGAAGAAGAAGAAGAAGAAGAAGAGUCCUCGUCUUCUGCUAUUACUAUUAUUUCUGCUUCGGUUUCUGUAGAAGCUUCCAAGGGUCCCGCCGAGAAGCCUGAAAUUACAGCCGGAGAGGAAGAACCGCAGCCCAUGGCGGUGUCGGAGAAGGAGGCCGCUGCGGUGGCAGGACCCCCGGAUGAUCAUAUGGACGUGGAUAACGUGAGUCCGGCGACUGUUUUUUGUAUUAAGCUGAAGCAGCCGAGGUCUAAUUUGCUUCAUAAAAUGAGCGUUCCCGAGCUUUGUCGUUAUUUCAGGUGAGUGUUGUUAUGUUCAAUUAGUGAGCUUUAGUCGAAAUACGUGCGAAUUUUGAGGAAAUUGUUUGGUACUUUUGUUUCUUCGGUGGACAUUGUUGCUCGAGGGGAAAUUUUGAGGCGCGGAAGUGAUACUUCUUCGGGUUGAUAAAAAUGUCGAAUUUUUGGGUCCUAAGAAGGCAAAAUCUAGGCUGUUUGGCCUACUUGGUUAGCAUGGUAAAGAUUUAAUCUGGUUUCACAAUUACCUAAGUCUUGCUCUUUCUUCGAUUCUUUAUGAAGUUUCUUGUUGUUUUAUUUUAAUCUGCGACCGUGGUUACUAGUGGCUGGAUUGGUUCAGAUGUCAAGUUGAUAACUGUCAAAGCUGGAUUUUGGAACUAGAAAGGAAAACUAUGUGGUUGAUUUGUGUUUCAAAUUCAAAAUUAAGCAAAAGAGUGCUUUUCUAAGUAGCAGGGCAAUCAGUGAAGAGCUUAAUAAAAGACUGUUCCAAAGUGAUGCAGGAUGUCUGCCUAAUUAAUCAGGAUAUGUUUUUGCUAUACUUUCUGCUAUUAUUGUUGCCAAUUAGGUAUAUUUGCUUGUUUACCAAGGUUCGCAUUGGUUGUCUUAUAUGGGUCUAAAUGGAUAAUUUUUAGAUUUUUUUUGUUCUUUUUUUUGGGGGGGGGGGGGAGUUGGAUGGUUGAUGCUAUAGGUGGCAUCCAUUGCAUUUUUUAUAAUCAUCCAAUUGAAUUCCAUUUGAAUCUUUUUUCUAUAGAGAUUUUUUUGUUUUAAAAAACCUAAACUUUAUCUUAAUGUAGAAGCCAAAACUGCAAUAAAGUGAAACUUUCCGACAGGUUCCUCAAGAGAACCUAAUUAACCAGUGCAAUAUUAAUUUUAGGUUCCUUUUUCUUUUUUGUGGAUUUAUUGGUUCCUAGAUCCAACAGCAUGGUCUUGUGAAACAUUUUUAAUUGAACACUUACUCCUCGUUGUGAAGCUGGUUAUGUGUCUAAAGAAAGACUUCAAUUCACAUUAUGAAAAAAGAAUAAACGAGAGGAGGGCAUUCUGCCUUUUACUAAAUGUCAACAACGAUUAAGUUUUUACUAUUAGUGGUUUUGUUGCUGUCUGAUAAUUUCUUCACCUUAUUUUUGAUUAUUAACUUCUAUUGUUUUCUUUCCAGCGCUGUUGCUUGGUGCGGUAAGCUUAAUGCAAUAGCAUGUGCAUCGGAAACUUGUGCCAGAAUCCCAAGGUUAGAACGCUCUUGUGAUUAUUACUUGUCUUUGUAUGUUAUUUUGGAUUCUAAAUAACUUCUCUAAUUAGACAUAUUUACUUGGAUAUGGAUGCAAUUCUUCUUCUUGCCUCAAAAGGAAGGGAAGAUGGAGUUUUAAACCAUCAGUUAGAAAUAUAGAUUGUUAAUCAACUGGCUUUCUUGUUUUUCAUGCUGCUUCCUUUUUUAGUGGAUGACAAAUUAUGUACCCAUCCUGCUCCUGGCUUCCUGGCAGCAAAAAAGAAAAAUAAAGUAAAAUAUGUGAACAAUUUGAUGAAAUUAAAAAUGAGAGCCUUUGCCCAAUGAUUAAUGAGAUUAAAUGAGCCAAAAUCAGUGUGAAGAGAAUUUGAUUUUCAAUCUGUGUUGGAAAAGGUUUGAAAGCUUUUACUACUAGUAAUAUGACGCUAUUGCUAUUUUUCUGUGAGAUGAAUCUUGCAGAGAUGCCCUUAUUUGCUCAUAGUUGUACAGUAGAUUUUGAAGAGGCUAUCCAUUCAUUAGGCAAACAAGUCAACUGCAAAUAAAUUUUUUUUUUCCUUGCUACAUGUGUGGAUUGUAAAAAGGGUUGAAUUGCUUGCACGGGAUAGAAAAGAAGAGACUAGCAAAACCAUCUUGGGGUGAUUGGGAUUUGUUAGAGAUUUGUUUUGUACUCAUAAUCAAUAUCUUUUCCGCAUCAUUUAUAUCUUACUCAAUUGUUAUUUUGUUUUCUGGUAGUUCAAACGCAAAUCCUCCAUUUUGGAUUCCUAUACAUAUAGUGAUCCCAGAGCGACCAACUGAGUGUGCAGUAUUCAAUGUUGUAGCAGGUACUAGACGUGACUUGCUGAGAUUACUUACCUUAUUUAUUGGACUUGGCAUUGUCAUUUCAAAUGAUUAUUCCAUUUUGUGUAGUGCAACCUUUGGUCACUUUGCAUAUUGGGAUGCAGUCUGAUGCUACCCCUGGAUAUGGUUUGAGAUGAAGAAUUUUAGCAUGUUUGAUGUUUGAUUUGGUUUUUAAUUUUUGAAUGCUGUUCCUCAUUUCAGUUCUCAUAAUAUCUAGAACAAACUGAUCUUUUUAUAUCCUUUUGGAUCUAAAGGAAAUCUUUGAUCUGUGUGGUUUUUAGGCUGUGUUUGAUGGUAGAAGUAUUACAUUUCUUUUCAUUGUAUGUGAUCCUUUUGCUAUUAUUAGAUAUGUUACUAAUACUAUUUUCACACCAAAAAAUAAAUGCUUAGAAAUCAACUUGUUUCUUUGGAGAUAUCUGCAGAUUCUCCUCGAGACUUGGUUCAGUUUAUGGAAUGGUCUCCUACAUCCUGCCCUCGAGCUUUGCUCAUAGCGAAUUUUCAUGGGAGGAUAACCAUCUGGACCCAACCUUCUCAAGUAAGAAAUUAUUUCUUAGCACAACAGAUCUAUUGCUUGCAUGGCUUCUAAUUUGCCACUAUCUGCCUGCUUUCAUUUGCAUCUCUGUGGUAUGUCAUUACAUUCUCGUUUUAAUUUUGUUAAUUCCCAAAUGCCUCAUGUUCUCAUCCACUUCACAUCUGGUUUGGUUCCUCAGGGUCCAGCCUGUAUAGUAAGAGAUGCUAGCAGCUGGCAUCUGGAAUAUGAGUGGCGUCAGGAUAUAGCAGUAGCUACAAAAUGGUUGUCAGGUGUUUCUCCGGUAUGCUAUUUUUAUAUUGUUAAUUCUAAUUGAAAUUGUAUUUGCUCGUUUCUUUCUAUUGCAUUAAUUUUGUAUGCUACGGAAAUUAGUAUAGGUGGCUAUCAUCGAGAUCUGCUAAUUCAGGAAAGUCAACUUUUGAGGAAAAAUUCCUUUCCCAGCAGCCAGAAGCUCCAGGUUUGUCACUCCUCUUUUUGCCAGUUCUUGUCUGUGGGUCUGUCUUAGACUUGUCUAUUAAUAUGUGGCUAUGCGCAUCACAACGUAAUAACCCUUAUCCUUUUCUAUGCAUGUCAAGUUGUUUGUGUUUGUACAUAUGGUGUUUGAAGAGGAAGGACAAGUUUAUGGUGUUUGAACAGGAAGGAUGAACUUGUCUCGGCAUGUAGUGUUGUAGCCAUUUCUUCAAUCGCCAAACUUCUCUAUUACCUGUUAAGCCCCCAACAGCCUGUGAACCAUUUCUUUGAUUGAGGGGUGGAAGCCCAACAAUAGAGAGAAUGGGAGAUAAUUUCCUCACAAGCGAAACUGAAUCCCUUGUGGGAUUGCAAAUGGUUUUCCUUUGCAAUACAGGGUCAAUAGUUGUUGAUGAGUCUUUGACAUCAUUAGCCCAAACAUCUUAAUGUGGAGCAAUGAUUUGGCUCACCAUUAAAGCUGCCAUUUCUUCUUUUUUGUUAGGCUACUCCUUUGAUUUUAAGAACUCAGUGAGAUGCUUUAACCGAAUGCAAUGUUUUCGGUUUUGAUGACAGCUGGUUGGCCAAAUUUCCUGUGUGUGUGCUCUGUCUUCUCAUCUGGAUCUGUUCAGCUCCAUUGGAGUCAGUGGCCGCCCACUCAAAGCGGUACACCAUCAAAGUGGUUUUGCACAAGCAAAGGGCUCUUGGGAGCUGGGCCGAGUGGCAUUAUGGCAGCUGAUGCUAUUAUAACAGAUUCUGGAGCCAUGCAUGUGGCAGGUGUUCCCAUUGUUAACCCAUCAACUGUUGUUGUUUGGGAGGUGACUGCUGGCCCUUGGAAUGGAUUUCAAGCUUCUCCAAAGGCUAGUGUAGGUAAUGGUGUUCCACCAUCAGUGAAUCCUCCUUCAUGGGAUGGUUUUGCCCCCUUGGCUGCAUACCUGUUCAGUUGGCAGGAGUAUUUACUGCUAGAAGCUAAGCAAGGAAGAAAAUACACUGAGCAAGACUAUAAUGAGAUGGUGACACUUCAUUGUUCACCAGUUUCAAACUUUUCUGCAUAUGUCAGUCCUGAAGCUGCAGGGCAAUCUGCUUCUGCUACCACCACAUGGGGUUCUGGUGUCACUGCUGUCGCAUUUGAUCCAACUCGUGGUGGUUCUGUAAUAGCUGUCGUGAUAGUUGAAGGUAUUAAACUUAAUUCUUAUUUAAAUUGUCCUUUUUCCCUCAAGUAUAUCUCAUGUUAGAAUGCACUUUUUAUGGAUACUAAUAUUUUUCUUGUAUGUCCACUACUGUUGAGAAUGGAUGUCCUUGAAGCAUCUCAUGGUUAAGAUAGCUGCUAUGCUAUCUGCUUUUGCUAUUGUGGGUCAAUUAAUGAUAUUUUUGCAAGCAUUUUUAGGAUGAAUGUUUUUGGUUCAUACAUUUAUUUUAACAUGUGAUUGUUGUUUGUAUUGUUUUUUCUCUUAUAAAUGACCACUACUGCCUAGAGAUUGGUGCUUUUAAACAUCUCAUGAUUAAGCUACUUUUGGUUGUCUGCUAUGAUAUACGCUUUCGCUGCUUAGGUUCAAUUGACAAAUAUUUUUUGCAUGCAAUUUAAGCAUGAUUGGUUUUUCUCCUGGUUGUUACAUUUAGGGUCCCACAUGCUUGUUUUUGGUUACCAAUCUGCAAUCUGAUAAACAGAUUUUUUGCUUGGCCUCCUGCUUGGAAAUGAAUAUUUGGGAAAUCAUUAAAAUAUGCUUUAUACAGAGAGAGAGAGAGAGCAGGACUCUAUGUGUAAUUUUGGUGUUUGGAUUAAUAAUCUUAAUAGUUCAUGUAGUUGCUUACUUGUAGGUGCAUUUCAGUCUGCUGGCAUCAUGUAGUACAUCUACAGGAUUUGCAUCAUCUGAAUCACAUGAUUGAGUUGAUAAUAUAAUAUAAACAAGCUUUUUUUUUUUUUGUUUGAAAAAUAUCUUAAAUAUAAUUAUAGAGAGGUAUGGGUUCAUUGUGUAACAUUCUUGGUUCCAUUUUUAACUUUUCUGGCAUUAAGUGCAACUAUUAGAGAUUCAGGGGCUGAUUGUACACUUUCUUGGUUCCUUUUUAGCAUGUCAUGGAAUGUACAAGAUGACCUGGCUCAUUUAUAAAUUUUCUGACAUUGACUGAUUAUCUAUUCUUAUUGCAACAGGGCAAUACAUGUCCCCAUAUGAUCCAGAUGAGGGUCCCUCGGUCACAGGAUGGAGAGUUCAACGUUGGGAGGCGACCGUUGAGAAUGUUGUCCUCCAUCCUAUAUUUGGAAAUCCUUCUUCGACUUUUGGUGGUGAGGCACCAAAGCAGACAGUCUGGGUGAACAAAGGAAUGAAGUGUACUCCAGCAACAAAUGAUUUCAGAAGUCCUCAAUCAGCUGCUGCUGUGCCUUCUCCUGAUGGAAGAAAUUCAUCUGACCCUGGUGUUGAGGUGACAAAAACAGUCGGUUUUGACCACUUUGAUUUGCCAAGUGAUGUUAGAACACUUGCUCGUAUUGUUUAUUCCUCUCAUGGUGGUGAGAUUGCGGUAGCUUUUCUACGAGGUGGCGUGAAUGUCUUCUCAGGUGCAAGCUUUACACAUGUUGAUAAGUACCAGAUUGAUGUUGGUGCUGCAAUUGCUGCUCCUGCCUUCUCUUCUACUAGUUGUUGUUCAGCUUCUGUCUGGCAUGAUACAAGCAAGGAUUGCACCAUGUUGAAAAUCAUUCGUGUUCUUCCUCCUGCUACUUCAAGUAGUCAACUUAAAGCUAACUCUGUGACCUGGGAACGAGCAAUUGCUGAGAGGUACAUUGGAUAAACAACUUUUUUUGCAUAUCAUAAGACUGUUAGUUUAGUGGAUAUUAUCAUUGAUUCAUAUUAUUCUUCUCUUGCAUCUGUGUCUUUGGGAGUUAACUUAGAAUUUUUUUGCUGAAUAGUUUCAUCCUUAAUCAAUAAGCCAUGACAUCUCUUAUCUUGGCAGAUUUUGGUGGAGUCUUUUAGUGGGGGUUGACUGGUGGGAUGCUGUAGGCUGCACUCAAAGUGCAGCUGAGGAUGGAAUUGGUAAUAAUUUUUCAGCAUGCCUAGCAUGUGAAUUCUUUAUGCUGUUUUAAAGCUAACUUUGCAAAUUUUGAAGACUUGGCUACUGACAGAGAUGAGCUAAGACAAAACUUUAUGCGUCUCUAAUGCAAAAUUUUAUUGCUGAGAUUGUAUUGCAUCAGAUCAUGGUGUAACAUCCUGAUGGGAAUUGCAAACAGACUGAUUUGGAUGCUUUAUUUUCUUUUGAACUGCAGACUUGCUGUUCUUAUAUGUUGGCUAUAUUUUGUUGAAUCAAAUAAGGAUACCCUGUUUAUUGUUGGUCUCUUGAUACAGUAAUUUAACUCUAUAUGUUUCCUUAAAUUGUUAAAAAUUGAGCCAAGCGGGUCCCCCAUGAUGAUGUAUGAUUAACAUGCUUUGGUGGUGUAUUAUUAAGAUGCUCUUAUCUACAACUUAAAAUGAAAGAUGAGGAGUUGCUAUUUAGGUGGCGGAAAUUGGAAUUAGUAGAAGGGAAGUGUUUCUUUCCUUGUAUUCAAAUUGAUAGGAUAUGAUUUUUUUUGGUUUUUUUUUGGGGGGGGGGCUUGGUUUGUUAUUUUCAGAUGAAAGAUCCAUGAAACUUCAAGCAUACAAUGAGAGAUUCCCUUUGUUUUUUUGGUGUUUCAGAUUGCACUGGUAUUGUGUAAAGAUAUUUUAUUAGUUUGUCUAGGCAAACAAAGAUCAGAGAGAUCUAGUAUAUACCACUUAUUUGAAAAUGUUAAAAGCUGGAAAGCAAAAGAGAGAUUAUGGAGAUGACUGGAAGCCAUUGUUCGAGCUCGAGCCAAUGAACAUUUGUCUCUCUGUGUUUCUCUUUCUAGAUUUUGUAACUUGGUUCUCUGUACCAUUUAUUAGCGCCUCUUUUGGUAAUAACUUUUUUCUCUGCUGCAGUGUCAUUGAACAGUGUUAUUGCUGUGUUGGAUGCUGAUUUCCACUCUCUUCCUUCCACUCACCACCGACAGCAAUAUGGACCUGUAUGUUUCAUAAUUUUGAUACUGGUGCAUGUUAUAUUCAGCUAAAGUAUUUUCCUAUUCUGUGUAUUUCAGUAACGUGCUCUUUGCAUGCUUUUUUGGACAAAAGAUGAUCACUUAAUCCUAAAUGUCUUUAAUGAUAUCCAGAAAGUCAUAUCUUUCUACAUAUGCAUGAAACACACUUUAAAUGAUUUAUUAAAUUUGAAAUGUGAUGUUAAAUUUCCAGGAUCCCUAUCUUUGAAGUAAAUCUGAUUUGAUUGAUGCAGAGUCUAGACAGGAUCAAAUGUAGGCUUCUAGAAGGUACAAAUGCACAAGAAGUCAGGGCAAUGGUACUUGACAUGCAAGCAAGGUUGUUGCUAGAUAUGCUUGGCAAAGGUAUUGAAUCGGCUUUAGUAAAUCCUUCAGCUUUGCUAUCUGAACCGUGGCAUGCAUCUGGUGAGGCGUUAUCUGUUUUAGAUCCUGAGGCAAUGGCUGUUGAACCAGCACUCGUCCCAAUCAUCCAGGUUUGCAUGACACAUUUUGCAGUUCAAUGACAGUAUGGUUAUCCCGAAGCUUUUCCCUAAUCACCUGAACGAUAUCCAUGUAGGCUUAUGUGGAUGCAGUACUUGAUCUUGCAUCCCACUUCAUCACGCGGUUGCGGCGUUAUGCUAGUUUCUGCCGUACAUUGGCAAGUCAUGCUGUUACUGCUGGCACUGGAGGGAGCCGGAAUAUGGUAACUAGUCCCACCCAAAGUUCUGCUUCUCCUACUGUGACUCAGGGUGAGAGAAUUUUUCUUCUUCGGUUCCAAAAAAUUUUCCCUCUUGUUUCUCCUAUUAUAUUUCCUUAUGUGAUACCUGUUGGAUGAGUAUCUUAGGCAUCCCAUCUGCAUAUGUUGAAUUUCCAUGUCCAGGAGCUCAGGGUGGCACUGCUAGUUCCACUGGCAGUACCCAGAUGCAAGCUUGGGUUCAAGGAGCCAUUGCAAAGAUUAGUAGUACUGCUGAUACAGUACCAAAUUCAGCCCCAAAUCCCAUAAGUGGCCCUUCAAGUUUUAUGCCUAUAAGUAUAAACACAGGCACUUUCCCAGGAACACCAGCUGUUAGGCUUAUUGGAGACUGCCAUUUCCUUCACCGAUUGUGUCAACUUUUGCUUUUCUGCUUUUUGUUUUGGCGAACACAAGUACCACGUUUGUAUGGCAGUUCUCAAAGAAAUGCUGAUGCAGCUGCACAAAAACCUCAGCCUAAUAAUUCAGGCAGAGUAGAAGAAUCCAACUCUGUCCCUGCGAAACCAGGGUCAGCGAUGAUUAGAGGAGAAGAAGCACAGGGUCCACGAGCUGGCCAGUUGGCUGCAGCAGCAAAAGGACCAGAAGAAGUUCCAUCCAGCCGGUCAAGGCUGGGUUCUGGCAAUGCGGGUCAAGGAUAUACAUUUGAGGAGGUAAAGACAUUCAAUUCUUUUACUGAAACAAAUGAAGACCUAUAAUUGGCCUUGCCAUUUAUUGCCUGGUUUUGUUUCUGUUAUGAUUAAGAAAUAGAGGAGUCUUAGUUGAGUGGUAUGCUUCAGACCUGCUUUUGUCUUAAAGUUGAUACACACCAUCUCCUCACAUCUUUUGUAGAACUAUUAAUUUGAACCUUGGAGAAGUUAAAUUAAGAAUUUGUUUGUAAUGAAUACAGGCAAGUUGGGGAAUUAAGUUGUUACUUGGAUGGCAUCUCUUGGAGUUUGCUUGAUUUAGUCCUAAGAUCAUUUUUUGACUUCAGCCUCAUAAUUUUCUAACCAUAUACACCUCUUUUGCUCAUUCAGAAUGUGGGAUAAGAUUCUAAAGUGGUUUUCAUGUAUCUUCUGGAGUAUGUUAUGUACUGUUGGGCUUUAUGGAAGUAAUGUGAGAUGCAAAAGAUAACUUGGGGGUUAAGAAUGUCUAAAGCUGUAAUCUUGGAGGGCCUAAUCUUCUCUGUGAAGAAAUGCAAAGAUUUGUUACUUUCCCUGUGUGGACUGAUUUUGAUGCCUCUUGCAGGUGAGGGUACUUUUUCGCAUACUGAUGGAUCUCUGCAGGCGAACAGCAGGUCUAGCACAUCCAUUACCUGUUUCUCAGGUUGGGAGUAGCAACAUUCAGGUUCGGCUUCAUUACAUUGAUGGGAACUACACUGUUCUGCCAGAGGUCGUGGAGGCAUCUCUUGGUCCACAUAUGCAGGUAUUUCUUAGCAGUUUUUGAAAAUGAUGAAAGCUGUUAUAUUCUGCUUUCAUUCUUCUUGCUGACUGUCCAACAUUCAUAAAAUAAAUGCCUUGUCACAUUACUGCAGAUGGAAAAUUUUUUCAUCUCUCUCUCUCUCUCUCUUUUUUUUUCAAAGAAACUUUGGCAGUUCCUUAUGGCCCAUAUCUAAUGUGGUUGCGAACAUCCAAGAAAAUUGCCUCAUUUGAUAAUUAUCUUAAAUACAAGAAACUUCUAAAAACCUUAGUUAUUUAAGCUCAUGUCAUGUAACAUUGAUGUAACUAUUUCCAGGAAUAAAAACAUCUAAAGUACUCUCACAUAUUGUUUUUGUCGGCUGUUUGCAGUUUAUGCCACGUCCCAGAGGUGCUGAUGCUGCAGGUUUGCUACUGCGUGAGUUGGAACUUCAUCCUCCUGCUGAAGAAUGGCACCGGAAGAACAUGUUUGGUGGCCCAUGGUCUGAUCCUGAGGAUAUUGGUCCUGUCAAUGAUAGUGUAAGGCUAAGCCCUUCAGCAGAUUUACAUGAUGGGACCUCAUCAGAAAACUGUGAUGUCUAUUAUGGAGCCCAUGGCUUGUGGCCAAGGAAGCGCAGGAUGUCUGAAAGGGAUGCUGCUUUUGGGUUAAACACUUCAGUGGGUCUUGGAGCGUAUCUUGGUAUAAUGGGAUCUCGUAGGGAUGUUGUAACGGCUGUUUGGAAAACUGGACUUGAAGGAGUUUGGUACAAGGUUUGUCUACAUUUAGUAGGACUUUUUCUUUGUCAUCUAUGUCUUUCAUUCCUAAAGUUAUACGUCACUUCAUCCUUUUUUGGGAUUUCCUUGCAACCUCAGAUCAAUAUUUUACUGUUAAGUCUGUAGUCUUAGAUGUUUCCAGAGAGUCCAAACAUAAUGACUAAAACAAAGUUUUACACCUCUGAGCAAGAGUUCAACUGUUAAACUGAUGAAACAUUUGAUGUAGUGUCUAAUUUGCUCAGUCCAGUGGUUUAAUUUUGUGAUAGUUACAAAUUCAGUUACGAGCUUUCUUUGUGAUGCAAUGCUUGUACAGUCAUCAUCUCAGACAGUUGACUCUCAAUCUUUGUUAUCAUUGACUUUAUUAAUUUCCCCUAAUUUAUGGUGUUCGAGUUGUUUGGGGUGGAAAGCUUGCUAUAUUGUGUUAUUUUAGCUUUAAAAUCCAUUCCACCCAGGCCUCGCUACCCAAUAUACGGGAAACAAAUGAGAGCAAACCAUCAAUUCAAAACUGUAUUCAGACUGGGUCUAAAUUUCAAUGUUAUUAUUAUAUUUUCUUUUAUUCUGAAGUGACUAUUGUUAUCAUGCAGUGUAUAAGAUGCUUGCGGCAGACAUCAGCUUUUGAUCUACCACGUGCUACCUCCACUGGUAAUCAGAAUGAGAGGGCAGUUUGGUGGAUCAGCCGAUGGGCACAUGGCUGCCCAAUGUGUGGUGGAACAUGGGUCCGAGUUGUAUAGCUCUUUCAAAGCAACCUGCUCGUAGUUAUGUACAGAUUUGAUGAGUUGUUGUGACGCUUGGCCAUCUGCAUCCUGUAUUGCUUUAUCAUGGAGCUCAGCUGACGGAUUGUGGUUUUAAGUGCAUUAAUUUGGUUGUAGGAUUCUCAGCAUAAUACAACUGCUGCUUAAAAAGUGGAAUUUUUCUUGUUGGGGAACAGUUCCCAAGUUUAUCACGUCCUGCGGGAAAGGAAAUGAAUUUGGAGGGGAAUACUCAUUGGUCAAAUCAGAUGGGAAGUAAGUUCACUCUUUCCCAAUAUACCCAUGGAGUAUUCUAGAAACGAAAGACUUGCAUAGAUUCCAAGUAGGAUGAAUUUCAGAACUGUGGAGCCCUAGUCGUUUGUGAGUUCGCCUUAUGACUAAUUCUAAGAGCUGCUCGCUGAUGAUAUCGAAGACAAUUUUUCUUGAGUUUCUGACAAAUCCUUUCGGAUGUCCGGGGGGUGAUAAGAUGACACUAUUUACUUGUACAGAAUGUUACAAAGGGCUAGGAUUUCUUGGUUUGUGGUGGCAGUAACUACCCUGAGAAGCCUGUCAAAGAUCUGUGGUGCUAAGUUAUGGCAGGGUCUGGAGCUUGUGAUGUUCUGCGGCUUCGGCCUUCGCAUCUAUUUUUCGCUUAUGCAGCUGUCUAUUCGCAUCUAUUCUUUGGAAGGUGCCUUGUGAAGAGUUCAUAGUUUUUUUCUGGUAUUUCUGCCAUUUUAUCAUUUACUUGAGGGGCAUUUCC
rnacentral:lncRNA from 1 species